rnacentral:lncRNA from 1 species
AAUCUGUGGCGAGGCCCUAGGGCUCGCCUAUAACUCACCUUUCAAUCCCAAAGUGGGGAGGGAGCUCCAAGUGCACCCAAGCCCGAGACCGUCUGCGGACCUCCAUGUGGUCCGGACCUCCAAGUGGUCCUAGUCGCGCGACACUCUGGAGUACUCGACGACAAUCCCCUUUAUGUGGGGAUAGGAUGGCUAUACCACCCCAAAAGCAGACUGUGAGCUAAGAUCUAUCCUCUCCAAGUGAGGAUACACUACCACUAGGGUCAACAACCGAAUCCAAUCCUCUCCAAGUGAGGAUGCACUAUAACUAGGGUCAACAACCCAAUCCAAUCCUCUCCAAGUGAGGAUGCACUAUAACUAGGGUCAACAACCCAAUCCAAUCCUCUCCAAGUGAGGGUACUUAGGUUUACUAAGUUCUCUAUCCACAAGGCAUUUUCUAGGGGAUCCAUUUAUCCCUAGGUUCUCAAACCUCUAGUGUCAUUUACACUACAUUAAUGCCACUCGUUAUUCUUUAACAUUUGGAUGCCACUCGUUUGUUCUUUGACAUUAACACUAUUUUCUAUGUCAUCAACACCCCCAUCGGGUUCAUCUCUUUUCUUUCGCAUCAUAGGAUCCAUGUUUCGACCCAAUCCUCACCUAAGCUACCAAGCGUUCCAAGUACACUAGGUUAUCAAUUAGAAAGCAUAAGGAAUGGAGCUACUAUACAAUCCCACAAUGCAACAUGUAAGAGAUAAGAUUAAAUGCAAUCUAAGACAUAGAAAGGAGUUCGAAAGCUUCGGGAUGGCACCCCCCACCUUUAAUCGAUGUAGAGGCUUUGGAAAACCUUCUUGGCGAACUUUACGAAAAGGCUUUAGCCUUCCUUGCCCAAGACAAUGCCAAAUCGGCCUUGUUUUGCCGAUAGCUCCACGCUGGCUCGCCGAAUGCUAAAACCGACUUCGCCCCCGCGUUUUGUGACCUAGCAAUUAGGUUUCCAAGGCUUCAAAUGAGAUCAAUCUUAUACUUUCUCAAAAACCCCAUUUUGGAGCCCUAGGUUUGCACCCAUAGCAAACCACCAAUAAAACCCUAGAUUCUUGGGAUUGAUCUACUUAGAAGCAUGCUUAUGGUCCAUUUGACCCAUUCCAAAGCAUCAAAACCCAAAACCCUAAGUUCUAGAAGCUAGGGUUCAAGAGCUUACCUCUUGUGCUACACCAAAGAGAAGAUGAGAGGGAGAUGAAGGUGUCCAAAGCCUUCCUCUUGAUCUCCUUCUCCUUCUCCUUCUUAUUCUUCUCAUUCCUUUCCUUCCUCUCCUUCUUGUUCUUCUUCUUCUCCUUUCCUUUCUAGAGAGAGAGAGCAAGAGAGAAAGAGAGUGUGAGAGAGGGAAUGAGAGAAAUGAGGGAAUGAGAGAGGGGGCGGGCUCAUAAGCCCUUCUAUUGUAACAAUAUCCAGUUUAGUCCCUCAACUUUUCAUCUCUCAACCUGCCUUCACUAGGCAUUCUGCGCCCAGAGGGACCGGUCUCUGCUCGGGGAGACCGGUCCCCGAGAGCUCUCCCUGCGGCCUGGGGACUUCUCGCGUACGGGAACCGUUCCUCACCCGAGGGACCGGUCCCUGGGAGACCGGUCCUUCCUGAGAGACCGGUUCCCGAAAGGGGAACUUUCAGGACUUAGCCAAAUUUAGGAUUUCUGUCACUCCCCGGAUCACACUUUCUUCGGGCGCGUCGACAAAUCCGCCGUAUACAAAGGAAUUUUUCCUGUAUACGAAGCGAUAGCUGUACUUGUAAAUCAAACACUACUACGAACAGUAGUAGAGAGCUGCUAGAGAAAACAAAAGCUAAACAAACUGAGUUUCAUAUACAUAGUCCAAAUCCAAAAUACAAAACUACUCGCACUGGCGAGUUAAAGAUAGGUAUGUACAUGAACUCCAGCAAAACAACUACCUGCAGUAGGGUGCCUCUAGCUCUGUCAGUCGGGUAGGGCUCUAGCUCGCAACGCCCUUGCCUCGAUCCUGAUCCGCGGAAGGCGCAGUAGCCAGAACCUGUGGCUCUGCAAAAAUAUAGGUAACAACGGGGCGUGAGAACUACUGUAAAAACAAGUAGUCCUCAGUGGGUACCGCCCAAAACAACAUCGGUCCACCCACUAAGUCUACAGAAGGGAGCAAGAAUAGCCGAAAAGCAGGAAAUAAACUCAACCGCUACCAAUCACUAUACUAUCAUGCUCUACACUAACCAACUGUAGGAAAUGUCCAAUCUGACCCAAUCCAAUCGGGACUGUAAGCAUACCCGUCCCCGGGACUGUGAAUACACCCGUCCCUGCCCCGUUGCGACUAUCGGGCUCUAUCCACACUAACUGGUCCGUGGAGAGCAAGUCCAACUGGCAUGAGCGACACCAACGCGAAAGCACAAAGCCUGACUCCGGAGUGGCACUCGUGGGCGCUACCCAACCGAGUAUGCAGCGUAUCUCUGUCGAGCUCAAUCAGGCUCCAACUAGCCAAAGUCAAGUGAACAGGGUCAAAACAGGUCUACAAACCAAACCCACGUGCCCUCGGCACAAUCUGUGACCAAAACAAGAAUCUGGGUCCACCGCUAACCCGAACGGCACCCAACGACCCGAAACAGCCUAAACUCUGCUGAAAAAUAAGCUCGGCAUCCCAGCACGAGCGUAAAUGCCUUCUAAACUACCCCAGGUAUCCAUCGCACUGAUACUGCAACGAUACAAUCGAAUCACGGCUCCUAGAGCUAAAUCUGGUAGUUUAAGCAUAUGACGGGUCAAAACGCAGGUUUUCUCCUAAGUCAAAAUUCAAGUCCAACAUGUAUAAUAUAAACAUUCAUUUCAGCAUGCUUUUAUAUUCAUAUUACGUCCAAAAUGCUAAUCGAUGAAUUAAAGCAUGAUAUACAAAAAUCGAACUAUACACGUCGACUAAACAUGCACUUAGGAGCGAAACCGAUGAUACACCCACCUCUAGUGCAAUUCCUGGCAGCAAGAUGGUCUCGGAUCACAAGCAACACUGCUGGAAACACCUCCAAACCAGCAACAAAGCCCCUCAAGAUCUGGAUUUACAAUUCACCCAAAAAUCCAAUAAAAAUCAUCAAUUUCAGCCUUAAGCUUGGAUUUAUCCAAUUCCAAUGUCAAAACUCACCUAAUGAUCUCCAAUUCAGGUGGAGAGGGUUCCAAAUCCAGUACUGGUUGAUAGGGAAAGUGACUCAGCUCCACAAAGCCCCUGCUUCCCAAGUUCACCCCAAGAAAACUCAAGAAUUGGCAAAUUCUGUCCAAAGCAACAGCAGCAGAGGAAAACCUCAGUUCGACCAAGCUAACCUCAACCAAAAUCUGCAAUUCAGGGCUUCGUGGAUUCCUCUGGAAGUCUAGAAUCCAGCAAACCAAGUUUCGUCGAAAUCCGACCUUCCUACGUCGCGCACGAGCCAAAACACUGGAGGUCGUCGCUGAAGAACUGCAGAAUCAGCACCUUGCAAUUCUUGGAGAGGUGGAUCUUGAUGCAAAUUGGAAAGAUUGGAGGGAUUAGGGAUGAAAAUUCUAAGUCCUCUGUGAAGAACAGGUAAAAGAGAUCAAUGGGGACGAAUACCAGGUAUUUAUAGGCUGCUGGAGGGAUAAGAUAAGCCCUAGGAAAAACAGUUGCUAUCCAGUGUUCCUACAGAAACGGGCGUUUCUGGGCGCCCGGAACCAUGUUCUCGGCGACCAGAACAUCCCGACUGCACAAACCGGGCUCCUCGGACUCUCCGCUCGCGGUGUGCUACGCCCGUAAAUGGCUCCGGCGGAACUCACCUACUGCCCUGCCACGCGUCGAAGCAAGCGAUAUUCACGAUGUCGAAUUUCCGGACCCACAUCUGGGCGCCCGGAACAUGGGAUCCGAAUUGGCUUCCAGUUUCAGUUAAAUUCAACACUCGUUUCUGGGCGACCCUAACAAUGUUCUGGGCGCCCGAAUCUGGCAAAACUCCAGAUUUUUGUUUAUUCGCUCUCGCGGACUCAACUCCAAAGCACUUUUUAUAUUUUGGACAUUUUUAACUCCUACAAAGGGUAUUCUCUCGACAGUUAGUCGAUCCUGGAUGAAGUACAAUACUCGGAUUUCGAGAAUUCACUUCCUCACAUCCUCCCCUCCUUAAAAGAAGUUUCGUCCUCGAAACUAACUCAAUUCUUAACUUUAACUCAAACCCAUACCUCAUUCCUCAAAUAAAUGAGGAUGGUGCUUUCUCAUCAGUUCGUCGAGCUCCCAGGUGGCCUCGCGAUCAUCGUGAUUGCUCCACCGAAUCUUCACAUAGGAGAUUUCUCGAUUUCUCAACUUUCGCACCUCUCGGGCGAUUACCCCUACCGGAAACUCUUUAUAACUCAAGUCUUCUUGAAGCUCCGGCGGCUCAUAUAGCAUCGCGUGCUUGGGGUCGUGAAUAUACUUGCGGAGAUUGGAGAUAUGGAACACAUUGUGUACAUCCGCAAGUUUCGGCGGCAAAGCAAGUCGGUAGGCCACCGUGCCGACUCGAUCCAAUAUUUCAUAUGGUCCAAUAUAUCGGGGACUUAGUUUUCCCUGCACUCCAAACCGCUUCACACCCCGCAUCAGUGAAACUUUCAAGAAUACGCGGUCGGCCACCGCGAACUCUAUAUCUCGUCGGCGCCUAUCUGCAUAGCUUUGCUGUCUCGACUACGCCGUGAGCAAUAUCUUGCGAGUAAGGCGGACUUUCUCCUCCGCUUCUCGCAGAACAUCGGGGCCGAACUCUGUACGUUCACCCACAUCGCUCCAGUGUAUAGGAGACCGACACGUCCGCCCAUAGAGAGCCUCAAACGGUGCCAUCUCCACACUAGCAUGAUAACUGUUGUUGUAGGCGAACUCAGUCAUAGGUAGGUGGUCACACCAACUUCCCUUAUAGUCAAUGACACAUGCUCGCAACAUGUCCUCCAGAGUUUGAAUAGUUCUCUCUGUUUGCCCAUCGGUCUGAGGAUGAAAUGCGGUGCUAAAGUCGAGCCGUGUGCCAAGGGCUUCCUGCAGGUUCUUCCAGAAGUGUGAAGUGAACCGGGGGUCACGAUCCGACACGAUCGCUUUUGGCACCCCAUGCAGUCUCACUAUCACGUCAAGGUAUACCUGCGCUAACUUGUCACCCGACCACGUGGUGUGGAUCGGCAAGAAGUGAGCCGACUUCGUCACUCGGUCCACAAUUAUCCAAAUUGCAUCGUGGCCGCCUGUUGAGCGAGGCAAGCCGACCACGAAGUCCAUCGAUAUGUCCUCCCACUUCCAAACGGGAAUUGGUAGGCUUUGAAGCUUUCCCGCUGGAAAUCAACGCUCGGCCUUUACUUGUUGGCAUGUUAGGCACUUUGCCACAAAGCGUCCAAUAUCACCCUUCAUUCCUGGCCACCAAUAGUGCAUUUUUAAUCCUUGAUACAUUUUGGUACCGCCCGGGUGAUCGGCAUAUGGAGAUCGGUGUGCUUCUUGUAGGAUCAACUCACGAAGCUCUCCAUCCUUCGGUACACACCAUCGGUUUCGAAACCGAAGCGUACCAUCGGCGUCUACCCUGAAAUCGCCGCCAUGCCCUUCCUCGAUGUUUCGCCGCACCUUUUGGAGUUCGGGGUCUGCGGGUUGCAGAUCUUUGAGCCUCUCCAACAAGGUCGGUUGGACAACGAAUGCCAUCAACUGAGCUGGAGUCUCGGGGGUAACUACUUCGAGAUCCAGCCGCUCCAUCUCUAGCCAUAGAGGUGAUUGAUUAGUAACCCACACGGCAAGGUUCUUCGCCGACUUCCUACUCAGCGCAUCCGCGACCACAUUUGCCUUCCUGGGGUGGUAGACGAUAUCAACGUCAUAAUCCUUUAAUAGCUCCAACCACCGCCGCUGACGCAUAUUGAGCUCCUUCUAUGUGAACAGGUACUUCAAGCUCUUGUGGUCGGUAUAGAUCUCACAAUGGGCACCAUAUAAAUAGUGCCUCCACAGCUUCAAGGCGAAAAUCACCGCCGCUAGCUCCAAAUCAUGAAUGGGGUAGUUCUUUUCAUAGCUCUUCAGCUGACGGGAUGCAUAUGCGAUCACUCUCCCGUUUUGCAUUAGUACACACCCCAAUCCAAGAUAGGAGGCAUCACUGUAGACCACGAAGUCUUCGCCCUGCACCGGUAGAGCGAGCACCGGAGUCGAAGUCAAUCUUUGCUUCAACUUUUUAAAACUCCGGUCGCACUUUUCGCUCCACACAAACUUUGUGCCUUUCUGAGUCAGGCGGGUAAGUGGAAUCACUAUCUUGGAAAAGCCUUCCACAAACCGCCUAUAGUAGCCCGCCAAGCCCACAAAGCUUCGAACCUCCGUGACAUUCGUCGGGCGCAGCCAAUCCUUGAUUGCCUCAACUUUCCUCGGGUCUACAAAAACUCCACCCACGAAAAUCACGUGCCCCAAGAAGGGGACCUCGCGGAGCCAGAAGUCACACUUCUUUAGCUUAGCAUAUAGCUUCUCCUCCCGAAGGACUUGAAGCACUAUCCUUAAAUGUUCGGCAUGUUCCUCGUCAUUACGAGAAUAGACCAAUAUGUCGGCUAUGAAGACCACGACAAAUUGGUCUAAGUACUCUCUGAAGACACGGUUCAUUAAAUUCAAAAAUGCCGUUGGAGCAUUCGUGAGUCCAAAUAGCAUGACCGUGAAUUCGUAGUGUCCAUACCGCGUGCAGAACGCGGUCUUCUGCACAUCCUCCGGUUUGAUCUUCAGCUUGUGAUAGCCGGAUUGCAAAUCUAUCUUCGAGUACACACACGACCCCUGCAACUGAUCGAACAAGUCAUCGAUUCGGGGUAAUGGGUACUUGUUCUUAAUCGUAACUCUGUUCAACUCUCGAUAAUCCACGCAAAGUCGAAACGAUCCAUCCCUCUUCCGUACAAACAACACCGGGGCUCCCCACGGGGAUACACUUGGCCAGAUAAAUUGCUUGUCGAGGAGGUCUUGCAAUUGACUCCUCAACUCUUUCAAUUCCGCCGGCGCCAUUCGGUACGGAGCCUUCGAGAUCGGUACGGUACCGGGAACCAAGUCUAUGACGAACUCGAUCUCCCGAUCCGGUGGUAUCCCCGGCAACUCCGCGGGAAAUACAUCCGGGAACUCCCGCACCACCAAUAGCUCCUCUAACGUUGGAGCUACUCGUUCCACUUCCACAACAGUUGCCAAAAAUGCCGUGCAACCGCUGUUAACCAACUUCCUUGCUCUCGUCGCCGACACCGUCGCGACGAAGCAUGAGCUUUGAUAAGCCCGGUAUGUGAACUCCUCUUGUCCUGGCUCACGGAACGUCAUCACCCUGCUCUUGCAGUCGAUCGUUGCGUGGUACUUCGAGAGCCAGUCCAUGCCCAGAAUGACGUCAUAAGCCUCAAGCUUUGUGAGUUCCAGUGUUCGGAUAGGCAUAAUCCAGUCGCCUAUUUAUACGGGACACGACGCACACUCCGAGUACGUGUUAAACGUUGACCCAGGACCCUCCACUCGCCACUUGUCACUCGCCUCUAUGAGUAUGCCAUGCAUGCGUGCGAAUGAUCUACUUAUGAAUGAAUGCGUGGCUCCUGUAUCAAAUAAAGCCCUGGAGCGAACUCCGUUAAUUAAAACCAUACCUGCCACAAGGCGAUGCUCCUCCGCCUCCGCAGGUUCCUCAGCUUGGACCUGAGCGGCGAAUACCCGUCCGCUUGGGGCCGAUCGCGUCACUUCAGGUUGACGCGGCAUCAUCGCGCGUCCCGUCGACGCGGCCGUCGGUGGAGCUGCUCCAUAGUGAGCCGGAAUCGCCGGCGCCAAUGCAAUCGAUGGGGCAGGUGAGGCUCCUCCUCCCGGGCAGUCCCGAAUGAAGUGCCCCGGUUGCCCACACUUGUAGCACUUCCCUCGGCCUUGCUCACAGCGUGAGACUGGGUGGUCUCCGCCGCAUACAAUGCAUCGCCGCGCUCCACCGCACUUUUGUUGAGUGCGCGGAUACUUCGGGGGUUUCUUGUAAUGUGUUUGUCCCCCCGAACUACCACUGCCCUGGCAUUUCUUGCCCUUAUCCUUGGACUCAGCCAAAAGCUCACGCUUCUCCCGAACGUGGGCGUCUCCGUGCUCCGCCCAUAGCGCUCGAUCGAAGACCUCCGCAAAGGUCGUGAGCUUGAGUAUCUGCACGGCCUUAUAAAUCCCCGGCCGAAGUCCUCGCAAGAACCACUCGGCCCGGUCCCGGUCAUCCUUUACAAUAUCCGGGACGCAAUCUAUAAUAUGGGAGAAUUCUUGCUCAUACUCUGCCACCGAGCGGUCCCCUUGCUCUAGCUUGCGGAACUUCUCCUUGAGCUUCCGCUUCAAUGUAUCGGGGAAAUAGUUGGCGAACAGCUCCCGCUUGAAUUCCUCCCAUAACAUUGGCGGAAGGCCGGGAAGCCGAUCCCGUUUGACGCGCUUCCACCAAACUUUCGCCGCCUUUUCCAAGCAAUGGGUGGCGAGGUACACCUUAUUUCUCUCCAAAGUGCGCAAGUCUUCAAAGAGGGUCUCCAUCGAGUCAAUCCAAGACUCGACCAUCUCCGGUUCCACCUUCUUGCCCUCGAAGGUUGGCGGAUGGAACUUGUUGAACUUGAUAAGAGCCGCCAACGCGCGCUCUCCCUCCACGUCCUUGGCCGUCACAUCGGGUGUAGCCGAUCCCGAUGCCGCCUGUGGCACGAUCGUUGGCGGUGGGCGUGCCGUCACCGGAACCGCCGCUAUGCCCUCACCUUCUGCCACUCCGGGUACAUGAGUCGAGGGUGCGGGCGGACCACCGCCCUCAUUCAUCGUCACAGCCGCCGCCGCAACCUGCCGCUCCAAAAGAUCCUGGAGUCGCUCGAAUCGGGUCUCCUGGCGCUGCACCACACUGGUCAGCGCGGUCACUUGCGCUUGCAACCAAUCCAUCACGCUCGGUUCCUCCUGCUUAGGCACCUCAGGAGUCGGUGCUGGGGCAGUUCUACGUGUGUAUCGUCUUAGAGUCCCUUAAACGCAAUUACUUGGUCAGUCAUCUUAACCAAUUACCUCGUCGCAAUUACGACGCAUGACGACCCAACAACAAAAUCGGGCGGAAGCACACAAGUGUACUCGUUCUAGAGUCUUGGUAUCAUGUCGUCGGCCGCCGACACAACCACCUCGAGGCAAGAACUCAUACCACUUGAAUCCGUCUCUAAUCACGACUAGAGUCAUAUUACCAACUUUGACCCAAUCGAAUCAACUUCCGCCAUCGUUAUAGGUUCACAUUCCGCUCACGCACCUAUAACCUUAGGGCUUACCAACCUAGGGUCUCCUAGGUCAUCCUAGACUUUCUCUCUUUACUUGCUCUCAUUGCUCUGAUACCACAAAGGCUGUCACUCCCCGCCCCGAAACCACUACCAAUUUGGCACGAUUCGGCUGCUGCGGCGGAUUGCCGAACGGACAGCACCUCCCCUGUCCGCCCAAGACUCAACAACAGGAAUGUGCACAAGAAUUUACCGAGAAAAUUAAAUUCUAAACAUACAUAUUCACAAGGGCACAAACAGUGCCAACAAUACAAAGAGCAAGUAAUCCACAAGAUAAAGCAUGUAAAAUAAAGAGAGUACCUUACUAACUAUUACAAUAGUUUCAUCAUUUUCAUUUACAUCAUUCCCUUAAAUGAGUACAUCAUUCAUCCAAAAUAUAUAGCUCUCCAAAUCCUCACCUACAAUGACCCUCUCAGAAGCAUAGGUGUGCUAAUGCAAAAAGGAAAGCUACUAUACUACCACGGUCUCACUGAUCGGGCGCGAUGCCCUUGCCGCGUUCCUCUCUCGACAACCCUGUACCUACCACUGGAAAUAGAGUGGGGUGAGAACUAUCUUCCAUAGUUCCCAGUGGGCUCGGCCGUCGACUCUGCCGAUCUCCCCACUAGGUCCAAGUGGGCACAAGCAACAACAGGUAGAUAGAUAGAUAGAUAUCUCAAAGCAGUGAAUGCAAUAGUAGGAAAACUAUGCUACUAUGCCCAUAUUCACGAAUAUGAAUGCAUGCAUCAUAUAAUAAAGGUUUGCUAUCAUGCUAACAAAUUCACAGUUAGUCGAUCCUGGAUAAAGUACAAUCCUCGGAUUUCGAGAAUUCACUUCCUCACAAUAAACCCCUGCAAUUGCAUAAAAUCACAUCAUUUCAUGUGAUUUUUGGAGUUUUACGGCCCGACAGCGCAAACCGAGGAUUUUUUAGCCUGGCCGAGACAACCGUUGGUAGGUCUCGACAUGCCGGAGGCCGUGCUCAUGAUUCGGAUCUUAGCCGUCCACUGUGGAGAGUGCGGGAGUAACAAGAAACUCUGCAAACAGUGCGCAUAGUGCCUAAAUGGCGCUUACUUCGCAAACCAGGGCUUCGCUGACCCCAAAGGAGGUGAGCACAUUGAUCAACACAGAUCAGGGAACGUCGUGCUCACUUCCGGGAGCAUCGAGAUACCCUCGGAUCGCCGAAAUAGCAACCCGAAGCCGAAACAGUGCGUAGAAAUUGUAAACUGGACUCACCAGAGCUAGGUGGAGCACGGGAUAGCCGGCGGCAGCCGGACGGCGGGCGAACCGGCAGGAGACGAGUGCGGCCGACCAUAGGGGGCCCGGGCACGCGCUGGCCGGCGGCGGGAGGUGGUCGGUGGCGCGGUGGAGAGGCACGAGCCCGCGAGGCUUAGCUCGAGCUCACGGGUCAACGACGGCCAGGCGGCGGCCGAGGGAGCACCGAGGCUCCGGCGACCGGUCGCCGAAGGUCGAGGGAGGGCGGCGCGGCCGACCAUGGGCGGUGGCGGCACGCAGGGACAAAGAUGACCCCGGCACGGCUCAAACUUGUCCUGGGCGGCCACGGGGAGCUAAGGCGGCAACCGACGGCACGCGGGGACGAUGGGGGCGACGUACGGGAGGUCACCGGAGGUCAAAAAGGGCUACGCGGCCGAUCUAGGACAGCGGCGGCUAGCGGGCCAUGACCUUAGCUGAGCUCAACCCAAGCUGGCCGAAGCUGGUCGCGGGUCGCCCAGGCGGUGACGACGGCAUGUUCGGACGGUGGGGGCCAGCGGGGACGGCGCCGGAGGUCAGGUGUCACGACCCGAGACCGAUCCCUUUGGCUGGUCCGGGCACGUCGAACAGAUGCCGAACGGACAGAGCCUCCCCUGUCUGCCCAAGGCUUAGCACAUGUACAAUUCAAGUAGAAAGAAUGCACAAGCGGAAACAUACAUAAUGGCUUACACGAGGGUAAGCAAUAGCCAGAGUGAAAGAAUAUUAGACUAAACAACUCACAAGUAGAAUGAUUAACUUUUAACCAUUUACAAGCAUUCAACUAUCACAUUUGCCUUUACAUUGCUUUUCAUCAUUUCUUUUUACAUCACAAUUCCUCAAAAUAAAAGAUUACAUUCUUUUCUUUAACAUCUCUAACCAUCAAAUACAAAAGAUGAUAUAUAAGGGAAUGCAUCUACUAGCAAAAUAUGAAAAUCCGACUCGGGUGGUCACUGUCUACAAUGCGAUACCUUUACCGCGAUCGCUCGCCGGCUCACUCGGUUCCGGCUCUGUGGAAAUAGUGGGGUGAGAACUAUAACGAAGUUCCCAGUGGGUUCGGCCCCAAUCUCGCCGACUUUCCCACUAGGUCUAACUCAGGCAUAAUAGAAAGAAAUAAGCAGAUAAGUAACCAACUGUACGAAUGCAACUAAUAUGCCUGAACAAAGCUAUCAAUAAGGAUGCUCAAUAUAACUCAUGAAGAACGCAAGUUUUUUGAUCUCUUGUUCAAUCUCAUGGCUAACCUGUGGGUUUCGCCUCAUUAACUCACCAACUCAAAAUCCCAAUUCGUCGGGGAGACUCCUACGACCCGACGGGGACCGUCCUCUGGGGAACAGCACCAACCCAGUGAUGACAACUCCGGAGCGCAUCGCUCGAGGGGGAGCUACCACCCUUGAGCAAGGACUUAUAGCGAGUAUGAUCCAAUCCUUAACUCCAAGGAUGUCAAGUUCAAUCCGUUCCUUAACUAUAAGGAAAUUAUGCACAAAUGACCUUUAACUCUAAGGUUGUAUGUCAUUGUGUCUCAAUCUCAAGUUCUUUGCAUUCUUUGUUUUCAGUCAUGUCAUUAUACUAACUCUAGUGUUCUUUACGCCACAUUUGUUGUUAAUUCUAGCUUUGUUGUUCUUUAAGCCACGCUUGUUCUCUUUGAUGCCACACACUAACUCUAGUGUUCAAAUGCUUUAGCAUUCAUUAUCCUCGUUUAUGCCACACACUCUAACUCUAGUGUCGUCUUUGCAUUUACUAAUGCCACUUGAUCUACAUGUCAUAGUGUCACAUUUGUCCUCUUACCUCAACUAGGUUUUUAUAUUACAUCUCAUGCAUAUAUAGGAUUUUUAGGUUCUCAACCAACUUAUAAUGCAUUUGUACUCACAACAUGCAAACAUUCACAUAAACAUUAUCACAUUCAUCCUAAAAUGCAUGCAACAAUACACAUAUGUAUGCUCAAUAAGUGACACAUUAGACAUAGAAAGAAUUUCAAGGAGUUUAGAGAGCACCACCCACCUCGUAGGUUUGCUAAGGUGCUCGGGUUCGAAUUUCACGAUUUUUAGCCGCCUAUUUCCUUGCCUGCAGCAAAACGAAGCCAAAUUAGGCUUUUCGCUCAUAACUUCGCAUAGUCUUUUCGUAACGUCAAACCGAAAGCACGAACUCGUCGGAAAUAUCCCCAAUUAGGUUUCUAGAGGAUCAAUUUGACUUUGAAACCCUAGCAUGCAAAAGCCCCAAAUUGGUGCCCUAGCAUCAACAUCAAAACAAAACCCUUGUUUUGAUCUCUUCCACAAGCAAAAACAAGCUUGUUAUCAUCUAAAAAUCCCAACAAAACCAUUCUUAGGUCAUUUGGUUCUCAUUCUAAGGUUUUACCAUGAGAGGGGGCAAAGCUUACCUCAAAGCUUUCCUUUUCUUGCACCCAAGAGGAAGAAGAAGAAGCUUGUUCCACUCCUUGCCUUCUUCUCCUCCAACUUCUCCUCCUUGCUCCACCUCUUGAGGGAAAGAGAGAUAUCCUAGAGAGAGAGAGGGAGAGCUCUUUUGUGAAAUGAAAGGGAGAGAAAUGAGAGAAAUAUCUCAUUUGCCCCUCAACAUAACCCAUAUAAUGCAUAAAUGCAUUUAGGUCCCUCCACUUUCAUCACAUUGCACUGCCCAGACUGGGCAUUUUUCGGGCACGGGGACCGGUCUCUCUAGCAGGGGACCGGUCCCCGAGAGCACUCUUGCAGUUUACGUAGCCGGGGUCCGGUCUCACCCUGAGGGACCUGUCUCUCCCCGCAGCGACCGGUCCCCGAGAGCAAAACUCUCAGGACUUAGCCAAUUUUCCCACUUCUGGAAUUUUACGCGCACGGGGACCGGUCUCUCCCACUAGGGACCGGUCCCCAAGAGCUAGUUUUCCAAUACUUAGCCGUUUUCACAAUUUUCACACCUACGGGGACCGGUCUAUCCCACCAGGGACCGGUCCUCGAGAGCCAGGCUGCGCGCAGAACUUUCUGCUCAGCCCAAUACGCAUACGGGGACGGGUCUCUCCCACUAGGGACCGGUCCCCGAGAGCUCAAAAGCUGCAGUUUGCAGAUUUUUAAUUUUCUAGCUCUUGAAGAUCCCCAACAAUGCACUUUUGCUCUUUCAGACACCUUCGACCUUUUCGAAGCGUACCAACCUCGCACUUUGGUCAUUUUGACUAAAGUUCGAUAUUCGUUUACGGAGAUUUCGGUAUAUUAUAUCGGGCCUCAGCCGAGGGAGGGGGCCCGAUGCGUGUGGUUUACCCUUGAGGUCCACGGCCAGGAAGAUGGCAACUUGGUAGAGAGGAUGGUAGAAGAAAGGCAAUACCGGCUUUUCCGGCGACCAAAGUUGCUCGUCGAAGGUUGGGGUGCGCACACGGCUAGGGCAGAGGGGUGCUGGUGAUGGCUGGGGCGCAGCUGGAGGAGCUGAUCGACUAGGGUUAGGGUUUUGUGCAUGAAACCCUAACACCUACAUAUACAUAUAAGUGUAGAUUUGCAGAAAAGUCCUCCAAACCUGAAAAUUUUCAGCCCAGUCCCUCACAGCGUGUGCAUUUUGCUUGUACGCACCUCGACGCUCGAAAUCGCGCAAAACGGUACAUAAAAUAUAGGGCUUUCCGCGAAUUUUUCAUUUUUCAAUUUUGACCCCUCAGUAAACUUUAUGCGAUUCCCAGAUAUCCGUCAGUCAGAUUUUCGAUCGGAUUGCGCCAGCGCGUUUAGCACGACUGGGGCAUCGAAUCUACAAUUUUAUUUCGUCAGAUUUGAUCGCCGAUUUGUGACGAAACCCAUCCUCUCCGCAUUCCACCAAUAUAUCCAUAUAUAUAUACACAUAUAUUUAUAUAUAAUUGAAAUUUAAAAUUCAGAUUCGAAAUUUCCUUUAUAUUCGAAUUAUAGUUAUUACAUCAUUCCCCCUUAUAAGAAGUUUCAUCCUCGAAACUUAAUCAAGCAUCCCCUGCAAACAACUGCGGAUAUCGUUCCCUCAUAGAAGACUCAAGCUCCUACAUAGCAUCGCGCUCCCACUGAACCUUAACAUACGGAAUGCUCCUGUCCAGCAAUUGCUUCACCUCACAUGCCAAUAUCUGCAAUGGAGCCUCAUCAUAACACAGGUCCUCCCGCAGCUGUAUAGACGUCGAGUUGAUGACAUGGGACGGAUCUGGGAUAUACUUCCGAAGCAUGGACACAUGAAAGACGUUGUGCACCCGGGCGAGACUUGGAGGAUAAGCCAAUCUGUACGCCACCGGACCAACAGACUCCAGGAUCUCAAACGGUCCAACGAACCGCGAACUAAGCUUGUUCUGCAAACCGAACCGCUUGAUCCACCUGGAUGGCGAUACCUUGAGCAACACAUGCUCACUGACCUGAAACUCCAAGUCACGCCUCCGCUGAUCCGCGUAGCUCCUCUGUCGACUCUGUGCAAUCAAAAGCCGCUCUCUAGCAAUGUGGAUUUUCGCCUCCGCAUCCUCCACCAAGUUUGGCCCAAUCACUCUGCGUUCUACGACGUCGUCCCAACAGAUAGGAGAUCGACAUCGAUGCCCAUACAAAGCCGCAUACAGUGCCAUCCCGAUGCUCGCCUGGUAGCUGUUAUUAUAGGCGAACUCCACCAGUGAUAGAUACCGAAACCAUCCAUCACCGUAAUCCAGGACGCAUGCGCGGAGCAUGUCCUCAAGAGUCUGAAUGACUCGCUUCAACUGACCGUCACUCUGGGGAUGGAAAUCCAUACUAAAGUUAAGCUUCGUAUCCAUGGCCCGCUAUAAGGUCCUCCAAAAUUGGAAUACGAAGCGAGUAUCCCGAUCAGAUACUAUUGACACCAGCACACUAUGAAGCCAGACGAUCCCGUCGAUGUACAACUGUGCCAAUCGAUCACGGGACCACGUGGUGUGCAUCGACAGGAAGUGAGCUGAUUUUGUCAGCCGAUCUACUGUUACCCAGAUCGCAUCAUGGCCCCACUGCGAUCGAGGCAAUCCAGUAAAGAAAUCUAUAGUAAUAUGCUCCUACUUCCACAUGGGCACAGAAAGUGGUUGUAGCUUUCUUGCAGGUCGUUAGUGCUCUGCGUUCACUUGUUGACAAACCAAACACCGAGCCACGUGCUGAGCCACAUCUAACUUCAUCCCAGGCCACCAGAAAUUUUGCUUCAAGUCGCGAUACAUCAUGGUUUCGCCGAGAUGAACCGUGUAAGGGGAUCGGUGCGCCUCGAAUAGGAUAUCAUUCCUGAGCUCCGAGUCACUAGGCAUACACCACCUGCCUCUGAAACGGAGAGAUCCAUCAGUGUGAAUAGAGAAGUCCCCUUCCUUGCCCUACUCGAUCUCCGCCCGCACCUUUUGCUAGUGUGGGUCACUCUGCUGGCCGAGCAAAAUCCGCUCAGUCAAUGUAGCUUGUACCACUAAGGUCAUCAAUUGGGCCGUGGCCCUAAUAGAAACAACCUCGAUCUCGAGACGAUAGAACUUCUCUACCAGACGAUCCUGUCUCGUGAUCAUAAAGGACAACUCAGCUGAUGACUAUUUCCGGCUCAAGGCGUCCGCUAACAUAUUUGCCUUUCCCGGAUAAUACUGAAUCGAAAGGUCGUAGUCUUUCAAGAGCUCGAGCCAAUGCCUCUACCUGAGGUUCAACUCCUUCUGGGUAAAGAGAUACUUUAGACUCUGAUAAUCAGUGAACACCUCACAGUGUGCCCCAUAUAGGUGAUGCCUCCAAAGGUUAAGGGCAAACACUACUGCCGCGAGCUCUAGAUCGUGAGUCGAGUAGUUCUUCUCAUACUCUUUCAGCUGGCGUGAGGCGUAAGCAAUGACCCGAUCCUGCUGCAUAAGCACACACCUCAAACCGACCCGUGAGGCAUCACAAUAAACCACGAGAUCCUCAUCAGGCCGCGGCAGAGUCAACACGGAUGCGCAAGUUAAUAUAUCCUUUGGCUCAUCAAAGCUCUGCUAAUACUGUGUAGUCCACAGAAAUCUUUUCCCUUUCCUGGUCAGCUUGUUCAGCAGUGCGGCAAUCUUGGCAAAGCCUUCGACAAAUCACCGGUAAUAACCCGCCAAACCAAGAAAACUCCUGACUUCGGUCACAGUAGUUGGUAUAGGCCACUCGACCACCGAGGCUAUUUUCUUCGGGUCCACCGUAAUGCCCGAUAGAGUCACAAUGUGUCCUAAGAAAGAUACCUCACGAAGCUAGAACUCGCACUUCUUGAGCUUAGCAUAUAACUUGUGCUCUCGAAGUAUCUGGAGUACUUGUCGGAGAUAGUCCUCGUGCUCCACAUCACUCCGCAAGUAGAUCAGGAUGUCGUCAAUGAAGACGACGACAAACUAAUCCAAGUAUGCCCGAAAGACCCUAUUCAUCAUGUCCAUGAAGGCUGUCGGGGCAUUAGUAAGCCCCAAUGGCAUCACCGUGAACUCGUAGUGGUCGUAACGAGUUCGGAAGGCUAUUUUCGGCACAUCCUCAGUCCGGAUCUUAAGCUGAUGAUACCCGAAUUGCAAAUCGAUCUUGGAAUACACCGACGAUCCCUGAAGCUGGUCGAAUAGAUCAUCAAUCUGAGGUAGUGGAUAUUUGUUCUUCACUAUGAUCUUAUUGAGCUCCCGGUAGUCGUUGCAUAGCCGCAGACUACCGUCCUUCUUUUUAACGAAAAGGACUGGGGCACCCCAAGGAGACACGCUAGGUCUGAUGAAUCCUUUAUCUGGGAGAUCUUCGAGCUGAGCCUUCAGCUCCUUCAGCACAGCGAAGGCCAUGCGGUAGGGGGCCUUCGAGAUUGGUGCCGUGCCAGGAACUAACUCGAUGAAAAACUCGAUCUCCCGACUCGGAGGCAUCCUUGGAAGCUCUGCAGAAAAGACAUCCGGAAACUCCCGGACUACAGGAAUCUCCUACAAUGGUGGUGCUGCUCGACAGGUGACAUCCACCGAAGCCAGAUAGGCCAUACAUCCGGCAUUCAAGAGUCUUUUAGUUUUAGCAGAAGAGAUAGUCGCGGCAAAGUAUGAGCUCUUACAUGUUCGGUAGACAAAUACUUCAUCAUCGGGUUCGUUAAAUGUCACCGUCCUCUACUCGCAGUCGAUAGUAGCGUGGCACAUCGUGAGCCAGUCCAUCCGAAGCACCACAUCGAAAUUCUUCAUUGGGAGUACCACCAGAUUCGCCAGGAAAGAUCGGUCAUCCAAAAUGACAGGAUAUAACGGGAAGCACCGAUCAGCUUCUAGAUCACCUCCAGGUGUCUCAAUCCGGAGCGGCACCUCAUGUGGACUCGAGGAAAGGCCAUGUUCACAUGCAAAUGAAUGCGAAACGAAUGAAUGGGUGCUCCAGUAUCGAAAAUAGCUCUAGCUCGACUAAUGCAAAGGGUGACAAUACCUGCAAUGACGUCGCCACCUGUGUCCCUCUUGGGCUGGGACAUAGCGUAGACACGCCCACCAGAAGCCUGGCGCGCCCCGUCAUUCUAGCGUGUGGAAAAGGGACGCCCAGAUAAAGCAGCCGCACUCGAGGCUUCACGAUUCUGUCGCGAUGUGGUUGGGGAGGUAGUACUCUGAGCAGCUUUGUCUCUUCUGGGGCAUUCGGCUCGAAGGUUGCCUGGCUGGCCGCAAUGGAAGCAGUGGCCCCUCCGCUGGGGACAAGUAAUCACCCUAUGUGCUUGCCCGCAAAUCACACAGGAUCGAUCACCCUGUCGCUGGCUGCUAGAGGGUGCACUCCUCACCGAUUGCUGAGUGCGUGGAUGCUUGUGUGGCUUCUUGUUGGAAAAAGAGCCACCACCCAACUUCGCAUGGGAAUGCUUCCCGUCCCCAGAACACUCCAAUGCGUCCUGAUCAGAUCGAAUCUUCUCCGACUCACUUUGUACCAUUAGAGCCCGAUCCAAGCACUCGUCGAAGGAUAUCGCGCCGUGGGGCGCGAUCAAGAGCCGUAUACUGGGCCUUAGCCCCGCGCAAAUAGUCUGGCCUUAUGAUACUCGUUAUGCACCGCAAAGGGGAUCAGCUCGACGAUGCGGGUGAAGUCUCGCUCGUACUUCGCUACAGUGUGGUUGCCCUACUUUAGGCGCUCCAGUUCGCGCUCUAAGCUCUGCUUGGUGCUGCCUUUGAAGUACUGCUCGUAGAGGAGUCUCCGGAACUACUCCCAAGGCGGAUAGAUCUCCGCAAGUUUCUUAUGAAAGUGGCGGAACCACCACCAAUACACCUCUCUCUCUAAGCAAUGAGUAGCCAGAUGGACCAUGUCUUAUUUCUCGAUAUGCAGGUCGCAGAAUAGCUUCUCCAUGUAGGCGACCCAAUGCUCGACUACCCGGCUAUCGUCGUUCUUCGCAACGAGCUUCGGCGGGUCGAACUUUCGGAACUCCGCCAACUUCGCCCGAAUGCGGGUGCCCUCCGCUAUAGGGGUAUCACUACCUUCAACGAAAACCGUCGUGGUGGCCGUCGUCGUCGUCGUGACGGUCAGAGCCGCAGCUGGUGCAGGCAUCACUGGAGGGUCCACGGUCACUAGAGCACUUUGCAUCGAAGGUGGAAAUGGGGGAGCAGCAGCUGCAGUCUGCUAUUGUAGAAACUACUGGAACAUCCCAGAGAGGGCCGUCAGCUGACCCAGCUGCUACCUCGGCCUCGAGCUGCUGUGUACGAGCAUCACCCAGCUGCUCAUGGCCGACCUGCUCCCCGCCACCCCUGCCCGUAGGGGCAUGCUCUCUCGGACCGCCAGAUGCCCUCGCACUAGCGCGUCCACUGCCACGACCUAGACGAGGAGGUCUACCAUGAGCCAUUUGCAAUAAAAAACACCGUCAAGCAAAUAAUUCGACUCGACAAUAUACACCUGAACUCAAGCCCAAACCCCGCACUCGCGUGCCCAUACACCGUAGGUCUUCUUAUGGGUCAACCUAACCAAUGGUUCAGUUCGAUUAUUUUUCAAAACAAACUAUGAGUAGUGCUGUGGUUGUAACUUGACUCUGAUACCACUUUAAUCUGUCACGCCCCGGGGUUCCUUUUUAGAUUUAAAAGCCAAUGUAGAAGUGCCCAAAUUUAAAAAAAAAAAAAAUCUUGAGCCCAGAGUAUAUCAGAUCUGUCACAAAUACAGAGAAUCCGCUAUUCACAUAGACAGAGUCUCUCCUGUAUUUGCACGGCAUCCAAUAAGUACAAGAUACAACCACAACAGUAUGACAUUCACAUACAUCCACCAUUCACAUUCACCAUUAAUUUCAUCACAGAUAUUCAUAAAUUUAAAUCUAUUAGUUUAUAACAUUUCCUACAUGGAAACUCAUUUUGAAACACUAAGAGUCAUGAAAACCAAGAAAAUCUUUCCAAAACCAUUUCUCACACGGAAACCAUUUUCUUCUAAAACACGAUGCUACGACUCAUCUCACAAGAAAACCAUAAUUUUUUUAUUACAUUCACAAAAUCCCAUUUAUCCAAAUAAAGUAAACCACUGAACCAAUAAGUCUAAGUUAAUUAUUUAAGAAGUCCAGUUAAGAAAUUUAACCAAAAUGACGGAUCGGUAGCUCUAUCGAUCGCUAGGACACACACCUCACGAACCGUCCCCACUUGGACCCGCGAUGUCACCUGAAAGGGGGUGGGGGGUGAGAACAUAUACACAUGUCUCCCCUCCCAGUGGGUACCGCAAGCCGACGAAGGUAAGGGGUACUCACCAGUCAAGGAGGAUAACAAAGUAUAGGUAAUGGUAAUACAGUAGCAAUGAUAAACACGAAACGAGAUAUAUAUAUAUAAAUCACUACCGCUACUAUAUGUAUGCAUCAACUAGACGACACGUCCAAAAGUACCCAAUCAAAACCUGUCAUAUCGGUCCAUAGACCUCAAGCUUGUGCCACAACUGCUCUAACCUGUGUACGACCCUAGCAUAAGCUCUUGGAUUUGAAUGGUAUAUGACCCGAGCAUAAACUCUUAGGUCUGAAAGGUAUAUGACCCCAGCACUUAGGUCUGAAAACAUAUAACCCUAGCAUAAGCUCUUGAGCUCACGGGCUGAUAUUCCCAACCACUUUUCCGGAUGAGAACACCCUCUUACGAUGGAUCAGACCACUAGUGUUUGUGAAAUGCAUACGAGUAGUGGCGAUCGAUGCUGAUAUUCUCAAUAGCCAACCGUCGACAACUAGCCGACAAUUCUACCCUUCAGGGUAUACCGACUGCGUAGGUCACCGAGUAAUCCAACCGACCAAGUAGGUCACAAUACCGGAUGCAACGAAUUGACCGACUAGGUCAUACAUCUCACAAAGUAGGGCAAUAAAGAGAUAUGGUAUCAGUGCUAGGCUUAACAUAUAAAAUGCAAAGUGAUAGUAGGAGAAAGGUGGAAUUAAAGGAUGUAACCGAGCGUGUACCACUGUACCGACUUCGGGUCGAAAUAUCCACCUGUACGUAUGUAACACUGGUCUCCCGACUGCAGAAGAACAUCAACCGGACCUACGUACAGUCCAACGGGUUAGAAUCUAACCCACAUAUAUAAAUUACAAACUCACAUUCCCAACUGUCACGCCCCGGAUUACAUGUUUCCCUGGGCACGCGAACAGACCCGCCAUAUACAUAAGAAUUUCUCCUGUAUACGAAGCGAUAGCUAUACCUGUAAACAAAUUCAAGCUACAACUAAUAGUAUAGAGCUACUAAACUGAACUGAAUAUAUAAAUAAACAUCAUGUUCACUAUACAUACAAAGUCUCUAAGAUACAACCAUCCCUCACUCCAGCGAGUAAACGAGCAUAAGUAUGUACAUGAACCAAAAUACCCCAAACUACCUGUGGAAGGUACACCUCUAGCACUGCAGCAAGACUGGAAGGGAUCUAGCUCGUGACUCCCUUUCUACGAUGAGAAUCAGCAACAGCAGCAGCCGCAGACGAAGGCUCUACAAAAUGGGGUCAACAAUUGGGUAUGAGAACUACUGCAAAAAAGAGUAGUCCUCAGGGGUACCGCUACUAACCUCAAAGGCUCACCCACUAAGUCUACAAAAAGUAUGCAUAAGGAUAGUAAAAGAAGCUGGUAAAACUCUACAGCUAUAUGCCACUAUACUAUCGCUAUCCAACACUAACUGGCUGUAGAUAGAUGCAAGCUUUGACCCAAACUCACUAGGGACUGUGAACGCACCCAUCCCGCCUGUUGAAGUUACACCAACCACCACCACCACGUUGGGUUGUUGGUGGAGAGCAAGUCCAACCUGGACACUACGACAUCAACGCAAACGCACAAAACCCGACUUCAGAGUGGCACUCGUGGACGCUACCCAACUGAGUAUGCAAGCGUGUCUCUGCCGAACUCAAUCAAGUUCUCACAGGUUAUAAUCAAAGCAAAUGGGUCUAACUGGCUAACAACCAAAGCUCACGUGCCCUUGGCACAAUCUGAUACAAAUAUAGAAAUCUGGGUCUACCGUCAACUGCGACGGCACUCGACAGCCCGAAACAGUGUACACACUACUGUAAAAAUAAAACUCGGCAUCCCAGCACAAGCGUAAACUUAUCCUACACUAAUCUGAGUAUUCAUCGCAUACUAACAGCGACGAUAUAAAAAAACCACAGCUCCUAAAGCUAAAUCUAGUAAUUUUCAGAAAUGACAGUGUAGGAUCUAUAUGGUUUCUCCUAAGUCAUAUUCUAUAAAUUUAGAAGACCUCUUUCUCAUCCUAUGCAACCGUGCACAAGAUAUACUAACGACCCACGGCUAUGAAAGUCGUACGCAUUCCCUUGCACCCAUGCACUAGGUGCAUUUAAAAUCAUGAUCAUCUUGACCAUGUCAUAUGGGUGUGGCUAAUUCGUACCGCCACCGCCGCCAAAAUAACUGCACUUAUGCUAUAUUUAUAACUUACAUAAAAAAUUACCCAUAUUGUAGUCCGAUUAGAUUUCUACUCUAAUUAAUAUUUAAAUCUUAAAUUUUAAUUUAUCUCCAAUAUAUUUAAAUAUUAAUUAUAAUUCAAUUAAAAUUCAAUUACAAAUCUAAGUAAAUCCUAACACAAAGAGCAUUACUCUGAUGCGCGUGGAACAAAACGAAUGUUUGAAAAAAAAAACCCCAAAAGUCAAAGCUGAGUUCCUUAACACGAGGAUUCCAAGUCUUAAAAAUAUGCGGGGCCCAGGUUGAGCUAGUAAAGUACAUGCGACAAAUAUAAAUUAAGCACCGACCGUCCUGAGAGCAAGUGGCAAAGGGCUUGGUGGUUGGUACCCGAGACUCAAGUUCGAAUCCUAAUUGAUUCAUAUUUUCAGCUAAGUUUAUUUCUAAAUAAACGAAGCGGGUAGUGUACCUAUCUCUCAAAAAAAAAAAAAAAAAGUCAAAUUACUAAAUAAGGCAUACACAAGCAUAUUAACCACGGAAUUAAUUUAAUAAAGGGGAUCUUACUAUAUAAUAAUGGAACCAAUUUAACCUUUCGCCUUUUUGGAUUUAGAAGAGUAAAAUCUCAAUUAAUUAUUAGCUACUUUUGUUCUCAUAUUAUGUGUGUUUGUCCUCUCAACUUUAUAUCGUUAGGUUGUUCUUGUUUACACGGCUUCUCAAUCUUUGCAUGCAAUCAUGCAUGUACUUAAUUAGUUUAUUAUCAAACUAGAGUUUCUGCAUAAAAUAAAUAAAUUUAUUAAUAGUAGUGAAGAGAUUCAAAAGAAAAUAAAGUUUAGUUGUAUUAAUUUUAGAAAUAAAAAAUGAUAUUACUAAACCUAAAUAAUAAAUUAGGUUUUGUAGGAACUCAAUGGCAAUUACAUCUACUUUAUGAUUCUUCUCUAGAUAGCCAAUGAUUUUAGAUCGCCGUCAACUGUGGUCCAGUCUAUAGUAUAAUUAAAUAUAUAUAUAUAUAUAUAUAUAUAUAUAUUGAGCUAGAAUAUUUUUAGAAGUACCAACCUCGUGGUGCUUCUAAGUUUCUAGCCCUUAGAUCUACACCCCGUGGUGCUUCUAAGUUUCUAGCCCUUAAAUCUACUCCUUCAUUACUAAUAACCUUUGGAUCAAACACUAUUCCACCUACCACUAUCAUCCCAACCUUACAUUUCUCCAUCCAAGGAUUAAAAACUCAAAAGUACCAACCUCUUGGUGCUUUUGAGAGUAUUCUAACUCAAUAUAUAUAUAUAUAUAUAUAGAGAGAGAGAGAGAGAGAGUUGAACUAGAAUACUAUCAGUAGUAAACGAGUCGUUUUACUACCAAUUUGUUUUCGAUGAUAGAACUUCCAAAUUUACGAUCGGCUUCGUUGAACAUGAUCUAUACCACUUAAAGUGUUUAGAAAUCAAAUUUUAAAUCUUUUAGACAUCAUUUGCCUAAUGAUCAAAGAGUUUCAAAAUUUGUAAUUUUAAUGGUCGAUAAGAGGCGUUUUCUCGUUUAACAGCGUAAAGAUAUCCAAAUCAAUUGAAUUUUUGUUAGAAAAUUCUUUAAACUAUUUAAAACAAGAUCUAUACUCUUGAUCUUGAUUAUAAGACUCCUAUCAUCAUUUUUUAAAGAGUAUUCAUUUUCAGUUAUUCAUUUUUCUGUUCACUUGAUGGAUAAAAGAACAAAAUCGAAAGUGCAUGAAAUUUGAUUUCUAGGUAGUUUAAAUGGUUUAGAUCAUAUUUAACGAAGCCGAUCGUCAAUUUGGAAGCUCUAUCAUUGAAAACAAAUCGGUAGUAAAACGGUUCGUUUACUACCGAUAGUAUUCUAGCUCAACUCUAUAUAUAUAUAUAUAUAUAUAUAUAUAUAUAUAUAUAGCAGGGCAGCUGUGCUCUCAGGAGCACGGAGGCCUCCGUGCUCCUGAGCCGUUUUCGAUGAUGGAGUUUUCAAAUCGACGAUCGGCUCCGUUAAACUUGAUCUAGCGUAUUUAAAUUCUAAAAAAUAAUUUUUGCGAUUUUUCGAUAUCAUUUACCUAGUAAUCGAAAGGAUUCAAAAUCAAUAAUUUUUAACGGCUAAAAAUAAAAAUCCUAUAAAAAGUAGUGAUAUAGCACUAAAAUUUUCGAUCAGAAAUAUAGAUCUUGUUGUAGAUAGUAUAAAGAAUUUUCUAUCAAAAUUUUAUCUGAUUUGAAUACUUCUAUACCGUUAAACUUGAAAACGGCAGAUAUCAACCAUUAAAAAUUAUGGAUUUUGAAUCCUUUCGAUCACUAGGUAAAUGAUAUCAAAAAAUCGCAAAAAUUAUUUUCUAGAAACUUCAAAUGCGCUAGAUCAAGUCUAACGGAGCCGAUCGUCGAUUCGAAAAUUCCAUCAUCGAAACCGGCUCAGGAGCACGGAGAGCACAGCAGUCCUGCUCUAUAUAUAUAUAUAUAUAUAUAUAUGAGUUGGACUGGGCUACUAUUAGUAGCAAAAUCCCAUUGUUGCUAACAGUUUUUUAGCCUUUGGAUCAACUCUUUUCAUUAUUUCUAACCAUUGGAUUAAAUACUAUAACCCAGUGGGGACCACUCAACCCUAGGGGGACCACUCAACUCUAACCGACUCAAUUCAUCCUGACCUUACAAUUUUUCAUUCAAAGGUUAAAAUUUAGAUAGCAUAAAAAGCUUUUAGCUAUAAUGUUAUUCAGGUAAUUCUUAUAUAUAGUCAUAUACUUAUUAUAUAAAUAGUCGUAUAGUAUAAUAAAUGCCGUUGGUUAAAUCCUUUAACAUGCGGUAAUUCAAAAAUACUGUCAAACUGUACGAUCGAUUUUCAACAUCAAACUAGCCUUAGUGAACCAUCCGCGUUUUAAUCAAACAAGCCGAGUUUUUCUCGAAUCUAUUGAAAAUCAGAUAACUCUAAAAUCACAUUUAGCUGAUUUUAUUUUUAUUACUGCAUAUAUUUAUAAAAAAUAAAUUUGAAAUACUUAUGCAUACUUAUUUGGUAUAGAAACGAUAUUUUUAUUAAAUGUUACAUAAUAAGAAUAAUAAUAUAUGCAUAUUUCUUAUAUGGCAAAAUUAAAAAUGAAUACUAAAUAUUUAUUGUAUUCAUACGACUACUGAUUCAAACCAGUUGUUGGGACUUGGAGUUGAACGCAGUGAUCCUUAAUUUAUGUACAUAUUUUCGGGUUGCCGGUUUGAUUCGAUUUUUUAUAAACUUGCUAGAUAGUGUAUUAGAAUUAGUCAAGUAUAUUCCAUCAUUUUCAAUAUUAUUGCAAAACUUCAAGAAGAUGUAUGCGGAUCUUGGUUUACUACACCACAAUGACUUACUAGUAUGGUAAAUUAAGAUAAAUUACACUUGUGGGCACCAACUAUGUAGCAUGCGGGCACUCUUAGGUUCUAAACUUAGUUUUCUUAUUUUCUAGGCCUCCACUUUACAAUUUAAGUUUACAAUCCGAAUUUAUUUUUGGCUAAUAUAUUGAUGAUCUUAUCUGACUAUACAAAUAAUGUACAAUUAUUUUUGUCGACAUUAUGUAUGACUUUUAUGACAUAUAAAAUCUAUUGUAGUCGUUUAUUUACUUGGAUUGUUAUCUUCAUCAAAUUUCCGCUCAAUACCAACUCAUAUUACGUCAUAUUUUAUCUAUACUUAAACACUCAUUAAUUUUAACGACCCAGCAGUGGGUGCUUACUGCACAAUAUAACUCGUGGCAAUACCGGCUCAAAUGAUUAAGCCAGUUAUUAUUACUAUGUUAAGUCGUCUUUAAACCAAUGACAACCCUCGAUCUAUCGCCUGUGGGUUAUUGGUGUCCAGGACCCCCCGGUUAAGGCGCUGACGUCAUCGGUCCAGUCAAUACACCACGACCAAGUGACAGGCUAUGUGAGGACCUCGUCUCGUAGGCCCGGUAUCCAGACUAUCCUGGCUCAGCGAGACUCACAACAUAUGUCAGCUGUUGCGUGAAACCUGGGCCUGAUUCACUUUAUCUGUACCCCGUGUCCCUUUUAGUUAAAGAGGUAGCGGAAAAAGCGUCUGAAAAUUUGUUUUUAAUGAUGCCCAAAGUGUGCCAGAUCGCCCUACAGAGUUCAACUGUUCAGACGGAAGUAGUCUCCACGUUAUUGCACGGGCGCGCAAAGUUACAGAUUCAAUAGAUCACAUAACCACAACCCAGAUGGAAAUAUUACAAGAAAGGAGACAUACAUUAGUACACCGAUUCACACAUAUUACAAGUAUACAUUCGCUAUUUGAAUAUAAUCCGACAUAUCUAUCGGUUAAAAUAUUUGUCAACCACAAGCUAAACAGGUGGUUGGAAAUACUAAGAUCAACAAAUCACAGAAAUCUUUGAAGCUAUCGCUCUCUAAUAAUCAAGCGUGAGACUUUAUAUAGACUAUAUCAUAACGUUGCUGGCCCGGCACGAGUAUGCGCGGCGUGGUUUAUAUGGAUCACGAAGAUAUGUGACCAGUUUCAUACGAAAGCGAACACCCGACGGUUUAUUCCGUAGAAUAGUGCUGGCUUCAAACCUCUGAAUCAGAUAUCCGUGUCAAAAUUAGUAAAAGUGAAAGAACCAGUAAUAUGUGUCUAAGCUGGAGGUCGUGGGUGGUGCUGGAAUAGCUGCGUUGGUAUAUUUUAUGUAAAUUUAAGCAUGUGACGUUAUGUAAGUGGUUUUUCAUUAUAAGCCAAAGCUAAACGGUGUGGAAAGCGCUAUCGCUUGGCUUAGCGUAUAUGGUACUUCUGCUCGGCUGUCUCUUUUCGAAGAGAGGCUGCGUUGGAUGCCAUGAUUCAUCUCCAUGAUAAAUUGAGCCUGCGGCAGUUGUGGGUGAUCGAUAAUUGUCAGAACAUGUCUCGCGAUCUUCCGCAUGACCUAAUUUUUCUUUGUCAACCCGGACUGGAUGAGGAUUACUCAGAGCCGAGGAAUGUGCGGGGAAGGGCUCGACAUGUAACAUGAAUCGUCACCGCAGUGAUAAGUGGUAGAUUUCUUUUUAGUAUAGCGACUGAGGCGUUGAAGAUUUGAAGAGGUGAUUAAAGUAAGCUGGAGUAGGAACUUGUAUGCGAAUAUUCACUCUCUUUUCGUUAAAUAAGAUUCAGAUGCAUGGAUUUAAAAUAAAACCCACUAGCUGAUCCAUGUUCCAUCUGCAUAAGAAUCGUUGGUGAUACUGAAAUAAACACGUACUUAUGCUUUACUAGGAAUAUACUGGAUAUGAAGGCUGCUGUUAUACUCAUCUCUGACUGUGCGAUAAGCUUCAAAGAUACCCCAAUUUCUUAUAGCAGCCUCGGCUGUGUUGUGAUUUUUUUGCUCUGAAAUACUAGAUCAAAGAAAAGAUAGCACACUGCCUUGCACCGUGGCUUGCUGGCGCUCGCAUCUAAGGUCUCGCCCUUAAUUUAUGAGUCAGAUGACGUACUUUUGCAACAUCGCCCAUGUAUACACGAUGAUGUUGGAGCUUAUGAGGUAGAGUCUCUCAUAUACCACUCAAUCAGCUCUUCUGGCCGCUCUAAGCACUUUCAUUAUGGCAAAUAACUGGUUGGCAAUUCCAACCCACUCAUAUUCUGGAAAAGAACACCCUUCUCUGUGGUGGAGAUCAAACCUCGGGUUCGUGAAUGCGUCCUUGCGUUUUUUGUGUUCAGAGUGGAACCUAAAGUGUCGCCUACUUGUAGGAAGUCAAUAUGUUUAUUGCUUACGUGAUCGGUCAAAUAUAACUCAUGAGGGGUAGCGAAAAUACUAGCUCGACAAUCCAAGCCCUCAAGGGCCACGAGCCGUAUUAGGCAAGAUCUCAGCAACGCUAAUCGAGGCUAAUAAGUCAGAUAACAAUCGUAGCCACUCGAGCGAUAGUAUAGGGUAUCAAAGUAGGGAACACCCAACUAAAAUAUUAAUAUAGUGAACAGAUACAAUCAACUCUAUCUUCCUAAGCCGAUAUCACAGAGAAAUACUGGUAGAGGAAUGCAGAUAUAAAAGCAGGUGGUGAACUCCUUAUAACGGUAAGACGUAGCAGUCAACAGUGGGAAUGUGAAGGAAAGAAAGUCACGAGCGUGCCAUGUACGAUACGGGUGCCAAGUACGACUGUCGCUAUCUGCACGAACGGUCUCUCGAUAGUGAAGACGGACGCGGACCACAUAUCGAAAGGUCCAACGCAGUUAGCGAAUCUAAUCCAUUGCACAAUGUAAUGGCUAACUACAACCCUCGCUCUCGCCCGAACUCCCCACGACGAUUCUCAAAAAGCGAUUAUCGAAUAGCCGGGAAGUCCCGGAAACUUGCACCGGAACUUCAUCGCGCUCACCUUCGCUUCGAACCCACAACGACGCGCGACCGGAUGGUGACCAGCCAACAAGGCUGGGGAGCGAUCGCGUUCAAUUAGCCGAGAGGCACCGCUCGGCAUGAUAUUCCGAACCGAAACCGCCGGUCUAUGCGGAUUGCGCCCGAGAAACUGCUUCCGGGAAUCACUUUUUUGAUUUCCGUAAGGGUUGGGCCGGAUUGGAACGAUCAGUCCGAGACAUUAUCUCAGCCAAAUAUGCAAGCAACCCGAUCUACACACGAAGCCAGACAAACCUAAAGCCCUGACCGAUCAGAUGAAUGCCAUAAUUUGUUCUUUUCCCAUUUUUGUGAAGAUUUUUUUUCUGGCUUUUUUUCUUUCUAGGACGUGCGUGCAAACAGAGUAGUCGUUAAUACGACCGUCGUUACUCGCUGUAAGGUUUCAGCAUGUCGCGCAAGGCCGCGUGCUCCCUUUCGGCAGCUAUCUGCCUCGCCACGCGGUGCGCCAACGAGAACACGCACGCGAAUGUUCUAUAAAUGCUCGCGCACAGCGCGAAGAUCAAUAAUCAAAAACCAGCGCGCAUCUUGCCAUUAUGCCGCCCGGAAGCGUGUUGGCUUUAGGUGAGCACAUGCUUCGGAGGACAUUCGAUAAAUGGGACGAUACAGAGAAGUUGGCAUGGCCCUGCUCGCGGAAGGCAUGAAACGCAAAACUCGAGAAAUCGUCCAAAUUUUUUUAAUGUCCGACAGAACCCAACUGCAACAAUUAACCUGUUGGGCCCGAUACCGCCUCAAAAUGCUUAAGCCCCAGUUAUUUUAAUGAGGUGUCAAGUCUCUUAUCACCCAAUGAAACCCAUUCCUUAUCCGAUGUGGAUUAUUGGCGGUGUAAAGACUCCCCCUGUUAAGUCCUGAGUCCUCGUCAGCUCAAAACACAUCAGCCAAGAUCACAGGGCUAUCGUGAGACUCGUCUGCUAGCCGUAUCCAGACCUGGACUCGCCGAGACUCGCCAACAUGUCCAGCUGACUUGAAACUGGUUAUGAUACCAAAAGUAAACGACCCAGCCCACUAGCAACAAUAACUCGUUGGGCCCAAUCACCGGCUCAAAAUGCUUAAGCCCAGUUAUUAUUAUUAGUGUCUAAGUCUCUUAUAAACCCAAUGACAACCCCAUUCCUAUCCGAUGUGGGAUUAUUGGGGUGUCACAUUAAUAUUUAACCAACUAAAUUAGGCUGUGGAACUUGAUUGCAGUAACUAAAAAAUUUGAAUCAAAGCCUAUAAUAAAUUAAAAUUUGAGAACCAAACCGUCACAAACUUAACAUUUUAAGGACUAAAUUAAAGUGUAAGUUACCCAAAAUAUAUAUAGUAACAUUUGGAAACUACAGUUUACAAAUCAUGCUAUCAUGCUAUUUAAUGGUUCACUUUUCUUUUUUCUGACCUGGUCAAUCGUAUCAUAUCGUAUCAUGCCUAGUAUUUGGUGGUUUAAUUUUCUUCCCAAAUUGUAGUGGCCACAUCAGAACGGCUUUAGAUAUUACUGUGAAAUUUGUUUGUUAGCGGCCCAUUAAUCGUGCAUGGCAAGUAACGUUAAUUGUGCCAAUUUAAGAUGGUCAUAAUUCACCAUUUUACAGCUGUAAGAGAGAGAGAGAGAGAGAGUGAGUGAGAGAGUGCGGAUACAGCUGAUAAUAGUGGCAAAUAAUAAUUUGUUGGACUUAUUAACUACCCAUUUCAAAGAACUUUUUAUAAAAUAAUUCUCUGAAAUUUUAUAAUUUAUAAAAUAAUCUUAUCAAAUUCAUAUUUGGCAAACUAAUUUUCGAAACGUAGUGAAUCAUUCAUCGCAUUCUGAAGACUUCAAGGUCUUUUAAAGGUGGUGAAUCAUUCACAGUAUUUAUUAAGACGGUUAACGAUUCAUCGUUUUCUUCAUAAUUUUUUGAAAAGAGAAAAAAAAAAGUGAGACCGUUAAAAUUGUGCGUAAAUUAUACAGGAAAUAAAAAAAAAAAAGUGAGAUUGUUAGAAUUGUAUAUGGAUUAUUAGAAUUUUUGUUUGAUUAAUUAGAAUUGUAUGGAUAGAUUAUUAAGAUUUUUUUUUUAUUGUUAGAAUUGUAUGGAUAGAUUAUUAGGAUUUUUUAAAUUAUUAAGAUAUGUGAUUUUGAUUAUUAUGAUUGUAUGGAUAGAUUAUUAUAAUUUUUUUAAUUAUUAGGAUUAUAUAGAUAGAUUAUUAAAAUUUUUAUAUUGUUAAAAUUAUAUGUGAUUUGUUGGAAUAUUUAUAUAGUUGUUAGUAUUAUGUAUGGGAUAUAGAAAGAAAUAGUAAAUAAGUAAAAGAAGGUGAAUCAUUUACCGCUUUUGUGAGAAAUUAGGAAGGCGGUGAAUCGUUCACCGUCUUUAUGAAGGCGGUGAAUCAAUGAUUCACCGCCUUUAAGAGAAAAUUAUAAUGUAGCGCUCCUACAUAACAAAAAAAGGGUUAGUUUUCUAAAUAUAAAUUUAGUAGGGUAUUUUGCAAAUACCAAAAUUUUAGAGGAUUAUUUUAUAAAAAAGUCCAAUUUAGGUUAAGCUCUACUGUUAUUAUUAUUUAGGAUUAAUUGCAUAUAAGUCCAUACAAAUACAGUGAAUUAUAAAUAUAUAUUUUUAUAAAGUUCAACUUUCAUAUGUUGUCCCUACAAAAGUUUUAAUUAAUAUUUUCAAAUAUAUUCUUGAUGCUAGUUGUUAAAAUAUAAAUAGUUCUCUAACGAUAACAAAUGAAAGUUGAACUUUGUAGAGAUGUAUUUACAAUACACUAUGUUUGUAGGGACUUGUAUGCAUUUAACCUUAUUAUUUAUUAUUAUUAUUAGGGUGUUUAAUCCUUAUAUUUUCAAUCACUAAUAUUUUUUAUCUGAUGUGGAACUAUUAGGGUGUUAUAAACUCUCUGUUUAGACCAUCUAAUGUGAGACUANUAUAGAUGCAGGUAAAUAAAACAGUAGCUACAAUAAACAGAUAAGGAUGUACUGAAAAUAAACACUACAGCUACUGUAUGCAUGCGUCAACUGACGAUAAGCUCAAAAGUACCCAAUCUCGCUGCCCUAUUGGUCCGAAGACCUCAGGCCCAUGCCACACUGCUCAACCUGUACCUGACCCUCGCAAUGAAGCCCCUGGGUCAGAAGCACAGUACCUGACCCUCGCAAUGAAGCCCCUGGGUCAGAAGCAUAUACCCUCGCAAUAAAGCCCCUGGGCUCACGGGUUGGCAAUCCAACCACUUUUCCGGAAAAGAACACCCUCUUGCGGUGGAUCAGACCGCUGGUGUUCGUGAAAUGCGUACCUGCAGUGGCGAUCAAUAUAGUAUGCUCAAAGAUCAUCCAUCGGCAACUAGCCGACAAUCCAAGCCCCUCAGGGCACACCGACCGUAUAGGCCAUCAGCAACUAAUCGGCUACAUAAGUCAAGAUAACACUGUAGCAACUCGACCGAAUAGGUCAUAGGUAUCAAAGUAGGGGAACCACCCAACCAAAUCAUAAAUAUAGUGAACAGAUAAAUCAACUCUACUCCUAAGCACGAUAUCAACAGGGAAAUAACUGAGUAGAGGAAUGCAGAUAUAAAAGCAGGUGUAAGGCUCCAUAUAACGGUAAGAUAGAGUAAACAGUAGGGGUGAAGAAACGUCACCGAGCGUGCACCACUGUACCGACUACGGGUCGAAGUACCCACCUGUACGUAUCUGACGAAGGUCUCUCGACUGUGAAGACGGCGCGACCGAACCUACGAAAGGUCCAACGGGUUAGGAUCUAACCCACUGACAUGUAAUGCUAACUCACAACCCUCGCUCGCCAGAACCACGACCGGUUUCCCAAAACCGAUUAUCGAAUAAGCCGGAAGUCCCGAAAACCGCACCGGAACUUCAUCGUCGCUCACCCGUCGUUUCCGAACCCUCACAACGACGCGGGUGACCAGCCAACAAGGCUCAGCGACGCUUCAAUUAGCCACGAGGCACCGUCGGAUGAAUUCCGAACCGAAACCGCGUUCUAUCGGCGGAUUUCGCCGAAAACGCUCCGGGAAUCACUUUUUGAUUUCCGUAAGGGCUUGGGCCUUGGACGAUCAGUCCAGAGAUUAUCCUCAGCCCAAACAUGCAGCCAACAGCAUCUAUAACGAAGCAGAAAACCUAAAAGCCCAUACCGAUACAUGAAAUCGCAUCAUUUCAUGUGAUUUCUAGGCUUUUCUGGACCGUGCAGGCAAACCAGAGGUCGAUUAAUCCGACCGUCGUACUCGCUGACAGGUUUCAGCAUGUCGGAGGCCGUGCUCACCUUUCGGAGCACUGCCGGCCACUGCGGUGCGCGCACGAGCGACGCGAAGUUCUGAUAAACUGCGCGCACAGCGCGAAGAUCCCAACUAACUCACAAACCAGGGCAUCUUUGCCGCUGUUGGAGGUGAGCACGAUGUUCGGAGACAUCCGAUAAAAUUGGAACGAUACAGAGAAGAUUAGCAUGGCCCCUGCGCAAGGAUGACACGCACAAAUCGAGAAAUGGUCCAAAUUUUUUUAAUGUAACGACCCAACCCACUAGCAACAAUAACUCGUUGGGCCUAAUCACCGGCUCAAAAUGCUUAAGCCCAGUUAUUAUUACUAGUGUCUAAGUCUCUUAUAAACCCAAUGACAACCCCAUUCCUAUCCGAUGUGGGAUUAUUGGGGUGUCACAGACUCCCCCCGUUAAGGUCCUGACGUCCUCGUCAGUCCAAACACACACAGCCCAAGAUCACCAGGCUAUGUGAGACUCGUCUCGCUAGCCCGUCAUCCAGACCCUGGCUCAGCCGAGACUCGCCACACAUGUCCAGCUGGUGAACCUGGCUCUGAUACCAAAUGUAACGACCCAGCCCACUAGCAACAAUAACUCGUUGGGCCCAAUCACCGGCUCAAAAUGCUUAAGCCCAGUUAUUAUUAUUAGUGUCUAAGUCUCUUAUAAACCCAAUGACNUGGCAAAUAACAUUAUUGUAUUGGUGCAUUAAUUUAAGAUGGUCAUAAUUUACCAUUUUACAGCUGUGAGAGAGAGAGAGCUGAUAAUAAUGGCAAAUAAUAAACUAAUUAAGUGGGAACAAUCAUUUAUUUAAAUCAGAGUAGUGCUUCUGGUUUUUUUCCCCAUCGUUCAUUCACUCCUCUUCAACGGCCUAAAUUUAAGUUUUUUAUAGCAUGUCACUUUGGGACAGGUACUGAUUAUCAGGUAUCUCAAAUAAUAAUAUUUUUGUCUUUUAAUAUAUGAAUAAUUUAGUAAUUUUAUCUCUACUAUAUUAUCAAAAUCUUUAUUAAUUCUAUCUUCGUUUCUUUUUUCUCUUUCUUUGUUUCCUUACAAAUUCAAUUUGUAAGGAACUAAAAUUUAAAAAAUCGACUAAAAACUGAAAAAAUUUAAAGAUAAGAUUAAAAUCAAUUUAGUAAAUUAAAUUAAUUAGACUGAUCAAAUUGAUAAAAUAUAUUAAUAGCUUAGAUUUUUUCAAUAUAAAUUUAUUUAAUUUAUCUACAUUUCUAAUUUUGUUUACUCUAGUGAAACUCUAUGGUGGAGAUUUACUAUAAACUUAAAAUUUAAAUUAUAUAGCCUAAAUUUAUUUAUUAGUAAGUUUAAAUUACUCUAUACUAUUUAGAUUUAUUGGAGGUUUCUGUAUACUUUUUAGGUUCUAAACUUCAAUUUUAUUUUGUUUUCAGCUUAUAUUUUAAAUUACAAUACAUUAUCUUAUUAUUUUAAAAGAUCAAUUUUCACUAUUAAAAUUGAAUUAAUUUUACCUAUACAAUUCUAUUUUAAGAAUAAACUUGAAUAAUACCCUAUAUUUCUAAUCAAUUAUCCACAUUAAAAUUUUUAAAUAGUGAUAAAUAAUUAAUAUCUAAAUUAGAAAAAAUUAUAACUUUUUAAAUAUGUUCAACAUGUUGAAUUUAAAUAUCUGCCCACAUUCAAUUUUUUAAAAUUAGUAAUAAAAAAUUAAUGUCUAAACUAGACGAAUUCAUAAUUAUUUUGUUAAACAUAUUAAAUACGUUAAAUUUACAUAUUUACCAACGUUACAAAUUUUUUUUAAUAGUGAUACAAAAUUAAUGUCUAAAGUAAAACAAUUCUAAAAUUUUUUUAAUAUAUUAAAUACAUUUAAUUUACAAUUUUUUUACCUAUAUUUAAUUUUUUUUAAAUAAAUGAUACAAAAUUAAUGUCUAAACUAUAGGAAUUUAAAAGUUUCUUAAAUAUAUUAAAUAUGUUGAAUGAAAACAUUUACCAACAUUACAAAUUUUUUAAAAAGUAGUACAAAAUUCCUCUAACUUAAAUUUAAAUUUUUAAUCUUAUAUAUUUAAUAUUUAAUAUUUAAAUUCAACGUAUUUAGAAAUAGAACUAUUUCUAAAAUUUAUAUAAUCUAAAUUAAUGCCUAAAUUUGAGAAACACUAAAAUUUCUAAAAUAAAUAUCUAAAUUAAUGCCUGUAUUAAUUUCCAAAUUUGGGUAAUCAAUCAAUUUUUCAAAUUAGUGCAAAUUAAUGCGUAAAUUUAGGAUAUCAAUUAAAAUUUUUUAAAAAUGUUGUAUAGUUUAAUUAUAAAAAUAACCUCGAAUGAAAUAAGCCUUUUACCUGCUAAAUAUUAAAAUUAUAUUUUUACCUUUUAUUGGUUAAUGGUUAAGAUCUUUUCCAUUUUUUAUAAAAUAAAGUACCGAAUCAUUUCUCUUUAAAUCGACCAUUCAGCUCAUUCAUAUUUCUAAAGUUUUGUAAUUGCCAUUUGAACAGAACAAUCACACAACAAAAGAAGAACAACUAUACCAUCAGAGUCAGAGCAGAACAAUAGCAUGACCAAAAAAAAGAACACACCACUAAAACCCCAUUAGCCACUAACUCAAAGCAAUAUUUCAAAUAAUGGUUUAGAAAAAGUCAAAAGCUCAACUACAAUCCCAAUGCAAAACUAAAUGUAUCGUGGAUGCAUAAUAUUUAAAAAGCAACAUAAUUUUCGUGUUUUUGUGAGUUUCACCAGGGUAAAUAUAUAUAUAAAAAAAAAAAAAGAAGAAGAAAAAUAGAGCAAGAUAUUUACAUAUGUUUCUUUUCUGAAAGGAGAAUUAAACAUUUAGAUAGCUGAGUUAAUUAAGAUUCUUCUAAGGGCUUUUUUUUUGCAUUUGGCCCCCUUAAAAAGAUUUAUUUUAAAAGUAGCCCCAAUAAAUUUAUAUUUGUAAAAAUGGUCCUAGUCCUGCCACGCAGGCGUCACGUCAGUGCCACGUCAACGGAACUGGAGCCGGUUUGUUAAAUUGAACACUGUGAAGGUUCACCGUGUUUGGAAAAAAUAUAGUAUAUAUACAUUGCAUUGUGAAAAUAUAGAGGAGAAUAUACGUAUAGAACACGGUGAAUCAUUCACCGUGUUUAAAUACGGUGAAUGGUUAACUGUGUUCAACUUAACACUAUGCCCCUGAUAUGGUGCCUACGUGGUGGGGAUAGGGUCAAAUUUGUAAUUAUAAAUUUGAUGAGGUUAUUUGUAAAAAAAAUAUUUUGAGAGGGCCGAAUGCAAAAAAAGCCCUUCUUCUAAAAAUAUAUAUUAUUUAAUUUCAUAUUAUUUUGAAUGAUACGGAAUGUGAAUUGAUGAUCACCAUCUUUAAACAUGAUUGAGAAUAUUUGAACUCUUUUUAUAAUCUAAUUUCAGAAAUCUUCCACAUUAUUUAUUUGAAUAUUCAAUUAGCUGUAGCAGUAUCAAACUUCACAAUUUUGAUGGCCAAUAUAAAGUGUACUUGAUCGAGAGUAUUAAGUUAUCAAACAAACUAUUUAAAAAAUUCACAAUAUUUGGAUUCUAAAUAUUUCCAGUAUGUAAAUAAAGUUUAAUGAUUAAUCCUUAAUUCAAAUAUCUCAUCAUCAAAAAUGGAAUGAAAAAGUUAUUGACCUAGUGUUCAUAUACAAAUAUCUAACAAAUCCAUCAACACACAAGCGCAUCUAAGUGUUCAUAUACAUGUAAACAUACAAAUAAGUGUUCAUAUAAAUAUACAUGCAUGCCUUUUAACUUCUAUUAGUGUUCAUAUACAAAUAUCUAAUUAACAAAUCCAUCAACACUCAAGCACAUAUAAGUGUUCGUAUACAUGUAAACAUAUAAAUAAGUGUUCAUAUACAUGCCUUUUUAUUUCUGUGAGUGUUCAUGUACAAAUAUCUCACAAAUCCAUCAACACACAAGCACGUAUAUACAUGUAAACAUAUAUAUACAUAUGCAUAUACUUAUACAUAAGUGUAUAUUCUUCAUACACAAAUAUCUCACAAAUCCAUCAACACACACAAACAAACAUAUAUAUGUGUAAACAUAUAUAUACACAUAUAUAUAUAUAUAUAUAUACUUAUAUAUACUUAUAUAUACUUAUAUAUAGUUAAAUGUAAGUUUUCAUAUACAAACAUCUCACAAAUCCAUCAAUUAAUCUACUAGUAUUCUUGCGGACGUGCACACACAUGUACACACACAUAUAAAUAUGAGAGUUAGAUAUGUUUGUAUCUAUACAUAUUGAGAGAAAUUAUUACCCACACUCAUCACAUCUUUACAUUGCAUGCACCAUUCGUAGUUGGCUUCAUUCCUCUGUUCACUAGUUGGACGAUUGGAUUGAAAGUAUUAGUUUGUCAGAUGGUGUGCGAGACACGAACAUGCGCUUGGUGCAAGCAACAGCUAGCUAGUUUCUCAUGGUAUGACACAAACUUUACCAGGAAUGUUGGGAUCGUUGGUGCAAUUCGAGUGUGUCGGUGUGGGAGGGAACUUUGUCUGUGGUUUCAUUACAUAUGCUAGUGACGACUCUUCCUUCAUGGCGAGGCGCCCUUCUCCAUCCAGAGGCCUCGCUCCUAGAAGAGGCAACAUGAGAGCGAAGAUCACUAUGGUUUGGAUGAGAAACUGUACUAUAAACCUCUUGCUCACCUUACAUAUUGGUGUAUACAUGUAUAUAUAUAUAUAUAUAUAAAGAAGACCAAGAGGAAAUAAGGAGAAAAACUAAUGCACUACAAGAAAACUAGAAUAUUGCGGCACAUGAGUAACGGCUAUUUCUACAAGGAGGAGGGAGAUCGUGGAGGAGAUGGUGGCGCUGAUGAAGCCAAUACACAGACACACACACACACACACACACACACACACACACACACACACACACACACACAUAUAGCCGUAGAGAGAGAGAGAGAGAGAAAGAAAGUCUUACACUUUAUCCAUCCAAGGCUCAAUAUGUUCAUAUAGUUUUAUCAAUUUUACUUUUUAAUAUUAAAAAUUCAAAAAGAGUGUCUAAACCUUUGGAAGUGUGGGUAUAAGAUUUAUACUCUAUUUUUUGGUGUACAAGUAGCAUUUCUCUUUCGCACACACUCACUUUUAAGUUGCACUUACACUCCUUUAACAAGCUGAAAUCUAAUCAUAAUAGUUGCAAAAUGAAGAUCAAAUUAAACUGUUUAAAGUGAUUUAUGUUACGGACGGAUUGGGAUCUUGUAACCCUUCGAGUAGCUUCUUGAUGGAAUUGACUCCGGCAAGUCCGAUACAACUAAAAAAGAAAUAUAUAUACAAAAUAUAUAUCAUAAUUUCUAGAAAUUGAAAGUUUCGGUUCGUUAAUAUUUACACCACUUGAUGCAUCGAAAAAUCAAUUCUUAAAAUUUAUGAUACUUUAUAAGUAUGCAUUUUAAAUAAUUUUGCUAUAUAUUUAGAUUUUUAAUUUAGAUCAAUUUUUCAGAUUUAAAUUUAUAUUUUGUGUAAUAUAGAAGGGGUGGUCGAGAAUGGGUGCCUAUGGUAAAAAAAUUGUCAUUCUAUUGUCUUUUUCUUUACCUACGAAAACAGAAAUAUAGAGUUGGACUGGAAUGCUAUCGAUAGUAAACGGGUUCUGUUGCCACUCAUUUAUUUUUUAUGAUGGAGCCUUCAAAUCGACGAUCGGCACCGUUGAAUACGAUCUAUUUCGACAUCCUUUCCCUAAUGAUCAAAGGGUUUCAAAAUUUAUAAUUUUAAUAGUCGAUAUAAUUAAGAUAUUUUCUUAUUUAACGGUGAAAAGAUAUCCAAAUCAAUUGAAUUUUGAUUAGGAAAAAAAAUUUAAACUAUCUAGAAUAUAUAAGAUGUAUACUCUUGAUCUUGAUUACAAGACUCCUAUCAUCACUUUUUAACGAAUAUCCAUUUUCAACCAUUCAUUUUUGUAUCCGCUUGAUGGAUAAGAGAACAAUAUCGAAAAAAUAUAAAAUUUGAUUUCUAGAAGCUUCAAGUGAUAUAGAUCGUAUUCAGCGGUGCCAAUCGUUGAUUUAGAAGCUCCAUCAUCAAUAUCAAAUGGGCGCGCGACAACGGAACUCAUUUACUACUGAUAUAGCAAUAUUAAUUGCAGCUCAACUCUAUAAAUAUAAUAUACUUGUGGACUGUAAUAAAAGAUGUAUAACAUAUAUAGAAUCUUUAUCAUAGUAAAAAAUUGAAGCAUGCCACAAAUGUAGUGGUACUCACUUUAUACUGGCCAGCUUCUUUUAAACUGAUCCAUUUUAUAUUUUCUAUGCUGACCUAGUGUUAGUCAUAAGUCGCACAUGUUAUGGCCAUCUCAUAGCUGCGUGGAAAGGCAUUUUCCCGUGGUUAGUGACGGUACUUAAGUGGCGACGUAACUAGUAAAAUUAAGAUAACGAGAAUCAUUUUGACUCCCGUAAAAUAGAUUUUGUCACGCAACAAAGACCUACUACAAUCUCUCAAUAAAAACAAAGACGUAGUACAAGUGCUACAAACAAGUUGGGUAAUAUAUGUAUAGUAGUUAAGAGAUUCCGCGCGAUGCGGUGGAAAGCAAAUAUAAUAGUAAAUUAUUGAAAAUAUUAAAAUUAUUUUUUUCAUAUUAUGUAUUAAUAUUUUUAAAUAUUAUUUAUCUCCGUAUUGAAUAAUUAAAAAUUAAAGAAUAAACUAAAUAAUGAAAUUAAAGUAUAUUUCUUUCUAAAAAUAUUUAAACCUAAUAAGUAAAAUGAAUAAAUCAGUUUAAAAUAAAACAACAGUUCAUUACAAUAUUAAAAAAGAUAAAUAAUAUUUCUCUAUUAUCAUCAAGAUAGAAUUUACCAAAAAAAAAAAAAAGAAAAAAUUAAGUAGAGUGAAAGUAUUAUGUUUUGACCCUAAACUUUCUUUUUGCAAUCUAGGUCAAACACCCCCAUAGAUAUCCAAAAUUCACCACUUCCAAUAUAUAUGCCUGUUAAAUAUCAUAGAAGCGAUCCAACGAAUUACAAACAGAUUUUGAGAUACACACACAUAAGGCUAACCUAUUAUUAGCAUGAUAAAUGUGAGGAACCCAUAAGAUUCGGGUGUAGUUCCACUGUAACUUUAAACACACGAGAAAUUAAAAGAAAACCAAAAAUAGUUUGAUGCAUGAAAUAAAUUAUUAUUUUAUUUUCUUUUUUACUUCCUGUUGAUAAGCACACAACACAACAGCAGGCUCCACUCAAAACACCUCUAUAUGAGUUUCAUACACAAAUUAAAAUAAUAAUCUUUAACAAUCCACUUAUCUAUACAAGCUUCAUAGUAUGUAAAUGUUUUAGAAAUCAAAAGCACGGAAUCCGUAGCAGCCGAGAAGAGAUCGUCAGAUCAUUAUAGUGGAGAUACAUCAGAGGAAGUCUAAGCUGCGGCCUUUGAUCGAUGUGCGAGUCUUUCAAUUUCCUUUAUAAUCAAAUCUCUCUCUUCUUCAAAUUGCUCAUCUUCACCUACAAAAGCAAAAUACAAAACAAGAACAACCAAAAAUAAGAGGAACAAUCCAGAAUCCGCAGGCAAUUUACUUGCAACAAAAAUUAUUAUAAAUUACUUCAGAAAGUUUUUUGGAGCAAAAAAUACAGCAGCGAGUAAGAGGAAAAAUCUGGUGUCCGCAGGCAAUUAUGUGCGAUAAAUUGCAUCAAGAAGCGGAAGGCCCAACUUGGCCAGUAUAAGUUGAUAGAAUUGGUUCUAGCCUGAAAUGUUCAAGCCCAUGUAACUAAGGAAUGCUACUGCACUAGCAUCCAAAUCUUAUAAAUUCUUGUCCACUUUUGCCAAAUUAUUCAUGCCGCAUAAUCUAGUUUGGCAAACUUCCCAUUGAAGCCCUAACAUUCUUGGCAAAUCACACACAUCCAUCUUCUCAUGGUAUAUGUCCAUGUGGUAUUCCAAAGACACCAUGGACCGCAAAAAUGUGCUGGAUUGAUGUAACACCAAAAUGCAACCCCCUAGAUUUAAGUGCUGAUGAACAUGCCGAGUUGUGCCGUCCUGCUGAAUAACGUGCAUGAUGCGCUAUGGCUAUCCCACAGGAUUGAUGUCUCAAUAAACAAGUAUCGAGCAAUACAUCUCCACAAAAAAGGGGUAUCAUAGCAUGUGCCGCGCAUGUCAUGUCUUCGGUUUUUCUUAUCUUUUCCCUCCCUUCCACUCUCCUUCUCGUGUCUUCUCUCAUAUUUCUUACAAUAAAAAGCUAAAAACUAAGAAAGUGAGGAUUUCUUCUCGCUCUUUCCUCCAAUAUUUACAACUAUUGCCCUUCUUUUAAGUUUGAAGACCUAAUUUCAUCAUUAGAGUUUGAAGCACUAGAUCUAAGGUGUUUUGUAAGUUAUACCUCCUACCCUCGCAUAUCGUAAUAUCCCAUUCUCUCACGCGUUUUUCAAAUAUAGAGCUUUUUUGCCGUUGGAUCUCAUCCAACGGGUUGGAUCUCAUCCAACGGCUGAUAAUAUCCCACAUAUAAUAUUUCCGCUGUCUAUCAUCUUAUCGUAAUAUACAAUCUAUGAGAUGAUCAUUUAUUCUCAAAUAUUAGCUUUAUCCUCGCUCGCAUAAUACCCGCCACUUAUCAUCUUAUUGUAAUACCCUAUCCCCUCACGUGUUUUUCAUAUAUAGAGCUUAAUUUUUUGCCAUUCAUCCAACGAUUAAUAAUAUCCCACAUAUAAUAUUUUCGCUGCCUAUCAUCUCAUCGAUAUAAUAUCUCCAUUACUAUCCCACAUAAUAUUUUCGUUAUCUAUCAUCUCAUCAUAGUACCCAAUCCAUUAUAUUCGCUUUAUCUAUUAAGUUAAUAUUUUUACCAUGCCUCUCAAUAUACUUUCCAUCCACACCUUCUCUGUCGCGGUAUAUAUGUAAGUCGUCCUCCCUAGCACGUCGUCGUCGUCGUCCUCGCGGGCACAUCAUCGUCAUCACCUUCGUCGGCACAUUGUCAUCAUCCUCCUUGCCGAAACAUUGCCAGUUGUUUGCACGUCUUUACCAGUGCAUCAUCGGCGCACAUCAUUGUCAGCGCAACAUCAACACUCCACGCGCAGGCAAAUCGUCGGCAUUCUACACAUUGGCACAUCAUCGGCACUAUGUGCAUUGGCGUGGUGUCUACAUUGGCGCGUUGACUAAUCUUGUUGUUUUCUCUCGCACGUCUAAUUUAGAUUAUAUCUUAAGCUUCCAUGACUCCUAUGUUACAAUAGAUCAUAUUAGAUGUAUCUAUUAAUUAUAACUAGUGAAGGACCCGCGCGUUGCAGCGGGACGAUUCCGUAAAAAUAAAUAAAUAAAUAAAUAAAAUAAAAUAACAAAUAAAAGUCAAGAAAUUAUAUUAAAAAAAAGUAACUAAAGAAUAAGCAACUAUUGCUGUAAUAAAAAUGUAAGAAUUAAAAGUAAGGGUGAAAACUAUACGAAUAAUAAAUGAUAUUUAUAACAGCAAUAAACGUUGAGAACUAAAAUAAUAUAUCUCAUAUUAUAAGUCAGAAAUUAUGACUAAUUAAAGUUUGAGGAUGAAAGUGGCACAUGCCUUAUAGUUUAAAUCAUAAUAUAUUAAAGUUCGAGAAUUAAAAUAUUACACGUCUUAUAGUUUGAAGGACGAAAAGUGUAAAUCCAAUCUUUCAAAAUUUUAUUUUAAUUAUUCAAUUUUUCGAUAUAUUAAAUUUGAGUCAAUCAAUGGUAUUUUGAUUUUAAAAAUUUUAAUGUAUCGCUUAGUUCUACAAAUGUAGAUAGUAUAUUUUAUGCGAUUCUCGCAACUAAAUUUUAUAAAAUAUAAAAUUAACUUAAAUGUCAUUAAUUUUUUUUAAUUUUUAAUAUACAAUCUAUAUCUAAAUGCUUAAUAGUAUAAAAUUAAAAUUUAUAUUUAAUACAAAUAAUCUAAUCUAUUUAAAAAUUAUUUAUAUAUUUUAAAGUUUUAUAUUAAAAAAUAAAAAAAUAGAUUAGAUUUUAAAGAAAAAAAGGAAAAAAAUUAAAAAUUAACUUAAACGUCAUUAUUUUUUUUUAUUUUUUAAUAUACAAUCUAUAUCUAAUUAUAAAAUUAAAAUUUAUAUUUAAUACAAAUAAUAUAAUCUAUUUAAAAAUUAUUUUUAUAUUUUAAAUUUUUAUAUUAAAAAAGAAAAAAUUAGAUUAGAUUUUUUUUAAAAAAAAGAAAAANCUCCCCGCUUCCAGGCCCACGCCCAACCCGCGCCCACGCCGCUUGCCCCUGCGUCUCCGCGCCGACGCCAGCGCGCGCCCACGUAUCUGCGCCGGCGCCCGCUCGAGCCCAUCUCGCGCGCCCACGCGAGCGCCCUCGCCCCCCCACACCCGCGACUCUGCCGCUCGCUGCCACGUGCACCCAAACUGACGAUUCAUAUAUUUAUAUAGAUGUUUGGUUUGAAUUCUCCCAUUCAUUUCAAGUUUUUGUUAAGGAUAUAUAUGUGAGACCCCAAGUAGUCCUAUAUGUGAGAUAUAAUAGAGCUAAACUCUUAACCCGGCUUAAGCAUUUUGGAUGGUAGCUAUAUCCAAGAGGUUAAGAAAGUUAAGCAUGCUAGGACGGGAGUAGUCCUAGGAUGGGUGACCCCCUAGGAAAGUUGGAGCAUCACAGUUGGUAUCAGAGCCAAUUACCAGCCGGAAGUGUGAGAUGAGUUUCGGCUGAGCCGGAGUUGGAAUGACAAGGCUAGUGAGACGAGUCUCAUAUCGCCUGGUACUUAUGAGUCUGAGCCUGACGAGCACAUCAGGGCUUAAAUCGGGGGAGAUUGUGAGACCCCAAGUAGUACUAUAUAUGAGAUAUAAUAAGGCUAAACUCUUAACCCGGCUUAAACAUUUUGAGUGGUGGCUAGGCCCAAAAGGUUAAGAGAGUUAAGCAUCCUAGGACGGGAGUAGUCCUAGACUCCUAGGAUAGUUGACCCCCUGGGAAAGUUGGGGCGUCACAAUAUAAAUUGACAAAAAUAGAAUACGUCACACAAAAUACAACAUGUUCUUUAUAGCAGAUCAUUUAUUACCAUGAUUUCAAUCUUUUCAAGUUAAAGUGGUAUAGGAAUUUUAAAAUUUAUCCAUGAUAAUUGCUAAGAACCUAACAAUAUGAAACUGAACAAAUUGAAUUAUUUUUUUUGAACAACCAAAAAAUUAAAUAAACUUUUGAAAAUUAAAUUACUUUUUUUAACUUCAUUNCCGACGCCAGCGCGCGCCCACGUAUCUGCGCCGGCGCCCGCUCGAGCCCAUCUCGCGCGCCCACGCGAGCGCCCUCGCCCCCCCACACCCGCGACUCUGCCGCUCGCUGCCACGUGUACCCAAACUGACGAUUCAUAUAUUUAUAUAGAUGUUUGGUUUGAAUUCUCCCAUUCAUUUCAAGUUUUUGUUAAGAAUAUAUAUGUGAGACCCCAAGUAGUCCUAUAUGUGAGAUAUAAUAGGGCUAAACUCUUAACCCGGCUUAAGCAUUUUGGAUGGUAGCUAUAUCCAAGAGGUUAAGAAAGUUAAGCGUGCUAGGACGGGAGUAGUCCUAGGAUAGGUGACCCCCCUAGGAAAGUUGGAGCAUCACAGUUGGCAUCAGAGCCAACUGUGAUGAGUUUCGGCUGAGCCGAGAUCGGAAUGACAAGGCUAGUGAGACGAGUCUCAUAUCGUCUAGUACUUGUGAGUCUGAGCCUGACGAGGACAUCAGGGCUUAAAUCGGGGGAGAUUGUGAGACCCCAAGUAGUACUAUAUAUGAGAUAUAAUAAGGCUAAACUCUUAACCCGGUUUAAACAUUUUGAGUGGUGGCUAGGCCCAAGAGGUUAAGAGAGUUAAGCAUCCUAGGACGGGAGUAGUCCUAGGAUAGUUGACCCCCUGGGAAAGUUGGGGCGUCACAAUAUAAAUUGACAAAAAUAGAAUACGUCACACAAAAUACAACAUGUUCUUUAUAGCAGAUCAUUUAUUACCAUGAUUUCAAUCUUUUCAAGUUAAAGUGGUAUAGGAAUUUUAAAAUUUAUCCAUGAUAAUUGCAAAGAACCUAACAAUAUGAAAUUGAACAAAUUGAAUUUUUUUUUUUUGAACAACCAAAAAAUUAAAUUACUUUUUUUAACUUUAUUUUUUUUUGCAACAUACAUUGCAAGUACACUGGGAGGAUAGUAAGCAUCUGUGGGAUGCUUACAGGAUGCUGCCGUGGCAUCUUAUGCACUACACUCCGAUGCACCCUACAAUGCUCCCAAAAGGAGUGUUAAACCAACUGCUUUAGGGGAAGAAUUCCCAAAUUAAAACUAUAAAAAGUCAGAAACUUUGAGGAUGGAUCUACUAGAACCACUUUAGCUCUACACCCAUUUAGACAAAUGGGCGUGCAAUCAUACAUAUGGCAAGAUAAAUGAGGAACAAACUGCUGACUUGCAAGAAUAAAAAUUUUGGUUUGCUUUCCUUUAGAUCUUAAAGAAAUACAAGUUAUUAGUACUGAUUGGUCACAUUUACGAACAACAAUUAACUUUAAAAUAACGACGUGACAAAAGAUACAACCUGAAAAUCUUACAUAGACAAAAAGUUUACCUUUGCUUGUGGGAAGAUUGUGUAGUAGCUUCAACAACUCUUCAUGAUUGUCUAUCAAUACCUCGAUAAUUUCACGUGGCUUAUUUGGAUUGGCAACAAAUACCUGUUUUCAGGAGGGGAAAGAAACAGAUUAUUUCAUGAAUUGAAUUUUCACUUAACAAUAUUGCACACAUUUUCCGGUUUCCCACUUCAUUUAUUUCAUGCAAUGAAGUUCUUAUUCUUCAUUGAUUUACGUAAACGUACAAUUUCAUAGAACAACAACAAACCUAUUUAAUGGGUAGGACAUUUAUAUCUAUCACAGCAGUCACUGACAAAGGUUUAUUUUCAUAUUUUUAUCCUUACAAGGGACCUUUUUGUCAUAAUAUUGAUUUAAUGCUGUAGAUUCCCAUUAGCUUUAAUUAAUUCAGUAUGUUUAUCCACAGCAAUUUGGUCUGAGAAAUUUAGCACACCGUCAUGCUGAAAAGUUUCAGAAUUGCUAGAAAUUUUAUAUAUGGCCCAUUAAUCACAACAUGAACCCAUAACAUAUAAUAUAUUUAUAUUACUAAUUAUUUUAUUAUAUCAUAAUCAGCGUGAUUCUGAUUGCGUUACUGUUCAUAACUUCAUAUACACUCGUAUUAGUUGAGAUUGCAUUUUCUGCAUAUAGGAAUGAAUCAAUAGAUAGUUUCCCAUGCUCGGAAUUUACAUUGUACUCAAAACAAGAGAUGUAGUUCCAGGUACGCAUAUAUGAGAUGCACAUUGCCAAUUGGUGGCAAAGCCCACCAUGCUCCUAGAAACACAACCAGGCCAAAAUGCCUAAACACAAUGUUUCUUAAUUUUAUGUUUCAUUUUCAAAUAGAAAUUUAUUUAGUUAUUUCCACUCAACUGAUACAAUUGUUUAAUUUUUUUAAAUUUCAAAAAAAGAAGGAUUAAGGAAAUAUGUUUCUAAGAGAUAACAGUACCUUAAAAACAUGGAAAGCACAAAUCUGGAUAUUUUUGCUUGAAUCCUGCAUCAGCAUUACAUUGGUUAUAAUAGGCAAAGCAAAGAAAUUUCUCAAGAAGUAUGAAUAAUAGAACAAAAUUUGAUAAAAUUUUUUUGGAUUUGGUAAUCAGACAUUAAAAGAGAACAAAACAUGGUACAUAAAGGAUAGCAUAUAUAUUGCUGUAUAUAAUGAAAUAUAAAUCUAUCAAAUAUAUUUUAGGGUAAACUUCAAAUUACGCCCGUGGUUUAGCUCAUUUUCACUUUGCCACCGCAUGGUUAAAAAAAAUUUCACUUUGCCCCUAGGUGUUUAAUUUUUAUUUCACCAAAAAAACACUAUAUUAAAUAGGGUCGUAAAGUAAAAAAUUUUAAAGACCAUAGGGUGGCAAAGUGAAAAAUGCUCUAAACCACAAGGGCCCAAGGUAAAACUUUUUAAACCAUGGGGUGGCCAAGUGAGAAUGAGCUAAAUCACAAGGGAACAAACUGAAACUUCUUGAACUACAGGGUGGCAAAGUGGAAAUGAGCUAUACCACGGGCAAAUUUGAAGUUUACCCUAAUAAAAAAAAAUUGAAGUUUACCCUAUAUUUUAUUAUCAACUUCAAUCUACUUCAAUCAAAAAGAAGACUCCUUAGCCAAAUCGUGAGACCAACAUAUGCGACUUGUGUUAAUGUGGUGAAAGGUCAUUGUCAAGAGGUUAAAAAACAUCUGGAGCAAAUCCAUGUGCCUGCUCAAAUGUAAGUGCUUGUUCACUAUGUACACUCUAGUGUACGUGAUACAUUGAUAGCCAACAAACUCACCUCACAUUGUGGUAAUUAGACAUUCACUACAAGUACAGGUUGCCCAAGAGAUAUAAUAUUAUUACUUUAGGGCAACAGCUAAAGCUACGCAUUGUUGGUAGUGAUGGGCUGAAAAGGGGUAUUUGUACUAACGUAAAUAAAUAAACUAAUCUAGAUAACUUUUAUCAAGGGACAAAAUACAAGUGAGAGACGAGAACUGAGGUUAUUAGCUUAGCCAGGGUAAAAGGCGAAUUAGACAUACCCUAAAGUACUUUUUACCCUUUUGGUUGGUGAUAUGACGAGUACUAAUAAAAUAGAAGCAACCCCCAACUGAAUCCAGGGUCUGCUCUGUGGGUAUGAUCCGAUUAAGACGGUCACGAUACCUCAGCAUCCGACAGCGGUAACCAAAGAAGCAAGAAACGGUGAUGAAGACUUCUAUGUGUCUUUCUACGUACGUUCAGUGUGCUAUUUUGUAUGUUCUCUAGAUUAGUCAGCUGACUCUGAUAAAUUAAUGUAUUCAUGAAACACCUCAUUCUACUAUUUUUGUCUGAGUUAUGUGGAUAACUACAACUAUUCAGUACACUGACAGACCAUCUAAUUCAAGCUUUCCAGCCUUAAGAGAAUGGUCAAGCCUUAUUACAAGAUAACAUAAUUUGGAAAAAAAAGCUCAUUGUAACCUACACUGCGAAUGACAGAAUCAUGAAAAAAAGAGAAUAGACCUUCGCAAUAAUUUUUUAUUCUUUUCAAUACAUGGCCAAAAGAACAAAAAAGCCAACAAAAGGAAACAGGAAAAUUGCAUAUUUGGUCAAACUAUGAGGCACGCGAUAGUUUUGUCCUCAAGCUUUGAUUUGUUGUAAUUUUUGGGUCGAACUAUCAGAAUUGUUGCAAUCAAGUCCCGCAAUCUAAUUUAGCUAACUAAAUUUUACUGCAUCGUUGAUAUAAAAGUAAUGUAGCAUCAUCAAUCACAACACUACUGCACCUCUAUAUUAACGGUAUAUUAAUAUUUAGUUAGCUAGAUUAGAUUAUAGGAUUUGAUUGCAACAAUUUCGAUAGUUUGAGCCAAAAAUUGCAACAAUUUAAAGUUUGAGGAUCAAAGUGACAUCACCCUCAUAGUUUGAGGACCAAAUGUGCAAUUUACCUAAAGGAAAUUAUCAUUUACCUUCAGCAGUGCCAUCAUAAUUCUCAAGUAGCGAACUUCCAAAAUGUAGCGCUUCAUUAUUUGUGAAUUUGGUGGUUCCAAAAGAAACUCCGAAAGAAACUGAAAUGUACAGACAACAUAGUUUAUUCACUAUUUCUCAAUAACCUGAAAUUGAUAAAAGAAAUCAAUGCAAGUCCUGGAUUAUCUAACCUUCACUGAUUGCCUUCUUGUUACAUAAUUAGCAGAAAUCAAUAGCUUUUCAUAGAGUUCAAAGAACUGUAACAAAAUUACAUAAUCAGAUGACUUGCAUUAAACACAUUGAGCAUUAUGUAAUAUAAUUUGCAUAUUGUAUAAGAAAUUUGAGCAUCCAUAAGUAUUAGUAGGUAAAAUGCAAGCUUAUAAGCUGACCUGUUCGUAAUGGGUGCUCAAGAACUCAGAUACUUCAGUUUCAUGCUUAGUAAGCAAAUCCUGAAGAAUAUUUACUUUAGAUUAAAAACCCACAGAAAAUUUUUAAUAGAAAACCAGGCAUCUCAGGUAACAAUGCGUCAAAAAUAUUGAAACAGGACCAACCUUGAACGUGGCUAGAGCAUCAGAAGCAAUAUCGAAGUUUGGCAAUUCAACAUACUUGAAGAACAACUCAAAACUGGUGGACUCCAGUAUAUAUCUGAAAGAGCACUACACUGGAAAGAUCAAAAUUUAUUGGCUCUAUGGAUGAUAAAUGAUAGUAUAUAUGAAACUUAUAAAUGCUUCUCUUGUGAGGCAGUCUUGUUCAGAUGAUUCAGUCGUUAAAGUAAAUAAAAGAACGCAGAACAACUCAGAAUUAGAAGAAGUUUAUCUUCUUGUCGAUCUAGCAAAGUAGAAUUAUAGAAUCUAAAGCAAAAGAUAGUCAAAUACAAAAGCAAAUAGUCAUAUUUCCAGAAUCAUGAGAUAUGUUUUGCAUGCCAACAUAAAAAAUUUUGCUGCAGCCAUAAGUAUAGCCUGAAAGUUUAUCAUAUUUUCUGGCCAAGGAGCCAUAUACAAUGAACUCAAUGAAGAGAUAAAGCAAGCUUUCCUAAUCACUACUAACUAUUUGACUUUGAGCUACGAUCAUCCACAUAACACACAUUCACCCAUCCAAAUUGCUAGCUUCCUUGUAUGUCGUGAAAGUAGUUAGUCCUUUAUUAAUAUCCAAAAUAAGUAAUCUGGCUGCUCAUCUAGUGUACUAGCUGCUAACAGGCUCUCCAUUGCAUUACAUUAAAACAGUAUUUCGCAGCUCUAGUACUAACUUCACAUAUUUUUUAUGUUAUCCAGAAAGACAGAAUUACAUAAUGCAAUUUAGGUAUAGUGCAGGCAAUAUGUUUCAACAUUCUGUUCUGAACGAUUGAUGCUAGACCUUAAUCGAAUGAAGUUUACUAAGAAUUUUCAUUUAUGUACUGUAAUGUAUCCAAUUACCAUUAACAUUUUAAUCAUUUGCUAGUCCUUAUGUCACGAAGUAAUCAAAAACAUUCUAUUCAUGGAAGAGUUUGUGCAUCUUGUAUGCACGAUUAAAUAAAGAACAUGAUUCUAUAUGUACAUCUAUAUUGUUGCUUCACAGAUGCUUUCAUCAAAAGGCGCUGCCACAUAAGGAAAAUAUCUGAUUAACAAGGUCAGGAGCAAAACUAAAAAUUAAACUUGUCUUAAAUUAGAAAUGGUCUUUUCCAUCGUUUGAAAAAGAAAGUACAUAUAUAGAAUGUUUAAUGUGCCCUAAUUUCUUGGAUUCAACCUGCUCAAUAUUGCGGCCCUAUAUAUCUAGAGAGAAAAUUAAAGAGAAAAUUUCUAGUAAGUCAAUGGUGGCAGCAUAGGGCUUGGGACAAUCCGUUAUCGAUGAGUUUUUCCUGGCCCUUUCCAGAUUUGUUAUGUAGGAGCGCAUAUUCCUGUUUAAAUGAAUAUUUGCAGCACUUCUAGUAUUGGGUGUAUAUCGGUCUAGGGUUUUUAAAAGACUGCUGUCUUUUGCACUCCAUUUCCGAUUGUCACAAAAUUGUGUCUAUGCCUAUGAAUAUUUGCUUCAAAGAGAAGCACAGAAGUUGAUUCUGUUUCUUGUUUUCUGCUCUCUAUUUUUUUAUUCUCUUUGGCAUUAGCAUUCAAUGAACUUGGAAACUAGGGUUAAUCUGUCAGUUUAUGAAAGUUACAAACAUUACCAUAUCUAUAGAGUCAACAAUUUAUAAGGAGGAACUACUGAACUCAAGCACUUGAUGCUGUUACUUAACACUAUCUUUUCGAGAUCCAUCCUGUGGAGGUACUUAAAUUGGACCAGUGAUCGACAACUAGGUUUUGAGCCACCAUCCAAAUAGCAUUAAAACUGAGAAUCAAAUUAUUCUAACUUCACAUAUAUUUCAUAAAUAAGUAAAUCCAAACAGAAAUAAGAUUUAGCAUAUACAUAUAUUCAGACAAAUAAGUAGCCUAGUCAUCACACAAUCGGACCGAAUGUGUCGACAUUAGAUAGUAACAUAAUGAAUAAAAAAAUUGCAUCAAUCAGGUGAUUGAAGAUCCUAAACCCUUACUUUGCCAGUGUUGGAUAUUUGAUGCAUUCUCUCAACAUAUUGCCACAGUUCAACGCAAUUUCCUUGUUAUUGUAGCUGUUGUAACACAGUGUUCAUUAAAUCAAGUUUCAAAUAGGAGUGCACAUUAUCAUAUAUUGAAAUACUUACCACCAAGAAAACAAAACAUACACAAAUUAGACAAAGGGAAAUGGUGUAUAAAACGAAGCAAAAGAUAGUUAUUGUGAAUUUUUCUACUGAUGUAAAACAUUUGCUAUCUUCUUCAUUCCAGCUUUUGAAAAAAAAAAAAACGAAAAAAAAACGAAGCAUCACCAUAGGGUUUCUAAUAAUGAAAAUCUGCAAUCUUUUUCAGGUAAAAGCAAGCACCACUAAGGAUUCAACUUAUACAAAGAAAUUGAGUUUUUUUUUAGUGAAAUGUUUACAAACCUAUCAAACUCAAAAUAGCCACAGCCUACUACAAUUGUUGUAGUCAGCACUCCUACAUAACUGAAUAUUUACCUGGAAAACAGUUAUGCAAUCCUUCUUUAGAUCAGAGUACAAUCCACCUUAGUGCAAUUCACCACAUUCCUACCUACCCAAUAGAUCAAUCCAUAAAUACACUGCUCAACUGUUGCCUCUAUUAUCCCAACCAUGUAUAAUCUAUCCCAUGACCAGACAGAACAAUGUUGCAUCCAACCUAUUUCUCAAUCCUCAAACAGCACAAAAUCUUUCCUAUACUUCUGAGAAUCAACAAACUUUAAAAAGAAAUACAGAGAUACUGUUGUUGUUGAGGGACCAACUUGACAACUUGUCAACUUGUCAACCUUUUAAGAUGAAGAAAGGGGAAAAUCACCAGAACUGUAGAUCAAGCAGCUUCCGCCAUAAAAACAUGGUAGCCUAAGCCGUAGGCCCAUCAUAUGAUAAAAUAACCUAGGGCCCACAAUAGAUAAUAGAGGAAGAUCCAGCAAUGUAGUUAUCUUCACUAUAGCUUCACGGUGAGAGCUACGUUUGAUCCAUAGCUGAGCAUCCGAAGCAGUCCCCAGGAAAGCAAUCACAACAUGUUUUUCUUCUUUCAUUCCUUCCUGAUCAAGUAAUAGACAUACCUGUAAUUCUGUACGUAAGUGAUGACAGCUAGGCAGCAGUGAGAAGAUGGAUACAUAACUCUAAUCAAUUCAAGCGCACUUCAGAUAUUGGUAUCCUCCAUGGGAUGGAGAAACCUCAGUAAAUGGCUGAGCAGAGUUGGGGAGAAAGAAAUAUUAACCUUGACGAGAUUCACGCAUCGAAGUGAAAUGGUGUAAGGUAAUUUUUUAAAAAAAAGAAAAUAUUGGUUAAGCUAGAUCCUACUAUUCAAUUUGAGUGCACGGUCCAGUCAAGUUACUACAGUUUUAAGUUAUAUUUAUCUAUUUAUGUAGGAUGAACUUUUGCCAAAGUGUCCUGUAGUUAUUUUGGAGUUUUCUUAGUUUAAUCAAAUGUGCCUUAAUUAGUAGUACAUAAUUGGUGCAGCUUUUUGAACAAUAGCUUAUGUGCUAGGCAAACACCACAUUUUGGCAAACAGAAAAUCCAGAGCCUUUGUUUAGAAUAGAAAAUGAUCUUUGCGGCCAAAAAAGUAGAAGAGGCGAUUUGUAUUAUUGUUUCUAGCUUAAAACAGGAAGCUAUCGGAGGGACUUCAACAACAAAAUCUGUUAGAGUUCGUUCAGACAAUUCUACUCAAAAGAAUUUCUACAAAAGCUCUAGAAGGCUCGAAGAUGUCUUCAGGAUGGUUUGCAUCGAAUCAAAGAGAGAUAUGGAUAGCUAAUAACUUCCCUAGAAGAGUCCAUUAUCGAAUCAACAUCAUUUUUAGAUAUAGUUUUAAGAGCUGACUUCCCUAGAUGUAGUAGUUUUCAGAGCCGGAUAGGGAAUUCUAACAAAGUAGGAACCUAGGUAGAUUGCAAUCAUUGACCAAAUUGGAAUUGUGGCUUUAUUAUGAAAAGUUCCCUAAAGAAGUGGUCCCAAAGGCCCAAAAGAUUUGGGGGAGAAAAAAAAAACCAACAAUGACUUAAAAAGCCAGGUAGUGUUAGAAUAGGAGAAAUCUUCCAUUUGAUCAUAUACAAUGGCCAUGAGCCGACUUUCCUCCAUCUAUAUUUUCUUUCGGGUUCUCUUUCUUCUCUAUUUUAUCUUUGCUUUCUCCUGGUGCUGCUCUCUUUUCUGCUGUCAUUCAUAUAGAGAAUUCCGUGAAACCCAUUGCAAUAUUUAGAUUCUCUUCUCCAUGAAGAUUGCUGCAGAAAUAUUGUUUUACACAUUUUGCAAUUUUAGCAGCGCUGCUAUCAGACAUGAGUUACACCUCUUGACUACCCCACAAGCCUCUGCUCACAAUUAUUGGUACCACAGCAUCUAAACUAUUGGUUUAUUCCUUUUUCCACAUAGCCUUGACUAGAGCAACAUAGCAGUAUAAUCUUGUUUCCUAUUUCAGCAAGCUUAUGUUCAAACACAACUACAUCUGAUCAAUAUGAACUCCAAAGCCUACUAUAUAUGUAGGCCCACCAGUCUCUUGCGAAGAAAUAUACUAAAAUUUUCCAUACAAAUUUUAGGGCCAAAUCCCAAAUUUUAAAGGUUUUUAUGCAUCACAUUUAACUAGUUAAUUUAGAGAAAUUGACUUAAAUCAAUGCUUAUUUCAACAGAAGAGCCAAACAGAUGAUCACAGAAAUUUUGCUAAUAUAAGGAGAAAACGAAUAAUCCUUGACUAAGGUUUCAAGAAAUGCACGACUUACCAAACAACAAGGAAAUCCAAAAGAUCCAAGUGAUUCUCAAUGUACUCCACGCAGCAAUAACUAGAGUUAACCUGCUGUCUUAACAAGAUGCACCAGGAGUGAACUAGAUCUUUUCUAGCCUGUAAAUAUAUUGCUAAUAAGCUUCAACAUAAAAAAAAAAAAAAAACCAUAAAAACUGCACUAUAAGCUGGAAAACAUACUUCCCAACCCAACGUGGGUAACUUUUGGACAAAGAGGGAGAGAACAUCCUCCUUGCAAAUUUCAAGAGCUAAUUGCUGAAUCUGUUCUUGACUUGGUUCAGAUUCUCCAUCUCCAGAAAGUAUCUGUCUCAAUGAAACAAUAUUUUUUUCGACUUCUUCAAGUGCCUGAAAGAAAAAUGUAACGUUUCGACAAAUAAAUAAUUAUAAAAUUGUUUAUUUACAAACGCUGAAAGUGAAGCGCAACACCUAUUUAUUCAACCUGAACACUGGUGGUUCCUCACUGUUAAAGCUAAACUAUUAAAAACUCAUUUGUAAUUUAGUCCUCAGAUGAACAGCGAAAGAGGUUAGAAACAGAUGCCACUCACCCCCAACCCACUCAACAACACUUGUUACAUGUAAAGAGAUACAAAAGAGCAGGUAUCCUCGACAUUAUGAAUAAUGAACAGAGUAAUCUUAAAAAUUCCAAAUUCAAAUAUGCUUCAACAUUACACUAUCAUCACUAAUGGCUUUGAGGAAUGGGAGAUCAAUAAAAUUCAUUUAACACAUUUGAGUAUGAACAAGUUAGCAAUAAUUUGGAGCUGUUCUACACGAGCAACUCUUUGCCUGGAGUGACAAAAUGGUGCUUAAUAAGCCAAAGCAUAGUGACAAAUAUAAUUAAAUAUAAGUGUUUUCAAAAAUUCAUGAAUAUAUAUGUUGCAAAAAGUGCCAGGUGGUGUUCAAUAGAGACAGGUAAGGAAAUGAUCCUUUUAUUAGUAUGUGGUUCCAAGAUAAAAAAUUGUGAUAAAUGGAUAUAUCCUUUUUAUAUGUCAAAUAUAAUGAGGAAAAGAAUCAUACAUAAUUCUCAGCUGUCAGGAACAAUGCCAAUUAUAUGGAGAACAACUAACAACAUAAAAUUUUUGCCAACAAAAAUGAUCAGUACAAACAAAUAAUGUAAAGGACAGCCUGACUGUCAACUCAUAUUAAUAGUUCAAGCACUUUAGUUUGCUAAAACAGUAUCAAAAAGAGCAAACAAGAGGAAGCAUUUAUAUACACCUAUAUGGUUAGCUAGGAAUAUGGGCUUCUUGCACCAUAGUAUGGAAAUUUAGCAUAACUUGGUGCUUACAGUGUAUAGUUUCAGCUUUCAAAACUAAUAAUAUCAAACUGGGGACGAAGAUCCGGAAUAGUAAUUUGAUAAUAGUAAUAGCCCUAGUAAGUAGGAAGUAAAGAAAUUUCUAUUCUAGUUCCAUUUGCUUAUGAUAAAAUGCUAUGUUACUGUAACAACCUGACUCACAAGCAACAAUAACAUGUUGGGCCCAAAUCACUGACCCAAAAUACUUAAGCCCAGUUAUUAUUGUUAGCAUUCACAGUCCCUUAUAUUCCAAAUCAUAACACAUUCUAUCCAAUGUGAGAUUAUUGGGUGUCACAGACUCUUCCUGUUUUGGUCCUGACAUCCUUAUCAACCCAAUCACAUACAUAACUCAAGAUCACCAGACGAUGUGAGGUCCAUCUCACACUUCUCGCCGGUAAACUAGCUCUGAUACCAAAUAUAACGAUCUGACCCACUAGCAAUAUUAACUCGUUAGACCCAAACUACUAGCUAAAAAUGUUUAAGCCCAGUUAUUAUUGCUAGGAUCUAUUAUCUCUUAUAUUCCCAAUCACAAUCUCGUUCCCAUCUGAUGUGGAACUAAUAGGAAAUCAUAGUUACUUUAGGGCGAAAAAAAAUCUAACAACUUUUAUUCUUGCAUUUUGACAGAAAAGUAUAAUGUUAAACCAAACAAAGACAUUCCAUAGUGUCAUAAUUAAAUGUUCAGGAUGCAAAUGCAAAUGACUCCAGGGCAAAUUACAAGAAUUGAUUUACAACUAAGGAUUCGAAAAUUAGCAUAAAAAUUAUAUUCUUUCAUCAUAAAAUCUGUCUGAUCCGAAAUUUAAUUUGAUUGAUAAUCUAACAUAGAAAGAGCAAAAACAAAAGGUGAUAAUGGUGAUUGCAGCACAAAUCAUUAAACUAUCAAAAUUCACCACACAAAACACCGAAAUUUAGAAAAACUAAGCAAAACUCAUCUCCAAUAUCCAUUGGCAGAACAAAAUAAAAGCAUCAAGAUGGGACUAGUCAAACAAAACCAUUGUAAACCACUAAUAUUGGGACAAAUGAACAAAGAACAUCACUAACAGAAACCAACAACACAUUAUACUAACAAGAUCACAACUCAAAUCACUUAGGGAUACAAAUUAAUCACAUCAAACGCAGGAAUGGAGAAAUGUUAAUCAAAACUUACUUGCAAUAUCUACUGGGAGAACAAAUGAAUGCAUCGAGAUAGAAUUAAAUUGGCCCCACAAUUGAUGCAAGGAACAAAGAACACCACCUAUACAUACCAAGAAUACAUUUUUUCAACAAAUCCACCACAUCAAACUUAGGAAUUGAGCAAAAUUAAGCGAAACUCAUCUCCAAUCUCUACAGAGAGAAUGAAAUAAAUGCAUCGAGAUGGGAUCUUGCAAAGAUUUGAUAAACCAAUCUUGAACCAUCACAUUGGUACAUAUUCCUACAACAAGAUCGCUGCCACUCGCAUAGGCAAAGAACACAAUUUCACCACACGAAGCACAGAAAUUGAACAAAAUUAGGAAAAACUUAAUUCCAAUCUCCAUGGGAGAAUCAAAUAAAUGCACCAAGACAUGAAUUUUAUAUGAUGGGAGAGACCACCAUUGAACCGAUGACAUUUGUACUUAUUCUUACAACAGGGUCACCGCCACUCAAAUCGGCAAAGGAGGCAAUUUCACCACACCAAACACAGAAAUAUACAAAAUUAAGAAAACCACAUUUUCAAUCUCCAUUUGAGAGAACCAAAUAAAUGCAUCAAGAUGGGGCUUUACUAUGAUUGGCUAAAACCACCAUUGAACCAACGCCUUUGGUACAUAUUCCUACAACAAGACCGCCACUGAAUUCAACUAAAGGACACAAUUUCACCACACCGAAUACAAAAAUUUAAUUAAAUUAAGCAAAUUCCAUCACCAAUCUCCAUUGGGAUAAUCAAAACAAAUGCAUUGAGAUGGUAUUUUUGCUACUAGUGGAUAAACCACCAGUGAAUCAACAACAUUGCUAUGUAUUCUUACAACAAGAUUGCCGCCAUUCAAACAACUAAAAGUACACAAAUUUUCACAACACCAAGCAGAGAUUAAAUAAAAUUAAAAAAAAAAACUCAUUUCUGAUCUCUAUCGGGAGAAUUAUAAAUUUAAAAAAAAAAAUUGCGUCAAGAUGGGAUUUUGCUCCGAUUGAAUAAACCAACAUUGGACUAAAGACAUUGGUACGUAUUCUUAUAGCAAGAUCGCCGCCACUCAAAUCACUAGAAGGACACAACUUCACGACACCAAACACAGAAAUUGUGCUAAAUUAAGCAAAACCCAUCUCCGAUCUCAAUUUGGGAGAACCAAAUAAAUGCAUCAAAACUGAAAUUUGCUGAGACCGGGAGGAGAGGGUGAAACCUUGGCGACGGUCUUCGUGUCGAGGGCGAGGAGGCUCUCCUUGAUGGCCCUGGCGAGCUCGGGAGGAGACCUGGCGAGCUCGGGAGGAGACGCUCGGGGCUUCGACACCUUGAAGAAGAACGACAUGGCGGCGGCGACCCAAGGGUUAGGGUUUGGGAUGGGUGGGGGAAGAGCACUAGGGGGGAGUAUAAACAACGUGGGAUGUGAUCGUCGUUAUUGUCGUAGGAGGAGGGGAACGACAAAGCGAAAAGGCAACGGAAAGCGCGGAUUCCCUACAAGGUCGGUUGAUGGAAAUAUGAUAGAAAUAUAACUACUACAGCCGAGUUGCCGGGCUUGUAGGGGUGGAAACGAGCGAGCUUGCACUACCUUAUCUCCGCUUAAGUUUAUCUUAAAAUUAGAAAAAAUUUUAAAUACCAUUUCUCACUUUACUAUUCUAUAGUUUUAAAGUAUAUCACUUUCGUACCAUAUAGUUUUAUUUUUCUCCUUUUUUAUUCUCUUUACUAUUUUUUUUGUUAAAUCAGUAACAAAGUUAAAACUAAAAAGUAUUAAAACGAAUAUUCGAUAAACUAUAUAUAAAGUAUCUGAAGUUUUUUUGUAUAUGAUUUAACGAAAAGUUAACAGAGGAACUGACGAAAAGAAAUAAAUGAAACCACAGGAUACUAGAUUGAUACAUUUUAAACCACGAGAUACUAAAGUGAGAAAGUGUGAAACCACAAUGUGGUAUUUGAAGUUUACCCUUAAAAUUAAUUUUGAAUCUAAAUUUAAGCUCAAUGUCAACUUGAUAUUAAUUCGAACUAAGCUUGAGCGAGUCUAACUUGGAGUCAAGCGAACUCAAGCCCUAAACGAGCCGCUUGAAAUUAUUAUAUCAUGCAAUUUAUAGCUUAAUUUUUUAUAAAUAAACAUUAUCUAAAAUUUGAUACAAAAAUAUAUCUAGUAAUUCAAUAUACAAAGUAAAAGCAUGAAAUACAGUAUUAUAAUAUUGAAAAUAUAAUUUAGGAGAAACAACAUUGUCAGCAAGUGAAAGAGAGGGAAAGAGAGUAAUAAUAGUAGGAUUUUGAUGUUUUUGGCUCACUAGUAAUAAUAACUCGUUAGGCCCGAAGUGUCCAAGUCUCUUAUAUAACCAAUCACAUUCUCCUAUCCGUCGGGCCCAAAGUAUCUAAGUCUCUAAUAUAACCAAUCACAUUCCCCUAUCCGUUGGGCCCGAAGUGUCUAAGUCUCUUAUAUAAUCACAUUCCCCUAUCCGUCCGAUGUGGGAUUAUUGGCAUAGCUAGUCAUCUUGUCAUUCAGACUCCGACAUUGUCUAUCCGUCCGAUGUAGGAUUAUUGGCAUAGCUAGUCACCUUGUCAUUCAGACUCCGACAUUGUCUAUCCGUCCGAUGUAGGAUUAUUGGCAUAGCUAGUCACCUUGUCAUUCAGACUCCGACAUUGUCUAUCAUUCAGACUCCGGCAUUGUCUAUCACAUUGUCUUUCAGACUUUGCUCAGCUGAGACUGACAACACAUUUCUAGUGGGUGAACCGGCUCUCAUACCAAAUGUAACAAACCAACUCACUAGCAAUAAUAACUUGUUGGACCCAAACACCGGCCCAAAAUGCUUAAGCCCAGUUAUUAUUACUAGUGCCUAAAUAUCUUUUAUAGCCAAUCACACCCGGGCCCAGCGGAAGCCUGCCCGACACGUGCACAGACUAGCCGUGUAUACCAAACCUCCCCGAUAUACACAAGGCGUCUACUAAACAAGAAAUGAACAAGAGUAAGAAUCCUAACAAGGCUAUCAGAGUGAGUGACAUAAAAUCACCAAUAAUCAACAACUACGACAUCCACAAAAUAUACAUAGGUAUAAACAACUGAAUCCAAAAGUCUAAUACAACUCUAAACAUGAACAUAAUACAUCUUUUCCACAAAUACAGAAAAGAAAGAUGACAUCGGGUUCAUCUAUAAAAACUCCGUAGAAACUCUAGCUAGUCGCUAACCCCUUGCCACGAUCCCUGGCCUUUCCCGCCACGAAAGGCUCUGAAACAAAAACCAAUAACAAAUGAGGGUGAGAACUAUUAAACAAUAGUUUCCAGUGGGUAAGCCGCCGAGAGUGGCGAAAUAGACCACUUGGUCAACUGAGGCAUGCUAUAGUAAGGUAAGUAAACAACAUAGGAAUAACAAGUAAUUAAACAUGUUCAAUUUCAAGUCAUGCCUCUACUAAAGGAUUAACUAUCAUUAUAUGAUGUUCUAAUAUCACAUGUUCAGUUAUAUGCCAAUGCUAGUUUACAUGCAUGUCCAAUUUACUAUAUUGCCGCAUGGAGUAAAUCAUACUGUUCAAUGCUAUUUUAACAAUGCAUCUAUACUAAUCAACAUAGGUGUAGGUUUACUACCACUAGAGUUGUCCAUGCUAUUAAUGACUAACAUAAAGUCUCAUUAAUAUGAAUGUCCACAAGUCCAAGAAAUAUGCUUAUUCACAAGUCCAAGAAUUAUGCACUAUCUAGUAGUGGUUAUCACAUUAUACUUUAGGUGUCAUUGUUCAAUUUCAUCUUGGACCUACACAAGUGUAGUCCGAUUUGUGCCGCCUAAUGGCCCGUGGUAGUCCAACAUUCCCCUUCUAGGAAUAAGCCUGUCCCACGCCGAUCCAGUAAGCACCCAAUUCCCGCACGGGCGAGCUUAUGUCACACAGGCCAACUCCGAAGUGCCGGUUUGUGGGGAGCGAUCCUCACAAGCAUGUGUGAAUGAGCACAAUAGCAAGCAAGCAUGAUCAUCCAUCUCGAGUACACGGUCGUCAUGUCUAAAAUAUGGUACAAGCACUAACAACCCAAAGGUCCAUCUCUAUGUCAUAGUGUAAAGGUUUAACCGUUUACUAAGUCAAAUGCCACUUUAUGACAUUAAUGUUCUCUAUGCCUAGCACAUGUCCAAUGAGUCCACUAAUAUGCACUAAGCAUGUCCCGUAAAUCCACUAAUAUACACUAAGCAUGUCCCAGGGAUCCAACUACUGUACACUAUGUCAAGCAUAAGUCACUAGUACUCCAUAAGCAUAUAAAACUUGUCUUUGUCCUAACUAGGAUUAGCUCACUAUUUGCUCAAGACUCAAAUGAGGGCUCAUACACCCUAUCCCGUUAUAACCAAGGAUGUUACUUCUUAUGUCAUAUGCAAAGAUAAUGCAAGAUGUUCACAAAAUUCAUAAUGCAUGUCAUGCACAUGCUUUUCUACCAAUGCCUCCACUACAUGGAGUAAAUAUGCUCUAUCAAGCAAGUGAUUUCAUUCCACUAGAGUUAUAUGUAAUUAUCCCAAUUAUGGUUCGCCCCACAGGCGUCGUAAUCUCAUUACACAUGUCUAAGUCAUGGAAUGUAGCUAUCAAUCUCUUAAGUCGAAUACAUUGUCAUAUGUCAAGUCCUAGUUAUCCCACUAAGUUAGAUAUAAGGGAAAGCUUCAAAUACCCCUCUUGUGGUUUCACUUUUUCUCACUUUAGUACCCUGUGGUUUAAAGUGUAUCAAGUUAGUACCCUGUGAUUUUGCACCUUUUCACUUUAGUAGCCUGUGGUUUAAAGUGUAUCAUGUUAAUACCUUGUGAUUUGGCACUUUCUCACUUUAGUACCAUGUGGUUUAAAAACUGCAGGGUACUAACUUGAUACAAAAAUAAAAUCAUAGGGUACUAACUUGAUACAAAAAUAAAACCACAGAGUACUAACUUGAUACACUUUAAACCACAGGGUACUAAAGUGAGAAAGUGCGAAACCACAGGGUACUAACUUGAUACACUUUAAACUACAAGGUACUAAAUGAAAAUGUGCGAAACCACAGGGAGGUUUUUUGAAGUUUUCCCUAGAUAUAACGAGCUUAGCUUCAUGUUAGCCUUACUAUUCACUAGGUCACAAUGUCACAUUUAUCUUGUCCAUAACACGUGUAGUUCAACAUGCAAGUUGAUCACCUUUCUACUCCAUUCACUAUGGACACACCAAGUCAGGAACCAUUAUUCUUUUCUAACAUACUUCCUAAGAUUCAUAAGAGUUAAUCAUCAAGAAGUGCUUCUUAGUGUACAAGUUCACAUUGUAUGUCUCUACUUUAUAGAGCUUAAAUUUUCCUACACAUAACAUGUAUGAAGCAUGCUUUCAUAAAUUCUACCAUGUCAUGAAUAACAUGAAUAUGCACCAAAUUAUGUCUUAUAACUAUAAGGAAGACAGAGAGGGAGUUCACCCAUUUCGGUGAGGUCAAACCCUCCGGAUAUUCCUCGAACUCUUUCGUUCCUUUGAAUGAAGUUGUCCACCAAGCUUCUAGCACCUUAAAAGAAUUUCUAAGAAGGUUACAAGUUUCGAACGAACAUCAUACAAAAAUAUUCAAAAAUCAAACCUAAAUAGGUAGAAAAAUACCUUUACCCAAGAAGAACUUGAUCAAAGUCCCAAUUGAAGUUACAAAGCUUCAAAUCCAACCUAAAUGAGAGUUCUACACUCAUCAAUUAGGUCCCAAAAGCCUCAAAUCAAGAAACCCCAAAUAAAACCCUAGUUUUUCCAAAACUAGGUUUCAUCUACAAAUCUUGCCAAAAAUCACAACUAGAUAAUGCAAGAUGAGUACUAACCUCAAGCAAAGCUCCAAACCAAGAUAUCUUGAGCUAGGGUUGAAGAUUGAUCCACCAAGAAGCUCCUCUCUUCACAUCCAAGCUUUCUCCAAGGUCCACAAGCUUGCCACCAAGAAGAGGAAGAAGAAAAGGAGAUCAAAACCCAAAUUAAAAGAAAUUUGAAAGGGAAAAUCUAGAGAAAGAAAGGGAGAAAGUCCUACCUUUCCUCUUUUCCAAGCUCAGCACAAAAGAGGGCUGUGGGGGAGAAAGGGGUUAUAUAUACAAGUUGUAACAAAUUCCAAAAAGCCCUUCCAAACACCAGAAAUUACAAACUGAACGAACUGCAGUUUUUGCACUACGUACCGGUACUCGGGCAAGAGUAACGGUACCCGGCAACCAGAUCUGCCAAACCCGAGCCUCAGUCAAGCCAUCUAUUUACGGCGUACUAGUACCUGCUUGAUGCAGUACCGGUACCCGACACCAGUUCCGAUACUCGGUAACCUAGUAUCGAUACCCAGCACCUCUCAGCCCAAACCCAAGAGCAGCUCUCUCAGUUUCGCACUGGGGUUCUAGUACUUCACCCAGGUACCGAUAGUCGGCACCCCAAAACCUGAAUUUUCAGAUUUUGGUGCUAAGUACUCCUUCUCGCGUUCUCGCAAGACGAGUAAUAGGUCGAUGCUCAGUCAACGACCUUCAAAAAUACCAGGGAUAGCUCAAAGCGCUAUUCAGACACUGUAACCUCGCAAUUUGCUAAGGUUCAGGGUGCUACAUACCUAUUCUUAUCCGAUAUGGGAUUAUUGGGGUGUGUCACUAUAUACAUAAAAUUAAUAUACAUAAUAUAUAUAUUAUUAUAUAUGUCACGCCCGGGUUCCAGCAGAAGCCUACUUAAUACGCACACAGACCCGCAAUAUACCUAAAGUAUACAAAGCAUCUACAAUAAACAUGUUAUGAAUAAUACCAAGGAAUAGUAAUAUCUAACAUGAUAUCAGAGCCUAAAAUACAUACUAUACUCUAAAGGCAAAUCACAAAAGAGGUAAACUACUAACAUGAAUAACUUCCAAGCCGCUCAUACAUCCAACAUAAACAUCUCUAUAUAUGUGGUGGUCUCUAUACAUAAGUACAUAAACCUCUCCAGCUCACUCAAAAAGAGAGGUGAUCACCUAGCGAGACUCCGAGCUCUGCCUAACUAGACGCGACCUCCUUACCGCGAUCCCUAGCCUCUCUCGCUGUGGAUGGCUCUGAAAAUAAAACAACAAUAAAUAGGGCAUGAGAACUAUUAGUCAAUAGUUCCUAGUGGGUAAGCCAAACAAUAAUAUGCAACCCGUAUAACACCUGAUUAUGCAUGCUACAUCAUGUCCAUUAUUGUACACUAUUUAGUAGUGAUUAUUUAAUUAACAUCUUUAGUUAUCUUUACUCUAUUUAUAAGGAUCUACACAAGUGUAGUCCGGCUUGCGCCGCACCUAAUGGCCCCAUGGUAGUAUACACUCCCCACGACAAUCCUCUUCAGCACUCAAUCCUACAUGGGCGAGCAUAAUGUCGCGUAGGCCAACUCCGGAGUGCCGGCUUGUGGGGAGCGACCCUCACAAGCAUGUGCGAAUGAGCACAAUGGCAAGCAAGCAUGAUCCACAAUACAAAGCUCUCAAUCCUCAUGUCUAAAAUAUGUAAUGUCCUCUACCGACCUAUAGGUCGGAAUCUAAAUCCAAUAUCAAGUGCUAGUCAUUAACUAGGUUAUCAACAAUAACAUGAAAUUCAUGCUAGUUUUAUCAUGUAUGUACAAAUUCCCAACUUGUUUAUACAAGUAUGAUAAUCAUCAUAUAAUGAGUUUAAUGCAUCUAACUCCCUACUUCAUAGAGAUAUGACUUGCCAUAUAAUGUAAAUACCUCUAAUACAUCCAACAACUCAAUUAUAAUUUUACUAGCAUAUUAUGCAUGCUCUCCAAUUCAUGAAUAAUAAUAAGAACAUAAGGGGAGUUCACCCAUUUCGGUGAGGUCAAACCCACCGAACACUGGUUGACUCCUUUUGAUCACUCAAAUGAAGAAGCUUCCUAGCCUCCAAGCACCCUAACAACCAUUUACGAUUAAUUAGAGAUCAAGCCGCGACUUGCUCUUGGGUUCCAGGUGUCCGUGGCGGCCCGGUGAUGGCCGGAGGAGCUCGGGGCUAUGGCGAUCCGUCGCUGGAGGCAGAGGGAGGGACGGUGCUCCCCGCUAUGAGCGGCGGCGACGUGCGAUGGCCAAGGAGGCUCGGCCUCGGCCCGCACCAGGUCUGGGCGACCGUAGUAGUCACGAGCGGUGGCCGGCGGUGCGCGAGGACGGCGAAAAUCGGGCGCGGGAGGUCCCCGGUGCGCACAGGGAGGCAGGGCGACCCACCUCGAGGCGGUUGCAGCUCGCGGUUGCGAGCUGACUCAAGCUCGGCCCGAGCUGCAGAAGAUGACCACGGAUUGCCUUGGUGGCGCCGGCGACGCGUGCGGGCGGCGACGGCCUGUGGGGACGACGUCAGGGGAGUUCCAGGAGCGUGGUGCUUUCAACCCUGAGCAGCAGCGGCGCGAGGAGAGGGAGAUCUAACCACCUCGGCCAGAUCUAUCCAAUCUUGGUUGCAGCUUGCCAGGGCGGCGGCGGCGGCGGCGGCACUCGGGAGCGGCGGUAUCGACAGGGAUGGUCGCCGAGUUGGGGGCCUGCUGUAACACACUGGACCUUUGCAAAUUGCGAGGUUCGAGUGGUUGGUCGUGUUCUGAGCUUUCCAGAUUUUCUGGUGGGUUGUUGACUGUGUUGCGACCUAUGGCACGUGUCCCGAGAUUUGUGGUACAAAGCCUUGCACCAAAACCCGAAAAAACGGAAUUUGGCUGACUCUCGGAUUGAGUUCUGGCGGGCUUGUACCGGUACAAGGUUGUGCUUGUACCGGUACAAGGCUGAUGGUUGUACCGGUACAGCCAUCGAAGCUUGUACCGGUACAGAGCCGCAGAGCCCAGCAACCCGAGCCUCGGGUUUGGAUUUCGUGGACCUUGUACCGGUACGGAUAGGUGAUCCAAGUGUGUACAGGACUCGAGUUACGGCGAAUUGCUGUAAUCGAGAGAUCAAGUGUAUAGAAGAUUUACCGCUAGAACAGUAGAAAGUACAGUGUUCAUUUGAGAGAUGAUGUAUCUCCAGGUUUUAAAGUAGUAUACAUUGUAUACAUAAAAUUCGUAAGAUUCUUAGUAUUAUUUAUGUAAAUCAUACUUGUACGUACGAAAAAGUUAAAUACCUCGUAUAUAGUGCUAUAUACUCUUAAAAAGUAUACUAUCCGAUCCAGUUUGGGUGGUUUUAGCUUUGAAAGCAAAGCGGCUUGCCUCCAAAGGUGUUCGAAGGAUCGUGGGAUCCUUGUAGUUUUCUUACCCCAGUGGGUUUGCUUUGCUUCUCGCUUAUCGAGUUUGUAAUUGGAUCUUCGUUUUCCGGUUUUGAGUGGAGUGUUCUUCUUUAGGAGAGGAUUCGAGGUUUCCCCUCGAUCUUAGGAAGGUUAGAUAGGAUCUCCUUCCAAGAUUAGGUUAGUUAGUUCGAGGUUUUCGGGAUUUUAGUUUUACGGGUUUUAUUCGGGAUUUAGAGGUUAAAUCCCAAAGUAGUGCUUUAGGAGUUAUUUUGAGAUAAAAUCUCCUUCUCUUGUUCACCUAAUGGAGAACCUUCGAAAUUCAGUUCGAGAUUUACGAGGUUCAGGUUCCUAGAGGGGACUUGGUUCGAAGUUUUGUUUCGGGGUUUCCACCUUUUCGGAGGUUAGUUCGUUUUCUUCGUUUUCUCUCCAAAUUAGAGAAUUUUAGGAUGGUUUUAGGUUUAUCUAGUUUUCCUUUAGUUUCUCCCGAGGGAAUGGAGAGGAGAACGACCAGGGUUCGAGUCCUCUUCUGGGGAUCCCGCACCCCCAAUGAUUAUUCUUCAGGUGUUAGCGUUUUUCGGGGGACGUCAAGUUUGACGUGCUUUAGUCGGGGGAACAUGGUCAUGUGCCCGAGAANNNNNNNNNNNNNNNNNNNCUUGAGACUUGGACUAUGCUUGCUUGCCAUUUGUGCUCAUUCGUACAUGCUUGUGAGGGUCGCUCCCUACAAGCCGGCACUCCGGAGUUAGCCUACGCGACCUAUGUUCGCCGUGCGGUAUCGAGAAGCCUACGGGGUCGGGAGGGAUAGACUCAUUCCUAGAGUGGGAAUGUUGGGGCUACCACCGACACUUAGGCGGCACAAGCUGGAUUACAAUAUGUAGAUCCUAAAACAUGUCUGAUUAAUGACAUUGAACCGGGAAUGGAUAAUCACUACUAGAUAGGUUUAGUAGUUGAAUUACAUUUAUAUGCUUUUAGCAUAGUGUUGAGACAUGUAGUAUACUUGAUAGUCUUUUAUUGCAUUAAAGCAUAUUUGGUUACCAUGACAGAACCUAUGCAUCAUGUAUUGAUAAAGGUUAAUGACAUUAACUAUUGCCAUUAGACAUACUAUUAUGAUAUCGUAGACAUACAUCACCAUGACAUCGUGUAUACUUGAGUUUAGUAAUUUAGCAUUUUAAUUAUGCUUUUAUAUCGCAGUCAUUAUUGCUAUUAUUAUUGUACUUACCUUUUUUUUUUCUUGGGGCCUAGUGGUGCAUAGAGCUGAGGUCAGUAAUUGCCCACUGGGAACUAUAAAUUAUAGUUCUCACGCCCUCUUUUUCUCGAUGUUUUUCAGAGCCUUCCACGCAGGGAGAGGCCAGGGAUCGCGAAAAGAGUAUCGCCUCGGGCUAGCGCGCUUACCGAGGGAUCGUUCGAUAGGUGGUCUACCUCUCGUGUUUUCUUUUUGUGAGAGGUUGAGAGUUGUACCCGUAUAUGUAUAGAGACCACCAUUUUUGUACUUGAGGCAGAUGUUGUAUUACACUAUAUCUUAUAGUUUACUUUUAUUAUUUUUAAUAGUUUCUUUCACUCUUGCUCUGAUAUCUCUAGAUGUAGGCUAUUUCUUGCUUCUAUUUCCGCUUUUAUUAUAGACGCCUUAUAUGUGUUGACAUAUGGCGGGUCAGGGCGCGCUACCGGGAGGGCCUCCGCCGGUCCCGGGGCGUGACACCUGCUGUCAGAGGUGGAGCUCGAGGGUGUGGGGUCACCCUGGCAGCAAUGCAAGCCGAGAUGAAGGGAGGAGGUUGUGAGAGAAGUAGAGAGGGAGGCUGAGUGGGGCUUUUCCGGCGGCUGGGAAUGCUUGCCGGCGACUGGGGCACGCGCACGGCUAGGGCACAAUGGUGCUGAUGAUGGCUUAGAUCAGCUCCAGUUGAGGAGAAGACCAAGGGCUAGGGUUUUCCUCAUGAAACCCUAGUUGCCAACCUUAAAUACCAUGUGUACAUUUGCGAAAAGGUCCUCUAAAGCUGCAUAUUAAAAUCCCAGUCCCUGCCAGCGUGUGUAUUUUGCACACAAGCCCCUCGACGUUCGAAAUCACGCAAAACGGCGCAUAAAAUAUUGGCCUUUUCGCGAUUUUUUCGUUUGCCGACUUCGACCCCUCAGCGAACAUUUCGCAAUUCCCGAAGAUCCGUCCGUCGGAUUUCCGAACGGAUUGCGCCAGCGCGUUCAGCACGACUGGGCAUCGAAUAUAGCAUUUUGUUUCAUUCAAUUUGAUCGCAGAUUCACGACGAAACUCAUCUACUCUCCAAAUACCAAAAACCACAUAUAUACCUAUAUGUGUAAAAACAAUAAACCUCCUUUUUCUCGAAAAUCGUGUAUCAGAUCUGAAAUCUGUCAGUGCCAUUAGUUCCAGAAUAGCUGAACCAUUCAAAACGAGCUAUUGGAUCGCUAUGAACGGAGUCCGAUGCGCACCAGAAGCCAACUCUACUCAUCAGCCUCUCCGAAAAAUCGGAGUUACUAUUCACUUUAAGUGAUUAGUAUUUAUCGCGAACUUCUCCAUUCUAACUCGUUUUCUCCUGAAACUUGACGAGUGCUUAUGUAAUUAAAUUACACACAAAAACAUUGUCAACAGAGAGUUUAGCUACACUGCCAAAAUCUCAAUCCUUACAAUAGACUUGAUGAUUGGCUCUGGUUAUGUGAUCAUUUUGAUUUAGAAGCCUUCCAGUGUCACACCCUGUGGUCCCUUUGUAGUUUAAAAACACAGCGAAAGUGUCUAAAUUUUUUUUUUUUAAACCUGACCCCUAGGGUAUGCCAGAUCCGCCACAAAUACAGGGAGUCUACUGUUCACACGGACAGAGUCUCCUCUGCAUUUGCACGGCGUCGCACAAGUACAAGGUACUUAAACAGAACACAACCACCACAACUGAAUAUAUAAACAUUCAACAUUCAUACAUUCAUACACCAUUCACAACAGAUUCACAUUCAGAGUUUUAAUCAUAAAUCCACAACCAUUAGUUUAAAAUAUUUCCUACCCGAAAACUGGUUUUGAAAUACUAAGUCACGUAAACCACGAGAAAACCUUUUAAAAAUUGUUUCCCACACGGAAACUCUUUUCUUUUUAAAACACGCUAUCAUGAGCAGUAGAAAACCAUUUUCAUUUCACAAAAACUCACAAAUCCUUUAUUACAUGCAUGAAAUCCCAAAUUCAAAUGUAAUAAGAUGCUGAACCAUAUAAACUGUCUAAUUCAAUUAUUGAAGGAAGUUAGAGUUUAGAAUUUAAACUAAUGGAUGGGUCUGAAAGCUCUACCGAACGACUAAGAGCGCUCCUCACGAACCAUCCCACUAGGAUUAACGACGUCACCUGUAAUGGGGGCGGGGGGUAAGAACAUAUAAAUAUGUCUCCCCUCCCAGUGGGUACCGCAAGUCGACGAGGGCGAGGGGUACUCACCAGUCACGGAGAAUAAACAAAGGUAUAGGUAAGUGUAAUACUGCAGCAACAAUAAUACAUGAACAGGAUGUAUAAGAACAACUAUCGCUACUAUAUGAAUGCAUCAACCAGAUGACAAGUCCAAAAAUACCCAAUCUAAAACCAAUGCUCUGUUCGUCCGCACCGCAAACCUCAAGCCUGUGCCACUGCUACUCUACCAUGCAUAUAACCCCUCAAGUUGGCACCUGCAACCACUUUUACAAAAAAGAAUACCCUCUUGCGGUGGAUCAGACCGCUGAUGUUCAUGAAAUGUGUACGACUAUUGGGGGUUCAAUGCUGAUAUGCUCAAUGGCCAACUGUCGGCAACAAGCCGACAAUCCUCCCUUCAGGGCACAUCGACCGUAUAGGUCAUCAAGUAGUCCAAUCGACCAAGUAGGUCACAACCGUGCAAUAAGCCGACCAAAUAGGUCACAGAUACGAGAUAUGAAAACCGUCCAACCAGGUCACAAAUGCGAGAUAUGAAAACCGACCAACCAGGUCACAGAUACGAGGUAUGAAAAUCAACCAACAAGGUCACAGAUAUCAUAUGCAGAUAAAUCUACUCUACUCAUCCUCAUGAUACUAAACAUGAAAACAACCGAGUAGAGUAAUACGGAAACAACAUGGGUGCAAGGCUCAAUAUAUAUAAUAUGCAAUAUAAACAACUAGGGGUGAAAGGAACGUCACCGAGCGUGCACCACUGUACCGACUUCGGGUCGAAGUACCCACCUAUACGAAUACGGUACGAAUCUUCCGACUGCAUAGGAAAUAACAACCGGACCUGUCUACCAGGUUAGAAUCUAACCCACCAACAAGUACCACUAACUCACAAUCCCCACUCAUAGCCCCACGGGAAUCAGUUUCUCAAAACCGACUGCCGUAACACGCCGUAAGUCCCGAAAACAGCAUCGGGACUCCGCCGGGACUCACGAACUGUCCCAGAACACACCGACUCGGACUACGAGUCACCCGCUGCCACUAAACACCAUUAUCCAUGGGCACUUGGCAGCAAACACCUCGCCUCACAUCGAAACGAUUAUCGUCGGAUAAUCGUUCCGAUCCGGGUUUCCGAAAGUGUCGAUUUCAACACCGGAAGCCACCGUCACUCACCUGUCAUUUUCGAACCUUCAAAACGACGUGGGUGACCAACCAACAAGGCUUAGUGACAUAACAAUAGCUCACGAGGCACUGUCGGAAGAAUUUCGAACUAAAAUCGCGUUCCGUCAGCAGAUUUUGCCGACAAAUGCACCGAAAAUCAAUUUUUGAUCUUUGAAAAGGCCGGGGGGCUUGGAGAACCAGUCCAGAGGUUACCCACUACCCACACAUACUGCCAACAGCAGCCACGAAAUAAGCAAUUGCAUAAAAGUCCUCCCGAUUGCAUAAAAUCACGUUAUCUUAUGUGAUUUCUGGGCUUUUAUGGUCCGACCGUGCAACCCAAGGGUCAUUCAGCUAAGCCGAGACACCCACUGACAGGUCUCGGCAUGCCAGAGGCUGUGCUUACCCUUCGGAGCACUACCGGCCACUGUGGCGGCCGCACAAACGACGCAAACAUCAGUGAAACAGCGCGCACAGCGCCUAAAUCGCGUCUAUCCCGCAAACCAGGGCAUCUCUGACCCUAACGGAGGUGAGCAUGAUAUUCAGCACGAAACAAAGGUCAUCGUGCUCACUUCCAAAGCUAUCGGGGUGCCUUCGGAUCGUCGGAAAGGCGACCAGAACUCCAAAACGGUGUGCAGAAAAUUAACAACAGCCUUACCGGAGCAGUGGGAGCACGGGUUGGCCACCGGCGGCCGGACGGUGAGCGCUCCGGUAGGGGACGGUGAGUGCUCCGGUAGGGGACGGUUGCGGCCAGUCAGUAGGGUCCGGGGCAGGUGCUGGCCCGCGGCGGGCGGCAGCCGGUGGCGCGGCGGCAGAGAGCAACCCGCAACUUGCUCUCGGGUUCACGGGAUCCGUGGGGGCCAGGCGGCGGUCGGAGGAGCACGGGGCGACGGCGAUCAGUCGUCGGAGGCCGAGGGAGGGGUGGUGCGCUCAACGGUGGGCGGCGGCGACGCAUGGAGACCCUGCGGGCUCCGGCUCGGCCCGCCCAAUGUCUGGACGGCCGCAGAGAGUGGGAGCGGCGGCAAGCGGCCUCGGGGGCGGUAGCGAUAGCGCGCGGGAGGGUGCAGGCGGCCAGAAGGAAGCAGGGCCCCCGAGCUAGGGCGACUGUGGCACGCCGGCCUCGAGCUAGGCUGAGCUCGGCCCAGGCGGUUCAGGGUUGGCGGUAGAGAGCUCGGGGUGGCGCCGGCAACCCACGGGGUCGGCGAGGGCCGGCGGGGUUGGCACUGGAGAUGGGUCUCGGCCAGAGGGGGCGAUCACCUCGGGUUAGGGUGACUUCCAAAGGCCAACAGCCAAUGUGGUGGAGACAAGAGGAGGGAGGAGUUGAGAGGGAGGUUUUCCGGUGGCUGGAGCAGCUUGCCAGCGGCCCGGGCGUGCGCAUGGCGAGGGCAGAGAGGAGGUGGGAUGGUUAGGGUUAGCUGGGUGGACUAGGGCAGCAAAAGGGUUAGGGUUUUCAUGGAAACCCUAGCUCUUUAGCUUUUAUACAAGAUGGAAAAAGUGCAAUUUAGUCCACCCCUGCUCAUUAAUUUCAACUCAGUCCCCGUCAAUACGUGAAUUAUGCACACAAGUCUCUCAACGUUCGAAUUUGCGUGAAAUGGCGCAUAUAAUAUUAGCCUUUUCUCAGAUUUUCCGUUUCGCCGAUUUCGACCCCUCCGAGAACAUUUUGCGAUUCCCGAAGAUCCGUCCGUCGGAUUUCCGAACGGAUCGCUCCAGAGUGUUCAACAUGACUGGGGCAUCGAAUCUACCAUUUUGUUUCGUCCGAUUUGGUUGCCAAUUUGCGACGAAAUUGACCCUCUCCACUCUCCAAAAACCACACCUAUACAUAUAGAUCCAAUAAAACUCUUUUUCUCGAAAAUUGUGCAUCAGAAUCCAAAUCCGUCCAUGCCAUUGGGUUCGGGAUAGUCGAACCAUCGAAAAUGAGCUAUUGGAUCACUAUAAACGGAGUCCAUUACGCACCAGAAGCCAUCUCCACUGAUCGGCCUCUCCGGAAAACCAGAGUUACAUCACUUUAAGUGAUUAGUAAUGAUCGCGUAACUUCUCCAUCCUAACUCUUUUUCUUCUGAAACUUGACGAGUGUUUAUAUAAUUAAAUUACACACAAAACAUCGUCAACAGAGGAUUUAGCUACACUGUUAAAAUCUCGGGUAUUACAUCCGGGUAAUACAAUUUUUUAUUUCUUUAAUUUCAUGGUGAACAAGAAGUAUAUUGUUAUUUUGAUUAUUAUGAGCAGGUUAAUAUACAAAAAUUUAUUUGUAUCUCUACCAAAAAUAUAGUUAUUACACUUCUUAAUAUGUUAAUAUUAAAAAUUGUUUUUUAAUUCUUCUUUACAGAGACGUUCAACGGCCAACUCCAGUAACCGAGGAAAUUUACCAUAUAUUCAUCGAGCGGGUACUAGGACAUUUGUGGCUACUCGGCAUAAAUUGGUAUAUUUUAAAAUUUUUAAUCUAGCAUAAUUUAUUUUUCAUGAAUUGUACUAAUGUGUUAUAUUAUAACGCAACAAUGUGGUGAGAUUGUCUUAUUCAAGGGAUGUUAUCAUAAUGGAAAAGGAUGGGCCAAUGAUGAGACAAAAAAAAAAUAUGUUAGUUCUUACCAUUUUUGAAUAUAUGUUAAUAAAUUAUUAUAUAAAAGAUAUAGUUAAUAAUUUUUUGAACAUCAUAUGUAUUAGAUUAACUGUUUAUAUUAUUUCUUCUAAUUAUAGGAAACUAUGGUGAAUAUGCAAUCACAACCUCCUUCUGACGAGAAUGAAGUUCCUACGAUUGCGCAAGAAAUUUGUGCUCAAGCACUUGCCACUAGAUAUGGAUGCAUACCUGGGCGAGGUCAUAGUCCAAAGCAUAAGUCACGACGUGAAGUUUCAAAAAAUCAAUCAUCACAGCUACAAGAAGAAUGGACAAAUACAAAGACUCUUCUCGAGACCCAACAAUCUCAAAUUGAGACUCAACAAUCUCAAAUUGAAACUCAACGUAAGGAGACACUACAACAAUAUUGAACUAUUGUCACGCCCCGGGGUCCCUUUUAGUUUGAAAAUACAGCGGAAGUGACUAGAAUUUUUUUUUUUUUGAAAACCUGGCCCCAGGGUAUGCCAGAUCCGCCACAAAUACAGGGAUUCCACUGUUCACACCAAUAGAGUCUCCCCUGUAUUUGCACGGCGUCGCACAAGUACAAGAUGUAAAACAGGAUACAACCACAACUAAAUGAAUAUACAAGUCAUCAUACAUUCAAUAUCCAUACACCAUUCACCACAGGUUCAUAAACAUAGAUCUGAAUAUAAAUCCACAACUAUUAGUUAAAACGUUUCCUACCCGAAAACUUAUUUUGAAAUACUAAGUCAAGAAAACCACGAGAAAACUCUUUUGAAAGCUGUUUCCCACACGGAAAUCUUUUCUUUUGAAAACACGCUAUCACGAGGGGUAGAAAACCUUUCCUUUUUUACAAAAAUCCAGAAAUCUUUAUCUCAUUCAGAAAACCAACUGAAAUCUUGAAUAAUUAAACAUAAUGAAAUACUGAACCAUAUAGAUGUCUAAGUCAAUUAAUGAAGGAAACUAGAGUUUAGAAUUUAAACCAAUAGACGGGUCCGAAAGCUCUAUCGACCGCUACGACGUGUCUCAUGUCUCGUCUCAAACCGCACAGCCCGCAAUACCUAAAAAAUGGUGGGGGAGGUGAGAACAUGUAAACAUGUCUCCCCUCCCAGUGGGUACCGCAAGCCGAUGAAGCCGAGGAGUACUCACCGGAUCAGGAAGAGAUAAACAAGGUAAUGAGCAGAUAUACUGAAUACAGUAGCAAUAAACUGAAAGAAAGUAGGAACUAUACUGAAUAACGGCUACCGCUAUUGUAACUAAAACAGAAAGCAUACAUGAAUAUCUACUAUAGUAGCAAGACAACUGUAAAGUAAGAGCUGUAAGUAUGCAUGCAACGACUGCUACUAUAGACAUAUGCGUCAACUGGAUGUAUAGACCAAAUAUACCCAAUCUGAAAUCUGUUGCUCUGUUGGUCCGCACGUGAAUCUCAAGCCUGUGGCCUGGAGGUCCGCACCGCAAACCUCCUGACAGUACCACUGCCACUCUACCAUGCAUAUAACCCCUCUAGGGCUCACGGGUUGACACCUGCAACCACUUUUCCAGAAAAGAACACCCCUUGCGGUGGAUCAGACCGCCGGUGUUCGUGAAAUGCGAACGAGUCUCGGGCGGUCAAUGCUGAUAUGCUCAAAGGUCAACCAUCGGCAACCAGCCGACAAUCCUGCCCACAGGACUCACCGACUAUAUAGGUCAUCAACUAUAAGAAAGCACAAGAACCGACCACUUAGGUCAAUUAGGAUGGAACGACUCUACAUCCUCUCAAAAGUAUGGAAAUACUGCUCGAUAGGUCAACUAAAGUAUAGAUGCAAGAACCAACCAAUAGAUCACAAGAAUGUAUCACUAUAAUCUGGAACUACCGUCAGCCACUAGCCGACAAUCCUACCCCUCAGGGUACACCGACCUCAACGGUCAUCGGACAACAGAAGUCAAAGAACCGACCAACCAGGUCACUAAUACGAAGUAUAAGAAACCACCAACCAGGUCACCAAUACGAAGUACGAGAAUCGACCAACCAGGUCACUAAUACGAAGUACAAGAAACCACCAACCAGGUCACCAAUACGAAGUACGAGAAUCGACCAACCAGGUCACUAAUACGAAGUACAAGAAACAACCAACCAGGUCACUAAUACGAAGUACGAGAAUCGACCAACCAGGUCAUAGGUAUCACAAAUAGAUAGACUACUCUACUUCUACACCUGAGUAGAGUGUAAUGUAAACAAUAGAGGUGCAAAGCUCAACAUAUAAUAUAUGCAUGGAUAAUAACAAAAGAGCAAGGGUAUGAAACCAUCACCGAGCGUGCACCACUGUACCAACGUCGGAUCGAAGUACCCACCUAUAAGGAUGUCGCGCAUGUCUCCUAUCUGCGAAAGAAUGACAACCGGACCUACGGAGGGUCCACCGGGUUAAUAUCUAACCCACAACUAAGAAAUACUAAACACAUAGCCCCACAAAUAAACCUACGGGAAUCGGUUUUCCAAACCGAUCACCGUAAUACGCCGGAGGUCCCGUAAUCGCAUCGGGACUCCGCCGAGACCCAGUAACUGUCCCGGAACACCCUGACUCCAGAUAUGAGUCGCCCGCUGCCACUAAACACCUAUUUUAGUGUGACAUGGCAGCAAAAACACUAACUCGACGCGGAACGAUUAUCGUCGGAUAAUCGUUCCGAUUCGGGUUCCCGGAAGUGUCAAUUUCGACACCGGAACCCACCAUCGCUCACCCGUCGUUUCCGAACCCUCGAAAUGACACAGGUGACCAGCCAACAAGGCUCAGCGACGUCGCAAUUAAUCACAAAGCACCGUCGGAAGAAUUCCGAACCAAACCCGCGUUCCGUUGACGAAUUUCGCCGAGAAACGCGCUGGAAAUCACUUUCCGACUUUCGCAAAGGCCUGGGGCCUUGGACAAUCAGUCCAGAGGUCACCCUCUACUCACACAUGCUGCCAACAGCAGCCGCGACAAACCAAAAAGCAUAAAAGCCCCUCUGAUUACCCGAAAUCACAUUAUUUUAUGUGAUUUCGGCGCUUUUAUGGUCCCCUACACAAACCAGAAGUCAAUUAGCCAAGACGAGACACCCGCUGACAGGUCUCGGCGUGUCGGAGGCCGUGCUCACCUUUCGAAGCACUGCCGGCCACUGUGGCACGCGCACGAGCGAUGCGAAAAUCAGUGAAACAACGCAUACAGUAGGAAAAGCAUGCUUAUCUCGCUAACCAGGGGCUCGUUGACUCUAAAUGGGGUGAGCACUGUGAUAAGGACUGACAGACGAUCACCGUGCUCACCCCCGGAGGCAUCGGAACAGCCUCGGGUUGCCGGAACAGUGACUAGAACAAGAAACUAUGCGCAGAAAGGCUGAAAUCAAGCUUACCGGCCAGGGGUGAGCUAGGGCUGGCCGGUGGCGGCCGGACGACGGGAGCGCUAGCGGAAGGAGGCUUCAGGCAAUGCAGGGAAGCCAGGGGAUGCAUUUGCCGGCGUCGGAAGGCGUCGGCGACGACGGCAUUUGAUGCCCUAGGCACCCAAACCCGAGGAGGACACGGCCCAAAUCCGGCCGACAGGGAGCUCCGGUGACGUGGUCGCCGGCGGUGGGCGAGUGCGGCCGGCCAGGCGGAGCCGGUGCUCAUGCCGGCCAGCGGCGGAAGGUGGCUGCGGCUGUGCUGGAGCAUUCCUAGCCCGCGCGGGUUCAGCUCGAGCUCAAAGGGUAGCGGCGGCCACGGCGGUGGUCGGAUGAGGGUCAGGGCAACGGCGGCACGUCGUCAGAGGCCGAUGGAGGGUGGCUCGCCUUGCUGCAGGCGGCGGCGACGUGCGGUGGCCGAGAUAGCUAGGUCUCGGCCCGCUCAAGGUCUGGGCGACCGCAGAGAGGGAGAGCGACGGCCGGCGGCGUCGAGAACGGCGGAGAUGGCGCGCGGGGCCACGCCGGAGGCCAGAUGAGGCAAGGCGGUCGGGCUAGGGUUGCUAUAGCUCGCAAGUCCCGAGCUUAAGUCAGCUCGGGCCGUGCUUGCCUAGGUUGCCCGCGGCUUGCUUGGGCGGUGCCGGCGGCGUGCGAAGACGGCGGGGAUAGCCGGAGACAGCGCCGAGGAAAGGUCUCUGCCCAGGAAAGCUUCCAGGGAGGGUUUGUGGCAACUUCCCAAGCAGCUUCGGCAGAGAGGAGAAGAGGGUGGCCGAGAGGGGAGGAGAGAAAGAUGAUGAUGGGCUAUCCGGCGGCUGGAGCCGUUCGCCGGACGUCAGGGUACGUGCACAGGCAGGGCGGGGAUGAAGGUAGGGCGGCUAGGGUUUGCUGAGUAAACUUGGGCAGCAAAAAGGCCAAGGAAAACCCUAGUUGCCACAUUUAUACUAAGUGUCAAUUUGCAAGAAACCCCUUCAAAGUCAACUAUUUACAGUUAGGUCCCCUGCCAGCACGUGUAUUAUGUGCCUAAGUCCCCCGACGUUCAAAUUCACACAAAACGGCGCAUAAAAUAUUGGACAUUUUCGCGAUUUAACCAUUUUGCCAAUUUGACCCCUCAGCGGACUUUUUGCGAUUCCCGAAGAUCCGUCCGUCGGAUUUCCGAACGGAUUGCGCUAGCGCGUUCAGCAUGGCUGGGGCAUCAAAUCUAGUAUUUUGUUUCGUCCGAUUUGGUCUUUGAUUUGCGACAAAACCAACCCUCUUUGCUUCCACCACAUAACCACCUAUAUUAAUAUAUGUGAAAUCAAUCAAACCCCUUUUUUCCGACAACCGAGCAUCAGAACCCAAUUCUGUCAAUGCCAUUGGGUUCAGAAUAGUCAAGCCAUUAGAAACGAGCUAUUGGAGUCCUAUGUUCGGAGUCCAAUACGCACCAGAACCCUUCUCUACUCACUAGCUCAUCCGAAAAGCCGGAGUUACUAUUCACUUUAAGUCAUCGGUCCUGGUUGCGUAACUUCACCAUUCUAGCUCGUUUUUUUCCGAAACUUGACGAGUGCUUAUGUAAUUAAAUUACACAUAAAAACAUCGUCAACAGAGAGUUCAGCUACACUGUCAAAAUCUCAGUCCUUACAACUAUGGAGACAAAAUAUUUAGCGACAAAGUAUUUUUUUGUCGUUAAAAGCAAUUAAAUAGCGACUAAAUUUAAUGUUCGUCGCUAAAAAGAAAAGAAGAGAUUUUGUAAAAUGUCAUUAGCGAUAAUUUACCUUUAUUGCUAAAACAUAGUCGCUAUUAGUUUAAUGAGAUCACUUUUUUCUUCCCUAAAUUAAUUUUAGCAACAAACGAUAAUUAAUAGCGACAUAACCUAACGUCACUAUAAGGUUGAAUAAUUAGCGACCAUGUACGUGGUUGCUGAAACUCAAUUUUUAGCAACAAAUUAAUAUUCCGUCACUAAAAUAUUAAAAUUUUGUUUUAAUUUAUGUUGCUAUAUAUUUAUGAAAUAAAAUUUAAAUUAUUUUAUUCCUUUAAAUUAAAUAUUUUACUUUAUUUAAAUAUAAUAUUUUUUAUUAGUACUUAAUUCUUAUAAUUUUAUUAAUUAAUUAAAAUAUUUGCAAUAUUGAUGAUUUGAUAUAAUUUUGAUCUUAUAUGGUUGUUUCAAAAAAUAUUAUGAAUUAAUUCUUUUAUUAAAAAAUAAAAAUAUUUUAUUAAUUAAUGGUGGAAUCAUUAAUUAAUUAUGAAUUAAUAAAUUUUUUGGACUAAAUUAUAUAAUUCCAUAUGGUAAAAUAAAAAAUUUAAAACUUAAAACAUAUAAAAGAACUAUUAUAAAACAUAAUACAAGUUGAGGGGCCAAAACAAAAAUUUCCCAAAUCCUCUCCAUCGCGCCUCAAUAUUCAUUUACUCCACGCGCCGUACGGGGCACUUCCCACCUCUAGUUUUCUCCGGAAGCUUCAUCUAGGGUUUUUUUUUUCUCUUUUUAUUUUUUAUUUUUUAAUUAUCUUCUCUCCAAGUAAAAAAAAAAAAAAUUCUCAGUUGCUCUUUCCGUUUUUCCAUCUGCAGGAUAAAAAGUAGAACUCUUUCCGUUCUUCCAUCUGCAGGAUAAAAAAGAGGAUUUUCUCCAUUAUCUUCUAGUAAGAAGGAGGCCAACAACUAGGACCCCACCAAGAAAAAGGUAGAUUGAUUUAGAUUCUUUUUAUAAAAGUAUUUGUUUCAUUCUUUACCUUAAAAUAAAUGGGUUGAUUUAAAUUUUCUUGAAAAAAAUAUUUAUUUUAUUUUUUUCUGAUUUUAAAAUUACUAGUUAAUAAUAGAUUUAACUAUUUCUAGAUUGUGUGAUUAUGUAAGAAAGUAAAAGAUAUAUAACAGUUAUUUUUUUUUCUAAGGACUAAAUAAAAAAUUAGAUGGAGCCCGCGUUCAUAUAUGUGUUUAAGUACAAAAGAGGAUGAAAAUGACCUCUUCCUAUCUAUAAUUUUUUAUUCCUAAAUAUAAUGGGAGAAUAUGCAAGCUACUAAAUUAAAACAAAAUAGUUAGAUAGUACAUUCAACUUUGGUGCAUUCAUGAAUUUUUAAUGUCACAAUCUAUUUUCUUUUAGCAAUUUAUUUUAUUUAUACUUUCAUUUAGAAUGGGACAUAUACAUAGAAGGACAUAAAAGGGCAUAAAAGAGCAUCUAUUUUUUUAUUCCUAGAACUAAUUAAGUAAGCAUGAAAUUAAGUUAUUAAUAAAUUGAUAAAAGGUAUGGCAGAAUUUUUGUAAUAUAGUAUUUUUUUUAAACUACUUUUGUCAUAUUUAGUAUUUCACAUAUUUAUACCUCCAUAUGGCUUUGUAUUGGUAAGGUUGGGCUUUAUGCGAUAUCAUGUAUCUCGCAAUCUCAAAGGGAUAAAUAUGUAGACACCAACUGAACUUAUAGAGGUUUCGCAGAUGAUCUCUCUUGAACUUUCACUUUUGGCUAGUAAAUUUUCUAUUUUUUUUUAUUUUGUCAAGUUGUUCAACAAAUCCUUCUGCAGAAACAAAAUUAUUGAUUAAAUAGUUAUUCUCGGCAAAUGUCUUAUAUGUUAUCUUGUGAAGUUUUAGAACAUUCUAAUGCUUGGGAAAAAGCCAGAAAAAGCGAAGAUGGAUUCAUUUUUCGUCAAUACUAAUAUUUUUUUCAUUGGUUUAACAAUAAGUAGGAUUUUUUUUUCUCUUUUGGGUAUUUUAAAGCUUUACAGGAUUCAUUGUAAGAUGUCGUUAAUAGGACUGUUCAAUUAGUACUUCCCAUAUUUGUCAAUAUUUAAGGGGUCUUGUUAUUAAUAUUAGAAGUUCAGCAGGUCAUCUGACAAAGAUCUGAAGAUUAGGAGGUUAUCUUACAUUUUUUCCCAGUUCUCAAUGCCCAUACUUUGUUAAGCCUAAGAUAAAAUAUUCUUCAUUUUCUUACUUAACCAUACAAAUAUUCAUUUGUAUUUGUUCUCUAUUUUUAAAAUUUAUUGCAUGGUUAAUUUAUGGCAGGUGUUAAAGUGAGAUUCAUGAAAGAAUCUCAUUUAGUUUCAAGUGGGAUUCAUAAAACAAUCUCAUUAACGUUUCGCACAUCUAUUACCGGUCUAAAAUGACUCAUUUAGUUUUACAUUUCUAAAAUGACUCAUUAACGUUUCUCUAACUUAUUUUUUGCUUACAGAAAAUAACAAAAUCAAUGAGUAUUAAUUUAUUUAUCUAUUUUGUCUUAUUAUUUUAGUCUUUUGUGAAAUUCUAUAAUGGAUUACUUAUAUAAAGUACUAAUUAAUUAGGUAAAUUUUAUUGUCUCAUCUUUAAUAAAAGUUUUUUAUUUUUUGUGCAGAAAUAUGCGAGUGGACUAUAUCAAAGCAAGCCAACUAUAAAAAUUUCUUAAAAUGAAAUGUUGGUGUUUUUGUUGAAAAAAUAUUAGUGAUCAUGUAUUAGAAUGAUUAAUCAAGAUUAACUAUUCUAGAAAGAUUCUUAGUCGGAAAUAUUUUGUUUGUUUGGAUUUUAAAAAUACUUUGAAUUAGAAAUAUAUUUUGGUUUGUUUGCUAAUUUAUUAUGAUGUUUGGUGAUAAUUUGAAUUGUAAAAUGUGAAAAAUUGUCAUAUAAAUAGUGGAUGGAUAUUGUUUAUAGAUUGAUUGUUGAAACUACGAUCAAACUGUUCGUCGCUAAUAUAUGAUUGCUGAUAUAUAUUGAUAGAUAAAUUUGCGACCAUAUUCUUUGUCGCACAAUAUUCAUUGAAUUAAUUACUUGUUAUUGAAUUUGCGACAAAUUAUUCUUGUCGCUAUACUAUCAUAAAAUAAUAAAAUAAAAUUAUUAAAAAAAUAAUGACUUUUAGCGAUGACUAGAUGUUGUUGCAAUUAGGCUAUAUUUAGCAACGAAAAAUAUUAUCUAGAUGUAUAUUUAGCAACAAAUUACGAGGUCACUAGCGACCAGUUAUUUUGUCGCUAUUAGUGCAUUUACAGUGACAAAUCUUUAUUUGUCGCUAAAUAUAACAGUUAAUAGCAACCAACUAUUUUACUUCGUCGCUAGAUAGUUUUAGCGACGGGGCGGUAGCGACGAAGCUAAUUUUGUCGCUAAAUAGAAAUAGCGACAAAAUUUCAUUCAAUAGUGACAAAUAGUGUUGGUCGCAAAAGGCCUAAAUUUUUGUAGUGAGAUUGAAUGGUUAAAGACUAUAGUGCAAUAAAUCAUUUAGAUGCCACUAAGAAAUGAAGAUUCUCAUUAUACGUUAUUUUUUCUCUCUCUCUCUCUUUAUUAUGUAUAAGUAGGUUGUAUCCUCCUCUCCUUAGACGUAAUCGUCGAAGUUAAUCUGUUAAGCUUUCAAAAUAGGCUACUGAGGUAAAACGGUAAGACAUAGCUUUUUUAGAGGAUUAUAGUAGAUACCAGAAGAGCUUUCUCCUAUUUUCUCCCGGAAUCUGGUUCGUGUCAGAGAAAGGAAAAUAUAUUUAUUUAUUUUAAUCCUUCUCAAGUCCUUAAAACCCUACGAUAACCGAUACUAUUAUUAUUUUUCUGAGUGAAAGAUUUCGUUUCGAAAGAUAGGAGGAAAUCCGAUAGUUGCUUUGAAAUUAUUGGUUCUCCAGAACCGAAAAUAAUGUACGUAUGGUAAUAAAUAAACCUCAAAGUAUUGAUUCUCCAGUACCGAUCGAAAAUAAUGUACGUAUGGUGAUAAAACAUAAACCCUCCACUCUCACCUCGUCAAAACUCUCUACUCUUCCAUCAUCAAAACCCCUAAGUAAAUCAAAAUAAAGAAAAUAAUACAAUAUACGUACCUCAAUGUACGUAUAUAUAUAUAUAUAUAAAUAUAAAGUUUAGUAGUAAUUUUUUAUACUUUUUAGAUUUUUUUCUCUCGAACGGUACAGUAGUAAGAAUAACCCCUAAGUAUAUCACCAAUCAUCAAUUCCCGAUAAGCGUACAUAUUCCUCAGCUAAAGUUACUCUAGAAGAGUGGCCACCAUUUCGUGGGCUAGCUAGUCAUACAAAGAUAAAUAACUAAAACAAUACAAACUAAAUCUCGAAGUCGUCGAACUGCAAGCUUGACGUAAAGAAGUAAUCCCUUUAAGAAAUAAACUUCUAUAAAUUAUAUCAUAUCGGAAUUCUGAAGCAAAUAGGCACAUACCUUUUAAAACCACACGUUGUAACUUUUCUAGAGAGAUGCCCAAAUUCGUCCGUGGCUCCAUCACCAUAUUCGCCAAANNNNNNNNNNNNNNNNNNNNNNNNNNNNNNNNNNNNNNNNNNNNNNNNNNNNNNNNNNNNNNNNNNNNNNNNNNNNNNNNNNNNNNNNNNNNNNNNNNNNNNNNNNNNNNNNNNNNNNNNNNNNNNNNNNNNNNNNNNNNNNNNNNNNNNNNNNNNNNNNNNNNNNNNNNNNNNNNNNNNNNNNNNNNNNNNNNNNNNNNNNNNNNNNNNNNNNNNNNNNNNNNNNNNNNNNNNNNNNNNNNNNNNNNNNNNNNNNNNNNNNNNNNNNNNNNNNNNNNNNNNNNNNNNNNNNNNNNNNNNNNNNNNNNNNNNNNNNNNNNNNNNNNNNNNNNNNNNNNNNNNNNNNNNNNNNNNNNNNNNNNNNNNNNNNNNNNNNNNNNNNNNNNNNNNNNNNNNNNNNNNNNNNNNNNNNNNNNNNNNNNNNNNNNNNNNNNNNNNNNNNNNNNNNNNNNNNNNNNNNNNNNNNNNNNNNNNNNNNNNNNNNNNNNNNNNNNNNNNNNNNNNNNNNNNNNNNNNNNUUUUUUUUUAUUAUUUAUUACCCUUCAUAAUAUUUUAAAUAUUUUUUCUGUUUCUUUUUAACGUUUUUAUUUGUUUGUUAAAUCUACAGACUAUAAAUUUUUACUAAAAUAUUUCUACCCGCCGCAUCGCGCGGGUCCCUACGCUAGUAUAAAGUAAUAAUUAAUUAGGUAAACUUUAUUAUCUCAUCAUUAAAGAAGUUUUUUACUUUUUGUGCAAAAAUAUGCGAAUGAACUACAUCAGAGCAAGCCAACUAUAAAAAUUUCUUAAAAUAGAAUGUUGGUGUUUUUGUUGAAAAAUUAUUAGUGAAUAUAUAUUAGAAUGAUUAAUUGAGAUUUGAAUACUUUAACUAUUCUAGAGAGAUUCUUAGUUGGAUAUAUUUUGUUUGUUUGGAUUUUCAAGAUACUUUGAAUUAGAAAUAUAUUUUGGUUUGUUUGUUAAUUUAUAUAUGAUACAUGGUGAUAAUUUGAAUUGUGAAAUGUAAAAAAUUGUUAUAUAAAUAAUGGAUGGAUAUUGCUAAUAGAUUGAUUGUUGAAACUGCGACCAAACUGUUCGUCGCUAAUAUAUGAUUGCUGGUAUAUAUUGAUAGAUAAAUUUACGACCAUAUUAUUGGUCGCAAAAUAUUUGUUGAAUUAAUUACCUGUUAUUGAAUUUGCGACAAAUUAUUCUCACCGCUAUACUAUCAUAAAAUAAUAAAAUAAAAUUAUUAAAAAAAUAUUGACUUUUAGCGACGACUAGAUGUUGUUGCAAUUAGGUUAUAUUUAGCAACGAAAAAUAUUAUCCAGAUGUAUAUUUAGCAACAAAUUACGGGGUCACAAGUGACCAAUUAUUUUGUCGCUAUUAGUGCAUUUACAGUGACAAAUCUUUGGUCGUCGCUAAAUGUAACGGCUAAUAGUGACCAACUGUUUUACUUCAUCACUAAAUAGUUUUAGCAACGGGGCGGUAGCGAUGAAGUAGUGACGAAGCAGAAUAAACGAACCAUCUUCAAACCUCCGAUAGUAAACACAAUUAUCGUAUAAACUACUGCUAUAACCAUGCUUGAUCAUAAACCUGUCAAACCGCUUAUACCACUGCCUCGGUGCCUGCUUCAACCCGUAGAGAGAUCUUUUCAAUUUGCACACAAGAUUUUCCUUCCCCGGCUGAACGAAGUCUUGAGGUUGUUCUAUAUAAAUUUCUUCUACUAGAUCCCUAUGAAGAAAUGCAGUUCGAACGUCAAGCUGCUGAAGCUCUAAAUCAAACAUAGCCACCAUAGCUAGAAGCAUCCUGAUCGACGGGUGCUUUACCACCGGUGAGAAGAUCUCAUUGAAAUCGACUCCUUUUACUUGCGCAUAGCCCUUGACUACUAACCACGCCUUGAAUUUUUCUGGUUCUCCAUAUGCACCCUACUUCUUUUUAUAGAUCCAUUUGCAACCGAUGGAUCUCUUCCCUUCCGGUAAUGGAAUCAGAUCCCAUGUCUGAUUCUUCUGUAGAGACUCCAUCUCUUAGGUCAUAGUUGCCAUCCAUCUGCCACUAUCUUUGUCCUGUAUCGCCUCCUAAUAGGAAGUAGGAUCAUCUGAUGUAAUUAAUAAGGCAUAAGAUACUACAUCCUCCAACCUGUAUCGUAAAGGUGGAUGGAUCUGUCUCCUUUCCCUUCCUUUAGUGAUAGAGUAUGGCUCCUCCGAAGUGCUUUCAAUCGGAUCGCUUUGUGUACUGUGAUCAUCGUGAUGGUGGGGCUGCUCCACCUGAUCAUCUACACCCUCUUGCCGCUCCACCUGUAUCUGCUUAGUUUUCGACUGUUCUUCAUGUUGAGCCUCCUUAUGAUCUUUAUGCGGCAUAGAUUUUUCGUCAAAAACUACGUCCCUGCUAAUUACCUUCUUCUUGGCGAUAGGGUCCCACAGCUUAUAUCCUUUAACCCCUAUAUCGUACCUAAGAAAUAUGCAGCGUUUUGAGUUGAAUCUAAUUUUCUACGCUGAUUUUCCUGGAUAUGGACAUAAGCAGGACAGCCAAAGGCCCGUAAAGAGGAAUAAUCUGUAAGUUUACUUGUAUAUACUUCCUCCGGUAUUUUGAGUUCGAUUGCUGUGGCAGGAGAUUGAUUCAUAAGAUAGCACGCCAUAUCACUACUUCAGCCCAGAACUCCUUUCGCAAAUUUGCACAUAACCUCAUGGAUCUGGCACGUUCUAGCAGUGUUCAGUUCAUCCUUUCUGCUAUCCCAUUCUGCUGUGCAAUAUCUGGAACCGUGUAAUGACGUACAAUACCCUCAUCCUUGCAGAAUUUCUUAAACUCCCGAGAAGUGAACUCUCCACCAUUGUCCGUUCGAAGAACCUUAACUUGCUUUCCAGUUUAUUUUUCCACUUCAUUCUUCUAAUGUCUGAACUUUAUACAUACCUCAAACUUUUCCUUCAUGAAGAAUACCCAAGCCUUACGGGAGAAAUCAUCGAUAAAUGUAAUAAAACAACGAGCACCACUUUUCGAAGUCACCGGAGCCAGCCCCCACACGUCCGCAUGGAUGUACUCAAGUACACCUUUACUUUUAUGACUGGAGGUCCUGAAACUCAACCUUGGAGGUCCUGAAACUCAACCUUUUCUGUUUUCAAAUAAACAAUAUUUGCAGAAAUUAAGUUUACAGGAUUUAAUACCUUUGAGUACUCCCCUUUUAUGCAGUUCCAACAUCCCUAUUUCACUCAUGUGGGCUAGUCUUAUGUGCCAGAGCUCCGUAUCAUCAGCAUCAUGAUCUUCUAUGGAAGUUACCACAGCGCUUCCAAUCACCGACUCACCGAUCAGCCUAUACAAAUUCCCUUUCUUCUCUCCCUUCAUGAUGACCAGGGUACCCUUUUUCAACUUAACAACUCCACCUAAAAUGCUAACUGAACAUCCAAUAGAGUCAAGAGUACCAAGUGAUAUAAGAUUCAACUUGAGAUCCGGAAUGUGUCUCACAUUCGUUAACGUCCUCACCACACCAUCAAACAUUUUUAUUUUUACUGUUCCGAUACCGACCAUCUUAUAGCUAGUGUGAUUACCCAUCAUAACACUACUGCCUUUACAAGACUUAUAAGUAUCAAAUAAAGACCUGUCUGGAGACAUGUGAUAAGAACAACCCGAAUCCAAUAUCCAGUCACCAAGAGAUUUAGAAUCUGUUGUAACCGUCAAAACGUCCUGACCGAAAUCGCUGGCUAUGCUCGCCGUAUCUGCAGAGGAAUUUUGCUUUUGCAGCCAAACCUUCCUCCUUUUGCAGUUCUUUUUCAUGUGGCUCUCUUUCUUGCAGAAGUAACACUUCACUUUUUUUUUGAUUUUGACUUGGAACGGGAUCUUCAUUUACCUGCAUUACGUACACUUGAUCGUCCCCUUCCUCCACCUGUAUCAUUUACGACCAAGCCUGCACUGCUUUCUUCGAUACUCGCCUGCAACCUGAUCUUUUCAGAUAAAAGUGUCGAUGCAACAUCAUCCAUCUUUAGAGUUUGCUUCCCGUACAGUAUGGUGGUCACCAAGUGAUUGUAGGACAACGAAAGUGAUGUAAGAAAAAUCAACGCCUUAUCGUCCUCGUCAAUCUUAAAUUCUUGAAUGAUCCACAUCACUUCUGGUUCUAUUGUAACAAAAGAUUCCCUUUUUAUGUGGAAAAGACCCGUAUCAAUAAUUAUGAUCUUACAUAUGGACAAUUCCGAGCAAAUCUGCAAUAAUUUUAUUAAAGGUGUUCAACUGUUCCGUUAUUUUCGUACCUUCCUUCAUGCGUAGCCCAUAUAAUUUUUGUUUUAAGUACAACACGUUCGAGAGGCUUUUUGUCAUGUACAGCUUCUCUAGCUUGUUCCACAUGCCGAUUGAAGUUUCUUCAUCCAUAACGUUAUACAUUAUCUCAUCUACUAGGCACAAUAUAAUUGUAUUCAUCGCCCGCAGAUCAAUAUCCUUCCAAUCUUCGUCGCUCAUUGAUGUUGGCUUUUUUGAUUUUCCGAGCAACGCCUUAUGAAGGCCCUGUUGAACCAGAAGGGUUUUCACUCUUCUCUACUAGAGACUAAAGUUUUCUUUACCAUCACAUUUCUCCACCUCAAAUUUAGAAGACGAGACCUUCGACAUUUCUGAUGUAGUGCGAACCUUAUGCUCUGUUACCACUUGUUGGGAACUUGAUGGAUAGUUCGUCAUGCGCUACCAACAAAUAUGCACAAAAAAUAGAGAAAUUUGAUCGAACGGUAAAAGAAAUAAAUACAAAAAAAAACCAAAAUUUAUGUAGUUCGGCAAUUGCCUACAUCCACGGGGAGAGCGAGAGAGAUGUAUUCCACUAUACGAAGAAAUAGAAGUACAAGCUUACAUCUUAUGUCUUCUCAGGAUAAAAAUCAAGAGCCUUAUGGUGAAUCCCAUCUUUCUCUUGUUCUAACGAAAACUCCAAGAAAAUGCCAAAAAAACUUUUCGUAAAACCGAGAAGACUAAAUUAGAGAAGUAUAGAAAAUUUUGACCAAAAAAAAAACUUUACGUUGUUGCUUUGAAGAAUCCGAACUGCUCAGACAAUUUGGUGAAGAACCGCCGCUCCGUCGCUAAUUUCAAUCCAGACGUCACAUGCGAGGCCGCGCACCUUUUCUUGAUCGGCUAUAGUACGACUUUAAGAACCGGCCACCUUUUCUUUUUAAUUAAUUAGCCUCUCUUUAAUUAAUUUUUGGCCACACCCACAUCUGUACAUGCAUGUACAUAUAUAGGUAUAGUUCUAACUCCUUAUCCUAUACUCCAAUUUAUAAUUAACAUGAAUUAGACUUAUGCAUGGAAAACCGAAUCCGAGUCCAACUUAAUUUGAAUCCACCGAUAAGAAUCCUCAUGAGAUCCUGUCUAUUAUUCCAUAGACCCGAUGCAUGAACCAAAUCAAUAAAAAAGAAGGUAUAUCUUUAACAUCAUCUAUCUAUAUAUUAAAACCACAAACAGGGACUAUAAAAGUAAGUAUCAACAAAUAUAAUAAAUAUAAUAGAUUUUCUAUAAAUACUUGUAAUAAAAAUCAUAAAGUGAAAAAUCAUUUAACAGGGAAUAAUACUUGUAAUACUUGCAAUAAAAUCAUAAAUUUCCUAUCAACAGGGAAUAUUACUUGCAAUAAAAAUCAUAAAGAGAAAAAUAGAUACUUGUAAUAGAUUUUUUAUCAACAAAAAUGGAUCUAUAACUUAAGAAAUAAAUAAUUUCCUACCAACCGUUUAACAUAAAAAAAAGCAUUUUAGUUAAAUAGGGAUUAAAGUUACCUCGUUAUGGUUCUUGUUGUUAUUGUGGUCCAUUAGCUUCAAAGAGACAAAAAUAUGGUUCGAUUGCUUCAGAUAUGGAGUUAUGUUGAAGUGGUGGAUUCGGAUUGCUUUGGAUCUACAGAUCAAUGAAGGUCCUGUGCUUCACGGCUUGGGUGUAUAUGGAUGAUCCGCAUCAGCAAGGUGUCCGUAGGUUUUGAGGGCAUUGGGGAGCGGCGUCAAGGAGCGGCAUCGAGGCAGUGUCUGCAAUUAGGUUUAGAGGGCUUCGGGGAGCAGUGUCGAGUGAUGCAGGGACGAAGCCAGAAUUUUAGUUCGGGGGGGCCCAAAAACACAUUAUGCAAAAAUUUCAACCUAAGUAAAUAAAACGAUUCAAGGAAAAUCAAAAGUUAAGGUGCGUGUCUCAAUUAAGAUAAGGUAAAGGAGUUGUCUAAAUCAAAAUGGCCUGUAGCUAACGGGAUCUGAGUACAUGUUUACCAUAUAAAAGACGAAUUGCUCAUCGAGCAAACACGUAACCGAGAUGAAACUUUAGCAAAAACCAUAUCGCAAACACAGAGAUCUAAAUUUAACACAGAGAAUAUAAAGAACGGAUCGAGAUUACGAUGAGCCAAACCUUGCACGCUCCUGCAUAGGCCUUCGACUCAAAGUGGUGCUUAUCUUCCAACAUGAUUCCAAGCUCCCAAAAGAGCAAUCCAAAAAAAAAACCUGCACCAAUUGAGAUCGAGAUCAUGGUCAUGAUCGAAGACGUGAAUUGAAUCGAAAAAACAAUUAGGUUAAAAGAGAAGUUUAAAAAUUUUGCUUACCAUGCAAAAGUUAGAAUAGUGCUCGGCGCUCCUUCAAAUCACGAAAUCCAUCAAUAAUUGAAUCAACGGUGAACUUCUCGGCAAUUUCUCUUUCAAUAUACACGAUCAAAGAAUUAGUAAGAAAGUCAUCAUCCAUCUUAUUCCGGAGAUCGGUUUUGAUAAUGUUCAUAGCAGAAAAUGCUCGUUCAGUAGUUGCAGUUGAAACUGGAAGAAUCAAUACAAGUUUAACUAAUCGGUAGAGAAGUGGAUAUAUUUCUGACUUUCUUGUUGUUACUAACCAUUGACAUAACUCAUAAAUAGUUGCCAAUUUUUGCAAGUCGGAAUGUCGCGAAAUUUCAAAUUCAUAAUGACGAAGCUCUAUUCUCAACCCUUCUCUUUCAAAUUCUGUAAAAUCUUGAGGAUAAUACCUUUUUGCAAGAUUACAAAUAUCAUCAAUAUUAAAAGAUUUGCAACCAUCUUUAGGAUCCAAAGCACAACUUAGAGUAAGUAACUCUAUCAUAUUGUCACUAAAUCUUGUAUUCAAUUCUUGCAAUUGACAAUCUAUUGCACCAUUAAAAAUAUCAACUCGAUAGUGAUGCUCAAGUGUAAUGUGAUCUCGUUGAAGGCGAGCACGACCUCCUCUUCCCACAUAAGGAGCUGACAUAAUUGGAACUUCUAUGUCAUGCUUUGCACAAAAUAACUUUACUUUCUCAAAAAGAGAAUCCCAUCCUUCAUCUCUAAGCUUUUGAAUAAGUGAUUUUGUUGAUGCCACAAGAUGCAUAGCAUUAAGAAUAUCUUGAGAUUUACAUUGCAAAUGUUGACAAAGAAUGCAGCUCACCUCCGUUAUUUCUUUCAUGAGAUGUAAAAUAAACACAAAUUCGAAAGAUGUCAUUGCCUUAUGAGCUAAAUGUGCUUCACCGCGUUGAGCAGCAUUGGAUCCUUCAUCAAUAAUAUUCUCUACAACUGUACAUGUUGCUUUAAACAAUUUUAGCAAACUUGUAAUAGAUUUGAAGUGUGAACUCCAACGAGUAUCACCGGCCUUUUGCAAACCGCCAACUUGAUUGAGUCCGGUUCCUGUCUCAAGCUCAUUCUUUUCAAUUAGUUCGGCAAAUUCAAAACUAUGAAACUUCUUUAGUUCAUCAUUUCUCUUGGUAGAAGAUCCAACAAUGUUGACUAUAGUACUUAAUUUUGAGUAAAAUUCAUAAAUCUCAAGAACAUCUUUAGAUGCCGCAACCAAAGCCAAUUGGAGACGAUGGGCUAAACAAUGAAUAUAGUAAGCAUAGGGACAAUCAUUAGAAAUUAAUGCUUGUAAUCCAUUCCAUUCACCUCUCAUAUUACUCGCCCCGUCAUAACCCUGGCCGCGAAUAUUUUGAACAUCAAGACUAUAAUGAGAAAGAACGGAAUAAAUUGCAUUUUUCACAGUUAAUGCUUUAGUAUCCAAGAUGUGAACAAGGCCAAAAAAUCUUUCCUCAAUAAAACCUUGUACAUCAACAAAUCUCAAAACGAUAGCUAAUUGCUCCUUUUUUGACUCAUCGCGUGCUUCAUCAACCAUUAUAGAAAAUUUCGAGUCACCAAUUUCAUCUCGAAUUUUUCUUCUUACUUUCUCUGCUAGAACUUGCAAAAUUUCUUUUUGCGUAUCCGGCGAAGUAUAAGAAGCAUUUUGUGGAGCAUUUUCUGAAAUAACUUUUGCCAUAUCUUCAUUAAGAAAAGAGAACAUCUUCAACAUUUUCAGAAAAUUACCCCGAUUAAUAGAUUCUUUACUUUCAUCUCGACCUCUCAUAGCACAUCCUUGAAAGGUAAGAUAUCUAACUGCAAUUAUUGAUGCUUUAAGACGUAAAUGAUUGUUUGCCUUUUGUUGUGACGUAUGUCUAUGAAGCACAUUCUAAAUAUGUUGAGAUUGUUUCAUCAAUUCUUCGCAAGCUCUUUCGGCAACUUUAUGAGGCGAGUUUGGUACUUUACCUACAUGAUUUAGAAAAACACAUCUUUUUCUAUUUUUUGCCUUUCUUCCAAUUGUGAAAACCGUCAACAGUGAAGGCAUUUUGUGAAGAAAGCACGGUAGACAAAAUGCCGCAUCUUUGGUUGGAGAAUAUUCUAACCACGAUUUGAAUGAUUCAAACCAUGAAGGUUGGAAACGACGCUGAUGAGAAAGAGGCCCACUUUUUGGAUAUUCCAAAAGUUUCGGUUCAUAUGGACCACUAAUUAUAUAUGCCCGUCGAACUUCAUCACGUUGUUCAACAGGAUAAUCCCAAAUUUGUGGUCGUAAUGCAGGAUCACGCUCAAAGGGCAUGUUAUUAGCCUCCUUAGCUUCUAUUCUUGGAGAUUUCGAACGACAAGUUUGGGAACCCGAAGCCUCAUCUCUAUAAAUUGCUUCUUGUUCAUUAGCUUUCGAAUUUUCAGUACUUUUUCUUUUAAAAAAUGAAUCGAGUGUAGUUGUCUUUCCCAUUAAAAUAAUAAUGGUCUAGUUCUCUAGAGAUCUACAAAAAUUAUAUCAAAAAAAUCAAGUAUUAAGAUUUCAUUUAUAUAAAUAUAAAGUAAUUUGCAAAUUAUAUAAAAUUGUAUAAAAAAUAAAAUCUAAAAAUAUAUUAUAAAUAAUAAUUAUUUAGUAUUUACUAACAGUUAGCCUAGAAAAGGAAAAGCUUUUAUAGUUUUAUUCAAAAAUAAAAAAUUCAUAAAAAUUUAAAAUUUUGGAUCUACUAUUUUACUUCAUAUUCUCAAAUACUAAAAGUUUAAAAUCUAAUAAGUUGCCAUUUGAAAGUCCGACAAAUUUUUAAAAAAUUUUAAAAUUAAAAUUUAAAUACGAAUAAAUUAUCGUUAUUAUUAUAAUUAUUGAUCAUGAUCAAAGUAUCAAACAAUAUAUGGAUUAUGGACAACUCAAAUUAUUAAUAAAUAAUAAUCAAGAAGGUAAGAAGCAAAAUUGCAAUUUGCAAAUAUUAAAUAAUCCAAUACGGCAAUACCAAAUAGGCAAACACAAUUAUAUAUUAAUUAUGCAAAGCAAAUUAAAGUGCUAAAAUAUAAACAUUCUUAUUGAACUAAAAUAAUCUAAAAGGGAGAGAGAGAAUACCACCACGGCGCCACCGGUGUAAGGAUUUUAGGCUUUUAGCACGCCGCCGCAGUCCGCACCGUGGUUGAAUGGGGCGUGUGGGCGACUCGGCCCUACAAGGCUGCCACAGUGCGACGAGCGGACGAGAAAAAACUAAUUGCGGAGUGCGGCGGAGCCGCGGAGGGGCAUAGGCCGAGGUGCUGAGCCUAAGCGGCGAGGCGGGCAGGCGGCGAGCAGCACUGGCAGUCGGCGCGGCCGCGCGGCGGUCCAAGAGGCGAGAAAGAGGCCCGCGGAGCGGCGGAGGGGCAUAGGCCGAGGCGCCGAGGCGUCGAGCCCAAGCGGUGAGGCGGCGAGCAACACCGGCAGCGGUAAGCGGCGCGGCCGCUCGGCGGUCCAAGAGGCGGGAGGCCGGAGGCGACAGGGGAGGGAUUGAGAGAGUGAUGAAAAAGAAAACGAGAAAGAGAGAGAAGAGAGAGGGGGGGGGUUUACGUAAUUAGGCACUGUAACUUGUGACUUGUGAGAGAGCGUGGGCGGCACCGCGGCGGGGCGUCAAUCAUGAUGCAUCAGCCAUCAUGGCGUCUGGGUGGCGGGAGACUUGGCCCACAAGCAACUCUAUUGCCCACUGGCCACUUUGUAACAAAAUUACAUUUUGGCCCCCACACUUUAUAAAAUUUUAAUUUUUUCAGGAACUUAAUACUAGAGCUUAUUGUAAUUUUCAAAAUAUUGGGGGGGGGCCAUGGCCAUUGUGGGCCCCAAUAUGGCUCCGCCCCUGGACGCCGCAGUCCGCACCGUGGUUGAAUGGGGCGAGUGGGCGACUUGGCCCUACAAGGCUGCCACAGUGCGACGAGCGGACGAGAAAAAACUAACUGCGGAGUGCGGCGGAGUCGCGGAGGGGCAUAGGCCGAGGUGCUGAGCCUAAGCGGCGAGGCGGGCAGGCGGCGAGCAGCACUGGCAGUCGGCGCGGCCGCGCGGCGGUCCAAGAGGCGAGAAAGAGGCCCGCGGAGCGGCGGAGGGGCAUAGGCCGAGGCGCCGAGGCGUCGAGCCCAAGCGGUGAGGCGGCGAGCAACACCGGCAGCGGUAAGCGGCGCGGCCGCUCGGCGGUCCAAGAGGCGGGAGGCCGGAGGCGGCAGGGGAGGGAUUGAGAGAGUGAUGAAAAAGAGAACGAGAGAGAGAGAAGAGAGAGAGAAGAGAGAGAGAGGGGGGUUUACGUAAUUAGGCACUGUAACUUGUGACUUGUGAGAGAGCGUGGGCGGCGCCGUGGCGGGGCGUCAAUCAUGAUGCAUCAGCCAUCAUGGCGUCAUGCGUGGCGUGGAGACUUGGCCCACAAGACAACCCCAUUGCCCAUUGGCCACUUUGUAACAAAAUUACGUUUUGGCCCCCACACUUUAUAAAAUUUUAAUUUUUUCAGGAACUUAAUACUAGACCUAGUUGUAAUUUUCAAAAUGUUGGGGGGGCCAUGGCCAUUGUGGGCCCCAAUAUGGCUCCGCCCCUGGACGCCGCAGUCCGCACCGUGGUUGAAUGGGGCGAGUGGGCGACUUGGCCCUACAAGGCUGCCACAGUGCGACGAGCGGACGAGAAAAAACUAACUGCGGAGUGCGGCGGAGUCGCGGAGGGGCAUAGGCCGAGGUGCUGAGCCUAAGCGGCGAGGCGGGCAGGCGGCGAGCAGCACCGGCAGUCGGCGCGGCCGCGCGGCGGUCCAAGAGGCGAGAAAGAGGCCCGCGGAGCGGCGGAGGGGCAUAGGCCGAGGCGCCGAGGCGUCGAGCCCAAGCGGUGAGGCGGCGAGCAACACCGGCAGCGGUAAGCGGCGCGGCCGCUCGGCGGUCCAAGAGGCGGGAGGCCGGAGGCGGCAGGGGAGGGAUUGAGAGAGUGAUGAAAAAGAGAACGAGAGAGAGAGAAGAGAGAGAGAAGAGAGAGAGAGGGGGGUUUACGUAAUUAGGCACUGUAACUUGUGACUUGUGAGAGAGCGUGGGCGGCGCCGUGGCGGGGCGUCAAUCAUGAUGCAUCAGCCAUCAUGGCGUCAUGCGUGGCGUGGAGACUUGGCCCACAAGACAACCCCAUUGCCCAUUGGCCACUUUGUAACAAAAUUACGUUUUGGCCCCCACACUUUAUAAAAUUUUAAUUUUUUCAGGAACUUAAUACUAGACCUAGUUGUAAUUUUCAAAAUGUUGGGGGGGCCAUGGCCAUUGUGGGCCCCAAUAUGGCUCCGCCCCUGGAGUGAUGCUACCUGUGGAUUGGAUGGUAGGAGGGGUGGGAGGGGUGGAACGGAAGGAAAGAGAGAGAGAGAGAGAGAUGGCGAAAGAGGUACGGUGUUUGAUUUUGGAAGAAAAGGAAGAGAGAGAGAGAGAAAAAAAGAUGAGAAGAGUAAAGUGAGUUGGGAUUGUGAUUCUCUCUCUUGCUUUUUUCUUUGUUAACUGACGUUAGAGAGAGUCUCCCAUUUAAUCCCUCACUAGUUUGCACGAAUCUCAAAAAGCAUCUAAUGGUUAAAAAUACUAUAGCACAGGGGCUUCUAUACUAUGGAUAGUAUAGAAGCCCAACUCUAUAUAUAUAUCAUUGUUAUUACAUUUAAAACAAUACAUAUAUAUAUUAAUGAUUAACAAUAAUAAAUCAUCAGACUAUAAUUAAAGUAUAUGCUCCCCCAUCCAUUAAGUUAUACGAAGGAGUCAUGACCCCACGAGAGUGCUUCGAUUAUUCCUUUCUUGGGAAGCCAAACCAUGGUUAAUUAAUUCGUAAAUAAAUUCGUGAAUAAUUACGAAUUAUUCACGAAUUUUUGAAGAAACAAAUUACAUAGCUGCAUACGUAUUUUUUCAAAUAAUUCAAAAAAAAUAUUUUUUUUCAUCAAAAGUAAUUAUUAUUCCGAAUAAUUUGUGAAUAAUUUGCCCCCUCCCCCAAAAAAAAAAAACUACGCUCGCUCGGGGACUCGCGGCCAGGUCGCGGGCCUCGCAACUAAGCCCAAAACAGAGAAAAAAAAAACUUUCAGAAACGUUUCCGAAUCACCUCGCCCUUUCCCCCUCCCCCCAUAUAUUUUUUUGAAUUAUUCACGAAUUUUUGAAGAAACAAAUUAUAUAGCCGCGUACGUAUUUUUUCAAAUAAUUCAAAAAAAAUAGAAUUUUUUCAUCAAAAAAGUAAAAAUAUAAUUUUUUUCAUCAAAAAAGUAAUUAUUCUUCCGAAUAAUUUGCGAAUAAAAAAACUACGCUCGCUCGGGGACUCGCGGCCAGGUCGCGGGCCUCGCAACUAAGCCCAAAAAAAAAAAAAAAAAAACUUUCAGAAACGUUCCCGCAUCGCCUCGCCCUCCCCCCCUAAAAAAAUCACUCGAUCAAAAAGGUUUUGCCCUAUCUUCUCACCAGUCACCCCUGCGGCCCUGCCACCGACCCCAGCUCCCAGCCCCCAGCCCCCAGCCCUUCCCCUCCCCAUCUUCCCUUUUGGCCGCUCGCCGAACGCCAUCGGAAGCCCCCGCGGGUCCACAUCGAAGAUCGGGUUCUUCACUCUUCAGAAAUCAGAACCCUCCUCGUCGCCUCUUCCGCUUCCGCUUCCGCUUCCGCUUCCGCUUCCGCUUCCGCUUCCAACGAUGGGUCAGUAAUCGGAUGGUUCUUUACAAACCAUGUACGAAUAAGAGUUUGAAGAUGUCUAACUUUAAGAUUUCCUGCUCCUAACAUUUGUCUUAGAUUGUGUCAAGCUCCCAAGAUUUCCUGCUCCUAACUUUAAGAUUUCCUGCUCCUAACUUUAAGAUUUCCUGCAGCCAGAGAGUUAUCGUGGGGCCGCACACCGCUCGCCGUCGGAAUCCCCCGCGAGGCCGAGCACCACUCGCAAUCUGGUUCUAACUUCUAAGUUCCACAGUUCCACUUUAUCUGGUACAAAACUAUAAAUUUAUAUUUUUUAUGACUAUGAUUGGAGUUAAUAUUUGCUAUUAUAUCCAUGUUAAGUGGCUAUUAUAUGAAUGUUAAGUGCUAUUAUAUGCAUGUUAAGUUGUUGUUACUUGUUGUUACGUUCAUUAAUUUGCUUGUUGUUGUAUGAAGACUCAGAACCAAUGAAGUGGGAUUUAUUACUUAAGAGUUAGGUUAUACUUGAUGCAUGAUUGAUGGGUAAUUCUAAUAUUCUUUUGAUGUGAUUUUAUUCUUUCGAGAAUCCAUGAUAACUCUCGACCUUUUGUGGUUAAAUCAAGAGUCGGAGUUCGCUGAUUAUAAUUACUAAAGCUUUUUGUGCUUGUAUGCUUUAUGUUUAUUCAAGCUUUUAUGUAUGCUUAUAUGUGGAAUUGUGAACUUUAUGUAUCUUUUAUUUGUUUACUGUUUAGACUUUAGAUAUGCAAGUAUGCACUAUGCAAAGUGCAAGUUUUAUCUUAUAUUUAGUUUCCAACUAUGCUUGUACGUGAACCUUCUAUGUAGUGAACCUUCUAUGUAGUUUCCAACUAUGUGAACCUUCUAUGUAGUGAACCUUCUAUGUGAACCUUCUAUGUAUUUAGUUUCCCACUUGCUUGUAUGUGAACCUUCUAUGUUUUAUAUGUUUUAUUUAGUUUCCAACUAUGUAGUUUCCAACUAUCUUGUAUUUAGUUUCCAACUAUGCUUGUAUGUGAAUCUACUAUGCUUGUAUGUGAACCUUCUAUAUUUAUAUUUAAUUAUAUUUAGUUUCCAACUAUGUUUUAUAUUCAAUUAUUUAUUUAUUUUGAGGCAUAAUAUAGUUUGCUAUUUUUUUUUUUUACUUAAUUAGCUUAAUUUUGUAGCUCUUUAUUCUUAUAUUUUUAAGAAAUAUGAGUAUUUAUGCUAAUAGCAUAAAUUUUGAGAGAAAAAAAAACUUAAUUUAAUAGCCGAAUUUUUGAUCCCGAAUUUUUAAUUAGUGAACGUAUAAUAUCCGUAUAAAUCACGUAUCCGAAUAAUUGGCGAAUCUGUUUUUUAGCCGUAUUUUUCAACGAAUUUAAAAAUUAGAAGAUGAAUUUAUCCGAAUUAUAUCAGUACCGAAUUUUUGCCGAAUCCGAAUUAACUAACUAUGAGCCAAACUAAUCACAAUUUGGCCCUGUUUAGCAUUUCUUCCUAGAAGUGAUUUUGGGCUCAAAAUUACUUUUGGGCUUAGUAGAGCGUUUGACAACGGGAGUUUGAAAAUCUGAUUCUGCUUAUCAGAAUCAGAAAACUGAUUUUUCAACCCGUAGAAUCAGAUGCUAUAAAAAGCUACUUCUUCAAAACUGAUUUCCGCAAAAGCAGUUUUCCCACUUAAAAUUUUUUAUAAAAAUACCAAAAUUACCUCUAAACAAAUAAUACAAUUCUACUCUACUCUUUUAUAAUUAAUCUUUCAAACUACUAUCUUCUCUCUCCCAUCUCCUUCUACAGCCGACUCUCCACUCCAACAAAUUUUUUUUUUCACUUUCCUCUCCUCUCUCCUCCAUCUCUCUUCUUUCUUUCUCUUCGGCAACGUCUUUCUCUCUGGCGACGUCUUUCUCUCUGGCGACGCCUUUCUCUCCGGUGAGUCUUUUCUCUCAGGCAAACCUCCAAGGUACCCACACUUUUUUUUUUUAUGCAGAUUUCUCUCCUUCCCUCUCUUUCUUUCUUCAUCUGCUCAGCCUUUCUUUGUCGGAUCCGCACCGGCGGGAUCUGGCUUUGCUAGAUGAUCCAGCCCCUGAUCCGCACUGGCGGGAUCCAAAAAAGACGAAUCCCGCUAGCUUGGCCGGAUCCGCGCCGGCGGUGUCCAACUUUGCCGGAUCCGACCCCAGAUCCGUGUCGGCAGAUCCGAGAUCAAAGACGGAUCCCGCCGCGGCAAGAUCGGCAAAGACGGAUCUCGCCGCUUGACCGGAUCGCAAGAUUCAAGCCGGUGGGAUCCGGUAAAGACGCCUCCGACAAGGAUGGAUUUCAUGACACCAUAAUUUAUCUUCUAACUAUUUUUAUAAAACUACAAAAAGACCAACCUGCAUGAUAUUAUUUGCAAUCUUUUUUUGAUAAAUAUAUAUUGGCAAAUUAUAUAAUAUUUUUUUGCAACCUUUUUUGAUGUUUAAAUUAGAAAUUAGUUGUGUUUUGAUUAUUUGAUUAGUUUCUAAUAUGUAAUAUUUUAAAAAUUUAUUUAGUUUGUAGUAUUGUCUAGUUUGUAUGCGAUGUUUCGGUUAUUUUUUAUUUUGUAGUAUGCAGCUAUGGCACUUCCAGUGUUUGAAAGGCGGGGCGCAAAAAGGCGCAAGACUCUCCUGGGAGCCUAGGCGCGAGGCGCACUGCAGAAGCGCGCGCCUCAAGAAGGCGAUGCGGCACAUACAUUUAAUCUUGAUAUUCUACAUUAAAAAAACUCCAAAAUAACUAUACAAAACUAAAAUAACUAUAAAAAAGUAAAGAAAACACAUGCAUAUAGGUUCUCAAGUUAAAAAAAAUAUAUUUCGACUUUCAACUUAAAAGUGAUUGUGGUGCCAAUGUUUUCAUUUGGCCUCAAGAAGGAGGAGGGCGGUAAAAGAAGAGAGUGGUAGGAGGAGAGGGCGGUAGAUGGAUUUCAUUAGGGUUUUUUUAGGUUUCUUUUAGAUUCUUGUACUAAUCUUAUCGGGCUAAAACAUAAAACUUAUAUCCGAAACCCAAUUACCCGAAAACUUUAAUCCAAAAUCCAAAAAAUAUUAAAUAUGCCGAGGCGCGCGCCUUAUGUGGGCCUCGCGCCUCGCCUGAGGCGCGCGCCUUAGGGCCUAGGCACGCGCCUCAGCAAUAGCACCUCGCCUCGUUAUUGCUGAGGCGCGGAGGCUCGCGCCUCGCGCCUAGGCGCUGAGGCGCGCGCCUCGCGCCUAGGCGCUGAGGCGCGUGCCUCAGGCGCGCCUUUUCAAACACUGGGCACUUCACAACUUUAUUAGGAUGAGUUCGACGCAAGAUGAAGAGUUCAACAAAUGUGAUCAAGAUAUGAAUUAUAUGGCCAAUAUUGAAAAAGAUGAAAGCAGUACAAGUAGUUCGACACAGAUUUAUAGUGGAGUAACAGAUGAUUACAUCAUGACCCAAACUCGCGAUUGUAUUGCUGCCUCAUUGAAGAGCACAUUUAGAUAAAUUAUUAUCCUAAUAGAUAUUUAUAAUUAUACACUUUUGUUAUAUUAAAUAGUUAUUAAUAAUUUGAAAUAUUGACAUGUAAUAUUAAUUAGUUUUAAAAAUAACUAAUGUUAAACAACAUUACAAAAUCACUUUAGCAAAAAAAAUGCCAAAUAGUUUUCUAAAAUUACUUCAAUAAAAUUAUUUUUCUAUCAGAUAUAGCUAAACACUCUACAGUUUUUAAUAAAAAUUAUUUUUUAAAAUCAAAAUCAAUUAUAGAGAAAUCACUUUUUCAAAAUCUUGGGCAAACGGGCCUUCCUCAUGCGGACUCUUUCGCUACCCGAUUCCUCUGAUUGAAGUUCCCUCCCUCUCUUCAGUCCACAAACCAACGAUCCCCUGCUCCCCCCUUCGACCGCUUGAUUCCUCCACUCCGGAAAACCCUAGAGCGACCAGUUCCUUUCCCCUGCGAUCGCCCGAUUCCUCCGAUCGAUAGAUAAUCUUGGUACACUGCUCGAUAUCAUGUUGGAGCUAGGGUUUCUGGUUGGGAGAGGUAAUUUAUCUAAUCACCUUCAAUUUAGCAAUUAGUUUCAUCAUAUGUUUGGCUAUUUCACGAUUUGCUUUUGUUUCUCGUGAUUGUAUGAUGAACCCACUCUCUUGGUGAUUUCGUAUGUAUCUUUUCCGGCUUUUGCUCUUAUUAGAGACCACGAACCCUAGAUUCAUAUACCAUUGCUUUCUCGCGGAGACCGCGAAACCCUAGAGUUAGGUAUCAUUGCUCAACUAGAUCAGAUGGAUCUAAAGUCUAUGAUGAGGUUGCCUUGCCAAGGCAAUAUCAGAUAGGUGUCCCUCAGAUCCUAUCCUAAUUACUUCAUGUGGUUUAAUCCAAUUCAUUUUUUAUUUUUUUACUAACAUUACAUAUCUUUUGAUGACCGUUUUACUUUUAGCAACCAAUUUAUCCGUAUGUACUCUGCUUAGGGUUUUGCAAGAUGCAGAUGAUUGAUUACCAAACGAGUCAUUAGGACAGCUGUUGUGUCUUCUUACAGAAAGGUUUACGAUAGGAGCAUAAGAUAUUAUUAAGCUUAGUUAAUUUGGUCUCUUCUGUCUUUCUUCUACACUUCUUUGUUUUGAUAUGAUUUUUUAUUGUAUCUCUUAGUUUAGAAUUUGCAAGUAUGAUCUUCUAUUUAUUAUAUAGUUUUUAUUUUUACAAUACUUGAUUGCUCUUGAUAGUGCCCUGUGCAACUUUUUUUCUUUCAUAUGUACUUUCUGAACUUUGCAGUCCUUAUCAAAAUUUCUUUUUGUUAUUUUUCAAGUGAGUAAUAUUAUCUUCUUUUCAUUUCGAUUUGUAAUUAUACAUUCUCUUUUCUUUCUCACUUGAUAGUCCCUUUUCCUGCUAGUGAAAUAUUUGUUUCCAAUUGAAACAGACUUAAUAGAUUGGGCGGCAAAUAAAUUGUUAUUACUUAAUUUAGAUGGUUGUAGGGGAACACACUACUACUGCUAAUAUUUAGCUAGCCUAAAUUAACACGUAAAUUUAUAUUCAAUUUCAAAUAAUUGUUUGCAAGAAAAAAGAAAAGCUCUUUUCUCAAUCCUCCCUUGAAUUAAAGUUGACUUGCACCUCUGCGAUGGGAUUUUGGGGGGAUUCGAUUUUUGCUAUGUGAAUUCCUCAAACCAAACACCAUAAUGAGAGUCACUCAUUUUGAUUCUUUUUGCAUGCCUCAGACCUUUCAAACCAAACAAAACCCUAAAAGAGUGACUGUCUUACCUAAAUGAACUCAAGUUAUGAUAUGUUGACCGUGUCACACCUCGGGGUCUCUUUUGUAAGCCAUUUAGAAAUUGGGCUAUCUUUUGUAAAUCAGAGUCUGCGGAAAAGCACCUAUUUUUUUUAACCUUGACCCAGGGAUGUAACAGACCCGCUACAAAUACAGAAAAUUUUCAUUCCAGAUGGAUAGAGUUUCUCCUGUAUUUGUAUGGCGUAGGCCAAAGGGUCAACGGGUCAGGUUUUACUACAACUACUUGAAAUGCGUUUGGAUAACAUCCUUUUUCAAUUGGGUAUGGCUUCUUCGGGGAACGAUAACACACAAUGAUCAUCAUUUCACAAGUUUUCACAUUACACAAUUAGCUGUCCUUAGUCACCAGCAUUCCACAUCACUUUCGUUUUCAUUCGUAUUAGUUAAAAGCGCCUCCCACACGAAGGCUUCACUUUGAAACUCUAGUAUUCCCAAAAUCCACGCAACGCUAAAAACCGCUUUGAAGACCGUUUCUCACAUGGAAACUUUUAUUUUAGAAACAAGCUACCGCAAUGGGUAGAAAUUCAUUAUUUGCGAAAAUCACGAGUAUACUUUAAAAACUUCAUUUGAAAUCCAAAUCCAAAAUCUCACAUGCAGCCAAAAAUCUCACAAAUAUUCAAAAUUUACGGAUAUCAAGAUCCACGAGUAAAUCCACUGAACCACAACACUGUCUGAUUACUAACAAGUAUGCAAUAAGCAUCAAAUCAGAACUGAUAACGUAAGGUCGGGAUCUCUAUCUCACGCUAUCUAUAGCCUCACGCACCGUCCCAACCCUCACAGCCUGAGCUACCUGGAAAAAAGUAGGGAGUGAGAGCAUGUAAACAAGUCUCCUCCUCUUAGUGGGUACCGCAAGACAACGAAGGCAAGCUGUACAUACCGACAGAUGGAAAGGAUAAACAACAAUAGUAAUAAGUAAAUCGUGUAUAAUAACAAUGAAUAACAACCACCGAUAAUCACCAAAGAGGCUACUACUGUAAGGUGAGAUUAUAAAGUAACGACCAACUAUAAUCAACGGUUAAACUAGUGCAAUAGCAAUGAUAACUGAACUAAAAAUAACUAUGAUAAUGGUAUGGAUAACCACUACUGCAAAGGAAGAUAGAGAAAUGACUAUGGGCCAACUGCAACUGAUAGCACAAGUAUACCCAAUCAACUGUCGUUUGCCGUAUUGGUCUAAGGGCCUCAGGCAAUGCCAUUCCUGGUCUAAUUGGCAUAUGACUCUAGUAGUAGGCCGCUAGAGCUCAUGGGUCGGAUGUACGACCACCUUUCCGAAAAAGAACACACUCUUGUGGUGGAUCAGAUCGCUGGUGUACGUGAAAUGCUCACGAGCUGUGGCAAUCGAUGCAGUAUGCUUAAUGGCCAACAACGACAACAAGCCGAUAGAACAAUCCACAACCAUAUUUGACCAAAUCCGGUCUAAUAUUUCCGAAGGAAUGUCACUAUGUCACUGACAUAUCAGGUCUAUGUGCAAGUACAAAAUGUCAUUAAUGAUGAAGUCAUGGAACGAUAAUCAAUAACUGGAGUGUUACUCUACCACUAGAUCAAUUAUGAUACUGCAAGACGAAACAACCGUAGAUUAACGAGCACCAAGUAGUGUGUAAGAUACUGAGCAUAUAAUCAUGAUAAGCUAUGCAAAUCAAAGAGGAAAAAGAUAAGAAGUCACCGAGCAUGAGCCGCUGGACCUACUUCGGAUCGAAGUACCCACCUAUAUCAGCAGUCGGACCUAGCUCCCGAGGUGUGUAGAAUCAUCGACCGGACCUACGAUAGAUCCACCGAGUCAGGGUCCAAUCCUUUAGCCUCAAAACACAUCGCUCGCAAACCCCAAGUCGCUCGCGAAAUCGAUUUUCCGAAAUCGAUUCCUGAACUCGCCGAGAAUCCCGAAAACGCACCGGGAUGCCCCCAGGACCCACGAAACGUCCCGAAACACACCGAAUCAUGUUGUGAGUCACCCGCUGCCCCUGAAACACAUCCAAUUGAGUGUCCGGGCAGCAAACACUUGCACCAAGGUCAACUCGGUCGACACCGGUCGACCGUUUUGUUCCGAGCUUCCGGAAGUGUUCACUUUGGCACCGGAAGCCUCUGCCGCCCAUCGGCUGCCUUUGAACACACGAGGGGACCACGACGGCCAGCCAACGAGGCUAGGCGAUGAUUUCUGGGGCAACCACGUCGCCGAAAACUCAUCUCAACACGAAAUCGCGUUCUACUGGCGAUAUCAGCAAAACGCUCCGAAAUCCUACUUCCGAUUGCACGAGGGCUUCGAAAACUAGACAAUAAGUCCAGAGGGUCACAAUCAGUGACCACGCGCUGCCCGAGGCAGCCCACACAGCCAAUAUUGCGUUUAAACCCCUAAACAUUCCACAAUUCACAAAAUUGCAAUUUAGGGUUGUUACCAUAAUCCGUGUGCCAUUGGGAUGAAGCAAGAGUACCUAUGGACAGGUCUCGACGUGUCGGACACCGUGCUUGCUGUCCGAAGUGAGAACGACGUUCGAGGAGCGUGUUGGAGCUUCACGAAGUGCUGCGACAAACGCAUACCGGGAGCAAUGAUGACUGCGCAGUGAAAUGGAGUCUCUCUGGCAGGAUCCGAGGCGAGCAUGACGAUCAAUGAGGGUUAGAAAUUGUCGUGCUCCUUUCCGGAGGUUUGGGGACGCUUCGUGUGGCCUGAAAAAGCACAAAAGGGCAAAAGAGCCCUAGUUCAAGGGUGUAGGGAGCACCAUGGUUCCGGUCGGCAGCUCGGCGGCGUGCGUGGGCCUUGGUCGGGCGCGAAGGGGUAGGGGAGCCUCGUGCUCCCCUCAGCCGGCGCUGGAAGCGGCGGUAGCGGCGCCUCAGGAAGGCCUGGCCCGCAGGGCUAGGGCUAGUGCUAGGGCUCGGGUGGUGGCGGUAGUGGCCGGGGAAGCCACGGGGCAGCGGCAACGACUCGCCUGAGGCCGGAGGGAGGCGGCGGUGAUGGCCUGAGGCGGCGGCGGCGGCGGCGGCGGCGCGGCAGAGACAGGGCCUCCCUCUACCCAGAUCUGCACCGAGAGGAGCUUGAUGGCCGCGGCGGCGCUCGACAGUGCUGGGGCCGUUGGGGAGGGUCGCCGGAGGUCCCUGCUAUGUGGGGCAAGGCCCGAGGGGGUGUGUGGCCUCUUCCUAGAGCUUCGGUUCCAGAGAGUGAGAGAGGGGGUUCAGGGAGAGAUUAAGGGAAAGAGAGAGAGUGAGGUGGCCGGCUGGAUUUGGGUAGCUAGCGGCCGGGGAGGGGCGUGGUGCACUUUGAGAAGAGAGAGGGUGUCGGCUGAGUGUGAAUGGGUCGAGAACAGAGUUAGGGUUAGGGUUAGGGUUAGGGUUAGGGUUGGGAGAAGAGAAACCCUUAGUGGGUGUUUAGGCCUCAAGUGGUAAUUUUGCGAAAAAGCCCAUGAAUUCCAACAAUUCUUAAUCCAGCCCUUCACGGCACGCGUAAAACACAGAAUGACACCCCCAUGUGCGAUUUCGUGCAAUUUGGAACAUAAACUAUUGGGGGAUUCUCCAAAAUUCGAUUUUCCCUAUUUCGACCGUUCCUUGGUUUUCGCGCAAUUGCGGUAAAUCUAUCCAUCAGAUUUAUGAACGGACUGCUUUGGUGCGUUUAGCACUGCCGGACCUUGGAGAUCACGUUUUUGUUUCGCGAGUCACGGAUUUGUAUCAAACCCCACACACACACACACACACACACACACACACACACACAUAUAUAUCCCAGAUAUAUAAAUUCGAAAUUUGAAUUCAAAUUCAAUUUCUUAUUUGAAUUCCUCAUUUCAAAAUAUCCCAGAUUUUACAGACCGACCUAAUAUGACUAUGCAAAUCAAGUUGACUCUUAAUACACACUAAAUUUAGUGAUCACCCACUUAAUCUUUUAUAAGCAAGGCUAACUCUUAAUAGAUACUAAACUCAUUGCUACACCAUUUAGUAAUUCGACCCAAUUACAUGAAUUGAGAUACAAAUUGUCAAAUUGAGAUUCGAAUCACACAGUUAUUUCAAUACUUGAACCAAAUUUACUCCAUUACUCCUAUUCCAAAAUAAAAUCAUUAUUUAAUCAUUUUCUUGUGAUUCAGCUGUGUCAUCUGAUAAUUAUUUAACUUUGGUGUUGAAGUAACUUUUGAUUUUUCAAGUGCAAUAUUUAACUUAUGCACUUACGCCUUUUCUAACUUUGGAUUUAAAAUCUAGUACCAAAUUGAUGAACUUGUGGUUACUAUUUUAUGUUCCAUAAUAUUUUUGGAAAAACUUCAACUAAUUUGUCUUUGACGGUUUGAACAUUCUGUGGUAAUUUCAAACUUGAUAGCGAUUGCGAACGGAAAUCACUAUAGAACUUUACAUGCAUCAUGUCACUUGCAUCACUCACAUGCAUCACAUAUUCAAAUGCAUCGUUUCACCAGCAUCACUUCAUAUGCAUCAUUUCACAUGUAUCACGUCACAUGCAUCAUAUAUUCACAUGCAUCAUUUCACCAGCAUCACUUUAUAUAUGCAUCACGUAAAAAAUAACCCAAGUUCCUCAAGCCAGUAAAAGAGUGUCACCAGAUUCUAAAGCUAUAGUUAGGAAAGGCACAAGUUACUCCAAAUGUUGAACUUUGCAAAAGAAAGAAAAAAGAAAAAAAAAAUCAAAAGAUAUUUCCAAACCAAAUAUGAAAUAGUUUUAGUUUUGUUUCGCAUAACCAAAGCUGAAAUAGUUGUAGUUUUGCUCUGCAUUUGUUUUUGUGAUACAAUCAAGUAGUAGGAUCAAUUUGGUUCAGAUAUUGGAGUUACAUACUAUUUGAAUCUUAAUUUGAUAAUUUGUAUAUGAGUUCCUGUGAUCGCGUUUAAUUAUUAAGGGUGUUAGCACUGUGCUUAGUAUAUCUUAAGAGUCGAGCUUAUAAUUUGAGUUUAGUGGAUAUUUAAUGUAAUGGCAUUACUUGUUAUUUAGUUGGUGCAUUGUGCUUGAUUUUGUUUGUCAAUUAAAAGACAUGAGAAAAGAGAGGAAACUGACCCUCUUCAACGGCUUUUAGUUUGCAUUUUGCUUAUUCAUACGAGUGAUUUAUAUAGCUUAGGAGAAUCUAUAUGUAAAAGUGCAAUUGUUCUGGUGGGUAAUGUUGGACUAUCUGGAUUCCGAGUACCAUGUCACUGAAGUUUCACCUGUUGUUGUGUGAAUAUUGGAUGACCUGUUUAUGGGACAGUUUCACUACUUAACGCUUUGAUCCAGCCCGGCCCUUAAAUCCGGGUCCAAAUGUAGGCCUAAAGCCAGGAAGCUACACGUCUUGGGCUUCACAUGCUUAGUAUGAAGUUUGGGCGAGCUUAGCAUCAGUGGAUUCUAGCUCUGGCUGGUUUUAAUAGUUUCUUUUAACAUGGCUCGUUUGAAAAUCUGGGCCUCAAUAUAGGACCAAGGCAGGGAUUCUUCGGCUUUACGGGUUUAGUAUUAAAUUUUCUUUUUGGAGAGCCAUUGGAUAAUAAUUUUCGUUCUCAAUUUAGUUUGCCUAGUUAAUCUUGACUUUUGUGUUAGCUGGUUUUGUUAGGUUAAAAUAUGUAACAACUCAUAAUAACGCAUAUUUGGUGUGAUUCGAAGUUUUACACCCUAUUUGCCAACGCCCAAAUCGCUAAACUGGUUGGGUUCGAUCUCAAUAUUCCUUAUUUCCAUUGUUUGGAAAUUUAUUACUCUAUGAUUUGAAUUGAUUUGCACUGAUUUUGGGUGGAUUUUCAUAGGUGUACAAGAAAUGAUUCAGAGGCAGGAUAUACUGUACUUUUCAUAUCUUUUUUUAAUCCAAAGCUUUUUAUUACCUCAAGGUCUUUUGAGUUAAAAAAAUUGUCAAAUUGCUGAAUAAUGUGUAAAUGAUUAAAUUAAGUAGUUGGUAUCUCUUUUAGCGUAGUUUUUUUUCUUUUUAUUUCAUUUGCAUAUUCUACGUUUAUUUUACUUUCUUUCUCUUUAUCCCCUCAUGUUACCUACCUUUCAUCAUUCUCAGUUUUCUCCUCUAUCUUUUAAUUUUUUAUUAUUUAAAGUCUCUAAGACAUCCAAUGGUUUUUUUAUGUUAUUAUUUUCUAUUUUGCUACACAUUUUAUAUAAUAGUUGUUUCUUGUUUUUAAAAAAUAUUCUUGUAUUUCCUCCUUAUUUUUAUAUAAAUUUUUUUGUUGCUGAUUCAGAAAUCCUUAUUCCUCUAGUAAGUUUUUGGAAUCUUUUGUUUUCACUUUCUUUUUCUAGUUCUUUGGUGUUUCGGUUCUUUCUUUCUUUUUUUUUUUUUCUAAGCAAUGUAUUUCCUAUCUUUAGGAAGUUUUGCCCUUGGUUUCUUUCCUAUCUAGUAAGUUUUGCUAUUGCUUCAUAGUGUAAUAUUGUGUACCUGCUUUUCUUUUUGCCUCUUACCUCAUAAAAUAACACACGAUAUUGUUCACCCAAAACUAGCUUCCUGAGAGAGACUUCUUUUUUUUCCGGUUGCCUUUGUUGCCUUUUCGUGUCCUUGGAUAUAAAUUUUCUUACGUCAAAGCAAAAGGAAGUUCUCUUGUUCAUCCCUUAUUGAAUUUAUUUAAUUUUAUGCUGAAUGUUAUUACAUAUUACUUUUGUUUCUUUUGUUUUUCUCAUUUUAUUCUUGCUACUUUUUCGCUCUCUUAUCUGCUGAUUAUUUAUCUUGAUGCUUCUGUAUGUGCAUUAUGGGUUUUUUUUAAGAGUAAAGAGUGGUUAAUAUGUAUUAUCAUGGACACAAUUUUCUAUGUUAGUUGUAUAAGUGAUUGUUGUUGAUCUUAUUUAUGAAAUUAUGUUCCGAUAUUUGUUAGUGUCUUCUUCCAAUUCAAUCUUCACUUUACAUAUAUAUCCAUUUAAUGUUUUGAAUUAACCAGAUCCUUCUAUUUUCAUCAUGUUUACUUUCAUUUCUUAUUUCUCCUUUUGUUUGUUCUUCCUCCUUUUGUUCUUUUCUAUUUUUUGCCUUUAUUUUCACUCUCUGUUUGGGUGGUACAAUCGUUCUUUAGAGCAAAGCUAAGAAGUUAUACGCUAAUUUAUAUGAGGUGAUUUAUCUUAUUUAAAAAAAAUAACUUGAAUGCUGAAUAUAAGAUCUAAUUUUAAAUAUUUGAUAACAUUUCUUGUCAUUUAAAUGUACAAAUUUAUAUGAGGUGAUUUAUCUUGUUUAAAAAAAUAACUUGAAUGCUGAAUAUAAGAUCUAAUUUUAAAUAUUUGAUAACAUUUCUUGUCAUUUAAAUGUACAAAUUAAGAGGGUAUACUGAAUAAGAUAUUUAUGCAUCCAAAUAGGGUCUAAGGGAAAUAGAUUAUUGAAGUGAGGAAUCUUAACAGUAGCUUACAAUUCUUUUACUGAACUCAAUUUGUGCAACAACGAAGGGCGUAAAUCCAGUUGCUUGCUUUCUUUUUAAAUCUAUUUUAUGAUACUUAAAGUAUCAUAAAAAUAGAUUGUAACUGAUUCUUUUAAAUCUAUUUUUUAAAAAAUGAAAUUAAAUGUAACAGAUAUAUAUAUUUUAUGAUACUUAUCAUAAAAAUAGAUUUAUUAUAUUAAAUUAUAAUUUUAAAUUAUUAUAAAUAAAAAUUUUAAUAUAAAUGUAUGAUGGAGGCAGUAGUAUCAGUACAUAGAAUAAUUUCCCGAAACCCUUCUUGCUUUCUGUUGUCCGGAUCAGUCGCCAAGCGCUCGCUCUGCCCGCACGAUCUUCUCCUCUCCUUUUCAAAGUAUUCCUUUUCUGUCCUUUUGUUACAAAACCUUCGCGCGUCUCCACUUCACUACUAGUUUUGUGCACAAUCUCUUUAUUUGAUCUUAUUGAGGUUUGCGAACUAUGGGAGAUCGAUCGCUGUGGAACUUGUUCAAAUCGUUUCGUAAAAUUACACAAUUUUCUGUUUUGUUUAAUGUUUUGUUUUUCCUUUGGAGAGUUAGGAGAAUUUAAAUGCAAUAUGUGCACAGGUUCAUGGGCUUUUUUUUCCUUUUUCUGAUGAAGAUCAGAGCACCAUCAUUGUGCCUGAGGAAAAACUUAGAAAUUUAUUAUUUUGAUCAUGUUAUGAUUUUUUUUUCUGGAUCCUAUUUUCAGUAAUAAGUUAUCUUUGUGUAGGGCCCUAGUAAUAUGGCUUCGCAUUAUCAAGCUGCUUUAUUGGUUGCUUCUCCAUCGUAUCCAAACUCCAUUGCUUGGUCGAACGAAAAUUUGGUGGCUAUUGCAUCAGGCCAUAUCAUUACUAUAUUGGUAUGCAAACAUUGUUAACCUUGCAUUACAUAGUAUUUUACAUUUAUGUUCUUAAAUGUUGUUAAAUUGCUUUAUUUGUUAUUUAUCUUGCACGCAUGUUGUGCUCUUGCUAGAACCCAGCUUUGCAUGCGGGUCCUCGAGGUCUCAUUACGCUUCAUCCUGAUAAGCCAUUUCCUAUAGGAGUUGUUGACAAAGAAGGUUGCAUCCUUUCUUUCAAUUUUUACUCUCUUUUUUUUCUUUUUUUUUUUCCUCUUUAUACAUAACUUUGUCAAAUAAUUGGGUUUUGCGAGAAUGUAGUUACUUUUCGGCCUAUUGUUUACAUCGUCACUUGAUAUGAAAUUUUGCAGAUCUUCUUAGUCCAUGUUUAAUGCCUACAAGUUUGUCCCGUGAUGUUCGUCCAUGUGCUCGGUCGAUUUCGUGGUCUCAACCGGGUUUUGCAUCUAACUCGGGGUAAACACAAUUUCGUCAACCUUCAUGACUCUUGAAAUUGCAUAAGAUUUUGCUGGUUUGUUGAAUUUGGUUUUUUGGUAUUUAUAUAUGACUCACUUUAGAUGCUUGCUGGCUGUUUGCACCACUGGAGGUCAUGUGAAGUUAUAUCGCGCUCCUUUUUGUGAAUUUACUGCUGAAUGGAUUGAGGUAUCCAUUAUAUUUGAAUUUCUCAUUAUAAAUGUUAAUAUUGCGUUCCAUCCUUUUGAAUAGACACAAAAAUAAUCAUAUCCAUAACUCUCUUGCUUAUGAUAGGUUGUGGACAUCUCCGAGUUGCUUUUUAAGCAUCUAGAAAGUACUGAGUUUGGAGAGCAUAAUGCUUCUGAAUUUCAUCAGAAGGUUAGUUCUUUAAUAGUCUUUUUUAAUUUCCUAAAUAAACAUGCUACUGCAUCUAACCGUUUCAUCAAAUAGAUAGUAGCUUCUGAGAGUUCUCUGUGUUCUGUCUCUUUCUUGCCAUGAAAAUUCUUUUCAUCUUGUACCAAAAGCAAGGCAGCACAGGCUGCACAACAGGGAGAGGUUGCGCUGAAGAGUUGGAAGAAUCUCUUUCCAGUAAGGGCUCUGGACGAAGAAAAAGAAAGACUUUAGGCAAAAGGUCAAUUUUCACCUUUUAUUUGGUAUUCAUGCAUUUUGCCUAUAUAUGAAUAUGAUAUGUGGGAAUAGUCUUAAUGUAUAGUCUAUAUGUCGUAUUGAUCUUGGGAGCUGCAUACAUCUUUCUUGAGGUUUACUAACAUUAGUUGCUUUUGUGAGGAUUGGUGACCCUUUUUCUUACAUAUAUUAUUAGAAACCAUAGCGUAGUCUGAUCUAAGCAAACUGCAAGUUAUUAUUUAUGUCCUAAUGUCUAGGUUUAUUUGUGAGAAUUAUUGAAUUUUUUGUUUCAGACUGACAAGUUCCUUUUCAAAUUCAUAUUAUGUUUUCUUUUGGUCACUUUUAUCUCUCUUAUUCAAUGUUAAAUGAUUGUAUAUAGGCAUUACCUAAAUUAUAUAUUAGCAUUGUCAUCUUAUCUAGGGUUGUACUAUAGAUUCAGACAUAUUCAUUGUCUUUCCUAUUUUUUUUUUUAAAUUUAUUCUCUUAUCAAACAUUAAAUUUUGUAGAGAUGGGGCCAAUGAAGAAUUUGUAGAACUCUCUUAUUGUUCAAAGAAGGCGAAAUUAAGGGAUAAAGGUGGUCGUCUUGCAGCAUCCAAUACGGCUACUCCAAAUAAGGUAUCCAUGUGUUCUCUUCCUGAUUUUGCUUUCACCGGUAAUGCUUUGAAGGGGAUAAAAAAUUUUGAGUCAUGCAGCGAAAAGUACAUCAGUUGUUUGUUGGGGGUGUGAAUAUUUCUGGUUGGUGGUUCAUUUUGUAAAUGACAUGUUAUCUCAGGUCAUUGAGGUUGAAUCUGGAACUUUCGUGGUGAAUGAUCAAAGUUUGCCAUCAAGAGUUAAGGGAAGAUCAUCUUUGAAUGGAGAAAACAAUUCCUUUCCUCUAAUUACAGCAAAGCAGUAUGCAUCUCGUAGUGCUUUACUAUCAUCCCUCGUAGUGGCAUGGUCUCCAGUUGUAACAUUAUGCGGAAGCAAAUGUGCUAUUUUAGCUGUUGGAGCUAAGUCCGGUAAUAUUUCUUUUUGGAAAAUUUGCACACCACAAUUCUACACAGUGGAGCAUGAUGGAGUUCCAGCUGAUGCAAUACUCAUCGGGCUUCUUCAGGCGCAUAGUGCAUGGAUAACAGCAAUUAGUUGGGGAGUUGCCACUUCAAGUUGCUUAAAGUCCCAGUUAGCUGUGGCUACUGGUAGUUGUGACGGAAGGUGAUUUUUUCUUUUUUCCUACCGUUUUGCGACUUUUGUCCUUCUCUUCACUUCUUCUUUCUAGUAUUUGCUAGGCUCUUUUUAAUCUAUAUUUUUCUUUUCAAAAAAAAAACACAGCGUGAAGAUAUGGUUGGGAGAUGUUCAAAGACUAGUUCAAUCUACAGAGGCAACCAAUAGGUCCUUUUCCUUACUAACUGAGGUAAAUUUUUUUAUGCAUACCACUCUCAUGACUACAGAGCAUGUACAUGCGAACCAUAUUUUGUUAGAACUAAUCUUAUGAGCUAAGAAAAUAGAUUGCGUAUAUAGGAAAAAAGAAAUUGUAGUAGUCAGUCCGCUCACCCCCUCCCUUUAUUAUAUGGUUUGUGCCAGAUGUUAUAUGCUGAUGAGGAGUAACCAAGAAAACAACCCCAGUUUUCAUUAGUAGAUGUUAUACCCUGGUUAGCAGUCAUCUGUUAUUUGUGGACUUGAAUUCAACGUCCCAUUUUAACUCCUCUCAUCUUCAACAGGUCACAAAUGCUACAUCAGCCCCAGUUUCAACAAUUUCGUUGAUUGUGCAAGCUCAAUCUCAAGAUAAAAUUAUUUUGGCAAUUGGAAGAGGAUCUGGAUCACUUGAAACGUGGAUAUAUUGCCUAUCUAGCAACAAAAUUCAAUGUGCUGGCAUUUCUGAAGCACAUGAUCAAGUGGUAUAUGUACAAUUUGAUGAAGUUAGAUGUCAUUGAACUCAUAUUUACAGUGCCGACCUGUAUACUUUUUUGCAGGUGACCGGUCUAGCUUGGGCUUUUGAUGGUCAUUGUUUGUACAGCUGCAGCCAGGUUACUUUACAUUCAUUAAUCAUCAAACAUAUGUUAUUGACUAGUAUCUGUUUGUAAUUUUUUUGCUUCAAAAGAAAAAAGAAAAUACAUUGUAGCUUUGAGAUAGCACACGUCAAAUUACAAGUCUAGUGGAAUUGUAUUAGGGCAUAUAUAUAGUACAUCUUUGCUGGUUUACUGACUCAAGUUCAUACCUUGACAAUAGGACAAUUCUGUGCGUAGUUGGACUUUACAUGGAAGUCGUCAACGCCAAGUUCCUUUCCCUUCAAAUUUUCCAGGCAUAAAAAAUUCAACAAAUGUACAUCAUUUAGGUUUAUUUUCCUGCUAUUCUUGAUUUCCAUCUUUUCCCCUUUUCUUAUGGAGUAUGAAACUCAUAUGCAGCUCUCACAAGUAUCUGACCAAUGCUUUGGCCUUGCACUUGCUCCUGGAGAAUUGAUGGUUGCUGUGGUGAGCUCAAUCUCUCAGAAGAUCGCUUCCGUAUUUAUAUUUUCUGCUAUUUAUUUAUGUUCUUUAGACACGCAUAAACGCGAAAGGAGUUGGUUCCAAUCUUUAUAUAUCGUGUCGAUAGUUUUUUAUUUACUUUGCAUUUAAAUCAUGAUCUAACAAGAUCAUUACACUUCAGGUUCGCAGUUUGGAGACUAAUCUUUUGAACCAAAUGUAUCAAGCCAGGUGAUUGAUUUCUCUAGGAGUAUUUAAACUUAUGAUAGUAUGUGAUCCAUUAGUACUUUGGAGACAUUUUGUGGUAACGUGAUGUAUAAAUAAAACUGCUGAAACUAAAAUUUUCUUGUUGGUGUUACUCAGAACUCAGAGAGCGGUGGUUGAGUUUUUCUGGACUGGAGGACAGCUCCUUGAACCAUUGGAGAAAAACGUUAGUUGUGGUAGUAAACCCUCAGAAUUAUCCAAAAGGGAGUUGCAGUGUUGGGAAUGCAACAUUUUGUGGUCUUUAAAGAAUUUUGAGAAUGGCGAUAAGCUACCUGUCCUAUGGGACACUAUAGCUGCAUUGCUAGUCCUUAAGAAGUUGGCACCUACUUUUGUUCGAGACUUGCUCUCAAAGUGGAUCUCAAGUUGGUUUCCUGAGAAGCAAGAAAGCGGAUAUAUGGAGAAGACCUUGUUGCAUGUUCAAAACAUGUUGUCCGUGAUAAGUUCUCGCAGAAUACACCUCCUCAACAUAAUCUCUAGAAGAUUAAUGCCAAGAAAGGAAAAGGCUGAGGUACCUAAAUGGGAGCAGCAUAACUUCAGUGAUAAAACCUAUGUUGAAGGAGAGACGGAAUUGUGGCAUAAUUUUCUUGUCAAUAGUGAAAGAGAGCUGACAGAGAGGCUUGUUGCUUCAACUUUUACUACUGUUCUAAGUCGUGCAGCUCUUUCGCCCGAUUCUUUUUCCGUUGACACAAGCUGGUUCCCAAUUGGAGUGGCUCAAAUGGAGCAGUGGGUUGCCAUCAACAGUAAAGUAGUGCACAAUCAGCUUAAAGUACUUGGAUCAAAAUUUAAAGAACUAGGAACAAGGUGUUUGUAUUUCUUACCUCAUCAAUUAUUUAAAUGGCUUUUCAUUUCCUCCCAAUUUAUAAGACAGCCUACUUUUUCAUCCACAAUUGAAAUAUUCAGCUUAAAUCAAUUUCUUUCUUUCAUAUACUUGUGUUCUAAUAUCUGAAUUUAUCUUUAAUCAUCUAGGAUCGAUUCGGUAUGUGAAUACUCAAAGAGUGAGGUAUGCAGCUUCUGCACUGGCCCAGUUCAGUUUAAAUCCCCAGAUGUUGCCUCUUGUGAAGGCCGCAAAGUCGAAGGUGGGGAAGUCGAAAGCCAUAAAUUAUCGAGAUGUGCCGUUUCGAUGAAGCUGUGUUCUAUCACGGAGCCAAUGUGGUUUUGCUGUUGUUGCAAUCGGUGGAUCAAUAAAUUGGCCCCUCAAGCCAUCUUUACCAUGCCUAGCUCUCCAUUAGAUGUAAAUUGUGGUUGCGGAUCUUUUGAUCUGGAUGAAGUUUGUUUACCGUUGUGCCCUUUCUGCGGCAUAUUGUUACAGAGAUCGAUGCCGGAGUUUUUGCUGUCAGUUUGCCCGGUAUAAAAACUAGCUUGAGGAUUUCUCAAAUGAAAUGGUUACAAAUUGAAAAAGGGCCGAGGUGCUAUUUGAAAAUAUUCUGCAGUUGAGGGGGGAUCGAUUUGCGCUUUUACCGAGCAAAAACAAGCAGCUGCAGGGAGGGAGGAGGGAAGAGGGAGAUGAAUGAGACGAGCGCAACAGCAAGCGAUCCCCACGCGUGCGCGCAGGAGCGAGAGGGGGUGGUGGGGGGGAGAAGGGAGAGGAAGGAGACGGAGACCAGCGCAUCGGCAAGCAAUUCUAGGCAACUGUCGACAGCAAGUCCCUACGUGUUGCCGAAGAUCUCCCCUUAGGAUCUCCCCGUCGACUAUGCUGGAUUCCUCGUCGUCGUCGUCUUCGGCUUCUCUGGUGUCAUGUUCCGAAUAUGUGAAUAUCUUCGCUCUAGAUCUCUCUCAGAUCCGAAAAUAUCAGUGAUUCAUCAAUUAAGAUAAUGGAUGCCUUAGUGUUUUGUAUGUCUUGUGAUUUUAUUUGUGUCAUGCCCCAAGGCCCUUUCAGAAGCCUUUUUUUAAUAAAAAGGUAAAAAUUGAAAAACAGUCCAAGGGGAAAAAUGCUUUUUUUUUUUUUUUUUUUGGAAACACCUUGCCCACAAGACGGAUAGAUCUGCCACAAAUACUAGAAUUUCUCGAGUAUUUUUUGUAUUUGCAUGGCGUAUCAACUUGCUGCGUACGACAGCCAACAAUCUACACUCACAAAGAUCUAAUUAAAUGAUGUAAACUGCCCAUCCGCCAAACAUAGAAAUUUAUUUAUUAUUUGGAAGUGUUUCUCAUAUGAAAAUUUUAUUUUAAAACUAGGGAUUUACGAAAAAGUUGAAAAUCUUUUAAAAAUUAUUUCUCACAUGAAAUUUUAACCUUUUUGAAAAAUGACUAUCACGAAGGAUAGAAAACUUUUCUGCUAUAAAUUCACAAUACAAAAAUCAACAACUUAAUUAGAGCUAGGCUGGAAUACUAUCAAUAGUGGUGCUAUUAGUUUUUUAGUCCUUGGAUUGAGAAAUAUGUAGUUAUGAUGAUGUGGGACCCCUAGGGUUGAGUGGGUGGUUGGUUAAAUAGUAUAAUCUAACGGAUAAAAAUAAUCAAAGGGGUUAAUCUAACGGCAGAAAAUUUGAUAGCACAAAGUACUUGGUGCUAUCUAUAAUAUAGCAGCCGAACUUAUUUAAUUAAUCCAAAGAAAAAUAAACUUAACUGAACAAUUUCAAUAUAGAACUUAUUUAACGAAUUACCAUAAAUGGGUACAGAAAGAGAUAAUUAGAAUCAAUCAAUGGAUAUGCACGUGACCACCAGAGCUCACUAGCUACACUGCACCUCACGCAUCAUUCUGACCCUCACCGCUUAUGUCACCUGUAAAAAUAGGAGGUGAGAAACUAACAUGAGCUUUCCCAGUGGGUAUCGCAAGCCAAUGAGGACAAGUUAUACUCAUCGAAAAAUGAGAGAGUAAUCGAUUGUAGUGAAGAGGUACAACAAAUACAAUAACAAUAAUGAGUUGAAAGAUAAUAAUCAAGUGUAAAUAGAAAUACGAUUAACCGCUACUGAAAUGUAAAACAAAAUGCAAAUAUGCAUCAACUGGAUGGAUAGUUGAAAAAUGCCUUAUCAACCUAUCAUGUUGGUCUAAAGAUCUUAGGCAAUGUCAUAUCGCGCUCAACCACCUAGUAUAUAACCCUAGCAAAGUAACCGCAUUGGGCUCAUGGGUCAGAAGUAUAUACCAAACGACGGGGCGUAAUAAUGUCAUAGUGCAGAUUUUGUACAUUAUAAAGUCCAAUUUCGGCAUUAAAAUUCUCUACAUGCAAGUUUAAGGAGUUCUAACUUAGGAAGGCAGCAUCUCACGGUAGAAUUGAGGUUUCCAAUCUAAAAUUUGACAAAAGGUAGAUCAUCCUACCUUUCUAUCAGCUGGAAGUGAAGUCCCCCCCCAAGUUUCUUAGCUUCAAUACAGGUGGAGAAGUCGAAGUAAUCACAGCUCCAAACAAGAAACUUGCUGGAAAAGGAAUUGGAUUCAAAAAUUCAUUGGAAACCCAAUUUGGGUCCGAGAACUUGUUAUAUUUGGUUUAGAUUUGUAGUUAUCUAAAUUGGAGUUAAAUCCUAAUCUAAUUAGGAUUAUAUAUAAUUUAGAUUUAAUUUGGCAUAUAUGGAUUAUGAGUCGGAAUCUAAUUUCUAAUUGAAUUAGGAUUAGACUCUACUUAGGAGACAUGUAUUAUAAAUACAUGCUACGGCCAAAUUAAUUGCCGCGACUCAAAUUAAGAGAGCCAUGCAAAAUUAAUUAAGUUAUUGGUGGCCUGCCGUGCUCUAAUUAGAGGCAAACUCUAAUGACGCCGCAUCUAUGCUAAUUCUGUACGGUGGCAGCAACAUGAGCCGAGGGAGUUGGAGCUCUAAUUAGUUGAGUAUCUGAGAAGGAGCCGCACAUGCCAUGCUAAUUAAUUAAGGUGUUGUUCCGUACGGUUUGAGGCGCCGGUGACUAAUCAGAGGCCAUGCACUAAUUAGUGCUAAUUUGGAAUCCGUACAGAUUGGGUUGAGAGAAGCUCUUUUUCGGAGUUGCUUGUUGCGGCGUUUCGGAUCUAAUUAAGUUUUGGUCUUUUGAGAGAUCUUCUUUGUACUCCGCCUUUUCGACAUUAAUAAAUUAUUUGCUCCGUCUUCGCCCGUGGACGUAGGCCGUUGGCCGAACCACGUAAAUAUCGGUGUGUUCUUUCCGCUUAUCUUUUCUUUUCUUGCAUUAAAUUAUUUUCUGGAUCUAUUUUUCGCCGUUCCGAUUUUAACAGAACUCAAAUUAACUAAUAAUCUCAGUUUACUAACUUGUAAUUUAGGUAGAUGUAGCUCCAAAAUCACCAGAAGUGAAUAAAAAACUAACAAGAAUCCAGCAAAUCCUCAGCUAGAAAGAAUCAGAUCGAGAAAAACCAUCAAAUCCCAAUAGCACUCCAAAUCAGCACAAUUCUCAAAUUUGCUCCAAUUUAGAGCUAUUUACCUGGAAACGAGAUGCUAGGAUUGCUCCACAAUCUCUUCGUUUUCUACUACAAUCACGAAUCAACACCUCAGCAGCAAUUGGAAGCCUCAAAACAGCCCAAGAUUCUAAACUGUUGCAGCUGCUGUUGCUGUUCUUGCUGUCUUGCUGCACUCGCAGGGAAGAGGGAGGAGGAAGGAAGAAAAUUGAAGGAGAAUUGAUAGAGAAUUGGAGUUCACAGUGGAAGGGAAAUGUAAAAGGGUCACUUGGGGUCGCAGGAGUUACUUUAUAGAAGAAAUGAUUGGAUAAAAUGAGCCCACGGAUCAAAAGUUUCUUAAACUAUAGGAAUUUAAAUGAAGAGAUUUAAUUCCUAUAGUUACUUUAAAUUAUAGGAAUUUAAAAGUUUAUUGAACAUAUUAAAUACAUUGAAUUAAAAUAUUUACCAACAUUACAAAAUUUUUAAAUAGUAAUGCAAAUUAAAUUCUUCUAACUUAAAUUUAAUAUUUUAAUUUUAAUUAUUUAAUAUUUUAAUAUUUAAAUUCAACGUAUUUAGAAAUAGAACUAUUUAUAAAGUUUCUAUAAUUUAAAUUAAUGCCUAAAUUUGAGAAACACUGAAAUUUCUAAAAUAAUUGCCCAAAUUAAUGCCUAUAUUAAUGUCUCAAUUUGGGUAAUAAAUAAAUUCCCAAAAUUAGUGUAAAUUAAUACGUAAAUUCAGGAUAUAAAUUAGAACUUUUUUUAAAUAUUGUUGUAUAGUUUAAUCACAAAAAUAGCCUCAAUGAAGCAACCCUUUUACCAGCUAAAUGUUAAAAUUAAAUCUUUAUCGUCCAUUGAUCAACAGUUAAGAUUUUUUUUUUUAUUUUUUAUACAAUAAAGUACCGAAUCAUUUCUCUUAAGAUAUUGAUGAACUUGUAAAUACUUGGAUGUCUUGAGACUCUGAAUCUUUGUACCUCCUUUUAGGAGAAUAACAAUGCUGAAAUAUCAUCAAAUAUGGGACUACAUGUAGUAUCCCUCCAAUUAUUCCAAGUUGCUGCUGGUGUUGGUGAUUAGCUCUCUCUGCUCAUUUGAAUUCCAUUUACUUCUUUUCUGCAAUUGUGCGCGCGGCAUGUAUCAUGUAUGACAGCACAUGUUGUUCUUUAUAAUUUGGAACGUUUGAUUGUCGAAACUUUUCUUAUUCGUGAUAACAUGCCUCAACUUGGGCUUCUGCACUAGAAUAGCUCUUCGAUGUUGCAAGGUAAUAAGAUAGUGGAGCUAGCUAUUGAUGUAUCUAAUGUUGUUCUACUUGAAUAAGCGACCCGCUAUCUCGAACUCCCAUCUUUUGAAUCGAAUUUUUGAUUCCGAGAAGAGGUGCCUCUGCGUGUGUUUCACAUGGUGUUUCAUUGCAUUAUCUUAUGCUUGCACAUAAUAAUGAGCAAAAUAUAAUAGCGAGAAGCUACACAUGUUCGAUGCGAAUGACUACAUUAUUUCCUAUAGUAUCCACUACAAAGGACAGCAAUUACUGGUGUUAGUACAAUCUAAAGUGUAUGGUUACUAUACAAUUCUAAUAUCUGCAUCAGAUGAUUGUAGAUUUUGUCUUUGGUCCUUGAUCUUUAUAGAAACUUGUCAUGCUAGGAACUUCUUGGUUCUCAGUGAGCAAGCAAGCCCUUGAUCACAUUAUGGUUGGGAUAAGGCUAUAAUUUAACAUUCGAAAUUGGCUUCUAAGCUAAGCUUUCAAUAAGUAAAGUGAUUUCCAAUAUUACAUCAAAAUUUGGUAUCUAGUGAAAUAACACAAAUUCGGUGGAUCAAAUUUUGAAUGUAGUAUUAGCUUCUAAAUUGCCAAUAAGCAGUAGUCAGACCAAAGCUUACUUGGAAAUGUAGAAGUAUCGAGCUGAACAAUACGGUUUUGCUGGAUCGAACUGUUAGCAAUAUACCCUAAAGCCAAUCGGUGACAUAGGCUUAUGGACAUAUUAAGUAUUUUUCUUAAUUAAUAAAGGGCAAAUUUUAUUCAUAUUUAUUAUUAGUAGUACAAUACAUUUAUAUGAAUCGUCCGUUGAAUCUUCGUUAAGAAAAUAUAUUCCUAAGAGUUAGGAAUUUGAGAUAUAUAUUUUUUUGUACAAAAUUCUUAAAUGCUCUUAGCCAUAGGAAUAUCAUAAGGACGAUGAUAUUUUCGGAUAGGGGGGUGCAUGCUACACCUCUAUGUUGAGAUGAUGAAUCUCAAGUUAUUAGUGUAGGGACACUAAAGUAAGCAUGCAGGUGCUUGUUAGCGAACAAGUAUACUGAGCGUGACUAUUUAGUUGAACAGUCACAUGGUUCCAUAUUCGCCAGUGACUAGUUCUUUGCUACAGUCGUGUGAAGUACUCCUCGGACCUGAGGCAUCAUGGUUGCUUCACAUAUAGAUUGCUACAGUUUGGCUGCACUAAUACUUAGACUCUAAUCAUUGGUCUACGUCUGGUACUGAUUGGCUGUAGUAGUUUAUAUGGGGAGGCAUGUGAGUGCGCAAUAAGGAAUUCAAUACUCUCGAUUUUGAGAGAGAGAACGCCCUAUGUAGGUUAUCAGACUCGAUUCGGAAAAUCCCUAGCCAAGGUACGUGGUGUGUGGAAAGAGUUUCCAGCUGUGUUACCAUAUUGAGUCGGUUUUAGAUAUUCUAGUCAUACGAUCAAAUAAUAAGAUUUGGCGAGUAACCAUAAUUUUAGUUCGAUCGGGGCGUUGUGUGUUGCAAGGAAUUAAUCACACGGUAACUGUUAGCAGGAAGGUUCGUUUUUCAUCAUCAUUCUGGAUUGCCGUGAUAUACUUCUAGGUGUCGCUCACGGAUAGUGAGAGAAGUAAAAAUAAUUUAAAAUAAAUUAUUUUCUAGAUUAGAAGAGUUCUAAUUCAAUAUUGACGGCUUCAUUAGUAAAUGACACACCAAAAUUAAUGUGAAGGAGAUUCACAUUAUUCUUUUCUCUCAAUCUUUCGUCAAGUUCACAUUAUUUCAUUAAAAGAGAAAGUAGAUAUCAGAAGACUGCUAGCACCGUCUUCGUAAUCUACAACUCAUCUGUUCCGUGCGACGGAAGACAUUGGAUCUGCAUUAAUUCCGUGUGGAUACGCGUAGAGGCUGGGCACGUGCGCGGCUAAUCGGAAUCUCAGUUUCAACCGUACAGUAGAUCAACAGACCUUAACUGGUCCGAGGUGAUGUCGCCUGAACUUCAAAUAUGUUUAGGUUAGAUUAUUAUUUUACACUGUAACAUGAGAAUGAUCCACUGGCACUGGAGUGAUUUGUUUUUGAUUUGGUUCAUAUGUGAUAUGGAUUUUUGUUUUGGAAAAAUUUCUAAAGGUACAAUAUUUUUUCCGCUGCGAUUUGUAUUUUAUUUUUGUGCCGAAUAAAUUCUUACAGUGGUAUCAGAGCCGAUUCUCAUGUUCUAUGUAAAAUAUUAACGAUUUGUACGGUUUGAUUAAAAUUUUGGAACUUUUUUGAUUAGAUCGAUAUUGUUUUUCUUAAAUUGCACAUACUGCGAUUUAUUGGUUUCACACUAUAAAAUAAAUACGUGGAGACUUAAGAAAAACAUAUUAUUGAGUUCCAAAAUUUUUAAUCGAUGUUUAGAUCGAUUUGGUUAUUAUAUUCUGCAUACUUUUUUAGAUGGGUGAUGAUCAUGAACCUUAGACAUCUGUGAUUUGAUUAUGGAUGUAUCUGUGAUUUGAUUAUGAAUGUAUGUGUGAUGUUGUAAUUUUGUGUUUAUGGUGUAUUUUGUAAGAUUAAAAAGGGCCUGCGUGCCAUCUUUAUUUUAAUUGGGAUCUGCGAAUCCCUGUAAUUUUGAUUAGAUGAAAUAAGGGUUAUUUGGAGAAGAGUGCACAUCAAGCGUUGAUGGAUUGGCGUCGGCAUCAAAGGAUGUAUCAGAUCCAACAGAAGAAGAUGGCUAAAUAUUUGCAAGCGAAAUAAUCUCAAGAGUUGAGAAUAUGUGUGUAUCACCCUAUAGACCGAUUUGACUCAUCGGCUCGAGUCGAAUCAGAAAAGUCCAUGAUCAUCCCUAAACUAUGCAAUUAAUUUUUGUGUUUGUGAUAACUGUGAUUUAUUUUAUAUGAGAUAUAACAUGUGAUGAUGAGACCGAUAUAAUUUUAAAGUUUUUAAACUCCCUACAAAAUAUUAAGUUGAAACGAAGGGGCAUUUGAUGCUCUAUCGUGGCCUUCCACCGAUCACAAGAUGUAGCAUUGUUUCAACAUUGAGUAGUCACGCAUGGUCCCAUGGGGCUACUUGUGUUUGAACUAUGCGAACAUCUUGCCAUAGGAUGCUACAAUAUGGCAUUAUCAAUGGAUCCAAGAAACCGUCCGAUGAGGGUCUUUUGAUAAUUCCAUAUUUGUAGGAGAGGAGGAUUAGAUUUAACUAAGGUUGUUGCGCCAAGGAACCGUCUGGUGAGGCGUAAAAUCCUUAGAGGCCGAAGGACGAUUGGAUUGCACAUAAGAUGUGUCGAGGUAAGAUGUUACCCGUUCAUUAAAUUGCGGCUUUCCAAGAAACUGUCCGGUGAGGUAAGUCGUAAUUUAUGAAACCCCAAUCACCACUAAGAAAUCUAAUGGAUGAGGAUUUUCGUCUUUCUACUUAGGGAGUGUAAAAAUUCGAUAAAAUUAGUGGGAGGAGCCUUUUAAACUAAAAGACCCUAGUUUAAUAGGUUAAAAAGAAAAAUACUUAUCUAACUAAAAUCUCUACUUUCUGCAGACAAAAUGAAUGCCUCUAACCCUCUUUCUCGCAUAAUGGAAUAUAACCGAUUAACCGGCCCUAAUUACCAAGACUGGCUUCGUAACCUAAAAAUUGUUUUAGGUAUUGAAAAGCUUGAUUAUGUUCUUCAAGCUCCAAUUCCCGAGCUUAUCGCUGAAGCCACACUUGAAGAAAUUGAGGAGAGAGACAAGUGGGUUGAUGAUGACCAGCGUGUCAAAUAUUACAUGCUGGCCUCUAUGUCGAAUGAGCUGCAACAGUAGCAUGAGAACUAUGUUCGAGCAUAUGAGAUGCUUGCGCACUUACAAGAGUUGUAUGGUGCACAAAGCUGAACCGCAAGAUAUGAGAUAUCAAAGCGAUUGUUUAGGGCUCAGAUGACUCCAGGCACGUCAGUCAGUGAACAUUGUCUUAAAAUGAUUAACGAUAUUUCCAAGAUAUGAGAUAUCAAAGAGACAAGUUUCCGCUGCCUAUUAUUUCCAACAGUCUUAAAAUGACUAACGAUAUGGAGCAGCUGAUAAACCUCGGCUUGAACUUGGACACAGACUUGCAGAUCGAUCUAGUUCUACAGUCUUUGCCAGAAUCGUUCUCUCAUUUCGUUAUGAACUUCAACAUGAAUAAGAUUCAUGCCACUUUGUCCGAGCUUAUGAAUAUGCUAGUCAUAGCGGAAAGCACGUUGAAAACAAACGGGAUGGCGAUGGCGGUUGAGAGAACUUCAAAAGGAAAGUUCAAAGGAAAGAAAAAGUUUUCCAAGCUCAAGUCAUCGAGAGGAGUGAAGAAAGUCAAUUUUAAGAAAUCCGACAAAGGCAAGGCUAAAGGAAAAUGUUUCCAUUGCGGAAAAGAAGGGCAUUGGAAGAGAAAUUGUAAAGAAUAUCUUUCUACCCUAAAAGAAAAGUUGAAAAGGGGCCUUCUGAAGGUACGAACCAAAUGCUAGUCGUUGAGGCCAAUAUGAUUGGCUCUACUUCUUCUUGGGUAUUAGAUUCUGCAUGUACCUUACAUCUUUGUAAUUCAUUGCAGGAUCUAAAGGGAAGUAGAACACUGAAGGACGGCAAGGUGACCCUACGUGUAAGAUAUCGAAUCCUCGUAUUAAUAAUCCACUUUUGGUCAAAGUGACCAAAGUGUGGCGAGGGGAAUGCUUGGACAUAUUCCAUUUGACAUUCCAAGGAUGUUGGAAGGGUCAAAGUUGAGUUCUAAUAGAGUUAAUUGAGUUUUAGCAUUUCUCGGCGCAAAACAGAAGUCGAACAAAUGCUAAACUGCAGUCUGGGCACUUGGUACCGGUACAACAUUAGGGUGGUACCAGUACCAUGUAUUAAACCGAGAGUAGUAGCUCUCGGGUUGGCCUCUGCGUAGUCGUGUAACCAGUGACAGAAAUCCCUGGUACCGGUACCAACAGUAGAAAACUGCGGAGUGCAAUUUGUUACAAAUGGCAAUUAUUUGAGGGGCUUUUAUGUAAUUGUUACAGCUUAUAAAAGGGUCCCAACUCCCUCUCAUCUGUUCUCAGCCAGAGAACAUUUCCUCAUCCCUUUUUCUUUCUCUUUCUCUCUCUAGAAGCUCUCCAAAGGGUUGGAGCUUGAGGAGGGUUCGGUGGAGAUCGAAGCUUAACGUAGGAUUUCGUCUUCUACAUCUUCUUCCUCGGCUUGAAGAGGCUUGUAGAGAGGUAAGCUUUUAAAGCUUUAAUGGUAGAUUUCUAGGAUUGAUGUUUUAUGCUCUAGAAAUGGUUUUAGUAGAGUUCUUGGAUGCUAGAUAGAUGUAUAUUACUUGAAUCAAGAAGUUUUAUGGUCGAUUCUUGCAAGAUUUAAUAUCUAGGGUUCAGAAAUGGGUUUUUGAAAAAUAGAGAUCGAAAGUUGGGAUUGAUCUCUUUAGUACCUAUUUGCUAGGUUUCCUGACGCGCUGGUGAAGACGGUUCGGCGAUCCGUUGAGCCUGCGCAAAGAUAUUGCCGAAAAGGGCGUUUCAGCUUCGUUUCCGCUUAGAGGGCCGUGGCGGCGACGGAAAAUCACGAAAUUCGAAUCCUCGCGUCUUGACAUCACCAGAAGGUGGGGGGUGUCAUCCCGAAGCAGUUGGGCUUCCUUUUAUGUCUAAGUCGUUUUAUCGAUCAUAUUUUCAUAGGUUGCAUUAUAGCAUUAUGGGAUGUAGUAUAGUUACAUUUCUAUUUUCCUUGCAUGUUCCUUAGUAGUGUAGCGUUGUGAGCUUGACACAAGAAUCUAGGGUGCAUGAGAAUUAGAUUUGGUAACAUGGAAUCCUAUAGUGAUAAGAUAAGUGGCAACUUGAAUUUGAAAUGACGAUAAUAGUUGACGUUGAACUAGUGUAGUAGAAACACUACAACAUGAACAAGUGGCAUAUAAACUAGUUGAAACACUUACAAUAAUGAUUUGAACGAGUGGCAUCGAAUCUAGUAUAGCAACACAUUAUGACAUAUGACAUGAUUCUAGGGAUAGUAGAGUUCCCGAUUAUUGGAUUAUGCAUUGGAAUCAGUGCGGUAAAGGCACUAUGACCCUUAUAGAUAGGGUAUCCUCAAGUUGUGAGGAUUAGACCAUACUCACUAGUCUGUUUACACUUGGCGUGGUCGCUCAACCCAAGUAGUGGUCUCUGGAGUACUUCACGACAGGGGCAGACAUAGUUGUCCCGCAGACGGUCUCGGUAUGCGAGUGCAGUUUCUCCUCACCUAUGAGAUUGAAAGAGUGAGUCAGGGCAAACCUUCGGGUUAGCCAAGUUGAUUGAGUAUUGAACAUGAAGAGCAUAGUAGAUUUGCAUUCAUAUCAGGAGUAGACAUAGUGUAUGUUAGUAGAUUGCAUAACUAUGUUUGUAUUUUAUUCAUGACACUUCAUGCAUUGUUUCGCAUUUGAAGGCAUAGUAGAAUAUAGCAGUUCAUUUCUAUCUAUCUAUCUAUCUAUCUGCUUAUGCUUGCUUAGACCUAGUGGGAAGAUCGGCAGAGUCGGCGGCCAAACCCACUGGGAACUAUAUUUAUAUAGUUCUCACCCCACUUUGUUGCAUGACCGAGUUCGAGUGGACCGAGCGAGGACCGCGGUAAGGGCAUAGCGCCCUAGUAGCUAGCGGCUUUUCCUUUUGCAUUAGAGUUUUCCAUGUAUAUAGAUAUCUUGAUAUGUAUAUAUUGGAGAGCUACUUAUGUUUAUAGAUGUUGAACUUGUAUUACAUUUUAGAGAUGUGAAUGUAUUAUGUACAGGUUGUAUGAAAAUGUAUUAGCUAGAUGUUUCUCUUUUAUUCACUUGUUUAUCUACUUGUGAUUCUUGCUCUCGCUUGUUUAGCACUUGUGUGCUUCAUGUAUAUUGUUUAGGUUUACCUGGGCAACUUGAUGUACAUGACUCUGUUGUUAGCCUUGGGCGGACAGGGAAGGUCCUGUCCGUUCGGCGUCUGUUCACGUGCCCGAACCGACCAAAUUGGCAGUCGCGGGGCGCGACACUACGUGUGGGUAAUGGAGCAAGCAUUGCUGUGUUAGUCGUAGGGAGCUGUUCUUUGAGACUUCCAUCUAAACAUAUUUUAGAAUUAGAGAAUUGUUAUUAUUCUUCUUUAGUUGUUAGGAAUUCGAUUUCUGUUACAACUUUAGUUCGAACUGGUUAUCGUUUUAUUUUUGAAACUAAUGGCUGUUUUAUUUAUUUCCAAAAUAAAUUGAUAGCUACUGGUAGUUUAGUUAACAAUCUCUACUUUCUAAAUCUGGAUGGAAAUGUUGCUAAUAUUGGACAUAAAGAGAAUAAUUCUCAAAUGAAGAGACCUAGAGAUAAUAGUCUGAACCAAAAGUAUCUAUGGCACCUUCGACUAGGUCAUAUUGCAGAGGAUAGGAUAAACCGACUGGCCAAGGAUAGACACUUGGGAACUUGUGCUUUAGAAUCUUAUCCAGUUUGUGAGUCUUGUUGUAAUACACUGAACUUUCGCAAAUUGCAGAGUUCGAGUGUGUGGAUUGAAAUGUGGAACUAUCCUAUAUAUUCUAAAUGACUUGGACAAGUUUUUGAACAAGUUAGAGAGUGAUUGGAGGGUUAAAAGCAAGAAAGUGCGCUGAUCUGGCGAAAUCAGCAGUUUUCUGCUUGGUGUACCGGUACAGCCAUCAUGGUGUACCGGUACACAAUGGUAAAACGUGGCAGCAAGGUUAUAUUGGUAAUUCCAUAUCUUGAUCCUAUCUAUUUGAAUCCAGCACGACCUCUGGAGCUCCAUAGAUAAUGCUAGAGCUCAGAGAAAGGCCCUUGCACCAUUUUCUCUCUCUCUCUCUAGGGUUUUUCUCUCUCUACAAAGAAAUCGCCGAUUUUGCUCGUUUUCGUCGCAACGUUGGUUUUCCGCUGGUUGCCAGCGUCGCUGAGCCUACGUGGACGUGUGAGGGAGUAUUUUGGAGAGCUUUUCACAGCUCUGGACCAGUAGAGUACUGGUUGGAUGUUCGAUAAGGUAACCGACUCAACUUUUCUGUUAUCAACGUUCUAUUCGUCAGAUUGAGUAUUGAUUUCGGGCUUUUUUUUGCUUCCAACUGUUUAACUGUUUUAAACUGAGGUUUCAGCAAGUAAAUAUGAGUGAAUUAGCUGUGAAUGAACCUCCUUAGAUCAGGGAUAAGCUACUUUGAAGCUUAUUAGAGAUGUUUAGCUGUUUAUGAAGCUAUUUUGAACCUAUACGCGGGUUAGUUGAUCAAAUUGAUGUAGUUUGAGCUUUUCUCUUCGCAGCAGGUUUGCGAACUAAAUUAAGCUAGUUUGGUGACCUGGGGAUCUAGUUUGGAAGGUGUUCUAACCAAGGGUAAGCAGGAAUUUCAGCUAGAAAUUUAAUCUCGCAAGACUUCGACUAUUAUAGCUUAUAAUCGACUUUAUUGAUGCCGUUUCGGUAUUGUUCGUAGCGAGAGGGUAAUUGACCCUUGGACCGCCUUCGACUGGCAUUGGAGGGCCUUUUGGAAGCUUAACUUGAGGUAUUACACUAGCCCAAAAUAGGGAUUUAAGGGGUUACUUUGUACUAAGUGCAAAUUAGGCCGAAAUCGGACAUUUCGGUCGUCUUUUUGACACGGUGUUGAUGUUUGUUUUCAGCAGGAUUGGAGCCUUGGUGAGCUGAUUAGUGGGACUUCUUGUGACUAUUUGGAGGAGCCUAGUACUAGGUGGGUUCGACCUAACCAGAGCAAGUGAAGCUCCCCUAUGUUCUAUAUGUAACUAUAGAAUUGGUUUAGUAGCGCAUUUUUAUGAUUAUGCGAUUAAUAAAGGGUUUGAUAUAUUUAUCAUCACAACAUUUGAUAUAAUUGAAAUAGAACCUCUAUGAAGUAGAGUGGAUACACACAUGCAUAAAGUAUUUAUGUUCAUGUUUAAUUCAGUUGAAUGACAUUCUAGUACAAGUUACUAUGUUCCUAGAAAGUAGAGAACAAUGACAUGCUUGUAACUUUAUUGAUUAUAUAGUCGAGAACGAGAACAUGUUUUAUGACUAUGAAAGUUUCGAAUGUCAUAUGUAAAUUAGCAUUACUCUCACAUGUUUAUUAAUCUAGUGGAUACUAGUUGUGGUCAAUAUUGGUUAUAUUGGAAUUCCGAUCAAAGAAUCGAGAGCGAGAAUAUUGUGAGCUAAAUUGUGAUAGUUGAGACAUGUUGGGCUGUGGACUUUGCUUGCUUGCCAUCGUGCUCAUUCGCACACGCUUGUGAGGGUAGCUCCCUACAAGCCGGCACUCCGGAGUUGGCCUACGCGACAGUUGCUCGCCCGUGCGGGAUUGGGUGCCGAAGUGGAUUGCCGUGGGGAGUGUACACUACCACGGGGCCAUUAGGCGCGGCGCAAGCUGGACUACCUUGAGCAGGUCCCUGUGAAUGAAAGGAAAGUGCUAAUGGAAAUUGGAUAGUAAUGAAUGAUUACCAGUUACAGUGUACAGUAGUGACUUACACAUUUUAUGCUUAUGUUCAUGUUAUCUUUAUGCUUACCGUAGUUGCUAAGCUUUAUGUAACCAGUUAAUUCAUUACUGUAGAAAGUAUCAUUACAUGUUGCUUACAUGUUUAUUACUUGUUAGCAUUGGAAAUAUAUCAUGCAAAUUACCGCUUUUAUUUUCAUUUAGUACAUCAUGAGCCUAGUGGUGUAAUUCGCCGAGGCUGGCGGCUUACCCACUGGAAACUAUUGUUAAUAGUUCUCACGCCCUUUUUGGUGGUUGUUUUUACAGAGCUUGUUACAGGAGAGGCUAGGGAUCGUGGCAAGGGAGUCGCGUCUAGCUAGACUUUGCUAGGAGCAUGCUAGUCGAUCACCUUGGUACUCGGGCUAUGGCCGACGGUGAUGUCCCUAUGUAUAGAGAGACUACCAUUGUAUCUACUUUUUGUAUACCCGUGAUGUAUAUUUACUAUUUGGACCGAGAACUACAGUUGUGAUACUUCUCUUUUGUCGAGAUUUUGGAUUGUAUAGUUGUUGUUCUUUUGCUUUUAGUAUAUCGACUUGUACUUUGCUCUGAUAUCAGGAUAGGAUUUUCUAUGUUCUACUUCCUAUCGAUUGCUUCUUUGUAGACGCCUUAUAUACUGCAGGUGUACGGCGGGUCUGUGCACGUACCGGAUAUGCUUCCGCUGGUACCCGGGCGUGACAUUUGUCUUCAAGGCAAAAUGGCCAAGUCACCCUUUGUUGGACAAAGAGAGCGAGCCACAGAGUUACUUGCCAUUGUGCACUCAGACGUGUGUUGACCAUUUAGUGAAACGGCUUGAGGUGGUUAUCUCUACUUUGUGACUUUUACCGAUGAUUAUUCACGGUAUGGGUCUGUGUUUCUUAUGAAACACAAGUCUGAAACCUUUGAAAAGUUCAAAGAGUUCAUAUAUGAAGUAGAGAAGCAGACAGGAAAAAGUAUUAAGGCUCUUCAAUCAGAUCGAGGAGGCAAAUACCUUAGUGCAGAAUUUCUAAAUUAUCUCAAAGAAAACGGUAUUCUCUCGCAAUGGACACCUCCUGGAACCCCGGAAUUGAAUGGAGUUUCAGAAAGAAGGAAUUGUACUUUAUUAGAUAUGGUACGAUCGAUGAUGAGCUUCACACACUUACCUUUAUUUCUUUGGGGUUAUGCUCUAUUAACCGCAGCUUACAUUCUAAACAGAGUGCCUUCAAAAUCUGUUCCUUGUACUCCGCAUGAGAUGUGGUUUGACAAAAAAACCGGGUCUCAAUCAUUUAAGGAUUUAGGGAUGCCUAGUUUUUGUUAAAAAACUUAAAACAGAUAAAUUGGAGGCUAGGUUGGAUAAAGGAAGAUUUAUUGGUUAUCCCAAGGAGUCUAUGGGAUACUAUUUUUAUCUUCAAAAUGAACAAAACGUGAUUGUUAGCCGACAUGCAAUAUUUUUGGAAAAAGAGUUUGUCCAAGAAGGUGGUGCCGGAAAGGAGAUAGUGCUCAAAGAGAUGGUCUCAAAUGAGCAAACAAUUUCUCUAGAACAAUCUGAACAAGCUAUUCAAACUGAACCCACUAUUACACAAUUACCUCGAAGAUCUAGUAGAAUAUCCCAACCUCCAGAGAAAUAUCGAGAUUUCGUUAUGGAAUGCACAAAGGAAAUGUUCCUCAUUGGCGAUAGUGAUCGCAAGGAUGAUCCUACCAAUUACGAAGAGGCGAUGUCAGACAUCGACUCAAUAAAAUAGCAAGAAGCUAUGAAGUCCGAGAUGGACUCAAAUGUAUACCAAUCACAUAUGGACUCUUGUUGAUCCACCGAAGGUAUAGUACCUGUUGGUUGUAAAUGGAUUUUCAAGAAAAAUAUUGGUGUGGAUGGAAAAGUAGAGACAUACAAGGCGAGACUUGUAGCAAAAGGCUACAGUCAACGAGAAGGUCUCAACUAUAAAGAAACGUUCUCUCCUGUGGUCAUGCUUAAAUCCAUUUGAACGUUACUUGCCAUAGCCGCAUACUAUGACUAUGAGAUAUGGCAAAUGGACGUAAAAACUGCUUUCCUCAAUGGAUUCAUAAAGGAGGACAUAUAUAUGCAGCAGUCUGAGGGAUUUGUGUCUGAUAGCCAGAAACAUAAAGUAUGCAAGCUUCAGAGGUCCAUUUAUGGAUUGAAGUAGGCUUCGAGGAGUUUGAACACAUGGUUCAAUGAUGCAGUCAAAACGUUUGGCUUCGUGAGAAAUCAAGAUAAACCUUGUGUUUACAAGAAGACUAGUGGGAGCCAGCUUGUCUUUCUUGUAUUGUACGUGGACGACAUUCUUUUGAUUGGAAAUGAUGCAGGUUUGAUGACCUCUGUCAAGGUUUGGUUGUCUCAAAAUUUCUUAAUGAAAGAUCUAGAAGAGGCAGCCUAUAUUCUCGGAAUUAAGAUCUAUAGAGAUAGAUCUAAGAGGUUAAUCGGUUUGUCACAGCAGAUGUACAUAGAAGAUGUGUUGAAAAGGUUCAACAUGGAAAGUUCCAAAAGGGGUCUUCUUCCUCUUAGACAUGGAAUUAAUCUUUCCAAGAUGAUGUGUCCUAAAACACCUGAGGAAAGAGAGCAUAUGAGCAAAAUUCCCUAUGCUUCCGCAAUAGGAAGUCUCAUGUACGCUAUGCUAUAUACAAGACCAGAUAUCGCACAUGCCGUAAGUGUUACGAGCAGAUAUUAGUCCAAUCCAGGUGAAGAACACUGGACUGCUGUGGAGAAUAUCCUUAAGUACUUGAGAAGAACUAAAAAUUUGUGUUUAGUGUAUGGUGGAAAUGAGCUAACGUUAGAAGGCUUCACAGAUUCAGGCUUCAUGUCGGAUGUUGAUGAUAGAAAGUCAAUAUCAAGGCAUGUCUUCAUAUUGAAUGGUGGGGCUAUCAUUUGGAAGAGUUCCAAACAGAAUACAAUAGCAGAUUCCACCACUGAGGCAGAGUACAUUGCAGCAUCUGAGGCAUCAAAGGAGGCAGUUUGGCUUCGAAAGUUCUACGGAACUAGGAAUGGUGCCCUCUAUUGAAGAGCCAAUGCCACUUUACUGUGACAAUAAUGGAGCUAUAGCGCAAGCUAAAGAACCGAGGUCUCACCAGAAGUCCAAGCAUAUAGAUCGACGCUACCACAUCAUCCGACAAUUUAUAGAUGAGCGUCAGAUUGUUGUGUAGAAAGUAGCAUCCGUAGACAAUAUAGCGGAUCCCCUUACUAAGCCGCUCACACUUCGAAAGCUGGAUGUGCAUUUAGAAAGAAUGGGUAUGAGAUACAUGAGCGAUUGGCAUUAGUGUUAGUGGGAGAUUGUUAGUGAUAAACCCUAAAGCCAAUCGGUGACAUAGGCUUGUGGACAUAUUAAGUAUUUUUCUUAAUUAAUAAAGGGCAAGUUUUAUUCAUAUUUAUUGUUAGCAGUACAAUACAUUUAUAUGAAUCGUCCGUUAAAUCUUCGUUAAGAAAAUAUAUUCCUAAGAGUUAGGAAUUUGAGAUAUAUAUUUCUUUGUACAAGAUUCUUAAAUGCUCCUAGCCAUAGGAAUAUCAUAAGGACGAUGAUAUUUCCGGAUAGGCCGGUGCAUGCUACACUUUUAUGUUGAGGUGACGAAUCUCAAGUCAUUAGUGUAGGGACACUAAAGUAAGCAUGUAGGUGCUUGUUAGUGAACAAGUACACCGAGCAUGACCAUUUAGUUGAAUAGUCACAUGGUUCCAUAUUCGCCAUUGACUAGUUCUUUGCUACAGUUGUGUGAAGUACUCCUCGGACUUGAGGCAUCAUGGUUGCUUCACACAUAGAUUGCUACUGUUUGACUGUACUAAUACAUAGACUCUAAUUAUUGGUUUACGUCUGGUACUGAUUGGCUGUAGUAGUUUAUAUGGGGAGGCAUGUGAGUGCGCAAUAAGGGAUUCAAUACUCUCGAUAUUGAGAGAGAGAACGCCCUAUGUAGGUUAUCAGACUCGACUUGAAAAAUCCCUGGCCAGGGUACGUGGUGUGUGGAAAGAGUUUCCAGCUGUGUUACCAUAUUGAGUCGGUUUUAGAUAUUCUAGUCUUAUGAUCGAAUAAUAAGAUUUGGCGAGUAACCAUAAUUUUGGUUCGAUCGGGACGUUGUGUGUUGAAAGGAAUUAAUCAUACGGUAACUGUAAGCGGAAAGGUUCAUUCUUCAUCACCAUUCUGGAUUGUCGUGAUAUACUGCUAGGUGUCACUCACGGACAGUGAGAGAAGUAAAAAUAAUUUAAAAUAAAUUAUUUUAUAGAUUAGAAGAGUUCUGAUUCAAUAUUGAAGAAUUUGAUAUUGAACUCUAUUGCCGAAUGAUAAUGGACCUUUGAGGUCACACACACUAGGAAUUGUGUGCAUCCAAUAUGACAAGAUGAGUUUAAUACACUAAACGGUUUAGUGGAAAUAGUGUGAAAUUAUAAUUUGAAUAUUACGAAAGAUUUAAUCUCUAAUUAGACUAGAGAAUAAUUAAAUAUUCAUAGAUUAUUAUGAGAUAAUUAGAUUAGAUUUAAAUAUGAAUAUUUAAUUAUAAUUUAAUGGAUAAAAUCUAAUUAAAUUAAAUUUAUCAAUGAGAGAGAUAAAGAUAAAAUACCCAUAAGGAUAAGUGUAAAUUUACUUUUCUUAUCCUAUAUGGCAACUAAUUGGAUAUGAUCCAAUUAGUAUGGAAACUAAUUGGAUAUGAUCUAAUUAGUUACAACAGAUUGCGGGAUGUGCUGAUUUGUACGAUUUUAUUAAGAGAUGUACAAAGAGGAGGCACGGCUUCAUUAGUAGGCGACACACCAAAAUUAAUGUGAAGGAGAUUCACAUUAUUCUUUUCUCUCAAUCUUUCGUCAAGUUCACAUUAUUUCAUUAAAAGAGAACGUAGAUAUCAGAAGACUGCUAGCACCGUCUUCGUAAUCUACGACUUAUCUGUUCCGUGCGACGGAAGACGUUGGAUUUGUAUCAAUUCUGUGUGGAUACGCGUAGAGGCCGAACACGUGCGCGGCUAAUUGGAAUCUCAGUUUCAACCGUACAGUAGAUCAAGGGACCUUAAUUGGUAUGAGGUGAUGUAGCCUGAACUUCAAAUCUGUUUAGGUUAGAUUAUUAUUUUACACUGUAACAUGAGAAUGAUCCACCAGCACUGGAUUGGUUUGUUUUUGAUUUGGUUCAUAUGUGAUAUGGAUUUUUGUUUUGGAAAAAUUUCUAAAGGUACAAUAUUUUUUCCGCUGCGAUUUGUAUUUUGUUUUUGUGCCGGAUAAAUUCUUACACGAACUAUUUGUGACGAGUUCUAUUGUUGGUUUCUUCUGAGGUGACUCUUCUUCUAUUAAUGUCUCAUAUUUAAUUUUCAUUUCAUCAAAUCGAACGUCUGUGUGUGGUUGUGUCACGCCCCGGGGUUCUUUUGAAAAUCCGUUCUAGAAAAAACCAACGAAAAAAUAUAUAGUUUUUUUUUUAACACCUUUAAAGACACCCCAUGACGCCCACAGACCCGCCACAUGGAUAAAGGAUCCCCUGUACAAACGGACAGGGUCUCCUUUGUACAUACAAACGGACAGGGUCUCCUUUGUACAUACAUGAUGUAGCACUUGAAUACAAACACUAACUACAAAGAAAGUCGUCUGCAACUGACAUAAUCAUCUGGCAUAAAAAGAAAUAUUUCCUUCGAUCACCCUCCGCACUCCCGGGAGAGUUUCUAACAAUUCAAUAGCAGACUUCAUAGCAAAUCAUCUCUCUUACGACUUGCUUUCCUAAGGUCUGCCAAAAGUCUAGAGUUCUCUAAGUUCUGACAAUCUAUCCUUAAGCUUUGAUGCUAACUUAAUUUGUCACGCCCUAAGUUGUAGUUGAAUCCAGGCUUGCCAACAGAUACGUUGUAUAUACAAGUAGCCCUAUGUACACGAAGCAAAAAAGUACUUAUAAUCUCUACAAGAGCUAUUACAAGCAAGUGCCAAAGUGGAAAUAAAAGCUGCUUAACUAAAAGAAAUUCAUUGUACAUACAUGCUUAAAAAUAGUACACAACUAAAUCCACCAGAUACACUUACAUCUCACAUAAGCUGAAAUAAAACAUAUCUAAAACUAUAUGUACAAUGGACUACCCUCCCAAAAACUAGCUAACUCAGGUACUCCUCAAGCACAUCCAGCAAGGACAGGCAGUAAUCUAAUUCGCGACUCCCUUACCUCGAUCAGUAGUAGUGAUAGGAAUGGAGGGCUCUACAAGAAAAGAAGCAACAAAGGACGUGAGAACUAUAAAUAAGUAGUUCUCAGUGGGCACCAUCACCAAUGCCGACUGCCUACUCACUAAGUCUACAAAAGCUGAAAGAAAAAGCUGGGUACGUAAGGAACUAUAAGUAGUGGUGUUGGAAAGAAAUCUACAGCUACUAUGCAUCUAUACUACUAAUGCUCAAGUAAAAACUACUAUGAUGAUGAAUGCAUCAACAAACUAUAGAGUCCGUACAAACAACUCAAUCCACAUAACUGCCUCCAAGUCCGGUCAAGCUGAUGCCAACCUACUACCACUCACGACCUUCGCAGGUGGCUGGUCCAAGGUAGAUCCCCAAAAGGGCUGCUGCCAUAUCAACGCGAAAAGGUUUUCACUUCGGAGUGGCACUCGGGGAGCUACCCAGCGGAGCAAAUGCGUAAUUUCCGUUGAACUCAAAUUUGGCUCGUGCAGGUUGUAGUCGAUACAAAUGAUCAAUUAUAUCAUAAAACUAUGGCUCGUGUGCCCCAGGCACUAUUCGAUGCAAAAAUUGAAAAUCCGGGACCAUCUUCAAUCCAAACGGCACCCCACUAUAGACUUAGUCUAAUAACUAUUGUAAAAAAUUUACUCGGCCCCUUAGCACAAUAGUAAACCCAUCCUACACUAAUCCAAACACUCACAACCCUCUACCAAGUACGAGACACAGGUACAAACAACUACUAGUGCUAAAUCCUAACGAUGGGGCGUCAAAAUGAAAUACUGCAGAUUUUUUUUUUUUAUGUUUUAAGCUCAAUUUCAGAUCUAAAUUCUUCUAUAAUAGGUUUAGCAUGCUCACAGUUCAGAUUUCAUCAUUAGUCAUGCCAAUCCAAAGAUUUGAAGCUAAACAAUUUAACUACAAUUGUCAUAUCCCGCGAUCCGCCUCUUUGGUCGGGUUCGGGCCGCCAACAGACUGCCGAACGGACAGAGUCUCCCUUGUACGUUCUAGGCGUCGCAACAGUACAAUACAAGAGGUUCCAAACAGGAACAGUAUUCAUACACUGAUUGCAUAAGGAAGGUAUCAAACAACAUAAAUACAAACUAUGCUAUUACAAACAUUUACAUACCUGCAUUUUUACAUAUUAUAUUUUCCAAUUACAUUCAACUUCCAAAUACAAUCAUUGAUUUCAAAUUAUUACAAGUUUGAUCUUUCUAUUUCCACCCCUAAGCUAGACUACUUCGGGGUACCACUAUCUCUGGUCACAAUGGUAGGGCGCUAUCUACGGAACUACGCCGUUUCCUCGCACCGCCGCGCCGCUCGCGUGUCAACCUGAAAUCCCCCAAAACAACGUGGGGUGAGAACUAUAUCCAUAGUUCCCAGUGGGUACGGCAACCCAAGGGAGAAGAUCAACCCACCAGGUCCAAAGGAGGCACUGCAAUCAUGUUAGUCCAACAGAUAUCCACAAAGAAUUAAAUACAUGCGUAUGCCUCAAGACAUGUAAUAUGCAAAUGUAAAUCAUGCAAUCAACUAAGUAGAUCAUCCGAUACUACUUUUUAUCUCGCUAUCCAUAGAUCAUGUCUACCAUUUAUACCUUUUGCCAUUUUAUAUCAUUGGUCAUUUGCUCCUAAGGUUUCCUCUACCUUAGUCAAGCUAACCACCCGACUCGGCCUCGAGUCAAUCCUACGCGGAGUACCGCGCACUCUGCUGCGUCCACAGCCCAAUCAUUUGCCUUUUUGUAAUCCAAUCUUUCCGGCUAACCCGAAGGUUGAGUCCCGACUCACAACCAAAUCCCUACAAUCGUGAGGAGCAUCCACUACACUCACCUGGGACCGUCUGCGGGACAACUACGUCUGCAACUACUGUGAAGUACUCAGGAGACCACUGUUUGGGUGGAGCGACCACCGCCAAGCGAAACAGACGUAUGUGAGCAUGAUCCAAUCCUCCAAGAUGAGGAUACCCUACCAACUAGUGGUAAUCAAGCCGGGAUAAACAUCAAUCCCAAUCCUCAUAUAUAAUGAGUAAUCACAUUGUCCCUAACUAAUGCCACAAUGUCACAAUAUCUCUAGCUAAUGCCACAAUGUCACAAUGUCUCUAGCUAAUGCCACAAUGUCACAAUGUCUCUAUGUUCUCAUUGUUAUGUCAAUGCCAUUUCCGUUGCCACAAUGUUCACAUUUUCAUAUGCAUAUACUUUCUAACAUAUUCUCAUAGUGCAAACAUCCAUUUAGCAAUGCUAUAAUAUGUUAACAUGCAUAUUCAUCUAACAUAAUCCACAAUGUCAACAUUUACAUGAAUCCGACACAUAUUCACAAUAUGUCCACAUGCAUAUGUAAUCUAGCAUGAUCUCACAAUGUCAACAUUUAUAUACCAUCUAGCAUAUUUCUCAUAAUGUCACAUGCAAAUACUUUGUCGUCCAAGGUAGUCGAUACAUAACAUCUCAUGCACUUACAUGGUAUCCACCUAUGCAUUCAUUUAUGUAAUCAACUACCACUACAUAUAUCAAUGACAAACCACUUCACUUUGGCAUGGAAGUGACCUAAUUACUUCGGUGAAGCACAACCCACCUCGUAACGCUCUCCGAUUGCUCGUAGUCACUUGCAAUCGGGCUCCCGCGGCAGACGUGAUUCGGUUCAGCUCGAUCUCGAAAUCGGCAAUCGAACACCCACCAAUCCGCAACCUAGAGUCACCCGGGGCUCAUCUCUAACCUUCAAUUAGAGAAUCAUGGGAUUAAAUGAGAUCAAAACCCUCAUUUGCCCAAGCCCCCAUUCUAACCCUAGCAUGCACAUAUUCUCCAAAUAACCCAAAAUUAAAUGGAGCAACAUGCUAGAAAUACUCUAGAAACUACUAGGAUAUUAAGCAUUAAGGAUUUAACCAAAAUCCAAACACUUACUGAAAUGUGAACGCCGAGUCGAAAGCACGCCGCUCCAACGGGCGCACGAAGACUCGAUCCGAUGCUCCCCAUACGUUCCCAAGCUCGCUUUUCGCCAAGCCCGCAAAUUUGAAAGAGAGAUCUAGAGAGAGAAGGGAGAUAUCUAGAGAGAGGGAGGAGUUUCUCUCACUACCUCCAUGUGUGUGGUGUGUUGUGUUGGUGCUUGGGCUGAGGGAGAAGGAGAAGAAGGGUUGAGGCCUGUCACGCCCCCACCCCGAAACCUCUACCAAUUUGGCACGGUUCGGGCGCGGCAAACGGAGGCCGAAUGGACAGCACCUCCUUUGUCCGCCUAAGGCUCAACAACAGAUCGAGUACAAGAAUUUACCCAGGAUUUUAAAUUCUAUAAGUACCCAAUCAACGGGGCACAAACAGCGCCAACAACAAAGAGCAAGUAAUCCAUAAGAUACACAAGUGAAAUAAAGAGAGAACUUACUAACUAUUACAUCACAUUUGCAUUUUUUUCCUCAAAAUGAAUACAUAUUUUCAUCAAGUACAUAGCUCUCCAAAGUCCUCACCUACAUGAAUCUCUCUCAAUACAUAGGUGUGCUAAUGAAAAAGGAAAGCUACUACUCUACCAAUAAUCCUCACUGGUCGGGCGCGAUGCCCUUGCCGCGGUCCUCGCCCGGCAAACUUGUACCUAGCCAUGGAAGUAAAGUGGGGUGAGAACUAUCUUCCAUAGUUCCCAGUGAGCUCGACCGCCGACUCCGACGAUCUCCCCACUAGGUCCAAGUGGGCACAAGUAACAACGAAAUAGAUAGAUAUGUAUAUCAAAGCUGUAAAGACAUAAUAGGAAAACUAUGCUACUAUGCCCAUAAUUAUGUGAAAUGAAUGCAUGCAUCAUUUAGUAAAGGUUUACUAUCAUGCUAACAAGUUCAAUCCAUGUUCAAUAAGCAAUGUCCGAUGACAAUAUUAACUUUUCAUUUACCCAAUCUAUGGCGAAACUCUUGGGUUCGCCUACGCCUCACAUAUCCAUCCCAUUCGGUAUGGAGUCUCCAUGUGCCCUCGAACCCGGGACUGUCUGCGGACAUCCACUCUGUCCUAAUCGCCCGACACUCCGGAGUACUCGACGACAAUCCUCUCCAUGUGAGGAUAUGGAUGGCUUUACCAUCCCGAAUAACAGACCGUGAGCUUGAUCUAUCCUCUCCACGUGAGGAUACUCUACGAACUAGGGCCAACAUUCUCUCGGAACUCAUCCAUUCCGACAUUCAUGCAUAUCUACUUAGCUAUACUAAGUUCAUUGUUCACGAGUCAUUUACUAGGGAAUCCACCUAUCCCUAAGUUCAUGAACCUCUAGUGUCAAAUACACUACAUAAUGCCACUCGUUCUGUUUUUUAAACAUUUAGAUGCCACUCUCUAUGUUACUAAAUAACCAUCGAGAUCAUCUCUUUCCUCUAGCACUGUAGGAUCCACGUUCCAACCCAAUCCUUACCUAUCCAUUUCACCAAGUAUUCCAUGUACACUAGAUUAACAUUUAGAAGCAUAAGGAAAAGGUACUACAAUGAAAUCCUACAAUACAACAUGUAAGAGAUGGGAUUAUAUGUUAUUCUAAGACAUAAUAGAGAGUUCGGUUGCUUCGGGAUGACACUCCCCACCUUUUGAGGUACGAAGGUUCUAGAAAUGCUUCUCGCCGAAUGUUACGACGAGGUCUCGACCUCCUUGGUCCAAAACGGUGCUUAAUCGACUAUAUUUCGCUGAUAGCUUUUCACCCGCUCAACGAAUCGAAAUCCGACUUCGCCCCCGCGUUUAGAUACCUAUCAAUUAGGUUUACAAGCUAUCAAAUGAGAUCAAUCUCAUAUAUUUCCAAAACCCCCAUUUGGGUGCCCUAGGGUUCACAUCUUGCAAUUUGCACCAUGAAACCCUAGCCUCAAGCUCUAAUCCACCAUUAAUGGUGCUAGAGGUCCAUUUGACCUCAUUUCAAAAGCCAAAAAUCCAAAAGCCCUAAGCUUAACCAUACUAGGGUUGGUAGCUUACCUCUUGAGCUACUCCAAAAGGAUGAAGAGGGAGAGAAAAAGGUGGUGGAGAUGAUCUUCUCCAAGCUCUCCUUCUUCUUCUUCUCUUUUCUUUCUUCUCCUUCUCUUUUCUUUCUUCUUUUCCUUGAGAGAGAGAGGGAGAGCUAAGGGAGAGAGGGAGGGGUGUUACGGAGUAGAUGAGAGAAAGAGAGAGAGCUUUUCUCUCUAAUACUCUCCAUCUAAUGUAACAAAUGCAGCUAAGCCCCUCAACUUUACUUCCCUCAAACAGCUCUGCCUGGGUAGAUUUUGCGUGGAGGGACCGGUCCCUGGUCGGGAGGACCGGUCCCUUAGGACCUUCCCAAAAUUCACGCGUACGGGAACCGGUCCCUGCCCGAGAGACCGGACCCUUGAGGACCGGUCUUUCCUGAGAGACCGGUUCCCGAGAGCUGACCUCUCGGGACUUAGCCAAAUUUCCACUUCUCCCGCGGGUUUCACCUACGGGGACCGGUCCCUCAGCCCAGGGACCGAUUACAUCAGGCAAUCCCGCAACCACUAGCUACUGGGACCGGUCCUUCCCUGCCAGGGACCGGUCCCCGAGAGCAGAAUCUGCCAAGUGCAGAUUUUGCAUUAUUCGCUCUCGUGGACUCGAUUUCCAAAGCACUUUUUGUAUUUUGGACAUCUCCAACUUUUCCGAAGCCUUCCCACUCGAUAAUUAGUCGAUCCUGAACGAAGUACAACUCUCGAAUUUCGAGAAUUCACUUCCUUACAAGGCCUCUUCCCCUAUAAGUCAACACACAAUUACCAAUCAGUCCCUGCACUUUCUGGGCCAUUUUCGGGCUCAGGGUCUGGACCCCGUAGGUCCAGAAAACCCGAAAUUCCAGGACUUAGCCAAAUUUCCAGCAAUUUCAGCUUUUGGUCCGUUUUCGCUCGUUUUCGCUCCCGGGGCCUCCAAUUCAUUUCAAAUCGCACCGAGACCCCCGAAACACGUUUUCGAGCGCGUUUAAACCAUCCUUUCAUCCACGCUUUGCUGGAUUUCGGCCAAAGUCCAAUCAUAGCUUUUCGAGUUCCGUUUUCGCGCCCGACGCGUACCGAAAACACCCGAAUGCUCUCGAACUUCACCGGAACUACUCCAAUAACUUUUCGAGCAAGUUCCCACCGAAACUUCAUAACCGUAGAAGUUCGGUACCUUACAACAAUAGUAUAUUUACUAACAUUUUUGCUAAAAUUUUGCUAAAAUUUGAACUACAAUAGUAUAUAUGCUAAAAUUUUUGCAACUAAAUAAAAAUUUCGCCGAAUUUUGUAAACUAAAUCCACCUUGUGUACGUGGGCAAUUAUAUAUCAAAGGAACUACAAAAGCAUUUAAAACUAGAACAACCGAAUUUAUUAAAUGUAACUAAACUUCAAUACACAAGAACUUAUUAUACAACUUGAUCCACACAAAAAUAACAAGUAACAUACUCUCUAUUUAUAGAGUACGAAAUAACACAACUUUUCACUAAAACAAGCAUUCUUUCACUGAAGGACACAACUCGAAACUAAAUGACGCAACCUUAAACUAAGAGACACAACCUUAUGAAUGGACAAAUCCUUUCAUAAAGUACACAACCUUUCAUCAAAAGAAGUAAAUAACAAACAAAUAAACAAACUUAUAAUCUAACAUUCCCCCUUAAGUUUGUUUAUGCAUAACUAUUGUCGUCUUCUUCGACCAAAUCUUCAUAAUCUUGAAGUCUUUCCUGUAACGUUGUCUUGUCUGAAAUCAAACUUCUAAUUUUGGAGGCCUGCUUAUUGAUUGCAUUCUCCAGGGAUAUGUUCUCUAUAGUCAGUGCCAUAUUUUUCUUCUCUAAGGAAAUAUUUGCUUUCUUCAAAUUCUUUGCAAAUUUCUCUGAAUAAAUAUUUCUUUGAUUAAGAGACAUCAUACCUGUAAUGUGAGACCUCAAAUAGUCCUAUAUAUAAGAUAUAAUAGGGUUAGAACUCUUAACCCGACUUAACCAUUUUGGGUGGUGGCAAGGCCCAAGAGGUUAAGAGAGUUAAGCGUGCUAGGACGGGAGUAGUUCUAGGAUGGUGUGACCCUCCUGGAAAGUUGGGGCGUUAUAGUUGGUAUCAGAGCCAAUUACCAGCCGGAAGUGUGAGAUGAGUUUUGACUGAGCCGAAGUCGGAAUGACAAGGCUAGCGAGACGAGUCUCACAUUGCCUGGUACUUGUGAGUCUGAGCCUGACGAGGAUGUCAAGGCUUAAAGGGGGGGAGAUUGUGAGACCCCAAAUAGUCCUAUAUAUAAGAUAUAAUAGGGGUAGAACUCUUAAUUCGACUUAAGCAUUUUGGGUGGUGGCAAGGCCCAAGAGGUUAAGAGAGUUAAGCGUGUUAGGACGGGAGUUGUUCUAGGAAGUUGGGGCGUCACAUGUAAUACUCAUGAAUGCAAAAUGCGCCACUUCAUGUUCUGCUUCCUUCUUGGUCUUUUUCUUAUCACCCAUAUAAGUUGAAUUUCCAAAUUCAACAAACAAAUAAAAUUUUGAAACGUGAAUAGGUCAUUCUUGAUAAGUAUGAUAUUGUGGUAGCAGCAAUUUCAUCUUUGACAGUAUUCUUGAAGUAAGUUUUUGUAGGACACAUUCACUAUCACUUUAUUCUCCAUAUUUCUCUUUUCUUUCUUAUUAAAAAAAAAAUCAACUCUCCAAUCAAUAUUUACUAGUGAAGGCCUGCGCUACGCUGCGGGAAGUUUAUAUAAAUUUAGUAUAAUAAAUAAAAUAAUGUGAAUCAUGAAUAGAUGUCGUAUUAAAAUAUAAAUCAGAAUUCAGAAACGUAUUAAAAUAUGAAUCAGAAUUCAGAAUUUAUAUAAAAGGUAACUUAUAUGAAUUAAAGUAGAAUUCUGUUAAGCAAUUCAGGAUUCAGCUGGUUAUUGUUUGAAGUAAAAAAAAAAAAUUGGGCCAAUAAUAAUUGAAAUUCAUAAUAAGCCCAUUCAUAAAUGUGAGUUGGUGGGCCUUAUGAAAGCCCAUGCAAAUAAAAAAAAAAGGGCUUCAUUUCAACCCAUUAUUAUUUGAGCCCAAUAAAUUAAAGUGGGCCCGAUUAACGACGGUCCACACCCACACCCUAUAAAAUAUCUAUUUGAAAUCAUAACCUAUUCAAAAUCCGAAUUUCGAAUUUCGAAUUUUGAACUCCCAACAAAUUUUCAAAACAUCAUCCAACAAUCCAUUCAAAAUUCGAUUUCGAAUUCGAAUUUCGAAUUCCCAACCAACUCCAAAAUAUCCUCCAACAAUCUAAAUGCAAAAUUCGAUUUCGAUUCGAAUUUCAAAUCCCAAACCAAUUCCAAAAAUAUCCUCCAAUAAUCCAUUCAAAAUUCGAAUUUCGAAUUUCAAAUCCCAACCAAUUGUCCAAAAAUAUCCUCCAAUAAUCCAUUCAAAUUCGAAUUUCGAAUUUCGAAUUCCCAACCACUCAAAAUAUCCUCCAGCAGAUCCAUCAAAAUUCGAUUUCGUAAUUCGAAUUUCGAAUUGCCCAACCAACUACAAAAUAUCCCCAACAAUCCAUUCAAGAAUUCGAUUUCGAAUUUCGAACUUUUCUUCCAACGCAAUUCCCAACAAAUCUUCCAACCACCCAUAAAACCUAUUCAAAAUUCAAUUCGAAUUCGAAUCCCUUAACGCAACUCCCAAAAUAUCUUCGCAAACUAUCCAACAACUCAUGUCAAAAAUUCAAUUUCGAUUUUUGAUUCCCAACCACUUCCCCAAAUAUCCUCCACCAUCCAAUAAUAAGUCAAAUUCGAAUUCGAAUUUUGAAUUCGCUAACUAACUCCCCCCUCCAUUAUAAAAUACGGGAACCGAAAUCAAACUCGCGGGAGAAUUUUUUUUUAACGGAGACUAUACGACAGCAAAAGACAAAAAAAUGAUAGAUAGAGUUGCUACAGCUCGUUCCGACAUACAAAAAAAAAAGAAAAAGGAAGAUAUUCGCGCGAGCGCGAAAAGUAGGAGGAAUCGCCGAGCCGCGGAAAGGAGGAGAAAUCGCCGACCGCAGAAUCAGGAGAGAAAUCGCCGGACCGCGAAAGGAGAGAGAUCGUAUCGAGCCGGAAGCUGAGGAAUCGUCGAGCUGAUGUCAUGCCAUUCCGUCAUUAUGAUCAGUUGAAUCAAGCAGUAAAAAAAAAAAAAAAAAGAAGAAAAAUGAAGAAAUAAGAAAAAAAGAAAACCAAAAAAGAAAAAAAAACGAGAAAGAAAAGAAAAUAACAAGAUCUCUUCUUCUUCCACCCCCGCUCUAAUUUUUUUUCAUUUUUUUGUGUCCUGCGAUUGUUAAGUGCCAUCCAUACACAUCUAGAUGCUUUGCGAUGGGCAGAGUGGAGGGAAUCUUUGAUCCCCGUUUCUUCUCGGACUCUCAAUACCCCAUCCGAAGUCGUUGAUGACGCAUAAGGUGAUUACAUUGCCGCGACUAUCUCCAACAUCGUUGGUUUAUACUUUCGAAAGAAGGGGAGGGGAAGUCUUUGAUUCCCCGUUUCUUUCGGACCCUUCAACAGUUUUUUGAAAAGUCAAAUCAAAUUUGCCGAGCCGAACAGAUUCGCGCCGACGUCAAUCAAUUCACCGACACAUCUAGGACCAUUGCCGUUUGAUAGACUUUCGAAAGUGAAAAGAGGGGACUUCGAUUCCGUUUAUUCGAGCCCUGUCGAACAUUCUCUUCGAAUUCAAGAAUAAAUACCGAUGGCCGCACAGAUCCACGCGCAUCGUCAUGCAACUUUGUACGACCCGUCAAUCUGGCAGCAUACGCAAGAAGAGGGAGGACAUCUUUUGAAUCCCCGUUUCUCUGACCCCAAAUCAAAAUUAAAAAGGGGAUUCUCGACCCCAAAUUGGAACUCAAACGGGGAUAUCUUCGGAUCCCAAACAAAAAUCCAAUACGGGAAUUUCAUUCGACCCUAAAUCAAGAUUAACGGGGAUCUUCAUUCUGACCCAAAUCAAAUCCAAUUGGAGAUCAAAUCGGGAUUUCCUUCGGACCCCAAAUCAAAAUGAAAAUCAAAGUCCAAAUGGAAACAGGAAAAUCCAACGGGGACUUCUUCGGAGCAGCCGAAUCAAAUUGGAAAAUCAAUCUAAUUGGAGAGUCCAAACGGGGAUUUCUUUCUUCGACCCAAUCAAUCCAAUAGAGAAUCAACGGGGAUUUCUUCGACCCCAAAUCAAAUCAAGUCAAGAAAUCAAGACGGGGAUUUUUUUCAGGACCCCAAAAUUAAAUCCAUUGGAGAAUUCAAACGGGAUUCUUCGGCGACCCCAAAUUAAAUUGGAAAAUCAAAUCCAAAUUGAAAAAUCAAACGGAGAUUUAUAUUCCGACCCAAUAACCCAAAUCGAGAUAAAAAAGGAAUUUCUUCGAACCCCAAAUCAACAAAAUCACAAGAAUUUCUUCGAUCUGAAAAUCAAGUUGGCAAAAGAGGAAUGCCUCGAAGCCCGAAAUAAAUUAAAAAAGAAAAUCAAUUCACAUAAGAACCAACACUCGAACAGCCAAAUAAACCCAAACCCAAACCAAACCUAGUCCACAAAUAAAGCCCACAAAUAAACCCAAACUCCGAACCCAAAUAAACGGCCAAACCAAACCAAACGCUUAUCCACAAAUAAACCGACAAUAAACCCAAACCCGAAUCCAACAAAACCCAUAACCCAAACCAAACAAAAUCAAAAUCAAGUCACAAAUAAACCCAAACUCGAAUCCCAAAUAAAACCCAAACCCAAAUCAAAUCCAAACCUAAAACAAAUACAGUCCACAAUGAACCAAAAACCAAAUCUCAUGGAUCUAUCCAUGAACCAAAACCAAACUCAUGGACCAAUCCAAUGAACCAAAACCAAAUCUCAUGGACCAAAUCCCAUGAACAAGAACCAAAACGCUCAUGGACUAAAUCCAGAACCAAAAACCAAACCUCAAUGGAUCAAAUUCCAUGAACUAAAUACCAAACCUUAUGGACCACAAUCCCAUUGAACCAAAACCAAACUCAUGACCAAAUCCGCAUGAACCAAAAACCAAAUCUCCAAUGGCCAAAUCCCUAUGAUACUCAAUAACCAAACCUCAUGACCAAUUCCAUGAGCCACAACUAAAUCUGCAUGAUAAAAUCAUGAACGCAAAACCAAACCUCAUGACAAAUCUUCAUGAACGCAACAAAUCUCAUGGACAAAUCCCAUUAACCCAUAACCAAAUCUCAUGAUCAAAUCCAUAACCAAACAUCAAAUCUCAUGACCAAAUCCCAUGAACCGAUACAAAUCUCAUGGACCAAAUCCCAUGAAGCCAAAACCAAAGUUCAUGUACCAAAUCCGACAUGAACCAAAACCAACCUCAUGGACAAAUCCUAUGAACCAAACCAAAUCUCAAAUGGAACCAUAAUCCCAUUGAACCGCCAUAUUCAAAUCUCAUGGACGCGAAUAUCCAUGAAACUAAAACCAAACCUCUAUGGAUCAAACCCAUGAGCCACAACUUAAAUCCUCAUGGACCAAAUCCAUAACGCAAAACCAAUACUCAUGACCAAUAUUCCAUAAACCAAAACCAAACCUCAUGGACCAAAUCCCAUGAACCAAAACAAACCUCAUGGACGCAAAUCCCAUGAGCACAACUAAACUCCAUGGACCAAAUAUCAUAACCAAAAUCAAACCUCAUGGACGCAAAUCCAUGAACCAAAAACCAAAUCUCAUGGCCCAAAUCCAUGAACCAAAACCAACUUAAUGGACUCAAAAUCCAUGAGCCACAACCAAUACCUCAUACCGCAAAUCCCAUGAGCCCACAACCAAACCUCAUGGACCAAGAUCCUCAUGGACCAAAACCAAACCUCAUGAACCAAACCAAACCUCUCAUGGACCAAACCAAAACCUCAUGAACCAAAACCAAACCUCAUGGACCAAUCCGAGCAUGAGCCAAAACCAAAACUCAUGGACCAAAUCCGCAUGAGCUCAAAACCAAAGCCUCAUGGACGCAAAUCCCAUGACCAAAACCAAACCUACAUGACAAAUCCCAAUGAGCCAAACAACCUCAUGGACCAUAAUCCAUGAACCAAAACCAAAACUCAUGACAAAAUCCCAUGAACCAUAAUCAAACCUCAUGACCAAAUCCCAUGAACGACAACUAAAACCUCAUACCAAAUCCCAUGAAACCACAACUAAACUCAUGGAUCGCAAAUCCCCAUGACAUAUACCCACCUCAUAAUCAUAGGCCAAUCCUAUGAGCCAUGAACCAAAUCAUCUUCAAUCUCAUAAAACCAAUACCCCAUAGCCCAUGAUACCAAUUACCAGAUCUCAUACCGCACAAUCCUAUGAACCAAUACUCCAGGAUCUCAUACCUCAUAUCCCCAUGAAACGCCAAUUAGCACUCUAGUAUAUAGAGUUAGUAGCGAUUAGGUCUUUAACCACAUAUUUAUUAGGGCGCUAAUCAACCUGCAAAUUCAACUGAAUGCUCAACAAAUAAUACUUAGGAUGCCAUAAACGCGGAGAUACGAUCCUCUCAUCCAAGAUAUAAAGGCUCUCUUAAUCGAAGGUGCCCAAUCUCAGAGGGUAAUUACAGUAGAAUGCCUUGCUCUAUUGGACCAUUGGACUCGCAAUACCUGAUACCCCACUACAUCACAUAUAAUACUCAAUCUGAAAUCAUGAAUACUACCCCAACGGCCCGAAAAUCCAUCGACCGGCGAGGGUGCGUCAUCCGUGGUGCAGACAAAAUGGCCACGGCCGGCUGGGACAUAGCUUCUUCUUUCCAUCUUCCGAGACUUAAAACAAAAAAAAAGAAAAAAAAAAUAAGGUCCUAACUCUACCUUUUUUCCACAAGGAAAUGCACACCAUUAAUAGAGCGUUGUCGCUGGCAUCCAACAAACCUCAAUAAUAUGAGGCUGGUUCCCAGUUGCUUGCGCACGUCUCCUUACAUUCGAAAUGCAGGAACCUCAAUCCAAUUUGGCACAUUCCCGAAGAUGUUCGACUGCUGUCAUGGCUUAAUUCUUGCUGCACUGGGGGCAUGACCCUCCCGCCGCCUCUUCAUAGCAUGUAUCCAUCGGGUCAUUUUCUCGGCUACCAUCCUCGAGGAAGACGACCCAAUGUGGUCAAUCCCCAACCCUCCUCGCUGGACGCCAUAGGCGAACGACUCACUUCCAACCUGCAUCCAAAGAGGCCAUGGAGUCUGAGGAAGACUGAUAUUCCCGAAAUGCAAGAGUGCACGAAACUAUCAAGUAUUCGAUAGCUGCGCUUUCUAAUGAUACUACAACCACCUAUUCCUCUAAUGAGAGUGUCCUUUAAAGGAAUAGCCGCCGCCUUAACUCCACAGGGAAAAGUUGCUCGGGGCAACGACAACCAAUAACGUUCAAGAGCCCAAAUGACCAAUCGACGACAAUGUCCGUUAAACUAAGGCAAAAAAAAAUAGGGGCCGACAAAAGAUGAGCUAACAUCGUAGUGAGCCAUCCUCAUUUAAACUAAUAUUAGUCUGAAAGAGCAUAUCACUUCCAAUUGGUCCUAAAAAAGAAAAAAAAAAAAAAAAAAAAAAAAGAAAAAGAAGGUGGAUGGACAUGUACUUAAAUUUUUUUUUUUAUAAACAUGGAUAAAAUAUGAGCCACUACCGACUGAUUGUUCCACAUUCGGACUCAGGGUAAAUUGCAUAGAAAAGUUCUCGUGGGUAUUGUAAUACAGCUGAACUUAUUGCAAAUUGCAAGUUCGAGUGUGUGCAAUGGUGUGUGAUCACUCCCUACAUGUUCUAAAAGGUAGAACAACGUGUUUGGACAAGUUUUUGAGAGUUGAUUGGAAUGCAAAAUACUAAGAAAUGCAUUGACCUGCGAAAUUUACAUUUUCUGGGCUUGCUGUUACCGGUACAGCCAUUACUUGUACGCGGUACAGAAGCUGGCAGAUUGUGAUAGGCAGGGACCAAAUUGGUCAUUUCAGACUCACAUCUUGUGCUACCUAUUUGGAUCCCAGCACGACUCUUGCGCUUGCUGGAGUGUUGCUGAGCCCGAAGAAGCAACCUUGCAUAUUUUUCUCUCUUAUCUCUAGGUUUUUCCUCUCUCUACAUGUAAGAAUUAGCCGAUUUCGCAUCGUUUUUCGUCGUCAGGCGCAUGCUGUUCUUCGCUGAUUGCGAGCGUCGCAGCGCCGUUGUGGGCACUUCAAGAGAGCGUUUUGGAAGGAAUUUCGGCAGCCCUGGACAGUGGGAUGCUGGUUGACAGCUUGAGAGGUAAACGACUCGGAUUUCUCUUAAUGCAACGUUACUAAGUAGUCCGUUUACGUGUUGCGUUUUGAUAUUGCUUCAGUUGCUUUAACCUGAGAUUUCAAGCAAUUUAAAGUUGGAUUAAUUAGCUGUGAAUUAAACCUCCUUAGACCAGGGUUAAGCUACUUCUACAGCUUAAUGGAGAUAUUUAGUCCUUUUAUGAAGCUAUUUUGGAACGAAAAUGCUAUUGUUUGAGCGAAUAAUGCAAAUUGGGGAUUUCCUUCGCACAGGUCUUUCGAGCUUGUUGAGCUGAAUUUUGUACCUUAGAAGCUGGUUGAACUGCCUACACCUAGGGAAAGCUAGAACUCAGUAGAAAAACUGAAUCACAAGUUUCCGGCUAUAUUUAUUAAUAGUCCAACUGAUUUUGACAGCCGUUUUGAUAUUGUUCGAGCGAGACAGGUAUUUGACCCUUGGAUCGCCUUCGUUUGCAUUGGAGGCCUCCGGAAGCUUAACGUGAGGAAUGAACUAACCAAAAACAUGAAUUGAUGGAAAUUGACUUCCACUUUGUAUCUACAAUUAGGAAUUGCCGGAAAUUGGAAUUGUAGUAAUCGGCCUCGUGCGGUUUUGGUACCUUAGUUUUCAGCGUCAGGUUUUGGGAGCCUUGUUGAGCUGAUUCUUGAGAAGUCUUGUGACUGCUUGAGCAUAGUACGAGGUGGGUCGGACCUAACCAGAGCAAUGAAGCUCCUCUAUGUUCGAUAUGUCACUAUGAGAAUGAUAUACUUUGUGUGUUAUUGUCACUAUGUAGUUACUAAAGGAUGGGGACAGUCCGUGUGAUUAAGCUAGCAUAAUGGAAAUAGAAUCCCUCCCCCCCAACCUCUAUAAGUAGAGAGCACUCAAUCGCAUAAGUGUCUUUAUGCUUAUAUUUUAUGUUUAUUUAGUUAAGUUAACUAAUGGACAUAAUGAAUGAUGAUUUUGGAAUAGAGAACCAUGAACAUGUCUUUAUCUCCAUGAAGUGGAAAAGAUUCUAUAUUGCUCAUAUGUAAAUUCGCAUUAUACCCGCUGUAUCUUACUAACUAGUGGAUCUAGUUGUUGUUAUAUUUUGUUAUAGUUUAUACUGAAAUGUGAUCAAAGGAUCGAGAACGAGAAUAUCUGUGAACUAUACAACAUUGAUAAUUGAGACUGUUGACUGUGGACGCUUGCUUGCUUGGCCAUAGUGCUCAUUCCCCACACGCUUUUGAGGUAGCUCCCCUACAAGCGCGGCAACUCCGGAGUUGGCCUAGCCGCGAACAGUUGCUCGCCGUCGGGAUUGGUUGCCUGAAGUGGAUUGCCGUGGGGAGUGUAUACUACCCGGCAUUAGGGCGCUCGGCGCAAGCUGGACCUACCUUGAAGUAGAUCCCGUGAAUAAAGGAAAGUCGCUAAAGAAAAUUGGACAGUAAUGAAUAAUUACGCAGUUAUGUACAGUAAGUUACUUCAAUCACCUUAUGCUACGUGUAUCUAUAGUAGGUACUGCCAUGCUUUCUAUCUCUCAGUUGAUUCAUUUACUGUUGAUCUAUGAUCACAUGUUGUUCCAUGUUCAAUAUAAUUGUAACUUGCUUAUGAAUUGCUAGCAUUGAAAAAUAUAUCAUCGACAAAUUAUGUCUUUUAUUUCAUUCUGUACAUCCUUGAGCCUAAGUGGUGUAAUUCGCCGAGGCUGGCGGCUUACCCCACUGGAAACUAUGUAAUAGUCCUCACGCCCUUUUGUGGUUUGUUUUUAGCAUGAGCCUGUUAGCAGUGAAGAGCUAGGGAAUCGUGCAAGGGAGUCGCGCCUAGCUAGGGACUACUAGGACGUGGCUUAGUCGAUCACGUUGCUACUCGGCUAAACGGCCGAGGGGUGAUGUCCAUAUAUAUAUAGAAGCCACUCAUUUGGACAAUCUAUUCUUUUUUGUAAGCAGACGCCUGAUGUAAUAUUACUUUCGGGGUGAGAAUAUAGUAGUGUUACUUCCCUUUUUGCUGAGUUGUCAUGUUUGCUAUACUACUUUGGAUUUUGACUCGGGUUGAUAUCUCUUGUAUAUCGACUUGUACCUUUUGCUCUGAUAUCAGGAAGGAAUCUCGUUGUUUAACUGUCCUAUCGACUUGCUUUCUCGCUAGACCUUAUAUAGCUGGCAGGUGUAUGGCGGGUCUGUGACGUGCCGGAUAUCUGUGCCGGGACCGUCCGGCGUGACAGAUUAUAGUGUUCGUAUCUAAGCCCUAGGUUGAAGUCUUAGUAGAACGCUUGUAAACCUUAGGCUGUGGACUAUACAGGAUAGCUCGUGAGAGAUCGAGUCUAGUCGAGGUUGUUGUUAAGCCGAAAGUACUUUGGAUUUGGUACUCGUAUAAACUCCGAAUAGUUAGGAGUUGAUUCGGGUGUGAAGUACUAACUUGCCAAAGAGGGUACGUGCCGGCCGACCACCGUGACAUCGGAAGUUUAGUAGUCGUUACAUUUCCAUUACUUUCGGCUGAUAGUCGGUUUAUAUCCUCAAUGGUGUGGUUCAGGUAUAAUGGGUUUAUUGACCUAUGUUUGUUUUGGUGUUGCAGGUUCAAGAUGCCCUACACUCGUUCUGGAACCGCUUGGGCGGCUAGCGGCCGCUUGGCGGAAGAGGUAGAGACUUCCGUCACGUCGGGGUCCAGAGUUCCAUGAGUUGGGCAGGAUCAGCUUGCGAUCGUUGACAGAGUUGGUUACUCAGCAGCCGCGGCCACGACAGAAUGGACCGCCUGCGCGUCGGGAGCAGGACAGGAUAAGAGUUAGAGGAUCUAUUAUCUGCGGCGACGACCGAUAGAGAGAUUCCAGUUCUUACCGAUCCGGAUUUCUGUAGCCCUAUAGUACCAAAGGGGCACCACAAGUGAGAGCCAGUCACCGUACCUCGAUACACCCCCAGUACCGAGGCCCGAGAACGCCGAACAGGAGAUAAUAGUACCACCACCAUAGUACCAUGUAGCAAUAGCCUGGGAUAUGUGUUACCCGGAGAUGGUGGGGGUUGAGGACGAGAGCGGAUGAUGGAAACGACUGAAAAUUCGUCGCUGGUGCAACACCAAUGUCUGUUAUGGGGAUGAAAGCAGAUCAUUUGUGGGUGGUUAAAAAAUGGUUAAUGCAUAUGGAGAAAUCAUAUUCUAUGACACUUUCGUUGAGAGCGGUACCGAGUUUGGUUUGCGAAUUGGGCAUCACUGAAUGGCCGGGUGAUGCUUACAGUGGUGUGUGGGGGUGAACAUCCGGAGGAUCCCCGUGCUAUUUGUCUGCUAUCUACGUGAACAGGUUCAAAGAGUUUUGUUGAUCUACCUAUUUUCCACAGAGUGUGAAGAGCAGAUGGAAAGGGAUCUGAGAACUUGAGACAGGGACAGUACAGUGGCUGAGUACGAGCGAAGGUUCUCUCGAUUACAUGUUGCACUUGUGUUCCUUUUGUAAGUCCGAGACGAUGAGGACAAGCCGUCUCUUUAGGUGGGUUUUGCGGCCGAUGCGAUUUCAAUUGGUCCAGGCGCAAACCUCUCCACUUACCGGGAUGUCGUGAACCGAGCCUUGAUCGUGGAGAAAGGCCGCGGAAAUCAUGAAGGAAAGAGACGUUGUGGUCGAGGUAAGGGAAAGAGAAGCCAGUCAGCUGAGAGCAGUGGUCAAGCAGUCCUUCAGGAGACCGCCAAAUAUCCAGAGGGGACAGUCAGGACAGUCGAGGGGUCGAGGUUCUUUAAAGUACCGGGGAAGCACCCGAUGCGUCGUCGACCACGCGAUGUUUAUCUGUGGUGGGCUCCGUACCCGCCACAGUGUUCCACGCGUCGGGGCAACGCUGUUUUCUUUGCGGCCAGGAGGCCAAUUUCGUUCAGAGUGUCCGAGAGUUCUUUGCCCCUGCACCCUCGUCAGGCUUCUGCACCUGCAUCUUCAGCUCGAGCCAGGGCACCCGACAGGCGCCUAAUCAGUCUAGGCGACCACCAGGACAGCGCAGGUCGCAGAGUUCGGCAUCAGGGUCGAGUGGCGCAGUAUGCCGCGACUGAGGCGCCAUAGCAGUAACAGGAGGUCGUAAGCAGGUAUUUAUAUGCUUUACAGAUAUUCGUGUUUCGUGGCAUUAUUUGUAUACUGGUGCUUCGGCAUUUCUUUUAUGAUCGGGCGUUACGCCGAGUUCAUACAUACUAGUUAGUAACUCGUAUUUGCAUUUGGGACGAGUGAUUGUACCUGACCAUACCUGGAUAUUUGAUGAGUAUUGCCCUCGGCCAGUUGAAGGGUAGGCGACUGGAUCAUGCCAGUGGAUUACUGGCACUACACAAACUAGGUGAGUUUGAUGUAGUAUUGGUAUGGCUUGGUUGACGACAGUAUUAUGCCACCAUAAGAUUUGCCACAAACAGAAGUGACCAUUCGGAACGGAGUCCCAACAGGGAGUUUGUUUAUAAAGGGUUGCCAGAGUUUCAUUGUUCGCUACAUGACCAUCAUAGCUCUUGCUCGAGCACGACAGUUUAUUCGGAGGGGUGUGUAGCCACUUGGCUAAGCAUUUAAAUGAGGAUGGAAAAACCCAGAUGAUGAUAUUCCACCAGUUGUGCGAGAAUUCGAGGGAUGUUUGCCAGCUGAGAUUGCCCGGUCAUGCCACGCCUGAUUAGGGAAGUGGAGUUUGUGAUUGAUCUUGUCCCUGGCACAACUCCUUAUUUCUAAACGCACCCUAUAACGCAAUCGGCACCCGCUGAGUUGAAAAGAAAGCUGAAGGAACAAUUACAAAAUCUUUUUAGAGCAAGGAUUUAUUCGACCGAGUGUAUCGCCUUGGGGAGGGCACCCGUGUUAUUUUGUGCAAGAAGAAAGAUGGAUCUCUACGAUUGUGGCGUGGAUUAUCGAGAAAAUCCACAAGUCACAAUCAAGAAUAAAUAUCCAUUUGCCGUACAGAAUUGAUGACUUAUUUGAUUCAGCUCAAGGAUCGACAGGUGUAUUCGCAGAUUGAUUUGGCAAGUCUGGUUACCAUCAGCUUAAGAUCAAGCCUGAAGAUGUCUCUGAAAACCGCUUUUAGCCACACGUAUGGCAUUAUAUUACAUCAUGCUUUUUGGAUGCUAAUGCGGCCAGCAGCUUUAGAUUUAAUGAACCGUGUCUUUAAGCCCUAAUUUGGAUAGAUUCGUAGUAAGUGUUUAUUGACGAAUUAUCUUGAUCUAUUCUCGAAGUGACAACGAGCAUGAAGAAACCAUUUGAGAGUGGUGUUGCAAGUACUGUCGAGAAAAAGAAACUUGUUCGCAAAGUUAAAGAAAUGCGAAUUUUGGCUUGAGAAGUGGCAUUUCUCGGCCCAUGUGAUUUAAAGAAACUGGGAUAGCUGUGGAUCACAGAAGAUUGAAGUCGAUAAAGAUGGCCUAGCCGACCAGUGUCCACAGAGAUUCGGAGUUUCCAUUGAUUUGACGGAUGCAACUCACUGUUAGGGUCGGUUAUCGCAGCAAUUUCGAUUUGCUUCUCGAGCAAAUAAAAAUAAAAAUAAUCCGAUAUUUUCUAUUAUCCAAAUAUAUUUGCCUAUGACGGAAUGCUAACCACCCUAGGGUUGGUUUGCACAGCAAUGUCUGAUGCUUCUGCAGGCAAAAUAAAUAAAAAGAAAAAUAUAUAUAUACUUACUUCCUGAAAAAAAAAAAAAAAGGUGAUGACAUAUUGUCUAAAUUUUUAGAUAAAUGGGUAAAAGUAUGAGGCCACCAGCGGACUUGAUUGUUCACCGAUCGGACUUCAAGGGUAAAAAUUGCAUAAAAGUUCCCCCGCUGUGGUAUAACCCCACAGGCAAAAUUGGAAUCCCGCUGUGCAGAAAACCUUUCGAGGCUCACUGCAAAAGUUAGGGAAGGACCUGGUGAAAAACCCAUAUGGCGCCAGAUUUACCAAGAUUCUUGAGGCAAAAAUAAACAAAAAAUAAUAAUAAAUCUGUGUUCGAACCUAACUCACUUAGGGUUACGGUUUAUGCGUACAAUUUCAAUUGCUUAUCAAUAAAAAAAAAAAGAGAUAUUUCUUGGACAAAAAAAAGAAGAGAAGAAAAAACACAGUCAACAGAGGGACUGAACAAAAAAAAAAAAAAGGUUCGAACAAAAAAAAAAAAAAAGGAAAAAAGGAGAUCGAGUAAAAAAGAAAAAGAGGAACGAGCAAGAAAAAAAUAAGAAAAACUCUGACUAAAAAUAAAAAAAUAAAAAAUAAAAAAAGAGAAAAAGGAGCACCUUUUGCCGCGCGUGAAACUCUUACGUCGAAAAGGUGGUGGCGCAAUUUGUUUUGAAAUAAAAAAAAAAAUUGGGCCAAUAAUAAUUGAACUUCAUAAAGCCCCUUCAUAAAUGUGAGUUGGUGGCCUUAAUGAAAAGCUCAUGCAAUAAAAAAAAAAAAAAGGACCUUCAUUUCAACCCAUUACUUAAUUUGAGCGCAAUAAAUUAAAGUGGGCCGAUUAACGACGGUCACACCCACACCCUAUAAAAUAUCUAUUUGAAUCAAUAACCUAAUUCAAAAUGCCGAAUUUCAGAAUUUCGAUUUUGAACUCCAAAAAAUUUCAAAACCAUCAUCCAACAAUCCAUCUCAAAAUUCGAUUUCGAAUUCGAUUUUCGAAUUCCCCACCAACUCACCCAAAUAUAUCUCACAACAAUCUAUUCAAAAUUCGAUUUCGAAUUCGAAUUUCAAAUCCAACCAUUUCAAAAUAUUCUCCAACUAAUCCCAUUCAAAAUUCGAAAUUUCGAAAUUUCGAAUACCCCAACCAAUUUCCAAAAUAUCCUCCAAUAAUCCAUUCAAAAUUCGAAUUUCGAAUUUCGAAUUCCCAACCAACUCCAAAAUAUCCUCCAACAAUCCAUUCAAAAUUCGAUUUCGAAUUCGAAUUUCGAAUUCCCAACCAACUACAAAAUAUCCUCCAACAAUCCAUUCAAAAUUCGAUUUCGAAUUUCGAACCUCCAACCAAUUCCCAAAAUAUCUUCCAACCAUCCCAUAACCUAUUCAAAAUUCAAUUUCGAAUUUCGAAUCCCUAACCAACUCCCAAAAUAUCUUCCAACUAUCCAACAACUCAUUCAAAUUCAAUUUCGAAUUUUGAAUUCCCAACCACUCCCCAAAUAUCCUCCAACCAUCCAAUAAAUAAUUCAAAAUUCGAAUUUCGAAUUUUGAAUUCCUAACUAACUCCUCCCCUCCCAUUAUAAAUACGGGAACCGAAAUCAAACUCCGGGAGAAUUUUUUUUUUACGGAGACGAUACGACAGACAAAGAACAAAAAAAGAUAGAUAGAUUGCUACACUCGUUCCGACAUACAAAAAAAAAAGAAAAAGGAGAUAUCGCCGAGCCGCGGAAAGGAGGAGGAUCGCCGAGCCGCGGAAAGGAGGAGAAAUCGCCGAGCCGCAGAAAGGAGGAGAAAUCGCCGAGCCGCGAAAGGAGGAGAGAUCGUCGAGCCGCGGAAAGGUGGAGGAAUCGUCGAGCUGAUGCAUCCAAUCCGUCAUUUGAUCAACAGGUAAAAAAAAAAGAAAAAAAAAAGAAGAAAAAUGAAGAAGAAAGAAAAAAAGAAAACAAAAAAAGAAAAAAAAAAGGAAAGAAAAAGAAAAUAACAAGAUCUCUCUUCUUCCCCCCGCUCUAUUUUUUUUUCUUUUUUUUGGUCCUGCGAUUGUAGCCAUCCAUACCAUCUAGAUGGCUUCGAUGGGAGAGUGGAGGGGAAUCUUUGAUUCCCCGUUUCUUCGGACCUCUCAAUACCCCAUCCGAAGUCGUUGAUGACGGCAUAGGUGAUCUACAUUGCCGCGACCAUCUCCAACAUCGUUGGUUUGAUACUUUCGAAAGAAGAGGGGAGGGGAAUCUUUGAUUCCCCGUUUCUUCGGACCCUUCAACAUUUCUUUUGAAAAUGUCAAAUCAAAUUUGCCGGCCGAACAGAUUCGCGCCACCGUCAUCAACUUCACCGACGACAUCUAGGACAUUGCCGGUUUGAUACUUUCGAAAGAAGAGGAGAGGGGGAUCUUCGAUUUCCCGUUUCUUCGGACCCUUCAACAUUUCUUCGAAAUGUCAAAUCAAAUCCGAUGGCCGAACAGAUCCACGCCAUCGUCAUCAACUUUGUCGACGUCAUCUGCAGCAACGCAAGAAGAGGGGAGGGGAAUCUUUGAUUCCCCGUUUCUUCGGACCCCAAAUCAAAAUUAAAACGGGGAUUUCUUCGGACCCCAAAUUGGAACCAAACGGGGAUAUCUUCGGAUCCCAAAUCAAAAUCAAAACGGGAAUUUCUUCGGACCCUAAAUCAAGAUUAAACGGGGAUUUCUUCUGACCCCAAAUCAAAUCCAAUUGGAGAAUCAAACGGGGAUUUCUUCGGACCCCAAAUCAAAAUGGAAAAUCAAAUCCAAAUUGGAAAAUCAAACGGGGAUUUCUUCGGACCCCGAAUCAAAUUGGAAAAUCAAAUCUAAAUUGGAGAGUCAAACGGGGAUUUCUUCGGACCCCAAAUCAAAUCCAAAUUAGAGAAUCAAACGGGGAUUUCUUCGGACCCCAAAUCAAAUCCAAGUCAGAGAAUCAAACGGGGAUUUUUUCGGACCCCAAAUCAAAUCCAAUUGGAGAAUCAAACGGGGAUUUCUUCGGACCCCAAAUUAAAUUGGAAAAUCAAAUCCAAAUUGAAAAAUCAAAACGGAGAUUUAUUCGGACCCCAAACCCAAAUCGAGAUAAAAAGGAGAUUUCUUCGGACCCCAAAUCAAACCAAAAUCAAAAAGGAAUUUCUUCGGAUCUGAAUCAAGUUGCAAAAGAGGACUGCCUCGAACCCGAAAUAGAAUUAAAAAGAAAAUCAAGUUCACAUAAGAACCCAAACUCGAACCCAAAUAAACCCAAACCCAAACCAAACCUAGUCCACAAAUAAACCCACAAAUAAACCCAAACUCGAANACUCAAGUUUUCUUAGUGGAUUUUCUUUGCGUGAUCGGUCCCGUGGGUUUUUCACUCCGAAUUGGAGUUUUCCCACGUUAAAUUCUCAGUGUGCUGUUUUAAUUUCCGCUAUUUCGUUUUGUUUGCAUCGAGAUUUUUCGAGUUUGCCGGAUUUACACCUAUUCACCCCCCUCUAGGUGUUACUUACCUUUUAGAUCCUCGGGAUCCAUAUCUUACAGCCCGUACCUCAAAUGCCAUAAUCUUGAUUCUUUUUUAAAUUCAGAGUGGUAGCACCUUUCAAUUUCUGACUUUAUGUUCAUAGAAAACAUUUGAUUCUUUGACAUAUGCACUUUUGCUAUUAUUUUACCAUUCUUAUCCUUCAAAGUCAGAGUAGAGCCUUCCAGAUGAACAAUAUAUCCUUUCUCCAAUAAUUGUCCGAUGCUUAGUAUGUUGCUCUUUAAUUCUAGCACAUAAUAUACAUUCAAGAUUAAUUCUUCUUCACUACUCUUCGAUCUAAACAUAAUUUUUUUCUCUUUCUUUAACAGGUACUUUGGAUGAAUCACUAAAUUUCAUAUUGCCAUCAGCAUUCUCAUCCAUUUCAACAAAUAGUUCUUUCCUUCCACAUAUGAUUUGAAGCAUCGGAAUCCAGAAACCAUACAUAUUGUGGAUCUUUAACUUCGUCUUGACAUGAAAGUAAUAGUGAGGUUUUUGCAACUUCAUCUUUUAAAGUACCAUCGAUAUAGUGAUUCACUCUUUCAGUGUUCCUAUGCCAGCAAUCUUUGCUAUAGUGACCAUAUUUUUCACAAUUAUAACAUUGGAUGUUCGAUCUUGCACCACCAUAAGACCCUGGGCGAUUGUUAUUACGUUCGCCUCAUUUUGGUCCAUAUCUAUGUCGUGAAUUGCGACCCCUGUUGUUGCUACUCUGUCAGUCAUUUUUAUAUCUCUUUUGAUUCUAUAUUUAUUGUAAUUAUUUUCUCCAUGAUUUUUUCUUUUUCUAUUAUCAAGUUUCAAUUUUGACUUGAGAGCUUGCUCAGUCGAUUCAUCUUCAAGCACCUUUUAUAGUCUUUGCUCAUGUACUUGGAGAGAUCCUGUAAAUUGGUCGAUAGAAAGAGUACUGAUAUCUUUUGACUCUUCUAUGGUGACAACAAUAUACUCAAAUUUUGAUGUGAGGGAAUGAAGAACCUUUUCUACAACUCGUUCACCAUCGAAUUCUUCUCCAUUUUGCUUCAUUUGGUUUACAAUUACCAAAAUGCGAGAAACAUUGUCUGCAACACUUUCGGACUCCUUCAUACGGAUUGCUUCAAAUUUCGCUCUAAGCUUUUGUAGACAAAUCCACUUUACUUUGUCAUCUCUUUUAAAGAUGGUGGCAAGAGUCUCCCAUGUUGCUUUGCUCGAAGUUGUUUUGUCAAUUUUCUAGAACGUCGACUCGUCUACUGCUUGGUAAAGAUAGAAAAGGGCCUUUUUGUCCUUUUUGCUUCCUUCAAAUCGUUUCGACAGGCUAUAAUUAAUGUAGUUUCUUCUUGCUCUGUGUAUUCUUGGUACUUAGUUUUAACUAAUGCCCAUAGGUCUUGAGAACCAAGAAAUGCUUUCAUUUGAAUGCACCAAUUCUCGUAAUUGUCUUUUAAUAGUUUUAGGGUUUGGGUCUGGAGAAGUUGAGUGGCCAUUUUUUAACUGAGUUUCUUUCUAACAGCCUAGCUCGAUACCAAAUGUAGGUAGGCAAUUAUAUAUCAAAGGAACUACAAAAGUAUUUAAAACUAGAACAAUCAAAUUUAUUAAAUAUAACUAAACUUUAGUACACAAAAACUUAUUAAUACAACUUGAUCCACACAAAAACAACAAGUAACAUACUCUCUAUUUAUAGAGUACGAAAUAACACAACUUUUUACUAAAACAAGCAUCCUUUCACUAAACGACACAACUCUAAACUAAAAGACGCAACCUUAAAAUAAGAGACACAACCUUACGAAGGGACAAAUCCUUUUAUAAGGUACACAACCUUUCAUCAAAAGAAGUAAAUAACAAAUUAAUAAAUAAACUUAUAAUCUAACAGUGAGCAAAUCCAAUAAUGGCAAUGAAUUGACAACCGAAUGAACCUCUUCUCACCCUCCCAUCCAAUAAGAAUUCAGCAAAAGAGUCCUCCCACAAAUAGAAAGGAAGGUUUAAACUAAUCCAAUACAAAAACUGCACUAAUGCUGAAAUUGAAGCCAAAACCUGAAGUUUAACCAAAUGUGGAUUAUUCUACCUUACUACCAGCUGAAAUAAGGUGUUCGCCAAGCCUCCUAGUAGUACAACAAGUGGAAAGGAAUAUGAAAAUGUCCCACCAACCAGGGAUUUGCUGAAAAAUCCAGAAAUUGGAGUCAAGAAACUUAAUGAUGUGCAUUUUCGACUUCGGAAUCCAAUUAACAUAAGAUUAGAUCAAAGUACAUCAAUACUCAGUUGAAAGGAACUCUAAUAUAGCUAGAAUUGAAGUCAUGACCAGCAAGAAAACUGCAAUUGAUUUACUAGAAGAGAUCGGAGUUGAAAAAUCAAUGAGAUUCGUCAAUAACUAAAAUUUCAGCAUUGUAGUAAAAAUCUACCAAUUAAAGUCUUUCUAACCUAAAAUUUGCUUGGAAGAACAAGCCUACAAACUCUUCUUCCUCACUAGAUCACCCACAACACUACAAGAAAAGACGGUUGUAGAGGCGAUUGUAUAGAGACGGUUCCUACAACCGCCUCUAUGUGUUGUAUAUUAGAGACAGUUUAGAGACGGUUUUUAUGGACCGCCUCUAAAUCCCCAGGAGGGAGGAAAAAAAAAAGAAUAAAAACCCUAAACCCUAAAAAAUAGGUUGAUCAAUCUAAUCUCCCCACUUCUCUCCCCUUUUCCCCCACGAGCCGCCAAACCUAGAGGCCGCUCACCACACUGCUCUACCUCCGACUCCUUCUGUAAGGUACCAGACUUCUAAAUUAUGAAGUUACGGUACACAUUUAAAUGGUUCCAAUAAGGUUGCUGUGGAAUGUAACAUACCGGAUUUUAAAUAUAAAAGUGAAAAUAAAUAAAAAUAGUAUGAGAUACUAUUUUAUUGGAUUUAGAGGAGUGAAAUAUAGGUUGAGAAUGACCUGUGCUGAAAUCAGAGCGAAAACAGAAGAUUAAGAAUUUUCUGUGUGAAAUAAGGCAGAUAAAUUAGCAGAAAAUGCACAGUGUCAGAAAAUUAUGAAAACUAGAGGAUAUAUCAGAAAUAUUUUUAUGAGGCUAGAUUUGAAGUUUCAUUUCAUUCUGACACCCAGAAGGUGAAAAAUAAAAUCGAACUGCUAUCUGCUAAAGAUUACAGUUCGGCACAGCUUUCAGUAACCAAACGGAGUCGAAACUGAGAACUUAAGAUAUAUUCUUGCUCAGUACGUUAAACCGAGCCUGCCUGUCAAAUUUGAGCUCAAACGGACAUUCAAAAGAGCUCCGACUGUUCUGAACUGCUAAACUGCAAGUUGUAAUAGGUGUGAGAGGGGGUUUUCUGCAAUUGUUGCAGCCCCAUAUGUGUGCGGCUCCUUGGCCGAAUCCACUACACGCACACACACAUUCUCUCCCUCUCCCUCACACUUGCAACCAUGGAAGAAAAACCCUCUCUUUCUCUCUCUUGAAGGUGGAAUCAAGAGAAGGAUUUGGUAGAGAAGCAAGUUUGGAAGUUGAUCUUCAUCUUCAUCGUCUUCUUCCUCUCCAUUGGAGCUUGUUUGAGAGGUGAGCUUUGAUGCCCUCUCAUGGUAGAUCUUUAAAGCUUUAUUUAUAAUCUCUAUAAAUGGUAUUUUUGGGAUCCUAGGAUGCUAAUGAGAUGUUUACUACUUGAAUCUAAGGUUUAUAUUGUAUAUUUUUACAAUAGAUGAAACAUAGGGUUCAAAUUGGAGUUUUUCGAAAUAUGAAGGUUUGAUCUCAAUUGACCCUCUGUAAACCUAAUUGCUAGGUAAACGAACGCGUUGGCGAAGUCGGUUCGGCGAUUCGCCGAGCCGUUGAGAAGAUAUUAAAGAAAUGGAUGUUUAGGCUUCGUUUCCGCCUGGAGGGCCGAGGCGACGUUCAAAAAUCGUGGAAACGGAUUUGGAGCACCGUAGCAAGAAACCGAAGACCUUUAAUUUUCGGAUCGCGGAUCGGGGGUUGUUCGGUGGUCGCGUACGCAUUGGGUCGAGCGGACCGGCGUGCGCUGUGUCGAGCGGACCGGCGUGCGCUAUGGGAGGCCGAUUGCGAGUGACUACAAGCAAUCGGAACGCGAUAACAGGUAGGUUGUGCUUACCGAAGCGACUAGGUCGCCCCGCAUGUCAAAGCGGAUUGUGAAUUCUUAUUGAUGCAUAUAUGUAUGUGCAUACGGGUAUUUUAGUAUUAUGUAAAUGCAUGCUAGCAGGUAGAAUACAUGCUAGUGAUGAUUGCAUAAUAAUGCAUUGAAAAGUACAUGCUGGUGAGUAGAUGCAAGUGGCGUAUUAAUGCAUUGGAAAUAUAAUCUAAUAAUAGAUUCAUGUUGACAUGUACUAGAACAUGCUAGAGAACAUGAGAAUACAAAUGAAUGUUAACAUGUUGUUAGUUGUGUGAGUUAUGAGAUCAUGUUAGAGAGCAUGCAUAUUAACAUGUUGUUGAUUGUGCUUGAUUAUGAUGCAUGUCGGCAUUGUGAGCGUGUGUUAGAUAUACAUGAGAAUGUGAACUAAGUCGAUGAACACUAUAUAAUAGAGAACUCGAUAUGACAAAUAGGAUGUCAAGUAGAUCGAGUGGCAUUAACCUAGUGUUAAUAAACAUAGGUCGGACAUAGAUGACACUGAACCUAGUGUUGUUGAACCUAGGAUAAAUAACGAGUGGUAUCUAACCUAGUGUNCGAAAAAUCCAUCGACCGUGCGAGGUGCGUCAUUCGUGGUGGCAGACAAAAUGGCACGCCCGGUGGGACAUAGCUUCUCUUUCCAUCUUCGAGACCUUAAAACAAAAAAAAAAGAAAAAAAAAAAGGGUUCCUAACUUCUACCUUUUUCCACAAGGAAAUGGCACCAACAUUAAAGAGCGUUGUCGCUGCAUCAACAAACUCAAUAAUAUUGAAGGCUGGUUCGCGAGUCUGCUUGCGCACGUCCGUCCUUACAUUCGAAACUGCAGGAACCUCAAUCCAAUUUGGCACCAUUCCCGAAGAUGUUCGAGCUGCUGUCAUGGCUUAAAUUCUUGCUGCUACUGGGGGCAUGACCACUCCCGCCGCCUCUUCAUAGGAUGUAUCCAAUGUGGUCAUUUCUCGGCUACCAUCUCGAGGAAGACGACCCAAUGUGGUCAUCCCCAACCCUCCUCGCUGACCCAUAGGCGAACGACUCACUUACCAACCUGCAUCCAAGAGCAUGGAGUCUGAGGGAAGACUGAUAUUCCCAAAUGGCAGAGUGCAGAAAGCAUCAGUAUUCGAUAGGCUGGCGCUUUCUAAUGAUACUACAACCACNCCACACAUACAUAUAAAUACUCAUCUGAAUCAUGAAUACUACCCCACGGCCCGAAAAAUCCAUCGACCGUGCGAGGUGCGUCAUUCGUGGUGGCAGACAGUUAUUUCAAGACUCCAUAAAGAAUCCAGAGCCAAAUCGAAAGUUGGUCCAGUUCAGGCCAAGAAACCAGCAUUGAAUCAUCUUUGAUCAACAUAGAAAGUAGAGCUAUUGACUUGAAAUCCCAUCUCAAGAGAAUGAUUUAGUAAAGGCAGCAGCAAUUGAAAGAAUCUGACAUCCAAAGGAACAAUCAAUAAUAAGAUCAAAAAAAUAAACCGAAAUUAGCAUGAGGUGGAGUUACUUUGAAGAACUCAUAGAAGAGAUCAUUGAAAAAGGCAAUUGGGGCAUGGAAAGCUUCAGUUUUACAGCAGCUACACCUGACAUUUCUUAUCCAGAACUUACUAAAUAUCAACAGCGACCUAGUAUUUGAAAGGGGAAAAAAAACGUGAUGACCGAAUUAAUCUCAAGAUUUGAAUGUUCGGAACAUUUCACUUUAGAUGUGUUAUGCACCUAGAUAUGAAAUCGACAACAUAUAAACUAAAUGAUAUAAAUGUAUAAACAUUUCACUCUAGAUGUGUUAUUCACCUACAUAUGAAAUCGACAACAUAUAAAUUAAAUGAGAUAAAUGUAUUGAAAGCUGAAAUGUACUUGCAAACCAGAUUUAUAGGGCCAUUAAGGAAUAUCAAGAGAUAAGUAUUGAUACGAAAUAAAAGGAUAUAAUUAUUCAUGGUCAAUUCAAUUCAAGAUAACUGGCUAGGAUUUUUAAGCACAUACGCAAGUAAGCAUCUUUUGGUUUGGAGGAUCGAUGGGUUUAUUCUGAUUUACCUUAAUUGAACGGACCAUUGAACUGGAGUAGAGCCGGUGUGCUUCCACAAUGAAAGACGCUACAGCUUUUUUAUGCCCACGAAGUGUAGCAGCUGGCUCAAAGCAGCGUUUAUCUGGAUUAGGCUUCCAACCCCAAAUACUUCCACCUUACUUAGAUAAAAGUUCAGGCACUGGGAACAAAACUUGAUAGAAAAUCAAUCCUCACAGAAGAACUUCGCAGUCAAAACUCUGCAGAUCAAAUCGAAAUUGAAUUAAAAUCAAACUCCAUAGGAAAAAUUGCAGAAAUUGAAAUUGACGAAGAAAUUGAACUGCCACACCAAUGAACCCUUUUUUUUUAACAUGUAAAGUAUAAGGAUGUGAGGAGGCGCCUUUUCAAAUAUCAGAUUUGGGAGCUCAAAAGAAGCGCAGGCAAACAGCCAAACUAAACAGUCAGGGGGGAAAAAACACUAUAAUUAUAUUUUGCUAAUUCAAACUCUGAUGAUUCAAACAAUCUUUUAAAAAGUGGACCCAAAAGUAGCAGGAACAACAGCACGUACAAAUUAGCAUUUAACUUGACCUUUUUUUACAUGUAUUCUAAGUCUCAUACAUGUAAAUCAGCAUGCAAAAAAAUCAUUUAUGAGACUUUGAGUAAAAAUAUUUUUGGAAAUCAAAGAAAGUCUCAUAUAGGCAAAUUAGCAUGAGUAAAAAUCACGAAAUCAAAGGAAACAAAAAAGAACAACAAAAACUGCUUCUAAGAAAGCUAAAAAGCUCCAUAGUAAAUCAGCACAUGGAAACCAUACCAAACAACAUACAUGGCUGCAUACUAAAAUAAAUGAAGAGUAGAAGCGUAGAUUCGGAAGUAAAUUAGGCCACCAAAAGCAUACAAAAGAAAGCUGAAAAGCUCCAUAGUAAAUCAGCACACGGAAAUCAUACCAAACAACAUACAUGAAUGCAUACUAAAAUAAAUGGAGAGUAGAAGCGUAGACUCGGAAGUAAAUUAGACCACCAAAAGCAUACAAAAUAACCGAGACAAAUUUAGUCGAAAAUAGUCUAUUCAUAAGCAUAGAACGGUAGUAAGAACAAAAUUUGGCAGGCAAGGUACAUACAUUUUGCUCAGGCCUCCCCCAUUUAUCAAGCAUUGAUUGGAUCAGCAGUAAUGUUGUUUUCUUUUUUUUGGCUUAGAAGUGUCGGAACCAAAUAAGCUGCAGCACAGAUAAGAAGCGCUGGUUGCCUGCAAAGCAUACCAUCCAUAGCGUCCGAACUGUUAAUUAAGAAGGGCGCAUUCGAACGGAACUAUCGAAACCAACUGACACUCAGGGGAAGUAUCAUCAUAGCAUGCAUAAGAACAAUCAGAAGCAGCUGCCUAUGAGUAGGCCGGCCAAACCUCCAUAUCAUCACAGACUUUUUUUAAAAAUAGGAAUUUUGAAAGAAGUAGCAAGGAAUAAACGAAGCCAAGUAAUGUUAGUAAAAUAACAAUGCAUCAAAGCAGAACAGUUUCAUUCUUUUCAUAAAGCAAUAAUAUCUGAGGGGAAACCAAAAAAAGAGGGAAAAUGCAGUGAGGAACCAGCGGGAGAAGGGUAAAAAAUUGCAGGGAAGAGUUUUUUUUACCAAACAGCUGAAGAAAUCAUACAAAAGACAUGUAAAACGCAACCGGAAACAGCACAAAAUAAGAAAAUGCGAAAACUUGGGAAUAAAAAACGGACAAAAGUGUAUAUAAAGCUGCAAAUUUCUUAGGUACUUACAUAAAAAAAAUUUGUGCAUUUAAAAAGGGGAAACAAUUUUAUUAUAGUAUCCAUGGUUGGGAAAUCCCCAAAUCCUUGACUAGACUAUAAAAUGAAUACUCAAAAGAAAGAUGUAAAGCUCUAUCAAUCAUCAUCAAUAGAUAUAUUAAAAGUAGAACUUUACUGUGGCCACGUGUCGCCUCCUCAGUGUGGAAAUCACGCCAAAUACUAUACAUGAAUGAGAAUCCAAAUCUCCAACUGGACUAUAAAAUGAAUGGUCCAAAGAAAGAUGUAAAGCUCUAUAUAAAAUGAUUCUAUGGAAAAUAACGCCAAAUAGUAUACAUGAAUAAGGAUUGACUGUUGCAUGUAGCAGUUUUGCUUAAAUGUUUGAUGCAAUGCCUACUUGGUUACUACUACAAACUGCAUAAAUGUGCGUAAACUCUUAGUGCGGCUGCCACCAUAAUGCGUGUCAAAAUUAUCUAAUGCUUUACCUGUGUUGACUUUGAUAAAAACUAACAGAGGAUUGAUGGCCUGUUAUGCAGCGAAGAAAAUGACAGAGGAUAGACAAUAACAGUGAUGAGAGUACAAAAUAUAUCUAUACCACAAGUUUAGUUAGGACUUGGAUCAUUAUUAAUAUAUCCACCUAAAAGUGCAGAUUCUGAUGGAUCAUCUACAUGCUUACAUGAAAAUGAAACGAAAUCAACAUAAUAUAAUAAUAAAUAAUUAAGAGGUUAUCGACAUAUCCAAGUAUAACAUAAUUAACCAUCUAAUUAAACACCAGUGUUUUUGUAAUCAUCUAUAUUUCCAUAAAUGCAUUCAUUAUGCACCACUUAGAGUACAAUCUUCAUAACCAUGUAACCAUAGCCGAAUACGCAUAGCCACAGUUCCCCUAGAAAUAAGGACAUGAGUAGUAGCCACGAAGUAUAAGAACAAUAGGAAGUGGUUGCCNAGUGGCGCGGCGGCGCGAGGCAAGGGCAUAGCUCCAUAGAUAGCGCCCUACCCCAGAGACCAGAGAUAGCGGUACCCCGAGUCGGCAUAGCCUAGGGGUAUAGGAAAGGGAAAGGAACACAAUGUAUCAAAUUUGUAAUAUUAAUUGUAAUAACUUAAUUGCAUUUGGAGGUUGAAUGUGAUGUAAAAAUGAAUCUAAUGUGAAUGUAUGUAAUAACAUAGGAUAUGUUAUGUUGUUGAUACCUUUCCAUUUGCAAUCUUUCUUGAAUAUUGUUCCUGUUUGGAACCUCUUGUAUUAUUUUUGCUUGAACGUACAGGGGAGACUCUAUCCGCGGUACAGGGGAAACUCUGUCCGUUCGGCGAUUUGUCAGCGCGCCCGAACCUGACCAAAUAGGCGGGGCUCAGGGCGUGACACCUUCGGCACCUUCGCCGUCUUCGAACAGCGGCCGUUUGUGAGAAAAGUCAGUUAUUUGUUCUUUAGUUGGUUCAUUUGCUCAUUGGAUUCUUAUUCUGAAAAUAAUAUGAAACAGAAAUUUAAAUUUUGAUUAGUUCCUUUGCAAACUAUCUGUUAAUGCCUUUUAUGAUAACCGUGUUGAAUGUGUAGUUUACUUUAGGCAAUUGAGCAUUUUUUAUAUAUCAUUGUCAACUUCCUUAGCAUGUUAACACUGUUUUUUUUUUAGAAAAGAGGUAGCACGCUACCCGCUUCAUUCACUGAUAGGUGAAUUAAGCUACAAGUGUGAGGCAACCAGGCCCCGAACAAAAAAAAAAAAAAAAAAAAAAAAUGUUAGAGCUCGAGCAGUAGGUCCCACUCCUUCAUAAGCUGCUUAAGUCUGUGGACCGCCAACCUAGGGUUAGGAAGGAAAUUCCGAAAUAUGAAGUCGUUUCUUACCUUCCAAGUGAUCCACCAACAGCCCACUAGGUCGGUAAAUCUGGUUCGUUUCUCAUGGUAUUCCUUCCUGGCCAUCCACCUAUCCCAAAUGAGAUUCACAUCGUCCCCCGGAUCUUGGGCAUGGAUAUCUUCCGCCCCUGUCACUAAGAUAAAUUUACUGAAUACGCACCGCGUGAACAGGUGAUCCGCUGAUUCCUCUUCCGACCAGCAGAGCACACAGGUAGUAUCAUCUAGCCCCCUUCGCUUGUUGAGUCUAUCACGUGUCAGAAUCCUUUUCUUAAGAACCAACCAGAUGAAAACUUUUACCUUUAACGGGAUUUUAAGACUCCAGAUGUGGUUAGCACGCGCAUCUCUCGUCCCUCCAUCCAUCAAUGCCGAAUAGGUCGAUUUGACCGUAAACUGUCCAUCAAUACUCCAACGCCAAAGUAACCUGUCCGGUCUCUGCGCGACGGUGAAACUGGAGACCUUAUCAACGAGUUCCGAGAGUCUCGGUAUUUGCCCAUGCACUUGACCCACCCCGUUUUCGAGGAUCUUAGUCCAGUUCCAAAUACCCAUCGUAAGGCAGUCCUUUACACUAUAACUUUUCCCCCCGGACAAAAGGUAAGCUUCCGGAAACGAAGGUUCAACGUUUUCUCCCCAUACCACCAAUCCUGCCAAAAAUCAAUAGUACUCCCGUCUCCUAGUGCAUACGCCGCUCCCCACUUAGAAAUGGUGGUGACGCUGAGAAUACCCUUCCACCAGUUAGAGAAAGGUCGAAAAGAUCGACCUUCCCUCAUCGGUUUUCUUCUACGGUAGUACAAUUCUUGGAUUAGCUUAUUCCACUGAAGUUCGAGUGCUAUGUGGAAUUUCCACCACCAUUUGGUCAGGAGAGCUUGAUUCAUGAACGCUACAUCUAAGAUUCCUAGACCGCCUUCCUUUUUGGGCUUGCAAACAUUUUUCCAAGCCACCAGACACCCCAUGCCAACGCGGUGGCGACUGCCACUCCAGAAAAAGUCUCUUCUUAGUGCUUCGAUUUGUUUAAUCGCCCAAGCGGGGGCCUUGAACAUCGAUAGGAAAUACAGCGGUACGCUGGUAAGUACCGUAUUAACCAGAAUAAGUCUGCCUCCCCUAGAAAGGAGUUUGGCCUGCCAACCCUCUAUCCUAUGCUGAAGCUUCUAUAUGAUCUCCCUCCAUGCCUCGUUGGAUGGUGAUCUUGGCGAUAGAGGUAAGCCCAAAUAUUUUGACGGGAGAUUACCCACUCUACACUCGAGAAUGUUAGCUAAUCGAGCACCUUUACCGUCCUCCUGCCCCAGAUAGUAAAGCUCCGACUUCUCCCUAUUGAUUUUCAUUCCCGAUGCCCAUUCAAAAAGACGCCAUAAGAACCUAAGAUUUCUCAAGUGCCUGUUUCUAGCCUCACAGAAGAAGAAGGUGUCGUCCGCAAACUGAGUGAGAGUGACCUGCUUGUCCCAAUCGGACCGAUGCCUUUGAAGAGGUUAUUAGAGGUCGCCUCAUUGGUCAAACGAGCCAGACAUUCCGCCACCAAUAAGAAUAGAAAAGGCGAGAGCGGAUCCCCCUGCCUUACACCUCUCUUCGUCUUUAUCAAUUUGGUCGGUUCUCCAUUCACCAGAAUCGCCACUUUCGCGUUGCACACGCAAGCGUCGAUCCAACCGCACCACUUAUCAUUGAAGCCCCACGAACGUAAAAUUUGGAAGAGGAAUGGCCAAGAAAUCCUAUCGUAGGCCUUUUCAAAAUCCACCUUUAUCCCCACUCCAUCGACGACUUUCUUACUCCCCCAGCCAAUAAGUUCGGAAACGGAAGCGAACGUGUCGGCAAUGUUCCUACCUUUCAGGAAGGUUGACUGUGAUGGGGAUAUCAAAUGCUUCAUAACGCGUCCUAGCCUAUUGGCUAGGACUUUAGACAGGAUUUUUUGGAUCCCAUUCAACAAGCAUAUAGGUCGAAAGUCAUUUGCCCGCAUCGUCCCCUCCUUCUUAGGAAUAAGGCAAAUGAAGGUGUAGUUGAUGGCGGCCGUGGAGAGCCUCCCCUCAUACAUCUCUAGGAAUACACUCAAAAUGUCCUCCUUAACAGUGUCGCAAAACGUUUUGGUAGAACUUUAAUGGGAAACCGUCCGGUCUCGGCGCCUUGUCGCUCCCCAGUUGGAAAACAGCUUGUUUAAUUUCUUCUAAGUUGAAGGGUUCGGUUAACCUCGAAAGGUUGAGGUCCACCACACGGUUGGACCGAAAAAGCCGCUUCCAGUCCCCAAAGGAAGUAGGGUUCGACGCCUCGGGCGAGAAAAGUGACUUGAAGGAAUAGUAAAAAUAGUUCUGUUUAUCCUCUUCGGAUUGGUAGCUAAUAUCAUUUCGACGAUCGUGCCGAUCCAGUUGGCUCUACGUCUGGCAUUCACUACUGAAUAGAAGAACUUAGUGUUACCAUCCCCCUCUCUCAGCUAGUGUUGUUUGGACCGGAUUUUCCAAAGGGAGGCUUUAUCACUUAAAAUUGUUCUCAAGUUUGCCUUUAAGUCCGCCCUCUUAGGACUUAAUUCGUGCGAAAUGUCGCUCGCUUCUUCUGCUUUAUCAAUGCUCUGUAUUUCCUCCAUAAGAAGAUUCUUCUCCCUUCUAAUACUGUAGAACUCAUUAGUGCACCACUCCUUCAUCCUAAUACGGCAAUGUCUCAACUUCGCAGUGAAAUUCAAGAUCGCCGAAUUAUUCUGAGUCCCCCGAGAAACCUCCCUCCACCAGCCCGGGAGUUUAGCGAUGAAAUCGUCAUGAUUCAACCAAGCUUGCUCAAAUCGAAAGGUCUGUUCUUUAUCCUAACGCCUUUCUCCGCAGUUAGUAAGAUAGGGCAAUGAUCGAAAGUAAUUCUAGGUAACGCUUCUACUCUAGUGAGUGGAAAUUCCUGAUCCCAAUCGGUUGAAACAAGGAAACGAUCCAGUCUCACAAACAUCGGGAUAGCUUGCAGGUUAGACCACAUGUAAGUUUGGUUGGACAUUGGCAAAUCAAGCAAGGCGAGCUCCUUGAUCAGAUCAUUGAACAGAGCUGUGGCUUUGAUGCUCCAACGCUUACCUCUCCUUUCGUCUUGCCCCCUAGUGCAGUUGAAAUCGCCGCAGAUGAUCCACUUAUCCACACAAUAAUCCUUUAGCUGGGCCAAUUCGGCGAAGAAUUCUUCCUUGCCAUCCCACGAGGCCGGUCCAUAGAUGUUGGCGAGGAAGAACUUAGUCCCACACGUGAUGGAGUAAAGGAGAGUCGUAAUGGAGUUAGUCUUGACAAUGACUUCCGAACAAGUGAAGAAACGGUCACUCCACCCCUUGAUAAUUCCUCCUGAAGCACCGACGGCCUCAAGAAAUACACAUUUGUUUAGAAAGGGACCCCCGAUACUACUAAGAAAAAACCUAGAUACAUGAUUGACUUUCGACUCCUAAAGACACACCACCGCGUUACGCAGUUUCGACACUACGGCCCUAACGGCACAUCGCUUAGAGGGAUCAUUAAGCCCUCUAACAUUCCAACUACAAAUGCGAAACAUAAAAAACCGACAGACUCUCACCAACAAAACCCAAAACAGAGUCUACAGUAUCACUACACUCCCUGCCUACUUGCACUCACUAAGAAACGCAGAGAAGUUCUUAGCCUCACUCUCAUCUAAAUCCACCCCGCAUAGGCGGCUUGUGUAGGUGAUCUUCGCUAUUGAGGCUGAGCUCCCGGUCGCUUGCUCGCCUUCGCGCAGACGGAUCUUCCUUAACAUAGCCUUUGACAGCAUCGUUCUCUUAGCUGCCGCCACGAGCGUGUUAACACUGUUAGAAGUUCAUUAUUUAGGAGUUCCCAAACCAAAACAGCACUUCAACAAGGAGAGAAAAAACUAAAGAUAUGUCUAUAUUUAUGCAUUUGAAAGGCAUUCCCUUAGUGAGAGCUAAAUAGACGAAUUGUUCAUUUCUGCUUCCAUAAGCAGGAUUCUGAUUUGGUUGUCCGAUUCCACAAAGAUGUAGAAUGCUGAUCCCAAGCAGUAUGUCAUAUCAAUUUGUAGUAUAAUAUUAAAAUAUUUAAAACAGAAUUUCUAGUGCGGCCCAGGAGUUUUUUUUGUUAUUCGUUAGGCUUAACUGCUCUUUACCAUUCAAAAGUUCUCAAAACAAGCAUCCUAUAUUUUUGAUUCACUAUUCUAAUUGCCUGAAAUGGUAUAUAGCACUUUUGUAGAAGGUGACAUUCUAUUUGACUUGGUGAGAGAACAAUAGUAUUGAGAUCUGUAAGUCUUAUUGAAGCAUAAUAGACCGUACAUAGAAUGCACGUGUACUAUUUAACUAAUGGCAGAAACUAUCAUAUUUUUUCGUUAAGUGGAUGAGAAUUUUAAAACGAACAUCUGCACCCUACACUUGUUUUUCAUAUCCUCAAUAACGUUGUCAGCUCUGUAUUUUCUCUGGCAUGCUAUGAUCGACGCAUCAGCUGGUUUAACUGCUAAUCAUUCUAAGUCCUAUUUUGUAAACGCUAUGCUGCAUAAUGCAAUUAAUUGAUCCGUCCCUUCUUUUAAUAAUGUAGGGUUUGGCCGUUAUACUAGUUCAAGCCCGUUUAUAACAACUGGUUUGGCGACUCUCGACUUCAUUCAGGUAAAUUGGUAGUGUCCUUAGUACUUUCCAAAAGUAAUGAAUCAACUAGUUUUCAUUCAAGUUGGUUAUUGCAGUAGCUAGUCCUGGUAUUGCAAGCAACUCAAGUCAACUUCGAAUCAAAUCAAAUUGGCCUUUAAUCUUAAUGCUAGAUGGGGUGAUCUCAAAUAUAGACCAGUGACUUGUUUGUUCUUUUGAUUUGUUUGUAGAGAUUUCUUGUUGUCUAUUUUAAAUGAUAAAGCCACCCUUACAUUGUGUAUGUGAGAUCCGAGUCAUGUUUACGUUGUCACUAAAUAAAUUCUAGUUUGCGUUCUUUCUUUAAUCCUCUUUAAUUCUAAUAUCAGAGAUUCUAAUUUGCUUGGAAGAACAAGCCCGCAAGCUCUUCUUCCUCACUAGAUCAACCACAUGAGCCCAAUUUUAUAGCUAACAUUUCAGGUAAGGGAAUUGGAUGGAAAAAACUAUUGAAAGAACCAAUAGAAAGCAGAAUUUCAGCUUACACCUCCGAAUUCGCUCUAAUUCAAUCAUAUUAACUUGGAAGUUCCACCUGGUAAUAGGUUCAAGAUAAGCUCCAGCACUCCCUUCUCCUCCAGUAGACCUUCAAUUUCGCAAUUGAAGUCCCAAUUGGACUCAACUAGAUCUCUCCACAGGAUUGCUGCUGGUGCUUGCCAGGUUGCUGCUGCCAAGCUGCACCAUGUUGGCAGCAGCUGCUACUAUUGCUGAGAAGCUGAGUUGCUGCUGCAAGUGGCCAACCUAGUGCUGUGGUUCAAGUUGCUGGUGCUGACUGAGAGGAGGAAUGAUAGAAAAUGAGCUGUUGCUAGCUGCCCUUGCUGCUGCAAUCUGCCAGCCUGCUAAUGCUGCUGCUAGCUGGUUCUAUCGGCUGCUGCAGGUGGUGAAGUUGCCACCUGCUGCAGUGGGGGCUGAUGCUGGUGUAGCUUGCAGCAAUACUUGCUAGCUGUGCCACCCUGCUGUUUUACCACUCCUGCGCAGCACCUGAGGCUACUGGAGAAGGUUGGUUGCUGCCACUGCUUGUUGACAGCCAGCAGAGAGAAAUCAGCAGGGAGAGAAAAGAAAGAGGAAAGGAAAUGGAAUAGGAAAAUGAGAGGAAGGAGAAGAAGAGAAGGAGAGGAAAAAAGAGAGUUUCAGUUGGAUUGAUACUACAUGCCAAAAUGCUCAUUUAAUUAGAGGUGGUUGAGGGUUAAGUUGCAGCUUUGGCAUCACAUUAGUCCACUAUCAUAUUCCCACGAGAAAAAAUUCACAUUUCGGAUUUGUUUGUGACAUCAAUUUUGCAUCAAAACAAUUCUAGGUUGUCCCGACACUUUAUAAAAGUAUCGAUAAGUCACCAUAAUUGUAAUCAUUCAGGCAAAUAAAUUUUUCGGAACUCUAUAGGAAAGUACGUGUAUGAUAAUUAUAUAAAUUUGUAGAAUUUUCAGUAGUAGUGAUUUAUGGUUUUUGGGCUACAUCACAUGUAAAAAAAUGACUUAGGCUGAUGACUGGAAUGUAUUGGUGCAUAAAUUGUACAUAUGAAGUUUCCUUCGGUAACUUAAGAUGUUGUUUUAAAUUUUAGAUAAUUCUACAAUGUAGAAAUUUUCUUAUCUAUUUAUUUUUGAAUUAUACAAAUAUUUGCUAAAUGUUCAACUGAAAGGAUAGUACUGGAUUUAUUUGUUGAAACAUUGGUACUUUGAAUUGCAGCUUCCCACGUGAAACAACUUAGUUGUACCACUAGUUUUGUCUACUCAAAUGUAUAAGUUACUGUAACGAUCGGACCCGCUAACAAUAAUAACUCAUUGGAUCAAACCACUAGCCCAAAAUAUUUAAACUUAGUUAUUUUUUUGAUUAAACAGGGAUAUACCCUAUUUGAUAAAGGGAGUACAUACUAAGACAGCGAAGCUAGCUCGGCUUUCCCCAAGAAGGCCCCUUGAGCUGACUUCAGUUAGUACAUCUAAACCACUAAUUAACUAGGUAAAAGAAACAAAAGGAAUCUCACUUAGGACCCCAAAAUGGAUUCCCAGAGCUUUAAGACGGAAACAACAAUCGUUCCCAAUUGUUCGUACAUAGAGUGGUGGUUGCUGAAGAUCCGUGAAUUCCGCUGUUUCCAAAGUUCCCAACAAGCCCCAACAAAGCAUCGGUCGAAAAGUGCUUGCUGCUGCCGCCAAUGACUCUCUGCCGCGCGUCCAUCUGGUCGAGACAUCCCCAACUAGGUUGACCAAUAAUUCAGCAGCGAGCAGGGUGUUAGAAAGGAGCAGAUUCCACAGGGACCUCGCAUAAUUGCAUCCAAAGAGAAGAUGAUCCAGAUUUUCUUCAUUGGCGGAGCAUAACACGCAUAUGGACGGUCCUUGCCAGCCUCGUUUCUCUAGAGAAUCAGCUGUCAAAAUCCUAUUCCUCGCUGCCAACCACAUAAAGACUUUGAUCCUGUAUGGCACCUUGAGUUUCCAAAGUUGAGGUAGUUUGCAGUCGCUGACUCCGCUGAAUGUAACGAAGUCAUAUGCGCUCCGUGUCCGGAAACGUCCAGUUGAGUUCCAUCUCCAAACAACAGUGUCUUUUGUAUCGACGUUUAAAUUAGUGUUGGAAAUUAAUACCUCCAAAUCGCGGAGCUCUUCUUGUAUUGCGGUGUUGAAAGGCGGCCUGAAUCCCAAUGUUGUGUGUGCGGCAAAGCGGCGAAACCAACUUUUGACCGAAACGUGCUUAUGUGUCGGUAGAGCAUGUAGUUUUGGAAACUGCUUUUGCAGAGGAAGUUCGCCACACCAUCUAGAAUUCCAGAAGGAUGUUAUCAUUCCAUUGCCCAGAGUAAGGUUGACCGAAGUAGAGAACGGGGCUGCAGUACUAAGAAUCGCCUUCCAAAUGGGGUAGCAAUGCGCCGGUUUAAUGCGAUCAAGCCGAGGUGGUCUAUACUUGUAAUGUUUAAUAUUAGGAUCUAUAGUCUCUUAUAUUUUUAAUCCCAACCUUUUUUCCAUCUGAUGUUGGGCUAUUGGGGUGUAGGCAGACUCCCUCUAUUUAAAUUCUAAUGUUCUCAUCAGCCAAUCACACACAUAGCUGAAGAUCACCGGGUGAUGUAAGGCCUACAUGACAUUUCCAACUAGGAACAGGCUCUGAUACCAAAUACAACGACCUGACCAACUGGUAAUAAUAACUCGUUGUGCCCAAACUGCUAGCCUAAAUGUUUAAACUCAGUUAUUGUUACUAUGGUUUAUGAUCCCUUAUAUGUCUAAUCACAAUUCGAUUUUCAUCCCAUGUGAGACUACUGAAGUGCUACAGUUAUAUUUAGUACUGCAAAACGAACAUGCUAUAGUAUUCUUACUAUUCUAAUUUGAGCCAUGUAACAGUAACAAGCUACUUUUAUUUAUUGAGAUAUCUAAAGGAUAUAUUGAAUCUUCAGCUACACACAUUUGCGCUACGGAUGCCGAACCCUUUUUACAAUUAUCCACUAUCUCUGUGAAAUUGAAAAUAUGAUGGAAAAGGAUAAAUCAAAUUAAACAUUAUAUGUGAUGCGGCUAUCAAAUAUUUCUACGUAUGUAGAUUGAUACAUUAAUUUGCAUUUUGUUUAAUUUAAAAUACAUUUUGACUUACUGCAACGUUAUCUUUCCUAUGACCAUUACUCUGGUAUUAAUUAUUUCUGUAUCCAUUUUUUGUCAUUUGUAUUUGAUUCAUUUGCAUACAAUUGCUUAAAAUUUUCGUUUAUUUUUUAAAUUAUUUAUGCGUUUGUUAAACGUGCACAUGUACAGCAUAGGCACGUUUACUAGUAAUUAUGCAUAUGUUUAGUUGGAUGUAGUAGAUAGUGUUACUAUUGUUAUAAAUAAUUUGUUUAGUUAUAUGCUGUUGAGAGCCGUAUUUACUAACUUUAUUACUUCAUUCAUAUGAUGAUGAGAAUAGUCUGAACGGUGAAAAAGAAUAUAUUUUUUUUAAAUAAAUAUUGAGAAGUUUCAACCUAGUGGCAGAAAGCUUAAUGUAGAAUUUCGGUUAAAUGUUUACGAUCCAUGAGCACCUACUCCAACACCGUGUACGGCGUCGAAGCGCAACUUCAUCCCUUACCAAGAGGAAAUCAAGAUCGAGCUUAAGGUGGGAACUCGCAACCUCCGAGCUCUUCAAGCUCUGGCAAAAUGAGCACGUCCUUACUCAACAAGGGAAGUGACUUUCCUGUAAAGUAUAAUAGGAUAUCUAUUAAAAUAUCCAUCAGAGGGAGUUCAAAUUGCCAUGUCACAAAGAAAAAACAAACAAACAAUAAAAAAAACAUCUCUCUCUUUCGUACGAUAUUUUUUGUUCUAACAAUUAUAACAUAACAUAAGGGAAAUGGAGAGAGAGAGAAGAGAGACUAGGUGAAGGCGGAGUGAAGAGGGAUGUCAGGAGCAGUUAAGGAGGGCCUUUUGCCGAGACGAUGAUAGAGUAGGGAAGAAGAAGAAGACGCUGAAGAGACUAGCUUGGGCGGACGAGGUAGGUGGAGAGUUAUUGAAGGUCCACAGAGACCAUGAUGACGACGAGGCGACCUUACCUGCUUCCGGCAAAGGCUCCCCCCGAGAGAAAAAGGUGGAGUUUAAUGAUGAACACCAUUCAGGUUUGCUUCGGGCUUCGUUAAAAGGCUCAAGGAGUAGGAGGUGGACCAGGGUGGAAGGUAGUGUCAUUAACUACCCCAAGCUUGUAACAGGGUCCUAUAAGGAUGCGUUGAUGAGGAGGCCGAGAAACCAUCCAUCUGCAUACACUUCCCAACCAUCUCAUAAACCUUCUUCUAAUAGCCGUAGGGGUUAUCCUGCGUGUAGACAAGGGAAGAGGUGUUUCCGGUGUCUUGCGAGCGACCACAGAGUCUCGGAGUGCCGCGACCCUGUACGGUGCUUCAGGUGCUGGAAAACUGGGCACCGAGCCUACAGUUAUGGGGGAAAAACGGUGAGAAGAGACGUUGAGAUGAACAGGGAGGUUCACCGUAGAGAGCGUGCCCCCUACCAAAGGUGUACGUUCCGUACAUUGAGGAAUACUUGCAGAGAGUUGAAAUGCGACGUAAUGCCAUCCUCGCGAACGUAAUUCAGCAAGCUAACCUCAGACCGAAUCCAAUUACCAUCAUCAAGAGUGCCCUGGCUAGUCGCUUCGGGGGGUAUACUGAAGAUUUUUGUAGUACACUGAACUUUGGCAAAUUACGAAGUUCGAGUGUGGGAAUAGCAAUUGGAGCUAUCCUACAUCUUUCUAAGGGUUGUCGAGAGGUUCGGCAAGUUAUUGGAGUGAGCAAUAGGCCGGAAGAGCAAAAGUGCAUUGCAAAAUGCGAAAAUAUGUAUUUUGGCACUAUGUACCGGUGACAACAUGAUGGGGUACCGAUACCAGCACUGCAGCUGCGUGGCAGCAAUGCUGUUUUGGUCAUUUUACUUUCUAAGCUUGUUCUUAUUAGCUUAGCUCGACCCCUGAGCUUGUCCUUAUCAUAUUGGAGCUCUGGAAAACAGGGGUGAGUUUCUCUCUCUCUUUCUCUCUCUAGAUUUUCCCUUUUGAGAUGGAAAACUAGUGUUUUAAGCUUGGUUCUUCCUUUUCUCUUGAUGCUAGCUGAAGUGGAAGGCUUUGAACCUAUAUUUUGCUGUUGGAGAGGGAUGUUUUGGGAGGUGUUUCGCAGCCCUGGCUCAGCAAGAAGUUGAGUAAAAACUUGGUAAGGUGAAGGAUUCAACUUCUUUUUAGAUUAAUGCUAUAGUAGUGAAGUUGAACUUGUUUUGGUUUCUUUGUCCCAGCUGGUUUUGGGAGGGCUUAAAACAGCAAUAGAAGUGAUGUUUUGUUGUUAUUCUUCAACUCUAAUCCAGGGAAAACUGAAUUGAAGUUUUGGGAAGGUAAAUUAGCAACUCUCUUCUCUAGUUUCAUGUAGUAGUGGUUAUAGUAAUGGAUUGUGAGCUUGUUUUUGCUCUAUGAUGCCAGCUGGUUGGAGGAGCUUGGUAGCAGCUGAAGAGAAGGUGUUUUGGCUGUGAUUCUUUAAUCUUAACUCAGUAGAACCUGAGUUGGAUCCUUGGAAGGUGAGUUAGCUACUAUUUCACUAGAUUUAAUGUUGAAAUAGAUGUUUUAGUAAAGUUCUUUGUGAACUCGCAGCAGGCUGGUGUGAACCACUUUGGCUGAGUAUUAGUGAUCUUUGUAGAUCGAUUUUGGUGUGCUUCAACCUGAGUUGGAGCUGCGCAAGGUAGGUAACCUAUCUUCUUUCAAUUUGGAUAUGUUGGUAGUAGUAUUGAUGGAUUUUAAAGUGUAUGUUCACAGCAGGUUACAGCGGGGUAUUGGAUUCCUGUUGGCUGAGUUUCUGUGACUCUUAAAGGUUGGAUUGGGUGUAUUCCAACCUGAAUUGAAGUGAACUUCAAGUGGGGAUUCUAUUCUAGGUGAAAUUCUUACCUAAACUAAGUGAUUAUGUGAAGGUUACAUGUGGAAGCUUGGUUAAGCUCCUAGCUAAUUUUAGAAUGUUUAUCAGGGUACUUGGAAGCUUCGGAUUAUCUUCAUUUGCGGGAUCGACGAGAGUCGAUAGUAAUUAGAUGGGUUUGACCUUACCGAAAUGGGUGAAUUCCCUCUAUGUCUUCUUUGACGUUAUAGGACUGGAAUUGUUGCAUCUUCAUGUGAAUACAUGUUUAUUUGAAUGAAUCGGGGCAGCACCAAUAUGUAUAUCAUAUCGGACAUAAUAGAACCUCUAUGUAGUAGAGGUAGGAUUAUGAAAUUGAUUAUUUGACAUAAAUCACUUGCUCGAUUACCAUGUAUUUAAGAUGCAUAUCAAUUUGUGUAGACAAGUUAAACAGGACAUCAUUCAAUAAGGAAUAGCUAUAAAGCCAUGAAUGAUGUAUUGUGAUGAAGCAUCUUUGAGUUAAACCAUGCAACUCUAUGUCAUAGACAUAACAUUAGAACUCUUAGUAUAUCAUGUAUAGUGAGGUUAUUUACACCUUUAUAUGGAAUCAUGUAAAGAGUAUGAUAGAUGAUGUUUCGCAUGCUUGUGUUGGUAAGUGGUUAUUGUUUUCAUUUGAUAGAACUAACAUGAACUUCUUGCUUGUUAUGAUAUAGUAAGUAAACUAGAAUUGGGCAUUAUAAUAUAACAUGAAUGUUAUACUAUUAAAAAUGAUCUAGUUAAAUAACUAGAACUGGACAUGAGGAUAUACUUGUGUAGUCAAGUAGAAGUACUUGCCUAAUAUUUGCUUACUCCAAGUAGUGGAGGUUUAUGUAGAACCAUAGAAUAUGUAAACCACUUUUCUUAUGUAUAGGGAGUAGUGAGAGGACUCUAUGUGAGUGUGCGGGUAUAGCCCAUUAGAAACAUCCAUAUGAUGUAAAGCAUAUACUUGUUUAAGUCAUACUAUCUAUUGGUAGAAUUAUGUCAACAAAUAGUUGAGAGUGGAUUAUGACGUAGUGUUACUGUGUCGACCUUGUGUCGAGUUGAGAUUCCAUGUUAGAGACAUGAUGAACUUGUGACACCUAUGCUAUAGAUUAUGUUUUCUUGCCAUUGUGCUCAUUCGCACAUGCUUGUGAGGGUCGCGCCCCACAAGCCGGCACUCCGGAGUUAGCCUAGCGACAGAUUGCUCGCUUUUAUACGAGAUUGAGCGCCGAAGUGGAUUGCUGUGGGUAGUGUUGACUUCCACAGGGCCAUUAGGCACGGCACGGGCUGGAACUUUACUAUGUGUAAGUCUCUUGUUAAUUGGGUUAAUAUAAGUGACUUUAACCUUAGAUGGACAUAGUAGUAAAGAUACUUUAUGUCAUUAGUUGAAUAUACCUAGUAGUGAACAUAUUAGGAGGUUGACAUUCCUGAUAGUCAGUAGUAUAGUGACAGUACCUGAAUGUUUACACUCUUACUAGUGUAGGAAAUAGCUACAUGAUGGCAUUAACUAGUAAAUAAUGAUGAAAUCCUGCAUACAGCCUGACAUAUAGCUAAUUUAAUUGUUAAUUAGCAUGACUUAUAAAACUGGUUAUGAUAAAUUAGUAUAUAAGACAUGUUAGAAAACAUGUCUUUUGAGGCAUGUUAUGGUUGAACUACUUUGUUUACUUAUUGCUUUUACUUUGCUUAUUUAUUGUUGUUUAUUCAUGCCUCAGUUGACCUAGUGGUGUACUUCGCCACUCUCAGCGGCUUACCCACUGGGAACUAUUGUUUAAUAGUUCUCACGCCCUUUUGUUGGUUGUUUUAUGCAGAGCCUUCCACAGCGGGAAAGGCUGGGGUUCCUGGCGAGGGGUCAGCGGCUAGCUAGAGCCUUUUUGAUGUUAAAUAGACGAACCUCUACCAAUUUAUGCAAUUUAGUUCAGUGUUGUGUACUGGGAUUAUGUAGAUAGUACCUUGUUCUUAUCAGUUGUAAUUAGCUUAUGGGUUGUGUAAGUUAUAAACUUUUAAGUUUUGCUCUGAUUACCUGAUUAAGUUAGUAGACUUUUACUAUGAUGAUUGUAGAUGCCUGGUGUACUUGUGAGUUUGUGAUGUACACGACGGGUCUGUGCACGCGACUGAUGAGCUUCCGCUAAAGUCCAGGGCGUGACAAUUUUGUAGUCGCACAAUGCAGGGAGGGAGACUUUGCAAUCUUUCUGCCGGAAUGGAUCCCGACUACGGUCCUGGCUAGAAGGGAAGUACUCACCCUCAAUAGCUUUUGGUUAAGGUGCUUCCCCUGGGGCUAGUAUCGUAACAUUUGCCCACACCAUGUCCGAUUUCGAGCUUGGAUUCGACUGAUAAACCUCCUAUUUGAGAUUUGGUCUGUGGCACGUGUGGCGGCACUAGUUAGUGGAUUUGGGCGAUUCAUCAAGGCGAACGGAGUGACCAAGGCGAUGACGGAUUUUUGAGUCUUUCGGUGUCAAAUCGGCCUCGACUCGCUUGGUGCUAUCCCCCAGAAUCUGUCGGUCAUUAUCAGUGACGAACUGUUCUCGGUUAUCGUCCAUUUGGAGAGUUGGGAACGGUUGGAGAACGCGGGAGAUCCGGCACCCCUCGCCCCCACAGAAAGGACACGAAGACGUUGGCGCGCCGGUCGGAGAUCGGCGCCAAAGACAACCUGACAACGAAGGACACGACCAUGCGCACGAGGAGAUAGAGGACGAGGCGGGAGAGCUGGAGGAAGUUGAGCCAACUCCGUCGACUCACAGGGGGUGGAGGGGCUUGACGGCAUUAAGACUCCCCAUGGUAGCCAAUCAGGUUACAGCGGCGGCGAGGGUCCGGGCGGCGUACGGACGGAGGGCCUGGGUAGCAACGGGUCGAUGAGUCGAAGCGGCGUGGGGAUUGAGACCAUGGGCGCACCUGAACCGAGGCAAGCUGAGAGAAGCGGGUCCUCCGAGAGUUGCACGAAGUUGGAUUAUUGGUCGAGUGGGUGUAGGGAGAAAGGCAUUACUGCUGCUUCCUUAGCAAGGCCUUUUUCUCUCCACAACUCACUGACAAGGGGCUUACCUCGGGAGAAGAUCUUUUCAACCUUAGUGGUUGAGGGGUCCACUGACUUUAUUGCUAUGGCGGUCUCUGCCAUGGGUUUGUGCAGUGCCGAGGCUAAGUAUGAGAAAGAGGGGAUUAGUGCACGACAACCGAGAAUGAUGAGGAGUUCGAUGAAUUAUGUUCUAAUGAAAGAUGGGUUGUGGAAGAUGAGUUCGAAGCUUCCCCCUUCACCUUUGCUUUUUAGCUCUAUGACAGAGAAGAUGUCUAAAGAGAGGGUGCCUUCCACCUUCGAUACCUCGAGAUUUGAGCCUUUGGUUGACUUUAGCCAGUCCUUGGGAACCAACCUAUUACAGCCAUAUGGGAUUACACGGUCACUGUUGUUGACUCAGGGGGUUCUUGUGCUACCCUGGGGAUUCGGAGACUUCUUGUGGCGCGUGGGCCGGCUUGCGAUGGUAAAGGAGUGUUGGGCCCUGCCUCAUUUUCUGAACUCGAUCUCGUGCUCUGUGGUGUUUCAACAUAGGGACCGCGGGCUGGGCCUCUAGUUAACCUCCUUUGGAGUGGGCAGUACAGCCCAGUUUGUAAAGGCCUGGAAGCGUAUAGAAGACAGUGAAAGUAUGGAAGGAGCAGAUCACCAGAUCUAUGGGCGGGCUUUGGAGCUCUUUAAUGGGUGUAAGCAGCUUUCUGACUCAAUUUUUGAAUUGGGAGUGGUGGAUGGAGGCAACAUAGAGCUGUCUCCCCCAACGAUGGAUUCGGUUGAGACGGGGGCAUCACCGAAUCACUACUUGUCCCGUACCUGCCAGAGUAGCCCCAGUCAUUCCAUCCGCCGCUACAGCGAGCGUCUUGGCAGUGCUGACAAGAGUUCAAUACUACACAAAGCAAUAUCGAGGAAGGCUAGAUAGCGCGAAGGUGAGGGUAGCAAUGUGGUCGACCAUAUUGUUAGGAAGAUCAUACGUAAGAGCCGGUCCUUCGGGGUGAAUCUGGGAGUUGCGGAGGCGGAAAGUUUCGUCGAGUUUGCGGCCUACUGCGCAUAGGGUGGGAUGGUUUUCUGGUUUGGAGUAUGUCUUUUUGGAUUUUUUUGGGUUUGGGUGUCUUUGUGCUUUUGUCGAUGUUUCGUGUCUGUAGCUGGAACGUUAGAGGGCUCAACGACCAUCUAAACGUAAUGCCGUUAGGGCGGUAGUCUCUAAGUUAUGUAAUGUGGUAGUGUGUCUUCAGGAAUCUAAAGUUAGUCAUGUAUCGGGGUCCCUUUUUGCGGAGCUUUGGUGGUUCAUUCGUCGACAAAUGUGUUUUUGUGGAAUCUAAUGGUGCGUCUGGGGGCUUAAUCACUUGCUGGAGUUUCCGUGUCUUCAUUUGCCACGAAGUGAUUAUGCGAAGAUUUUCCAUUACGGUACUGCUGACUCACGUCAUGUCUAAAGCAAAGUUCUAUGUUACGUGUAUGGACUGUCUAUGUGGGAAGGUAAGAAGGAGUUCUAUUCAGAGGUGGUGCAAUUGAAAGAGUGCUGCAUAGGUAAAUGGAUUGUUUGUGGAGACUUUAAUAGUACUAGAGGACAAGAGGAGCAGAGGGGGAAAACCUGGAGCUCGAAAGCAACUCUUUUGUUCAACGAUCUUAUUAAGGGGCUAGCACUGAUUGAUCUACCUAUGGUUAACCAAUCUUUCACGUGGUCUAACAUGUAGAAGAGUCCGACUUUAGCUAGACUUGACCGCUUCUAGUCUCGACGGAAUGGGAUAUGGACUUCCCUUUGACCAAGGUUGAAGCCCUGCCUAGAGUAACGUCGGACCACUGCCCUAUUCUGUUAACUGCCAAGCGAUCCGAUAUGCUGAAGAAAAAUAAGCUCUUUCGUUUUGAAAAAGCCUGGCUGAAUCAUGGGGACUUUGUAUCCAAACUCCCGGGCUGGUGGAGGGAGGGUAAUCAGAAAAAGUCGGCGAUACUAACUUUUGUAGAGAAGCUUAGACACUGCAGAACGAGAAUUAAAGAGUGGUGUGCGAAUGAAUUCUACAGUAUCCGUGGACUUAGAUCUAAACUUAUGGGAGAAAUCCAGGAAAUCAAUAUAUUUGAAGAACAGCUAGAACUUACACAAGAUCUAUAUUUGAAGAGGGAGGAGCUUAAAGAAAAACUACGGAGGGUUUUAAAUGACGAAACGGCCUUGUGGAGAACACGAGCCAAACAGCAUUGGCUGCAGGAGGGGGACGGCAAUACAAAAUUUUUUCAUUCCAUAGCUAACGGCAGGAAAAGAGCUAAUGGAAUUGGCAUGAUUAACGACGAUGGAGGUGUGUUCCAAACAGACGACGAAAAAAAGAAUUACUUUUAUCUCAAAUUUAAGGAGCUUUUAACUCUAGAAGUGAGGACCACGACAUCCUUCAGGGAUUAGUGCGGCCUCUUCACUACGAACCGGGUAUCUAAAUUCAAUAUUGCUCGCCUGACCGAACCCUUUAGCACCACUGAAAUUAAGAAAGCGGUCUUCCAACUCGGGAGUGACAAGGCGUCGAUUAUUGUCGAUUAAGAACCCUUUAGCACCGCUGAAAUUAGAAGGGGAUAUAUUGGCUCUUUUUCACGAGAUGUACGAGGGAAAGCUAUCCACUAAUCCUAUUGAUUAUUCGUUCAUCUGUUUUAUUCCCAAAAAAGAAGGGGCGGAGCGGGCGAACGAUUACCGGCCUAUAAGCUUACUAAAUGGCAUCCAAAAGAUCCUAUUGAAGGUCUUGGCUAACCGGUUGGAACCGAUUAUGAACGACCUGAUUUUCUCUUCCUAGUCAGCAUCCUUAAAGGAGAGGAGCAUAUCCGAUGCUUUCGUCGCAGCCUCCGAAAUACUCGGAUGGAGAUGUAAGAAGGCUAUAGAGGGGGUCGGUGUGAAAGUGGAUUUCGAAAAGGCUUAUGAUCGGAUCAGUUGACCUUUUUUGUUUCGAAUUUUAGACUUGUGGGGCUUUGACACAAAAUGGAGUGAUUGGACCAAGCUCUGUGUGUGCUCUACCAAAAUAGCCGUUUUGGUUAAUAGAGAGCCUAUUAAGUGGAUCAAGACAAAAAGAGAAGUUAGGCAAGGGGACCCGCCGUCCCCUUUUUUUUCUUGCUAGUGGCAGAGUGCAUAGCCCGAAUGACUAAUGAGGCAUCUACUAACAAUCUACUCAAAGGUCUUGAUCAAUCCGAGGCGAGCAGAGUAACUAUUAUCCAGUUUGCAGACGAUACAUUUUUUUUCUGCGAGGCUAGGAAAAGGUAUAUUAGAAACCUUAAGGUCUUGUGGCAGCUGUUCGAAUGGGCCGCAGGAAUGAAGGUUAAUAAGGAGAAGUCGGAAUUGUUCUAUACUGGAAAAGUUGAAGGAAAACCGAGAAGACUUGCGGACUUACUUGAGUGCAGUGUUGGUACGCUCCCAAGUACCUUGGCCUUCCUCUCUUUAGUAGAGCUCCUUCCAAGGCGGACUGGAUGGGAGUAAUCUAGAAAAUCCAAAGUAGAAUUGACGGCUAGCAGGCUAAACUCUUUUCAAGAGGGGGUAUAAACUCAUACUAGUUAAUGCGGUCUUAACCAACCUACCUAUAUACUACCGGUCUACGUUCAAGGCGCCCAAAUGGGCGAUCAAACGUAUUAAGGCACUUCAUAGAAACUUCUUUUGGAAAGAAGGUAGCUGCUCCCCAGGCAAGGGAAGUCUAAUCGCCUGGAAAAAUGUAUGUAUAAGUAAGAAAGAAUGAGGGCUUGGCAUCUUGGACUUGGCUGUUAUGAAUCAAGCUUUACUUGUCAAAUGGUGGUGAAAAUUUCACACGGCGCCCCAGCUACAGCGGAAUAAGCUUAUUCAUGACCUAUAUUACUGCAGAAGAAGACCGUUGAACGAUGGAAGAUCUUCUAGGCCUCUUUCACAAUGGUGAAAAGGAGUUCUAAGUCUCUCGGAUAUCUUCAAAUGGGGAUUAUUCUAUUGGGAAAUGGAUGCACUAUUGAUUUUUUGUCGGAUCGAUGGUGUGGGGAGAAGGCUUUGCAGCUGGCCUUCCCGGAGGUGUACGACAUGGCGGAAUGCAAGACCGUUAAAGCUAAGGAUUGUUUGGGAAGUGAUGGCUGGAACUGGAAUGUGAUCCUAGGAGGCGAUGGCGUUGGUAGGCAGGGCUUGUGUUCUACCUGGUCAGAGUUUAAGGAUCAAAUCUCUGCCUGCACAGGAGAUCAGAGCCCUGAUAUGAUCCUUUGGCGGUGGGACCCCGGGGGGCGCUUCUCAGUUAAGUCGACGUACUCUGCGCUGAGGGAUGGAGGCACGAGGGAUGCCCGCGCAAACAAGCUUUGGAGACUUUGAAUACCUUUAAAAGUUAAGGUGUUCUCCUGGCUCGCCCUAAAAAAAGGCUACUUAUGGCCGAUAACCUACAAAAAAGAGGGUGGAGCGGUGACACGGCUUGUGUUUUGUGUGGGUCUAAAGAGGCAACCGUGGAUCACUUGUUCUCUGCUUGUGUCUUUGCUAAAUUUAUCUUUGUGAUGGCAGUGGAGGGUGUUCAGAUUUGAGAUUUGGCAGACAGCGUUCAAGGGGUAUGGGAUAGAUGGGCGGGUACGAAGAGCCCGCAUUCUACGUCUAACAGACUUACGGAACUAGCGGCUUGUUGGUGGAUCAUCUGGGAGAGCAGGAACGAUGUGAUCUUCAAAACGACUCAGCUGGACCCUCUGCGAGCAGCCCGUAAGGUUAAAAAGUUGUCGGUGGCUUGGGAACAAUCUUUGUCGGCUAAUCAGUAGUUUUUUUUUUUGUUUUUUUUUAUUUUUUUUUCGAACCCAAGCCUAGCUGCCUCACUUCUGUAGCUUAAUUCAUCUUUUCAAUGAAUGAAGCGGGUAGCAUGCUACCUUUUCCUCAAAAAAAAAAAAAAAAAAAAAAAAAGUAAUAUCCAUCAGAGGAUAUGUUGUUUAACUAAUAAGAAAUAUAUAAUUUAUUUUUAUUCUUAACUUAUUAGAAUAAAUCUCAAUCCAUAUUCUCUUUUUUAUAAAUAAUCUAUUUUGAGAUGUCAAACAAAUAACACAUCAAGCCUAGAGGAAAUUUUUUAAUAAAAAAAAUAUGGCUAAAUUACAUAAAAUUUUCCUGUCAAAAUUCAAUUUUUCACUUUCCCGGCCCUGUCAUUUAAAAACCUACACUUUGCCCCCUUGUAAAAUGAAAAAUGUUCACAGGGGGAUACGGUGUGUAAAAUGACCAUUUUGCCCCUCACCAUUUUCGUCUCCUCCCUCAUCUUCCUCAACCGCCGCCUCGAUCGGCCGCGAUUCACACCUCGACCGGCCGCGAUCUCUCCAUUUUCUUUUCCACCUGCUCCCCUUCUCCUCCUACACCCUCGCUGCCUCUCGAUUUCAGCAACAGUAGAGAGGAAAUUGAGGUCGGCGCUGAUGGAGAGGUAGGCAAGGGCAACGAGGGCGAAGGCAAGGCGGCAGAAGAGGGUGAAGGGGAUGUGGGCGAGAGUGAGGGCGAGGCAGUGGAGGAGGGCAAGGCGGCGAGGCGACGGCGAAGCGGCGAGCCGGAGGGAGGCGAAGCAACAGGGAAGAGGGUGGAGGGGUAUUGUUGGCAUAAAAAAAUAUUUUAUAACGGAACCCUAACGGAUCACUAACGAUAAGGGAUGAGUGAACAUUUUUCAUUUUACAAGGGGGCAAAGUGUAGGUUUUUAAAUAACAGAGGGGGAAAGUGAAAAAUCGGAUUUUGACCGGAAGAUUUUCUAUAAUUUAGCCAAAAAAUAUCAACAACAAUCUUCGAAGACCCUUCAUAAAACCCAAGACAUUUCUCACUUUCACCAUCAUUUAUUGAAGGUAAAAUUGUACAAAAUUUAUUUCAACUAUAAAAUAUUUUGAGUCGAUUAUUUAAUUUUUUUAAAUUUUAAUUUUACUAACCAACCUUUCAAUUUGUUUGAUUUUAAACCAGUCAAGACAAUUUCACUUCAAAAUUUAAACUAAUUGCUUACUUUAUUGAGUUCAUAAAAUGUACUAACUAAACAUGUAAAAUUAAACAACACAUUAAAAUUUUGAACUCAAAAUAUCGUUGACCGAAUCAAAUCAAAUAAAUUGAAAAAUUAAGUAGUAAAAUCAAAUUUUAAAAGAUUAAAUAUUUGACUAAAAAAUGGUACAUAGUUCGGAUAAAUUCUAUAUGUUUUUUCCUCAAUUGAAUAGCCUAUGAACUAUGCAUCACCACCAAAGUCCACAAAUCCAAUUCUCCAAUGAGGAAAUCAACAAGUGAACUUACUAUCUAUCAAAUUACAAGGAAAUAAUAAUAUGCACAAGGAUACAUGACAUAGUUCAAUAAGAAUUUAACACCCUCAAGCUAGUAAAAGAGAAUCAGAUGUACUAAACCUCCAUUUCCCCCUCUCUAAACACAACAAACUAUUAUCAUGAUCACCAUAAACUUGCUCCAAACUCUGCUGCCAAAGUGGCGAGGACCUCAUCGGCGGCGAGGACCCGACGCAGACGUCGAGCCGUGCCCUAAACCGCUCGUCCCCAGGGCGGAGCAUCGCGGGGAGCGGCAACCGCACGCCUCUCUCUUCGCAUGCGAUGUGCCUCGGCCGGAUCCGGCCAUCGAGGCCGAACGAGAAGUAGUGCGGGAACUCGCGGAGCUCCACGGGGCUCCGGCCCAUCGCGUCGAGCAAGAACCCCAGCUUCGGCCGCAGAUUACCCUCGAUGCUGUAGCACAUCAGCUGCGGGAACCGCCGCGCCAUCGCUCGCGCCUCCUUGCGAGAGAAACCGGCAGACUCCAAGAACUCGAGCCGCGGGAGGAGCUUCUCCUCUACGCUGCAGGAUAGCAGGGUUGCGUGGCGAGAGAUCGGCGAGAUACCUGUUGAGUAUGAAUGAUUAAAAUCCUGUUCUCUAAUAGUUUAAGCGUUCAAAGAAUAACUAUAUAUUAUUUCGAUUAAAUAUAAAAAAAAGCAGGAGAUCAUGAGUUAGUUACAAAUGCAAGAGGACUUCUUGUGUCAUUUAUUAAUUUCCUCUUAUUUGCCUUUAACUAUAUGCCAUUUUGAAAUAGGCCUCUAAUACAAAUAUAUUUUCCCCCUCUUUUAUUGAUAAUAUAUAUAUGAACUUACAAUUGUCUUGAUUUGAAUUGUUUUUCUGAAUAGAAUUAGAUAUAUAUAUAUAUAUAUAUAUAUAUAGUAAUUAACAACUUUCUUAGCUAAAGUAGUUACUGACUAAUGAAUUUACAGUUCUAUAAAAUUAUAAUACAUCCAAAAUAUAUAUAUAUAUAUAUAGUAAUUAACAACUUUCUUAGCUAAAGUAGUUACUGACUAAUGAAUUUACAGUUCUAUAAAAUUAUAAUACAUCCAAAACAAUUAAUUUACCAAAAAUUUUAAUUUAAUUUAAAAAUAAUAUAAAUUAAACCGUAAACUUCGUUUAGCCUCCGUGUGGUCUAGGCUGCGCACUUUCACUUCGCCAACUUCUAGUCCGAAAACUUUUUACUUUACCAUUCCGUGGUUCGAAAAGUUUUACUUUGCUACCAUGUGAUUUAUUCUUUGUUUCACUGUAAGGACCUCUCGUUAAAUAGGUAGUAAAGUGAUAGAUUUCACAACCACAAGAUCACUAAAUGUAAAUUAUUGGCUAGUUAUUAAUACUACUAUUUGCGCCCCCCUAUGGUUUGUAUAUUGUCCAUUUUACUGCCCCGUGGUUUGCACAUUAUAGUAUUUUUAGUAUCUCAGUUAAUAGCAUAUCUUUAAAAUAAAACAAAGAGAAAACCACGUCAUAAUAAAGUAAAACUUUUUAAAUCAUAAAAUGGCAAAAUAACAAAUAAUCAAGUGUUUAGGAGUGUCAAUCAGAGACAAUCGUUGAAGGAUCUAUUUUAAAACGACAGUGUUUACCGGUUUCUGUGGCUUAACAAAAACAAUAAACUUAUUUUAAUACUCUAUUUAACAGUAGGUCCUUACGAUGAAACGAAAAUGAAAUUAGAAUAGUAAAGCGCUACUUUUUUCAAACCACGUGAUGGCAAAAUAAAAAUGUAAGGGCGUUUAGAUUACUGCUACUGUGGUUCAGUUGAAAAUUAAGCUUGCUAAGAAUAAAACUAUUGAUGCCGAAGAGAUUCAUCGUCUAAUCGUAGAUUAGAUUUUGGAUCUUUCUAUGAAUCUCCUUUUCAGAGUCUACGUGAUAAGUAAUAAGACUAACAUUUUAACUCUUAAUAACUUAAAUUACAGCAAAAUCCUGACUUCAUCAAUCCAAAUGCCACUAAAACCACCAGAAGGCAAAUUGAAGUUUACCUUUAGGAUCUGUUUGUUCCCAGGUUUGUAAUAUUUGAGAAAUAUUGUAUAUUUUAUAUUUGGAAUGAUAAAAUUAUUAUUAACUUAUUAUGCUGCAUGGGGUGGAUGGUUGUUAAGAAUUAGUAUAUUCCUAUUAAUAAGCUACUAAUAAUUCCCAUGAAGCAUGAAAAUGAGAAUUUCUCCUAACUCAUAAUAAUCUAGUAUUAAUUCCUACCAUCUAAGAAUCUACAAUGGUUCCACAACAACCAUAUUUGGAUGUCGGAAUAAGUUAUUCAAGAAUUAUUUAUUCCACAUAAAGAUUUUCUAAUAUGAUUGUAAAUAAGGUGACUUUUGUUCCUUCAAACAUCAAGCUAUCCAUGAUUUGGCAGGAUAGCAUAUUUCACCUAUAAGAUUAUUUAUCUUGUGGAAAACAAUAAUUUAAAAGUAUAGUAUCCAAUUCUAAACAUUUUGAUAACACUCCCUAUCAACCAAAGGUACAAAGUUUUAAAAUAAAUUAAGGCUCUAUUUGAAUGUCGGAAUAAGUUAUGAUUGUAAUUAAGAAGUCUAAAUUUUGUUUCUGUCUUGCUAUCUAUAACUUUGUGGGAUAGCAUAUUUUAUUCACGAGAUAAUUUAUUAUAUUCUAAAAAUAAUUUGAAAGCCGAAUAUGAUACUCUAUUUUAUAUAUUUGAUCACACUCCUUAUCUACCAAAUUUAGAUAUUUCUUAAAUAAAUCAAGAAAAUAUAGAGCUAAAAAAAUAUAUCGAACAAGAUAUUCAUAUAUCCAAACAGAGCUUACGCCAUUUCCACCUUUUAUAACUACCCACAAUAAGUUGAGUAUGUAUUGAUUUGAAUAUUUUCAAGAGUCCGACUAUGGUGCUUCCGAAAGCACCCGUCGUAUGGUAUUUCUAAUUUUUUAACCCUUGGAACAACCUCUUUGAUCAUUUCUAGUUCUUGAAUUAAUAUUAUUCCUCUAGAAGAAGAGAACCAUUAUUAUCCCGACCCUACAAUUUUUAAUCCAAAGGUCAAAAAGUCGGAAGUAUCAACUCCUUCGUUUUUUCGGAAGCACAGAAGCUCUACACUAUUUUCAAGAACAAAUAUGGAGAAUCACCGGAAUAUUACAAACCACACACAAACAUGAAAUUAAGCCUUUGAGAGAAAUCGGGAAAAUCUACGCACCUAGGGUUUGGAGGAAGUAGAGUGUGGGGCGGAGCCGCCCGGGGACGGAGGAGACGAGGAGGCGCGGGCGCCGCCGGAUCACGCGGGGGAGCGCGGCGGCGGGGACGCCGGCCUCGCGGCGGAGGAACGCGGCGGCGGCGGCGAUCGUCUCCGGCGCCGCCGCGAGGAUCUCCGGGCACAUCCCGGCGCUGCGGCGGAGCUCGCCGGGCCCCAGCCCCAGCUCCACCAGCGCCGCCGCCGCCGCCCGCAUCUCCCCGAUCGGCGCGCGCGCCACCGCCGCCGCGGCGGCGCCGGAGGCGAGGUCGACGCCGAGGGAGUCGAGGAAGAGGAGCUUCUCCUCGGAGGAGGAGGAGGAGGAGGAGGAGGAGGAGAGGGGUAUUUUGGGAAGAGAGGGGUGUACUUUGGGAAUUGGGGCGAUUGGGGGAACGGGGGCGUGGAGCUUCGCCCUCGCGGCUGGGAAGCGGGGGCGAGGAGGACGACGACGAGGACUAUUUUGGGAACGGGAGGGUAAUUUGGGAAUGGGGGAGGAGGGGCAUAAUGGGAAUGACAAUAUUUCCUCCAUUGGUGAGCCACUCGUGUGUCGAUGCUACAUUGCUGCGUAGGAAAUAGAAAGAAAGGAAAAAGAUAGAUAGAGAGAGAGAGAGAGAGAUAAGGCGUUGAAGAGCAGAGACAGAGAGAGAGAGAAAUUUAUGGGUGCACUUGGUGUAUCGGUAAAUCUCGUGCACCGCACUUCAUUUGAUGAUCUAGGCUUCAUAAUUGGAAAUUACUACCUAUAUAUCUCUACAUAGACCGAGAGAGAGAGAGAGAGAGAGAGAGAGAGAGAUAGGUUUUAUACUUUCGAAAAUGUGAAAGCCUCCGUCCGUGCAUAUAAGUUAUUUUGGAUGAUGGAACAUUUGAUUCGGCGAUCAAUUUUGUUAGACAUUAUCUAUGCUAUUGAAACUAUCUAAAAACCAAAUUUUAGAAUUUUUUUAUUUCAUUUGCUUAGUGAACAAGUAGUUUAAAAAUAAACAAUUGAAAAUAAAAAUCUCAUAAAAACAAUGAUAAAAGAUAAAUUUUAAAUCAGAAAUAUUAAUCUUACUAUUGAUAUUAAGUAGAAUUUUCUAUUAUAAUUUUUAUAUAAUUUGGAUUGUUCUAUACCGUUCAACAAAAAAACGUGCCACAUCAACCGUUAAAAUAGUCAAUUUUUGAGACCUUUUGAUUACGUGGUAAAUAAUAUUGAAAAAUUAUGAAAUUUUAUUUUCAGUAGUUCCAAUAGCAUCGAUUAUGCCUAUCGGAAUUAAUCGAAUGUCUUAUCAUCGAAAAUAACUUAUAAGCACGGAGGGCUUCAUACUUUAGAAAGCACAGAAGAUGUACUCUAUAUGUGUGUGUGUAAGUUUUAGACCUUGCUUGAUGUGUAGUGUUCACAAAAUCAUUUUAGCUUUUUAGUAUUAAAAAAAAUAGGGUAAACUUUAAAUACCACCACUUUCGCACUUUCUUACUUUAGUACUUAUAGUUUAAAGUAUAUCAAUAUAGUACACUAUGGUAUCAUUUUUUUUUUUUUUUGUCAGCCCCUCCGUUAACUUUUCAUUAAAUCAUAUAUAAAAAACUUCAUAUGCCCACCUAUAGUUUAUCGAAUAUUCAUUUUAGUAUAUUUUAGUUUUAACUUUGUCACUGAUUUAAUGAAAAUAUAUACCACAAAAGGUUAACAUUUAUUGAAAUAUAUUUAUAAUUCACUAUAUUUGUAGAGACCUGUAUGCAUUUUAAAUUAUAGAAAGCAGAUAGUACUCUAUGUUAGUAGAGAAGUGACAUAUCUUAUACAUAAAUUAUAGGGAAAACUUCAAAACCCCCCUGUGGUUUCGUAGUUUCUCACUUUGCCCCCCUGUGGUUUAAAAUGUAUCAAAUUGCCCCCCUGUGGUUUCGUUUUUAUCUUUUCGGUAGCUUUUUCGUUAAUAUUUUAUUAAAUUAUAUACAAAAAAUUUUAGAUACUCAUCUAGAUUUAUCAAAUAUUCACUUUAGUACCCUUUAAUUUUAACUUUAUUACUGAUUUAAGAAAAAAAAAUAAUGAAAUUGAUUAGAAAAAGAGAAAAAAGAAACCACAGGGGGACAAAUUGAUAUAUUUUAAACCAUAGGGGGGCAAAGUGUGAAACUAUGAAACCACAGGGGGGUUUUUUGAAGUUUUCCCUAAAUUAUAUCUAUUCAUUUGAGCCUUAAAAAAUAGGCUCAAUUUUAAGAAGACCCCUUGCACUUUAAUGCUUUUCUUAAGCACCCCCUGCAUUAAAAAUUACAUCAAUUACUCUCCCACAUUUUGUCAUUAUCUUAAAUUGGUCUAACUAUUCCGAAUAAUUAUUGAAUUUAGCUAUAAAACUUUAUAAAAAUAAAUCGGCUGGCAAAAUUAUCUUUAGAUAAUGCAAUAGAAUUAGUUACUCGACAAAUGAUCAAUUUUGAUAGAAUUAGCAAAAUAAAAAAAAAUUAUCUAAUUUUUUGAUAUAUUUUUGAGCUGCAAACUGAAUAUAUGUUGAGAUGCGGAGCAAUGUGAUAUACCAACUCAUUUUAUUAAAAUUUUCAAGCCUAAUUUGUUAAAACUUUUUAAAUAUUUUGGAUUUAUUUAAGAUGAUGACAAAAUAUAGCAUGCUAAUUGGUGGAAUUUUUCAUGUAGGGGGAUAAUUGAGAAGUUGAUAAAGUGUAAGGGGGCUUUUUAUAAUUUAGCCCUAAAAAUAUUCUAAAUUUAACACCUCGUGACCUCGUGUAGGUUUAUAUUAAUUAUUAAUUAUGGUGCGGUGUAUGAGAUGUAGGGAUACACCAGGUUCAGCCAACAGUACUUGUGUGAGCACACUCCAGGGAGUGAGAGAACCCACUCAAAAUUUGGACGGUUGAGAUUUCGAGUUGAGAAUCUGACGGCCCGUGGAUAGCUGGGAAAACCCCAUUCCACAAAUUUUGAUGCGUGGUUUUAUUGAUUUCCGAAAUUAAAAAAAAGAAAAAAAGAAAAAUGGGGUAAUUUUUGUGACCACAAAAUUUAGCGGGCAAACCACGACCACAAUCGGGCUUUUUGUGAAUGAAUGGCGCCACCAACAACCUUGUAACAUGCACGCUUCACAUUUUUCUUCGAAUUUAGGCUUCGUUUGGGAUUACGGGGAUCGCGUUACGUGUGGUGAGAUAGAAAGUACAUUGAAAAAAUAUUCUGUUUGUUUUCGUACGUAAUAUUGCGUUCCGCAUAUCGCGAUGAGUCAGUUAAGAUAUAUUUUCUGUGGUCCCACCGGAGAACGCAGAAGUAUAUCCCUAUAUGCUUUUUCCUCAUCUCUAUUUUAUCUAAUAGCGUUAGAUAGGUCUCAAUACUAAACUAAGCCUUAGUAAAUUAUAAGGCAUGUACCGGCGCUUUGCUGUGGGUACGAUAAGUAUAUUCUUAAUAAAAUUUGUAAAAUAUAAUAUAUAUUUUUAUUUUAUAUAUUAUAUAUUAUUGAUAUAUAAUAAUUAUUAUACUACAUAUAUUAUUAUAAUAACUUAUAUUUGUAAAUUAAAUAUAUAAAACUUAUAUUAUAUAAAUUGAUGUAUAUAAUAUAAUAUAUAUACAAUAAUAUUUAUAUAAUACUAUAUAAUAAAAAUAUAAAANCAAAAUUUUCUGAAGUAAAAGAAAAAGUUUGUAAUAUGCUUAUUUUUAGGUCAGUUUGUCUGAAAGAUAUAUAUCCUUUUUUGUGUUUUUUUAAAAUUCUUAUUCUUUUAACUCUAUUCAGAUUAUUUUUGUCGAUCUAUACAAGCAAUAUCGAGAAUUAAAAAUAUUAUGAUAAAAUAAAAAGUAGUUACUUGAUUCAUAGGUUUUUAAUUCACCGGCUUUAUAAUUUUUUUAGAAUUUAUGAACAUAUAUUUAAUUUUCUGCAGGGCAAGAAUUUGUUUGUAAGAAAUUUUUAAAUUUAGCACAAUUACGCACCAACGUGAGAAAUUAGAUAUGAUUUGAUCUAAAAUUUGGACUUAUAAUAGAUAAAUGACAAAAAAUAGAGGAGUACUCUAAUUGGUUUAAUAGUUGGUAGGCAAUGAAGCAAAUCAAUUUAGAAAAAUAGCUCAAAAUUUUAUAUACUUUAGGAUUUAAAAUUUAAAAUUUGAAGUUGAAAAUUUGGGAAUAAAUUAAAAUUUUGAUAUCCAAAAUUUGAAAUUUUAUAAUAUAAAAUUUUAAAACUCUGUAUAUCUAUACUUCUAUACUAUAUAUACUAUCUAUACUAUCUAUCUAUACUAUCUAUAACCCUUAUGAAAGCCCGUGUUCCCUUUGUCCACGUGGCAGCAUUAGCUUAAUUUUACUUUUGUGGGCCCUACCUGUUAUCUUAAAAUAUUUUAGUAAUUAAUUAGUGGGUGGGUCCUACCCAACCAAAUUUUUUUUCAUAAUCUGCUUCCAUUUAAUUUUCCCUAUUCCAACUCCGCCUCCUUCCCUGCUUCUAAUUAACUUCUUCUUCCAACUUCACCUCCUUCGCUCGCCCCUCUAGGUGCCGCUCCGACUCCUGUUCCCUCCCGUUCCCUCUCUGGACGGAAUGUUGGGCGAGUUCAUGGUCGGGCCUUCUUCCCGUCGCGACGCUUCGUUUCGUUCGCUCCUUAUAUGCCGCUUCGACUCCUGUUCCCUCUCUAGACAGAAUGUUGGGCUGGGUUCAUGGUCGGCGCUUCUUCCGGUCGCACCGUUCCCGUUAGCGACGCUUCGUUUCGGCUUAUUCAUCCCCUUUGAUCACGAAAAUGGUAUGGAUUCAUUCUCUGUGGUCCCUUCUUGCUGUCUAUAUAUGUUAAAAUCGGAAUGGCGAAAAAUAGAUCCAGAAAAUAAUUUAAUGCAAGAAAAGAAAAGAUAAGCGGAAAGAACACACCGAUAUUUACGUGGUUCGGCCAACGGUCUACGUCCACGGGCGAAGGCGGAGCAAAUAAUUUAUUAAUGUCGAAAAGGCGGAGUACAAAGAGAAUCUCCCAAAAGACCAAAACUUAAUUAGAUCUGAAACGGCGCAACAAGCAACUUCGGAAAAAAGCUUCUCUGUCAAUCCGUACGAACCAAGCCAAUGCCGACUCUCUACUGGUGUGCAUGCCUUAAUUAGAGCUGUGCAUAAUUAAAGGCUGCGGCACCUCUCCAAUGCACACCACGAAGUUGCCACGUAACCACCAGCACUUCUUAGGCCCUUUAAUUUGAGCUCCGUUAAUUAGAUCAUGGCCUCUUAAAUUUUGUUGCGAUUGCUUCGUUACCGUACGGAUCACCAACAACUUAAUUUCAUGGCUCUUAAUUUGGUCGCGGCGAUUAAUUUGGCCGUGACAUGUAUAUAUAAUACAUGUUUCCUAAUUAGAGUCUAAUUCUAAUUCAAUUAGAAUUAUACUCCUAAUUAUAAUCCAUAUAUGCCAAAUUAAAUCUAAAUUAUAUAUAAUCCUAAUUAGAUUAGGAUUUAACUCCAAUUUAGAUAACUGCAAAUCUAAACCAAAUAUAACAAUAUAAUAUGCCUCUGUCAAAUUUUUAUUUGCUGCAAAAAACUCUCUGAUUUUUUCCAUCGAUUUGGUAGCGAGGCCUCCGCGGGCUUCGAUUUCACCUCCAGGAAGCGGAUCGAGCAGCCGCCCGGGCCCACGCCCGCACGAGGGCACGAGCCGACACGGACGCGAGCCGGCGCGGGUGUGGGCGUGGGCGUGGGCGUGGGCGCGCGCAGGGGCGCGAGCGGCGUGGGCUGCGCGGGUUGGGUCCGGACACGGGCGCGGGAAGUGAUCUCCGCGCUCUCUCCCUCGCAGGCACCGUGCCCUCUCCGCGCCCUCUCCCUGCCGCCGGGAUCUGCAGUGUGAUCUUCACUGGUGCCGCGCCCUCUCCCUGGCACCCUCUCCGACCUCCCGCUCGCGAACCCCAAUGCCCUCUCCCUGGUGCCCGCGCCCUGUUCAACGAAAUGCCGAGCUUAUUUAUAAAUGACAAUUUCUCAAUUUGCUGAGCUUUUUAAAUAGGUUUACUCAGAAGAAUCUACUCAGAAUUUAUCCAAAGGGAACGCGAUUCAAUUCAUCAAACUAUAACCCGUAUAUCGGUUGGAUGCAUGGUGCUCAAAUGGUUGCAUUCAAUAUGCAGGUUAGCCUCUAUGCUUAAGAUACAUAGUGAAGUAUAUUUGAUUCAAUUUCCUAAUCUGUUCAUUUGAGUUGAUGUGCCCUUGCAUUUAUCUCAUUGCUCCAAGUUUAUGAAAUCUGGUUUCAUUACUCCAAGUGUAUGAUUUUCUUAAAUAUUUUAUCAUCUAGAGAUAGGUAAAUUGGCUUUCUCAGAUCUGGUUUCUGUUGAUUAAGGAUGUGAUUUAUAUAUUAGUUUCUUAAAUAAAAUCCUAUGCAUGUUUUGUUGGUUCUUGGGGCGCAGUUGUUUAAAUCAGCUUAUAAGAAUUGUGCUAUCAUUUUCAUCUUUGUUCCAUUUUUUUGUCGUAUUGGCAACUGGGAGGCGCAUAUAUAUUUUUUCUCUUAACAGCUUGCUCUUACUUCCUUUUAGGGGUAUGGAAGAUCCUUAUGGUUAACGCAUGGGUUUUACGAAGCCAAUGAGGGUUGUGGUUAUGUGAAAAAACCUGAUUUCCUAAUGGGGAAUGGUUCACAUGGUGAGAUUUUCGACCCGAAAGCAAAUUUACCUGGACUGAUGACCAACGAGCAAUAGAAUGAUAACAAAAUAAGAUAUUUGCUUUUUUUCCCGGAGAAUUAAAUUUCUAAUCUCUAUUGGCUUUUAUUACCUAGCAUUCUAUGGAGAAAAGAUCCUACUCUCUUUAGAAUAUAUUAUGCUUAGAAACUGCACAAUGCCUAUCAGAAGCUGUCACUCAUGACUCUCAUUACUCUAUUAUAGUUUCUGACCCUACUUUCGUCUUUCUAUAAGGAUGAUCACUAGAUGUUACAUUUUAUGAAAUUAAUCCCUCUUUUGGCUUCCAUUUUUUUUUACUUAACUUCUUUAAUUGGUAACAUACACUUAUGAAUUGCGGUCAAAAAAUCUAAAGCUCAAUUUAAUAUCCCCAACAUACUUUUUCAGUACUUUACAUAUUCUGACUUAUGCAUUUGCAAGUCCAAGACUCUUCGCAUUAUCAAUUUUAUUUCUCUUUAUUUAUUUCUUUUCUUUUCUUUUCUUUUUUAGUCUGGUAAUUAAGCCUUUGUAAAUGUCUUAUAUGCAGAUAAUAAAAUGAGGAAUUAGUUGGUGGAGUUGGUCUCAUAUGUUGAUAAACUGAACAUUGAGUAAGCUUAUAUUUUUCCUUUAUAUCUGAAGUGUUCUAUAGCUUAAUUAGAUACCUAGCCUCAUAUGUAUAAUCUCUUACCAUGAACUCAACAUAUGUUGUUCUGGGUGGAUUAGGUAAUGUUCUAUGAGAAGAUCCGAAUAAAUAUAAUGCUGUGUGAAAAAAAAAGAGUUGCUAAUUAUUAAGACUUCAUUUCAUUUCAUUAUAUUGACAUUUCCUCCUUAAAUGUUGGAUGGUUUUGAUGGUUGCGAUCGACCCGACCCUUCUUAACUGGUGAUGAGGACACUUUGGAUGGCCUACUUUGUAGGCAGUCGGUUGCUCCCUGCUAUGUAAAAAAAAAGACUUCGGCGGCGAUCUAAUACGCAAAACAAGACUUCGGCGGUGAUCUAAUAAUGUUCGAUGGAUAGGGAAGCCUUAGCAAAGUAUAUUUAUUUUCACUAUCAGGUUUGCUUUCGCUCCUACUCUAUAUUUGUAAAGAAUUUAUUUUCAUCUCGAUUCAUUUAGUCUAUUUGGUAUGGUUUUCAUGAUCUGAUUUAGUUUCCUAUGCUUUUCAUUGUUGUCCUAUGUGGUCUACGUUAAUAUUUAUGGUGGCCUUCCCCUUGAAUGUCAAAUCGUUGUGAUAAUUGAGAGGGGCCUGGGCCUUCUAGACUGGUUAUGAGGGCACUUUGGAUGGCCUUAGUACUCGAUUAAUAUUCCAGCUGCAACUUUGAUUGAUUAAACUCUUCUUUGUUCUCUCUAGGUUUCUGGAUAAUCACUAAAUUUUCUACUCUUUGUGCCAAGCUGUGGUGUUCUAAUGCAAUUGUAUAUGUAAAGCUUAGUGCCUUAGCACAUAUUAGUGUAAAGUUGCAUGAGUUAACUCUAACUUAAAUUGUUGCAUGAAUGAUUGCAUAUUACAUUCACUUUAGAGAACAAAUUUGAGUUUUAGUUGGAUUCUUCAUUCGAAAAUUGCAUCUUUAGAAUUUGAGCUGAGUAUAAUAGCUACAUGUGUAGCUGAACAAGCCUUUCUCACUGAGUAAAUCAUGUAAAAUAAUGCAAUUUAGGUAUGAAAUUUGGCAAUAUUCUUUUUUUUUUUUUAUGCAGUGAGUAAACUUGCAAGCAUUGAUUUUAUACUUCAAUUUCCAGUUUUGGUUGUUUGUAGUGAAUUUUUUACUCUGGAUUAUCCUCUUUCUUUUCCUUUUUCUUUUUCAGCCAUUUUAUAUGCAGCAUGGUCUUACACUUUCUUUCUUAUACCUCGAGAUUGCUUUUGCUUUCCAUUUGGAUGGCUUGGUAAGUAUUUCUGUCAAGUUGGGGUGUUUUUCAUUUAUGUCCAUGCAAAAUCAUCAUUUACAUAUAUACUUUUUACAAUCUGAAUGUUAAUAUGUGCUCCCCGAAAGUGAAUUUUGUCCAAAGGUAUCCUUAUCUAAAGUGAGGGAGCCAUCUAAUUUAGGUGGCAAUUGCAUGAAGUUAAUUUUGUAUCACCGAAGGUCUUUACUGAGAAUCAUUUUUGGUGGCAGAAGGGUAUAUCUAGAAAAAAGUAAGUUUUUGAAGUAGAUGAAAUUCAGUUUAUGGAGAGAUGCGUAGAUAACUUUUUUGAAUAAUUUGAUAAUUGAAAUUGUCUUCUACAUUCAGAUUAUAUCAAACACCACAAUUUCACGGCCAAAACCUCUAGAGAAGCACCAUUUGGCUCCAGAACCUGGUGGUUUAAAUGGGAAGCCACUCUUUGAUCUAUCUAUUCAUACUCAAGGUGAUGUAUAUGCUCACUCAAGGAGAUGUAUAUCCACACACAAGGUGAUGUAUGGUAAUUUAUUUUGGAUUCUUUAAAAAAAAAAAAAAAAAUAAAAAUCAUCAUCUCAAGUUUGUUUAAUUUGUAAACAAUGCAGUGAUGAAGAUGCAUACAAGAAGAUCCAAUCAAGUGCAACCCUGGUUUAGCUUUAUACUGGUUUUGCCUUUGGGGGACCAGCACUUAUUCCCUAGAUAAAGGUCUUUAUUAGUACUAACCUACUUUUCAUCCUAUAAUAUAAUACUUUGGGUCUAUAUUUAAAUGUUAGGACUUAAGUUUUUCAUAUCAUCAUUUAAGUGUUGGCUAAAACUAAUAAUAUAUCUAAGUCAUCUUGAUUUACUAAUCAGUCAUAAAUGAGUUGUGUUUUAGGCGAGCUUGCGAGCUUGAGAAUGUCAAUAAAGUUCAGACACAACCUUUUAGUGCUACUCUACCUAACUAAGUGAAGAAGGUCUGUUCUAAAAACUAAACUGCAGUUAACAAGGGAGGUUGCCCGACGUAGUUGAUGAGCAUUUUGAACUUGCUCCUGCCCUGAGAGGCGAGCUCCAAAUGCAUCUCCAUAGUCAUGGCGUCUGCGUUCUGUCAUAGCUUUCCGAUCGGCAUGGUGCACUGCUCCUUGAGCUCCCUGACUAUCGUCGCUGCCCUUACCCACCACCCUAGCUCUGCAUGCGGUGCCGCACCACCACCUCUGCCACUGCAUACCGGGGGAAAAAGGGAGAAAAUUAUAUACUAUAUAGUUGAAAUGGUUGUUGUUCUUAUUAUUAUGGUGUAACUUUUGUUUUGCGAGGAAUGAAAAAAUGGCAUACUACUCUUUCUAUUACUUUUUACUUCCAAAUUUUAUGCGAGCUUAUUAUUAUAUUUGAUAUUUGGAAGAUUUUCAAAAUGUUAUGCUAUAAAGAAAAGAUUUUGCUACAACAAUAUCUACCCGCCGCAUCGCGCGGUUAUUACACUAGUUAUAUUAAUUCUCAAUAAAAUAUGCCACGUGACGAUAUUUUUCUUUCACUUGAGUUGUUAGGGUUGUGGGCUCCACCUUUCCAUCCCCUCAUCUCUUCCAAAACGUAUGCCCCUUUACUUUCCUUCACAUACUUUCAUCUUUUCUCAAAACGUACGCCCCUUCAUCGUUCUUCAUACUUUUUCAAAACGCACAUUCUCUCAUCUCCCCACCCUUCAUUCUUUUCAAAACGUACGCCCUCUCAUCUCCCCACCCUUUAUAUUUUUCAAAACGUACACCCCCUCAUCUCCCCACCUUUCAUACUUUUUUAAAACCUUCAUACUUUUUCAAAACGUACACCCUUAAUUUGAAAGUGUAGAUUUUUACAUAUCAUUAUACUUUUUCAAAACCUUUAUAGUAUUUUAGUGUAGAUUUCUAUCUUAAACUUUUCAUUUUCUUCUUCUUGUUUUUUAUCAUCAUCCCCUCCUUCUCUCUCCCCAUUAAUCGAGGAGUUAGUAAUCGUGUAAUUUUUUGUGGACGUGGUACAGAUUGUUAGAGCAUUCGCUGCUAUGCCAAGAAGUUUCGUUAUGACCCCUAUGUUGCCCCUCACCAUGGCCUCCUCUCCGUGGGCUGUGAUUACAGCGCUCGUUUCCCUACCUCCUCUCAAACCUCCUCAUUUGUCGCCUUUGAUGUUUAAUUCGACUCCGUUAUUAUCGACAUUAUAAAAUUCUCUCUUUAUUUUUCUAUGAUUUUUUUUUCUUUUUACUCAAAUCCUUCUAAUAUGAGAUUCGUUUCUUUGGAUUUAGAAAAAGGUCUGCAAGGCUAUCGACAUCGGGAUUGUUUACCAUGCACGCCAGCUGUUCGAUGCAUUAUCUUUGAAAAUUAAAAUAGCAUUUAUAGGUUCCAAAUUAUUAUUAAUAAUUUCUAAAUGCUAAUUAUUAUAAUUUUGUUUUGAUUUAGUGUAGAGAAAAAGCAUGUGACAAUGAAUCAAAGAGCUAUAAAUCCAAAGCCUUCUUUUAGAUGAGAUUUUAUAUUUCAAUAAAUUUAAAAAAUAUUUUUUUCCUCUAUUUCUUUCUCUACUAAUUUUAUUUUAUUUUAAUUGCUAUUUUUUUAAAAAAAAUUGCUUUGAUGCAGAAAAGAAGAAAUGGAAGCUUGUUAUAAUUUGUCGAAUAACAAAACCAACCCCAAUGAAAUCACCUCCAAUUUUAUUUUCUCUUUUUUAUUCUUGUAUUAAAUUAUUUUUUUAAUAUCCAUCUAUGCAACAAUUUUUAUUCUCCUAUAGUUCUUUUUUUUUAUUUUCUUUCUUUAUUCUCCACUGGAUUGUAUUCUCAUUCUAAUUAUUUUUAAUAUAUUUUUUAUAUUAUUAACCAGUCUUUUUUUAUAUAUUUAAUUUAUAAAUUUUUAUUAUAAUUUCUAUCCGCCGCAUCGUGCGGCUUUCUAAACUAGUAUAUAUAUAGGUAGGGAGAGAAAGGAGGGGAGGGUUUUGGGGGACACGUGUCAUCCCCAAACCCUCCUUAAUGUAGAAGAAAAGAAUAGAUAGAAAUAGACGAGACGCAUCCAAGAUUUUUUCAUAAAUCAUACAUAUGUCCCCAAUCAAUGGUCUAUGGUGCACCGGGUGUACCGAGUAGUUGAGUCGGACCCAUGUCAAUAAAAGAAGAAUACCCCACGCACUUUAGUAUAUAGUAAUAAAUAAUAGAUAAUAGAUUAAAUUAAAUUAUAAAUUUUUUUUUAACAAAGUGAAGUUUAUAAAUAGUUUGGUUAAAAUAUUGCAAUUUUAGACAUAGGAGCAGCAUGAAAAUUAAAGAGCCUACCAAAAUUAUAACUGAAUAUUAAAUAAAAGGGGUAAUUGUUUAUAUAUUCCUGAAAAAUUUUCGACUUUUUUAUUUACUCCGCUUAGAAGGUUAAUAUUAAAAAUAUCCUUUCAACAUUCUAAGCUUUUUCAAAUUUACUUUUAGAGUUAGAUUCUAUUAGUGAACUGUUAGGAACAACCGAUAUUUUUGUAAAAUUAUUAUUUUGUCUUUUCAAAUAUCAUUUCUACCGUCACCAACUUUUCUUAUUUGUCAUUAAGUUAGAGGUAAAAAGAAGUAUUUUGAUUUAUUCCUUUCAAAUAUAUUCUUCUACUAUCACCAACUUUUCUUAUUUACUGUUAAGUUAGGAAAAAAAGAUAUUUGGACCUUGUUUCUAACUUUGGUAGAAAUUUAACUGAUAUUUGAUCCCAGAUGAUUUAACGGGUACUAACAACAAGAAUACUUAAUAAAUAACGGAGAAAUAUACUAGGAGUAUAUUUGAUACAAAAAAAAAAGUAAAUCAAAUAUUUCAAAAGUAUUGAGGGGUACUAGACGAUUAUCUCUAAAUAAAAAAAUUCUAACGGCAUAUAUGAUUUCUUUUUUGAAAGAAUGCCAGAAAGAUUUUCAUUGAUAAGUAAACAAGCACAGAAUAACAAUAUGUCGGAUUGUUGAAGCUAAUCAUUAAUCUCAAAAACUCGAACUGUUAAAAAGAUACAACUAAUUCACUUAAAAUGUACAAACACAGUGCCCAUGGGGCAGGAUGCUAGCCUCUUUUAAGUCAAGACAAUAAAAACAUUACAAACGGACUCAAAUUUUUGGUCAAGAUUCUACUUAAGAAGAGCAAGCGGUCCAGAAGUAAAUCGACCAAUUGACCGGACGAAAAAUGUCUGGUUUUCUCUCUAGGCCAGAUAUUCACAAAGUAAUCUGAUAGGAUUAUUAGAUGUUUCUGAAUUAAUGCUCCUUUUGUUUUCAAGACAUAUAUUUUAUAAUUUUUUUAGAAUAGUAAAAUAUAAAUACUAAAAGAUGCGGAAAAUAUUAAACGAGUCUAAAUCAACAGUAAAUAUUUGAUUUUCUUAUAUAAAUCAACAAUAAUAAAUAUUAUAUGAUGAUACCCUCGUCACACAGAGGCCUCCUAUACCUUAUCAAAUAAUUUAAUAGUUCCCUCCUUUAAGGGAAGUUACAAAUUACAUAACUGUAUUGUUUAAGUGUCUGUUAAAAAAAAAACAAAAAAAAAAAAAGACAAAAGUUGAAAGGGUCUCAAACUCUCUGUACAUUUUUUUUUUUCAUUUUUAAAUAAUUUGGGACCGUAGUCCGGUCCGGAGCCCACUAAAUUGGUUUGGGCUAAGUUUGGGUUUAAAAUGGCCCGGACCAGUUCCACCCCUAACGAAGAUAAAGAUCUAUUUGGCCUAGAUUUUGAAAAAGUAAUUUCUAUAAAAUUGAUACUGGAGAAUUAUUUUUGGUUUAUAUGCUAUUUUCAUUAGCGAAAAUAUAGUAAAAGUAUGAAGGCCUCCGUACUAAUAACAAUAAAAUAGUUAAGGCUACAAAACUUUGACUAAUAUUUUUGACCAAUUCCUGCUUGAUAUUUGAGAAAUGAGAACUAGUCAAAAUUACUAUAAUAUAUUAUUAUAGAGAACUUUGAAUAUUAAGUUGAUAAUGAGAAGAGCAAUGUUUACCCCUAUGCUACAUGUACAGGAGAUAAGUCUUACACCCUAGGCUCCGAAAAGCCAAAAUUUACUCAUUUAUCUAACCAAAAAACACUAAAAAAAUUUUAAAAAAAAUUUAAAUAUUUGAAUUAUGGAGUGUGAGAUAUAUAGUUUUAUAAUGGGGUGUACAAGUAGCAUUUUUCUAACAAAGAUAUGUAGAACUAGAAAUAAUAGAUUUAAUUGCACCGUUCGUCCCUAAUUUUUAUAAGCUUCUUGCUUUGGUUCCUAACCUUUGUUUCGUUAUUAGGUUUCUAAUUAGAUCACAGUUAUCUAAAUUUUUAUUAAUUUUGACAAAAUAUGCCACUCCAAUUCUAUUGUAGCUCUCGUGCGUGACUCAUAGAGAUUAAGGCUGUCAUGUAACUCCCUGUAAAUCUGGGCACCGUCCUUUUCAAAUUUCUUAAUAAAGAGUUAGGUAGUAUGUCUAGCUCGACUAGAAGAGUGCCAAAUUUUCAAAGAUGUCAUAACGUGCGAGGUGGAGAUGGUUAUGGAAUGAAGAAUGAACUAGAGGUAGAAAUGUCAACGGAUUGGAUUCGGGGCGGAUUUUUAAAAAUCCGAAGCCGAACCCGACUCCAAACCUGAGAUCCGAAUCCGAACCCGAAUCCGACGGAUUUUAAAAAUCCAUAUCCAAACCCGAACCCGAACCCGAAAAUUUGUACCCGAAACAAUUAUUUCUUUUUUCAAUAUUUCAAAAUAUAUUAUAUUAAAUUUAAAUUUUUAAAAUACAAAUUCAAAUAUAACAUCAAAUAUAUAUAUAUAUAUAUAUAUAAUACAAAAUAAAUUCGGGUUCAGGUCGGGUUCGGGUUCGGGUCGGGUACUAUCAAAAUCCAUAUCCGAAUCCAUAUCCGUUAGGUUUCUAUUUUUGAUAUUCAUAUCCAUAUCUAUAUCCAUCGGAUAUAUACUUUUUAUUCGGGUUCGGAUUCGGAUAAAAUUUCGGGUAUCCAUAUCCAGUGACAUUCCUUCCAUACCCAUUGACAUCCCUAACUAGAGGGUAGUGAAAUUAGAUUUGACGCGACAUGUGUAUUGAUAGGAGAAGAGGUUAAGGACCAAAGUGUUAAAAUAGAUAAAGGUUAGAAACCAAAUAAAUAAUCGAGUAACGGUUGGGGACCAAUGAUGUAAUUAAUCGUGUGGACUUUGGAUACCAUGGAAGAAACAUAUUAUCUAAAUACAUUAUCAUACAGUGCACAUCUGACACCCUAUCAUCUAAUGAUUUAAAGUUUUAUUUUUGAAUUUUUAAUAUUAAAAAAGCUGAUGAGACAUGUGAUAUUCUGGUUUAGUCUUAUAUCGAGUAGAAAGCUUUUGGAGCAUUUCUAAAACUAAUUACCAAACUUAAAUAUUUUGGGCUGGUGGAUUUGGCCGAACAGAUUAUGGGCCUAAGAUAUUUAGUUAACAGAGUUGUGGGCUCUAUAAUAUGUGGAAAAAGUCUAGAAUGAACUAGUUAUACUGCAGACGACGAGGCAUUGCUAAGCAAUAAGAUUGUAUCACUUGAAUUGAUCUGUCCCAUCAUAAUUAAUAAAAAAAUAUUAUUAUUAUAUUUUUUUUAAAAAAAAAUAUAUAUAAUUGGCUUAUUAUUAAUGAUGUGGCAUAAGUGUAACAAUAUUUGACUAAGUCUGAGGUAAUGAGAGAUUAAUGUGUAAAAAUUUAGUGUUUUUGGAAUCUAAUCAUGUACAUGCCAUAUCUUUCAAGUAAUCAAUGAUGAUCAUGAUCCAAUAUAUACAAUUGAGUACAUACCAAAACUAGUUAGUAAUCAAUGGCGAAAAAAAUGACAUGAUUUAAUAAACAUAUCCUAAAUAUAAAAUUGAACAAAUUCAAUGAAGCUAUAAUCUUAAUCCAUUCUAUACCAGGCUCCACCCUCCCAUUUUUAUACUAUACUAGUGCAGAAAUCCGCGCGAUGCGGCGGGUAGAUAAUAGAAUCCCAAAUUUAAAAUUUUAAAAAAUAAAAUUAUAUUUAGAAUCCUAAUUACUAAUUUUUUUUAAAUUAUAAAAUUUGGAAUGAAAGUUAUAUGGCUCCAAAAUAUCACUAUUCUUCAAUAAAUUGUGUCUAGAAACUUAAAAAUUUUACCAAAUUCUAAAAUUCAUACUAUAAACUUCAUGCUAUAAAGUUCAAAAUAAAAUAAGUCUCUUACACAUAUCCUUCAAAUUAUAGAAAUGAGAUCUUAUGAUAGUUUUGCUGAAAAAAUCUUCACUUCUCUUCUUCAUCGGAAUCAGAAGACUGGAUUAAACUGCAAAUAAGAGUACACAUUCAAGUUAUUUAAGGCAAUAUUUCAAAACUUCUUAUGAACAUAAUUUUGAAAAGUGUGUAUAGAAAAUAAUGUUAGUAAUUAAAUUUUUCCUGAUGAAACAAUUAAAAUUACUAUCUACUUUGCUUUUAAAAAAAAUUUUCAUAUUACCUGAGCAUCUUUUUUUUCCUCUUGAUUUCCUCGCAGUUUCUCCAACUUGUUAUUUGAGCUUCUUUCAUGUUUAUAAUUUCAAAAUUGUAUAUACAAAAUAAUUAAAAUAAAUAAACAAUUAAACUGAAGAAGAUGGAUUAAUUAGAAGUCUUGUGGAGGAAAAGUGAGGGAUCGUAAUAAAUUAAUUAGAAAUAAAAUGGUGAGAAUUAUAAUGACAGAGGGAACAUUUAAAACAUUAAUUGGAAGUUUAGCAGUGGGCCAUUUAGAUGUAUUAAAUAGAUACGUUAAUUAAACAUUUAAGGAGAAUUUAAAUACAUUAAUUGGAAGUUAGUAUGUGGCCAUUUUAGAUGUAUUAAUUAGAUAUGUUAAUUAAAAAUUGAUGAAGAGAAGGGAAGAAUCACAUGGUGGUGAAGGUGAAGAAAACUUGAUAGAGAACAUUUAAAUACAUUAAGGGUGUUUGGAUUGACGAAUUUGAUCAAGUAUAGUCAAGUGUAGUGUGUGUUUGAGUUUCCCUGAAGUUGAUUAUUUUUCUGUUGUUUGUUUUGACGUAAUCUACCACUGUAAGUUAAAUUCAAUCACUUCUGCUGUUUAUUUUGAUGUAACUUAUGUGAUAAAUUAGUUUUUUAAGUUCCGUUGUUUGUUUUGAUGUAAAUAAGUGGAUCCCAUUAUCUCCUAAAUAUAGUAAUAAAUUAUUACUAUAAAAUUUAACUAUUAUAUAAUUAAUUUUUUAUUAUUAUUUAAGAUAAAUCUUAAUUUAUUAUAAAUAAGGAAUUCUAACUUAUUAUAAAGAAAGUAGAGUUUAGUUUUAAUGUUUAAUAUAAUUGUUUAUGAGAAGGUUGAUUGGGUGGAAGUCCGAGUUCAGUAACUAAUUAGAGCCCGGAGAUCGAGCGUAGGUGAAGUGGAAGCUCUAAACGUAACUGAGUUACAUAUAUUUUUCACUGUACACCAAAUACAAAUACGAAAGUGAUGGAACACUUGAGGUUCAGAUCACUUCACUUGCACCAAAACAAAUGGGCCCUAUAUUGGAAGUUAGUGUAGGCCAUUUCAGAAGUAUUAAUUAGAUACGUUGAUAUAAUCAGCUUUAAGUGUGAGAUAUUAAUAACAUUUAAUGUACAGAUUAAUGGAAAGUUAAAUACAGUCGAUUAAUUUAGGAAGACGCGCCAGGCGGCUGCGCAUCUCGGCGUCGCGCCCUUUCGGGUCCCAUAUAUCGGGCCGGGUGGCGGACGGAUGUCGGGUCGGCCUUCAGGGCCGCAGCCGGGCAUUCAGAUGUAUAAUUAGAUACGUAAUUAAAAAUUGAUGAAGAGAAGGGAAGAAUCACGAUGGCCAUGAAGGUGAAGGAAAACUCAUGGUGCCCACAUGGCCCAAAACAUAUUGAGGAUUUAUAUAUUGUAAUAGACUAUAUAUUAUAUAUAUAUAUAUAUAUAUAUAUUAUAUAUUAAUAUAUAUAUAUUAUAUUCCCCCAUAUGCAUAAGAUAACAUUUUCUCAAAAGGUGGUGACCUUGAAUUUUGAGGGAAUUGGAGUAGUUGAGCUCCUCUGCUCUCUCUCUCUCUUCUCUCUCUCUCUCUCUCUCUCUCUCUCAAACAUGGCGAGCUCAGGAGGUGUAUCCAUGGCGAAAUCCGAGGAGGAGUGGCGCGCCAUACUCUCCCCAGAACAAUUCCGGAUCCUCCGAUUGAAGGGAACCGAGUAAGAUUAAACCUGGAAUGAUCUUAAUUUCUCUCUAUUUUUAAUGCAAUUUUAGAUGACUUUGUUUGGAUUUUUUGGGUUUUCAUGAUGACCCAUGAGGCAAAAGUUCCCAUUCAUGUAGGGUUUUGGUUUAAUUGAGUUGUUCUUGGUAUCAUAGAUAGAUGUGAAAAAUUGCUCUUUUUUCAGCGAAUUUUAGAUGAUUUUCUUUGUUGCAUUUGUGGAAAGUUCCCAUUCAUGUGAGUUUGUGGUUUAAUUGAGAUUGGAGCGUCUUUGGGAUGGCUCUAUUAUUAUUUUUGGCGAUUUUUAGAUGAUUUGAGUUAGGUUUAUGGGUUUUUAUAGGCUUUUUUUAUAAAAUAACCCUCUAAAAUUUUAAAAUUGAAGAAAUAAUCAUGUAAAAAUUUUAUUUAGAAAAAUAACCCUCCUUUCGCCACGUAGGCGCCACGUCAGAUUUUUGCUAUGAAUGCGGUGAAUCAUUCACCGCCUUCACAUAUAUAUAUAAUGAAGACGGUGAAUGAUUCACCGCCUUCAUAAUAUAUAUCUAAAGACGGUGAAUCAUUCACCGCCUUUAGUGCAAAAUAUCUCAAAUUUAUCGAAAUUUGUUUAAGUCCUAAAGUUAAAUACAGAUAAGACGGUGAAUCAUUGAUUCACCGUCUUCACAUAUAUACUAUGAAGGCGGUGAUGAUUUACCGCCUUCAUUAUAUAUAUGUAAAGGCAGUCACCGCCUUUAUAACAAAAAUCCAACGUGGCGAAAGGAAUUUUAGUUUUCCAAAUAAAAUUUUGAUAGGGUUAGUUUUCCAAUUUGAAAUAUUUGGAGGGUCAUUUUACAAAAAAGCCCGUUUUUAUAUCACCCAGGUUGUUUGCUUAUAAUCUAUUUUGGAUUAAAGUAUUUUGCACUUGAUUAAUUGACAUGGGAUUUUUGGGUUUUGAUUUUAAAUUGCUUCUUAUGAUGCUCCUUUGUUUUGCAGGUAAUAGUGUGUUAUAGUGUUCCAAUUUUUUUUUUUUAUUAGAGUAUUGAAUAAUACCAGCUUUGCUACAUUUUAUUCUGAGUUGCUUUAAUUAAGAUUGGUUUUUUCCUGUUAUGAUUUUACAUAAAAAAUAAGAGAGGAAAGAAAGAUUACUGUUAUUAUUUCAUUUUGGUUUGGGAUCUUUCUAGUAAUCAAAGAUAGAAGUAAAAAAAAAAUUGCUCUUUUUUCAAUUUUUAGAUGAUUUGGAUUAGAUUAUUUGGCUUUUAUGAUGACCCAUUUGGGGAAAGGCCCCAUUUUUGUAGGUUAUAGUGUUUCCUUUUGAGAUUUAAGUAUCCAAAAAUAUCAGCUUUGAUAUAUUGUGUUCUUGGUUGAUUAAUUGAGAUGAGUUUUCUUUGUUCUUAGUUUUACAACUAAAUAUUAAGAAGAAUAUGGUUUAUUAGUUGAAAAUUGAGGGAGAAAAAAAGUUGAUUUUAAUUUAUAUCUAUUGUUGCAUGUAUGGGGAUAUUAUCAUGAGCUUUUUUUUUAAAGGUAAAAAUGCAUAGAACUUAUCUGACCUGUGGAAGACCAUUUUAAUUCGACUACUCAACCUUUUAGAAUAUUGAUUUUAAUACGCAACAUCUCAAUUUGUCGGAUUUGAAUCAUUUGAUGACUCUUCCGAUGCAAAAUUUAAUCGAAUUGCUUAUUUUACUAAAUUUAUAGUCAUAUGAAUUGUAUAAAAUUUGCUAGUUAAAUCCGAAAAGAUAAAUGACGUCUUCAAAAAUUGAAGUCAAAGAGUCAGUAAUUGAUUCAAAUCAAACAAAUUAAAAGAUUAGAUAGUAAAAUUAGAUCCGAAAUUGGUGAUUACUUGAGGUAAGUUUUUUACAUUUUUACCUUUUCAGAAUAUUCUAGUGCUGUUUUGGUUGUCGAUUGACCCAAAUUAAGAAUGUGGAGUCCAGUUGCAUGCUUUGACCAAACAUGUGGCCACCCAAAUUAGACCAUGUAAUUUUAAAUGUAAUGUUUAGUUUUAUAUUUGGCUUGUUGCAAAUUUUUUAUAUUAUAUAUCUUUUAUAUUAAUCUUCUUUGGUGUGUGCAUUGCAUAGAAUUCAAUACUUGAUAGGAGACUAAGUCUUUGAUAGAAGAGUAAUACUUUGUUUAAGCUUGUAGGCUUUGAAAAUGUUCACUCUCAAAAUUUUAUAUCAUUUAUAUGCUGAAAGAGAUCAUUACAAAGCUUUGUCAGUAAAACUUUACAUAGACCCCCUCGGCUACCAGGCCAUUUUGAAAAUAAAUCAUUUUUUCCCCUCUGAUUCUGACAAAAUCCUUUUUGAUUUUAAUUAUUCUCAUUAAUUAAAUUCUGGAUUUUAUCAAAUCCAACGGCCAUUCUACUGAAUUUAACUGUUUUGAACACCUUUUUAUUUUUAUUUAAUGGAACUACAGUCUUAGUUAAUUGGAGCUAUUGAUUUUAACGAAUUCAAAAAUUUUAUUUAUGAAAAUAACUCAGCGAAACAAUCAAAUGGAGCAGGGGUCUAGGAAAGCAUAAUAACGUUGCAACGCUUAUUCAAAAUGCCAUAUUGUUCAUGGGUUGCUCUUUCGUUUUUUAUCCCUAUCUGCUGAGUCAUAGAAUCUGAAAAAAAAAAAAACAAACAAACAAACAAACAAACCAAAACAAUCAAAAGUAGAGGCGUCGUCACACUGGCUAUUGUUUACAGUUGUCUCCAUACAUUUUUGCCUAUUUUGUGUGCUAUUUGCUGAAUCACAGAAUUUGUGCUCUGCUGUUUUGAUAUUAUAAUUUUCACUACUUUGGGAGCUCUUUUUAUGUUUAAUGCUAAAGUCUUUAAUUUUACCUGCUAAAUGGUAUGCGUGCAAACUGUUAAUUUUGGUGGUAAAUCUAUCAUUUGCCGAAAAUUCUCUAAUUGCGUAAAAGAUUUUUGAACUUUCGUUGCCCCCGUCGUUUGUUUAAUUUGCAUCUCACAGUAUGGAUAGAAACUUCUAUCCCUAGUGUCCCCUACAUGCUUAGUUAGUGCUUUUAUGGGGAUUCAUUGAAGAUUUACAUGUACAUAGUGAUGGAUGAAGUGAAUUACAAUUAGAUGAUUCAUGACAUGAUUCUUUAUGGUAAAGACGUGGAGUUCUUUAGGUGAUUCUAGGACCGAAAGCUGAUUCGAGUCCAACUGCUUUGAGCUGCAGUAGAAGUAGAAGCUUUCAAUCAGAUCUUCUGCUUUUGUGGCUUUGAAUGGCUUUGAAGCUAAUUCUACUUCACAACCGAAGCUCCAAGCUUGUUAUAUGCCAAUCGGUUGACUGCAGUGCUCACUAAAGUUAAAGAAAAAUACUAACUCCUGUUCUCCGUUUUUAAUAUCUAAAUGAUAUGCAUAAAUGAGUUUAGUCAAAAUCGUACCUACAAAUUAUGCAUAAAAUAAGUGGUAUUUUUCAGGCCUCCAGGGACAGGUGAAUACAACAAGUUUUACGGCGAAGGCGUUUACAGCUGUGCUGGUUGCGGAACUCCUCUUUAUAAAUCCACUACCAAAUUCAAUUCUGGGUGUGGUUGGCCAGCAUUCUUUGAGGGACUUCCCGGGGCCAUAAACCGAACGGUUGUUUUUCUUUCCUCUUGCGUUUUUCUUUUGCUAAUAACACAUUUUUUGUCCCUUUUCGGGUAAAUUGCACGUUUGGUCCUCAACUAUGGAGCACAUGAUAGCUUAGUUCUCAAACUUUAGUUUGUUGUAAUUUUUCGCUUAAACUUUCAGAAUUGUUGCAAUCAAAUUCCACGGUCAAAUUUAGCUGACUAAAUUUUAAUGAUUGUUGAUGUAAAAGUGAUAUGGUAUCUUAAUUAUUGGUGAUAUUCAAUAUUUAGUCAACUAAAUUGGGUUGUUGGAUUUAAUUACAACAAUUCCGAGAGUUCGAGCGAAAAAUCGAAACAAAUUAAAGUUUGAGGACCAAAGUGUCACCAGCUUAACAAUCUGUGGACCAACUAUGCAAUUUACCAUUCUUUUUUCAUACAGGCAUUACGAACAUGCUAAAUUGCAAACACCCUUCCGAGUUGGUUCUUGCUUGUAUGCUACUCGAAACCAUACACGCAAAGUUCGUUUUGCUUAAUUCCCUUUGCUGGAGAACACACGCAAUUACUAACUUGUGUUGGUGUAAUUACUUAAUUUUUCUUAUUUGCAAGGGUAUAAAUGCGGAAAAGUUCCUACAAUUUACUCCUUGAUGAUGUAUGCUUUUGUUUUUCCUUGGGUUUUAUUUCAGCCCGAUCCCGAUGGGAGGAGGACGGAGAUCACCUGUGCGGCGUGCGGCGGCCACUUGGGCCACGUGUUCAAAGGCGAGGGGUUCAAGACGCCUACCGACGAACGCCACUGCGUCAACAGCGUCUCGAUCAAGUUUGCUCCCCCGUCGUGAGACAUCUCUCUAGUGCCCAGUUUAUUACUAUGUUUCGCGGACAAUAAUAAUAACAUGUUAUGUUAUUUACUGAUGAAUAAAGUUUGUGUGUUAUGAUUGAUGGAAAUAAUCUCUCUCCGACGGCCUUGUGCAGUGAUUUAGUUUGUUGCAUCAGUCAGCUCUUACUUGUUUCGUAGAAUCAAUCCUACAGGAAUGAGAACCUUGCUUGAGCCCUGAUGUUGAAGUUCCAUGAAACAAAGUGAAAACAUUGUUGUUGAUAUGAGUUGGAACAGGAGUACUAUUUCUGAACGUACGGAGACCUUCGUGCUUCCACUUUUUUCUUAAGAUGACUGAAUAUCUGAAUUGCCGAUUAACAUCCGUAAGCUUCGACUAAAAGAUUUGAAGUUUCUAGGAUCUAAAUUUCAUGGAUUGAUUGGUCUAAAAAUGAACAAUCAAAAGUGAACAAGCUCAGGAAAAUAGAUGGAACAAUUCUUCAAUUUCUGAUCAGGGAAUUUUUUAAGUACUCUUAAAAAUCAUGUUCUACCAAAUCUUCGGCUAGUUUUGAUUGCUUGUAGAGAUGUUAACGGUUGGAUUCGCGAUGGAUUUUCAAAAAUCCAAACCCCAACCUGAUGGAUUUUAUCCAAAACCAAAUCGGACCAAAAAUUCGAAACUCGAACCCAAAAAUUUGAACCGAAAAUAAUUAUUUCUCUUUUUAAUAUUUCAAAAUAUAUUAUAUUAAAUUUAAAUUUUUAAAAGACAAAUUCAAAUAUAAUAUCAAAAUUUUAUAUACAUAUUAUAUAUAAUGUAAAAUAAAUUCGGGUUUGGGUUCGGUUCGGGUGGGGAACGGUCAAAAUUCAUAUCCGAAUUCAUAUCCGUCGGAUUUUUAUUUUUUGAUAUCCACAUAUGAAAUCAUAUCUGUUUAGUAGCGGGUAAAUCCGCUCCGUUCGGGUUCGGGUUCGGAUUCGGAUAAAAUUUUGGAUAUUCGUAUCUAUUGACAUCCCUAAUUGCUUGUCAAUCAUUAAACUCUCAUUUUUGAGAUCGUUUGAUUGCCUUUGUUGAAAUAGUAUAAAAUUAAUUUGUAUAUUGACAUAUUAUUAUUGAAAAUAAAGUGGAAGCACUCCAUUUCAACUCAUAUAUUUUGGCUUUAUGUUCAGUAAUCGAAUUUGAGUCUUAUGUGAUUGAUUUUAGUUACAAAUAAUUUAUAUCUUUUGAAAACUUGGACUGGAGAAAAAAAAAUGAAACAGUUUGAGAAGUUCAAUUUGCAGGUAGCUAGAGUGUUUUGUUUGUUGUUCAUUCUGCAUGAAUUUGAUCCUUACCAAUUUAUACUUUUAUUAAAGCUUAAGUUUCUGGAGAAUAGUAUGUUAUUAUAUAUUUUAACACUUUCUUACAAUCUCUUAAUUUGAACUCUGUUGAUCUUAAUUUCCAAAACUGUAGAUUUUAUAGCUGAAGAAUGAUCAAAGGGAACUUUAAAGACUCUUAAAAUUUAGAAUUUAUGAUGCAACAAUGGGAGGAAAAUCUUGCUAAAACCACAUUUCAAAAUACUCGGAACUACUAAAAGGCAAAAGAUGAAAUUAACCACAAAUUAAAUUAAUUUUUUUUUCAAAAUUAUAAAAAAACAUCAUUUGGAUUAGGGAUAUAGUCCAAUCCAUAUUUCUUGAAAUAAAUCAAUUGAUUUUUCAAGUAUUAUAUUUAGAUAUUUGGUUCCUCCAACAAACUUCUUGAACAUUACAUUAGAAUCAUUCAAAGUAUCUUUGAGUUGUUUGCUUUCAAGUGGGAGCUUUUCAAAUUCUCUCCCAUUGUGAAAAAAUUAUAUUGGUCUAAGAUUAGCAACUUCGAGCUUCUUCUUUAAUAUUUUAUUUUCUUCAUCGAAAACAUUAGUGCACUUUUCCUUUAACAAAUCAAUUUUAUUUUUUCAAAAAUUUAUUUUCAAUAAAUAAAGAAGAGUUUGUAGUUGAUGAUUUUAAUUUUUUUCACUUCUUCCGCUAAUGAAGCAUUUUGCUUCUUUUUAGAAAACUAUAUUCAUCAUAUGAAAGGUUUUUUUAUCUUAUUUUCGAGUGCUAUUAAGCAUAAGAUAUGAAUUUGAUCUUCAUGACAUAUCUUUGCAACUUCGCUUUCCGACUCAUCACUGCUAGGCUCGUCGGGCCCAAUUUAGGGCAUUCAAUACUUUCUUCUUGCUUUUCUUAGAAGCUUUAUUUGCAGGUGGACAUUCACUUUUUAAAUGCUCCGGUUUUUGUUAUAAUUGUAACAAAUGAUUCUCUUUGUAAAUCAUUCGACUUUGAGCCCUGCUAUUUUGUGUCUUCUCAAAUUUCUUUGUUUGAUUAGUCGAUCAAGCUUCUUAAUUAGAGAUCAUAAUAAUCUCUUUACUCGAGCCAUCACCCGAGUCUUCUCCGUUUGAGUCUACAACACCUUUAUUAAGUGCUAUAUUCUUUUUCUUUUCGAAAACAUCUUCAUUAUCAUACUCCUUGAGGCAUUGCUCAUGAGCCAUAAGUGACGCUAUGAGCUCCUCAAUUUUCAUUUUAUCAAGGCCAUGGGCCCCUUGAAUUGCCAUAUCCAUUGGUAACUAACUCUUGAAAAGAAUUCGAAAAAACUUGCGCACCAAGUCUGAAGAAAUGAAGUCUCUCCUUGAAACUUUUAAACUAUUUAUGAUGUUAGUGAACGUCGUAAACAUAUUCGCAAUGAACUUACUUUCGUCCAUUUUGAAUAGUUCUUAACUUCACAUUAGUAUAUUUACUUUAGAUUUCUUCACCCGAGAAGAUUCCUCAUGAACAACUUCAAAUUUCUCUCAAGUUUCUUUUGUCGUAGUGCAAAUAGAAAUUCAAUAAAUUUUUUGUCUCUAAGAGCACAAAGAAAUGAGUUGAUAGCUUUGGCAUUUGAUUGAAAUUAAAGUUUUUCGUUACCAUUUCAUUCGGCUCUUAGUUUCUUUUGAGGAAUAUGACUAUUUUCAACUAUAUUUUAUAUAUCAAGAUCAAGAGAUUGAAGGAAAAUUCUCAUGCGAACUUUUUUAAAGGAAUAAUUGAUUCCAUAAAAAAUGGUAGCUACGCAAUGGAUUGUUCUUCAACAUUCUUUCCAAAUAUUACCAUUCUCGUUAGAUGUUAAUCUAAAUAAUGUGAAACCUCGCUCUGAUACCAAUUGAGGAUCGAAAUGGAAACCUAAGAAGGGGUGAAUUAAGUUUUCAAAUUAAAAUACAAAAAAAACAAUCCAAGAAAUUCAUAGUAAAUGAUAACAAGAAGAGUUGGAAAAAUUCAAACUCAAAAAGUACGCAAUCAAUUUGUUUUUGAGAUUCAAUACUUUGCCUACAUCCUCGACAUCUUCUUAAUAUAAAAGAAUAUUGGAUCUCCAUUAGAUGAUACUUUUACAAGCAAACGCCGAGCCUCUACACGAAGAAACUCUUUUCUCCCCAAAAAGAUCUCACAAUUACUUUUUUUUCCUCUCUUUUAUAAAUUGUAUCUUGUUACAAUACUCACUCAAGCUUAGAAAGAGAGUAGAGAGUUAAGAGUAUUGCAUAAUAGCAAUUACAAGUUCAAGGAUCUUAAUUUUAAGGGUUAAAUGCAUACAGGUCCUUGCAAACAUACCCAAUUGCGGAUAUAUCCCUGCAAAAUGGAAACUCCAUAAGUUGUCCCUGCAAAAGUUCAAAGUUAUGCAGAAUUGUCCCUACAGUUAACAUCCGUUAGUGAGCUGUUAAUUUUCUAACAGUGGAUUCGUGAAAUGACAAUUUUGCCCCCACAAAUAUAUCCCUCCAAAAGUCCUAACUGAUAAAUAUUUGCAAAAAUAUCCUCGCAAAAAUACAAACGUGAAANCGCGGGCGGAACACCUGAGGGCUCUCCUGGCAGUUCCAAUCAACUAGGGUUAAGGGCCCACUAUGGUGGUUAGUUAAGUUAAUAGAAUAUAAAAUAACAUAAGAGGGGCAAAAUAGUCAAUUCACAUUAUUAACUAUUCAUGGUUAAGUAGUUUAACUCUGGUUAACAAACUUUCUCUAACAGACUCUAACAGUAGGGACAAUUCUGCAUAACGUUGAACUUUUGCAGGGACAACUUAUGGAGUUUCCAUUUUGCAGGGAUAUAUCCGCAAUUGGGUAUGUUUGCAAGGACCUGUAUGCAUUUAACCCUAAUUUUAAUCACUAAAGCUCUCUAUUUAUAACCAAAAUCCAAAAACUAAUGGUUUCAGUAAUUAUGCACUUUUGGGCAUCCCAAACAUGUUUUCGGGCAUUUGUUUCCAUAAUGAUAUUGCUCCUUAGAGUAAUUUCAGAUGCCCGAAACAGAUUUCGGGUGUUCUGCUCUGGUGACCACUCUCACCUACUCUGCAUAGUGGAAAACAAUAUGCAAUCCUUUGAAAUCCAGGCGACCGAAAUAUCUUUCAGGUGUCCGAAAUAACCGAUUUCAUGAUUUCGGUUCCAAAAUGUGGAGUUUGAAACAACAAUUAGUUCAAAUUCAAAUUUGAUGGUUUUCAAACGCUGGAACAAAUUUCGAAUUCCCAGAACCAUUUUCGGGCGCACCUACGUAGGAUCAGGAUGCCUAGAUCCAACCAUUUGAUUUUCCUUCUUCUAUCCAGACAUUCGAAAUGUGAUGCGAGCAUCCAGAAGCUCUUUCGGAUGCACCUUCAUGCAUUCCAGAUGCCUAGAUGGAUGGAUUCGAAGUCAGAACAUUUCCGGAUGCUACUUUCGGGCGCUCGGUCAAGAGUCCGAAAUCUCUAAUUUGCUGAAAUUUGGUUUUGAAUAGAAUUGGAUGCCAUUGAAUUUUGAUAAAUAGAAUUUUUGGCAUUCUCUUUUAGCACAUAUUAGAUCAUGUUCUAUUUUGGUCUACUAGUGAAGUUACACGCGCAUUGCGACGGGCUGAUGCUAUAGAAGACAAAAGAUUAGAGAUUACAAUAGCUGUAUUCAUGUUGUCUAUAGUCACGGUGUAUAACCCUUUCUACUUAGGGCGAAAAAAAAGAAAAAAAGAAGAGAGUUAUCAUUAAUCAAUGUAAAGAUUAAGAAAGAUUCAAUCUAUAGUAUGCUAUUACUACAAUCUGUUGUUGUUGCUGCUUCUGCAAUCUGUUGCUAUUGCCAUUGCUGCUGCUGGUUGCAAUCCUGCUGUUGGUGCCAUCUGCUGUUGCUGUUGCCGCUUAGAUCUGCUAUUGCUAUAUGUUUUUCACUUGAAACCAUCCCAAUUUUUAUUUGUUUUGAUUCAAAUUAUUUAAGGCGAUCGUAUUAAAGUUUUUAAAAUGGAUGUAUACAAAUAAAAAAAAAGAGGGUCUUCUAAAACAUAGCAAUUGGAUGGCAAAAAUUAACAUGAAUGUAUGCAUGUAUAUACACAUCCAUAUAUGCAUGCAUGGAAUGUAAUCAAAAGUUGUUCCACAAAGCAACCUCUUAAAAGAACAGAAACAUAUCACAUGAGAGCUAUAAUCUGCAUUUUGUACAUAUAUAACAAAAAAAGGUUUCAUAUUGGAGCAUUGCACUCCAAGUCACUUUUAUAUGUACACCACCUGAAGAGAUAAAAAAUAUAGAAGGUACAAAGGCUAACCUAUAUAAAGCUUUUUCUUAUAAAUUUGUCCCCAAAUCAAUCUGUACCUAAAGAGAUAAAAUUGGAACAACAUAAGAUGCACUAAAGCUUAGUAUCCAUGCUCAAUUCAUAUAGAUCCCUGCUUCCAAUAAAAAACUUAGGUUCCAUAAGAUAAAGACAGCAAAAAGAUUAAAAUUCAUAAUAAUUUAAAGACCAAAUUUUAACCGAUAGAAAUAGAAGAAUGUUUGCAUAAAAAGAUUGUACACAUAUGCCCAUGUAUAAUUAUCUACUUACAAGAACAAAGUGUGAAAUUUUUUGACUUAAGAAAAAGAAAUUUCUAUAAGAAAAUACACUUUCGCAGGGCUAAAUAGAAAUAUACUGCUGCCAUUCAAAAAAUAAUGACAUUGGUAUGCAUUUAUUGUAUGUAUUUGUAUAUAUACAUAUAUAAUUAAACAUACGUUAUUCUAUAGAACAAAAUUUUAUGGGAUCUUUACAUAAUUCUUUGAUUCAACAAUUGGAAGUCAAAUUAUUGUGAAAGUUUCAUAAAAAAUUUGAGUGGAGUAAGAAGCAUUUACCUGUUGCGUGUCAGCUGAUACAACAAAAGAUUCAGUAGUCAAUAAUCAAAGGAUUUUAGAUAGAUAACUCUCAUUGCAUUCUCAGUUAAAAUCUAAAUGUAAAAGUAUAUUUAGAAAGUCAAGAUGAUGCCUAACAAUUUGGUUGAACUUAAAUAAUUAACCAAUAAAAGAAGCUUGAUACAAACCAACAAAUAUAAGAAAUGAAUAGUAGGUUGCAAAACAGAAAUGAAAGGCUUAGAUCAUGAUAUAUUCUUGCAUCAUGAGACUCAUUUCUUUUUUCCCUCAUCCAAAUCAAUAUAUUAAAGGACUGAUAGCUGCAACAGUUGCCUAUGUGGAGCUACCAUGCCAUCUAUCAAUAUUGAUCUAAAAAUAGCUAGAAGAGAGGAGAAGGGGCCUCCGUUUGAGAUUAUCUCAUCAAUAUGUAAAAGUUGUCAUCUUUAUCAAUCCUUUUAAGGAACAAUGGUCGGUUAUUGAUCAUCAUCGCUUAUUAGACAACUGUACACAAAGAUGAUCUUGCAUAUCCGCCUUAUUCAAUUUGCUUAAAUUAGCAAGAUGUAUUGGCAAAAAGAGUCAAUAGGGCACUUAGGAAGAUUUGGGAUUCUAGCAAUAGGGAACACGGCAAAGAUGCAGGAAGCAAGCACAAUGUUAUUCUAUACUAUUACAUUAGUAAAGAAAAAAUAAUUGAAAUAAAAUAUAUGAAAUCACUAAAGUAAUUUGGUUAUGACAUUAGUGACAUGUAUAUGAAGCAUAUAUACAGAGCAAGACCAACAUGCAAUAAUAAAUUGUUGAAUUACUUCAAAAAAUAACAUAAGCUUAGGUUUUUUUUCAAUCCAGAAAAUUAAUUAAUAAAUAGAUAAAGAUAUGUUCUAUCUAUAUACAUAUAACUAUAUUGUUUAUUUGUUUGGCUUAUUUCAACAAAUAUCUCAAAGCACUCAAGGAAUCGAGCAUCUUUGCAAGCCUGCAAAGCCCUCCGAUGGCGAUCUCACAGACAUCGCGGUCGAGGCGGCGGGGGGAGUUGGCGCAACAGAGCCAGAAGAAGACCUUGGCUUAUUCGAGUUCAAACUAGUGGGGUGCGAUAAGCAUGGCGAUUGCUUGCCUUCUAAUUUAGGACAAGUAAGAGAUAUUAUUCCAAACCAAUAGAUUAUUCAAAAGAUGUGAAGAAAUUUAUAGAAAUGAACUGAGGAUUAACGAAAGAAGCUUCAUGUUUCAAUAUGUGAUUGUUUCAACAUGAUAAGGAAAGUACUGCAUUUUCGUGAGCAAAAUAAUUUGCAUCUUCGACUAUCAGGAAUCAUAAUAUGGCCAAUGUAAAAUUUUCAAUCUCCAAAUUUGUUUUAAAAUACUACCCACUGCAAAAUACCGAAGCAAGGAAAGAUAAGAACUUCUAAACAAAUUGAAGAGGAAGAUAUGUCAAUUCAGCAAAAAAAUACUGAAAAUUAGCAUUACACAGUUGGUUAUGAGAUUGAAUAUAAGAAGAUGGAAACAAUCCAAUAUUUAAACUAAUAUAAAAUGGAUCUUUUGAGCUAAAUAAAUUUAAAAAAGCUAUGCAAUUCCAAGAACUAAAAGAAAAUAUCAGCCCAAUUAUUCAAUAUUGGAAGAAAUUCAAAAAGAACUAAGGAAAAGUCUCUCCAAAAAAUGCCAAAAAAAAGAAGAAAAAAAUUUAAAAAAAAACUCUGGGGGCAAAGUACAAUCCAAAUCUUGGAAUGCAAUAGCAUCUAUAAACUCAAGAAAGCAGAAGUACAUUCAGCAAUCUCAUAUUCAAUUAGGGCAUGUUUGGUUCAUGAUUGGAAUAGGAAUAGGAAAUGGAAUUGGAUUGCUUUGGAAUGGAAAAUGAAAUGACAAAUCAUCUAAAAAUAUUUGGUUCAUUAUUGGAAUGGAAAUCGGAAUGAAAAUUUAAAAUUUUUGAGAGAGGGUUUUGAUUAAGAGAGAGGAAAGUACUGAAGGGAGAGGAGGUAGGUGUUGAUGAAAGAGGAUUUUGAAUAGUUUACUUUAGAAUGAGCCAAUUCAGAAUUCAAAGCCGGAUUAGAUCAUAAAUGGAUUUAGCCAUUCCCAUUCCGAAGUGGAAUGAAAAUCGGAAUCCGAUUCCUAUAAAACAAACAGCAACUAUCAGAAUUGUUGGAAAUAAUAGGGCAACGAAAACUUACAAACCGGAUAGCCAACGUAUCCGGGAACCGGAAUUGGAUCGUAUUGCUUAUUUUACAAGCCUUCUUGGAUCGUCCUUGUCUCGAUGCUUCUGGAUCUCCCACGUUUCUCGCCUUCUCCCAUGCAUACGCCUUACGCCACGGAUCGGAUGCGGAUCUGAUGCGACGGAUGCCAAUCGAAGAGGGCUACCAGAGUCCUCUUCUAUGUCCACACUCCAAAACCCCAAGAACGUAGGUGGAAAUCCCACUGAUGAAGAAGAGAGAGAAUAAGGAAGAUAUUUCGUGGGUUCUUACCAAUUUGAUCGUAUGCGAUCAUCUUUUUUUCCGGAGAGAAAAGGGGGCGUCUAUAUAGAAUAACGGAACCCCUAAAUAUCCUGAAUCUCAUAUAGAUUAGGAUAAGGAUCAGGAUAUUUAUUAACAUAUAAUAGAUAUCCACUAGUAGAUACGUUUCUUAACUAAUAAGAAAUAUAUGAUUUAUUCUUAUCCUAAACUUAUUAGGAUAAAUUCCAAUCUACAUCUUAAGUGGAUCGGGUUAAAUUAAAACCCGCCAAUGUAGACACACCACAUGGCUACAAUCUUCCACUUGGCCACAUUGGCCAAUUCUCUCUUAUUCAUUCAUCUCUUCAUAUGGGUAAUGGAGCGUGUGACCUGAUGAAAGAAACACAUGCAGGAGUGCUAUAUUAAGUCACCACCCAACUAACAUAGCACAUCACUGACUUAAUUCGUCUAUGCCUUAGACGUUUCAACACACAUCUGAUCAAGCAUCACAAAGUCCCUCUCCUGUAAUGACAGGGCUCGACCCCAUCGUUAUUUCUCGUACUCAUGAUUAUCUCAAGUAACACAACCGGGAUAAUCGCCAAGGCAAUGAGUCACAAGACGUACGUGGUGUGUUAUUGAAACAUCUUCCUCAGCCCCUCACGUUAAUCCAUAUUGGUCCAAGUACUUUACUAGACAUGCUCCGCGAGAUCGUAUUUUCUUAUGACCCUGAGAUACAUGCUAAGUUAGUUACUUUGGACCUCCACUUCAUAACAUUAUUCUAAGUCGAGGGCACAAAAGGGUUAGUGCUCACACAGUGACAUGGAGGGAAGAACUUAUGUCACUCUACUAACUGGUCGACAAGCACAUACAGUAUGAUAUGUAUGCUAUGGCGGAGCUCCCAUUCAAUGGGUCAUGUCACACUCUGAAAAACGCCAUAUGAACCUUGGUCUAGGUACCACUAAGGUAUCUAACCACCAUAACUCAAAUCAUCUCUCUAACCUAAGCACUUAGGUUCGGCUACUAUACAGGCUCGAUAUGAAAUUCACAAAAACUUUCAUAUCUGACUCUUUAGAGUCUCAUCUUAAACUAAUUAAGGCGACUUUAAAUUAUAUCAACACUUCAUUCAUAACAUAUAUAAACAAAGUAAUCAAAUUACAACUACUCAAGUUUAAUAUGAUUAUCUAGUCUCAUCCUGCUCACCACUUAGGUGCUAGGGCGAUCACCCGUGUGAGUGGGCAAAUCUGAGCCUGGUGACUUAACGAAUAUGUGCCUACUAAUAUCAAUUACGCUAUCUCAUUAAAAGAAAAAAUAUAUUUUCAUUAAUAAAUCGUAAGAUACAAAAUAAUGUCCAUAUCAAAACCUACGCAGACCCAAACUCUUAACGUGGGUCAGGAACAUAUCCCUAGCUAUCGGCUUGGUCAACGAAUCAGCCACCAUCCUAGUGGUGGAAAUAUGUCUAAGAAUGACCUCGCCUAGCCUAAUCAUCUCUCGAAUGUACUGAAAACGGAUAUCUAUUGGUCCUGCCAUGAUACUUGGGAUCUUUCACAUACUCCAGGGCAGCCAUGCUGUCAGAGAAUAUCUCAACAGGUUCACUUGCUCUAGUCACGAUGUCGAGGUGCUGGAGAAAUCUCCUCAGCCAAACAGCCUCCUGAACGGCCACUGAACAAGCAAUGUACUCCGCUUCAAUGGUUGACAAGGCAAUACAGCUCUGCUUCUUACUACACCAGGAAAUUGCCCCACCUCCAAGCAUAAACACGUAGCCUGAAUUGGACCUGCGCUCAUCUCUAUCACCACCCCAAUCAACAUCACUAUAUCCUUUCAAUCUCAAGUCCCCAUCUUGAAAACACAGAACGAGAUCACUGGUUCCUUUUAAAUAUCGAAGGAUUCUCUUAACCGCUUGCCAAUAAAUAGGUCCUGGGUUGCUCUGGUAACGACUUACCAAGCUAACAGCAAAGCAAAUGUCAGGUCGAGUACACAUCAUAGCGUACAUCAACUGCGAAUUGCACUCGCAUAAGGAACCCUACUCAUUUGCUCCUUUUCUUUAUCCAUUUUAGGGUACUGAUCAAGACUCAGAGUGUGAUUCUUUUCCACUGGAGUGUCAGUGGGUUUGCAAUGAUGCAUCCUAAAAUGCUCUAGAAUCUUUUUAAUAUAAGUUUCUUGAGACAAACCAAGAAGCUUUCUAGAGAGAUCACGGAUGACCUUCACUCCAAGCACAUAGCUCGCCUCACCUAUGUCUUUCAUUUCAAAAUUGAGAGAUAACCACUCCUUAGUGGUAUUAAUUAACUCUAUGUCAUUUCCAGCCAAUAGUAUACCGUCGACGUAUAGAGAGAGAAACAAAAUCCCAUUCUCUAUCUUCUUGACAUAUACACAGUGGUCCUCCUCUAUCAUGGACAUACCGAUAGAGGUGAUGGCUUUAUGAAACCUGAAAUACCACUGUCUUGACGACUGCUUGAGACCGUAAAUGGAUCUUUUAAGAUGACAAACUUUGUCUUUUUAAUCUUUGAGUACAAAAUCCUCAGGUUGAUCCAUAUAAAUCUCCUCCGCCAAUUCUCCAUUGAGAAAAGCUGUCUUGACAUCCAUUUGGAACAAUUCCAAAUCUAGGUGUGCCACUAAGGCUAGAAUCAAAUGAAUAGAGGCAAAUCGCACAACGGGAUCAAACGUCUCGUUGUAAUCCACCCCUUGCCUCUGAGUGUAGCCCUUAGCCACGAGCCGAGCCUUAUAUUUAUCGAUUGAUCCAUUUGCCUUGCGCUUAAUUUUUAAAACCCAUUUAUUUCCAAUAGACUUGCGCCCAGGCGGAAGGUCAAUCAAUUCCCAUACUUGGUUCUUGCUCAUGGAGUCCAUCUCAUCUUUCAUAGCAGCCAUCCACUCACUGCAAGCUGACGUCUGUAGUGCUUCUUUAUAAGAAGCAGGUUUAUCAUCAUCGAGCGGAGUGCACAUAAAAAUAUCCCCUUCGAUCUCAAAAUGUCGACGGGGAAUAUGUCCACAUUCACUUCUACGUAAUGGAGGGUCUAAAUUGCCGACUUCCAAGGGUAUGCUCUCAUUCAAGGAAGCACUCCCACUAGCCGAAGGAUCGCUACCACUUCCUUCAGCGACUUCGGGAAGUGAUCGAUCACCCUCAAUAGCAGAUGGGGUAGCGUCGUCCUGUAACUCAUACAAUCCGACGUCUCUUCGCAUUUCACCAAUGCUUGGAAAAUUCCCUUCUAGGAAUUCCACAUCACGAGACUCAAUCUCGGUCAUACCACCAUCUGGGUGUUCACCAUACAUCACAUAGCCCUUCGAAUUUUCAGGGUAUCUGAUGAACACAUGCUUGCUUGCUCUAGGAAGUUUCCCGAAUUUAUGUGAGAGGCUGUGAACAUAUCCAGCCAAACCCCAAGGGCGUAAGUAGUGUAAACUUGGCUUUCUACCACUCCACAACUCAUAUAGGGUGGUAGGCACUAAUUUGCUAGGGACUCAAUUAAGGAUGUAGGCUGCAGUCAAAAGAGCAUCUCCCCAAAAAUUUAUAGGAAGUUGCGCUUGCGCCAUCAUCGACCUAACCAUGUCUAAUAGAGUACGAUUCCUUCGCUCUGCAACACCAUUUUGUUGCGGAGUACCAAGAAUAGUGAGCUGUCUACUAAUGCCCUUUUCCUCACAAUAAGUCUUGAACUGAUCAGACAAGUACUCACGACCUCGGUCAGUGCGAAGCACCUUUACACUUCUUUCUACUUGAUUCUCAGCCUCUUCAACGAAGCGCUUGAAGCAAUCGAAAGCUUCAGAUUAGCGAGAAAGCAAAUACACAUAUCCAUAACGGGAAUAAUCAUUAAUGAAUGUGAGAAAAUAGCACGCACCAUGUCGGGCCCUCACAUUCAUUGGCCCACAAAUGUCAGAGUGGAUUAGCUUUAAAGGAUGAGAGGCAUGAGUAGCCUUACCAAAAGGCUUUCUACAUGCCUUCCCUGCCAGACAAGACUCGCACACAGAUAGGUCAACUUUGGCGAGAGACCCCAAAAGGCCUUCUCGAGCCAGUCUAUUCAUUCUUUCUUGACCUAUAUGACCCAAUCUGGCAUGCCAUUUAAUGGAUUCAUCACAGAGAAUAGAUGAAGAAGAAGAAGAAGAAGCAAAUGCAAACAAAUCAUCCUCCAAAUCUAAUUUAAAGAAAUCAUCAACUAAUGUACUAUAUCUAAAUAAAGUACCAUGAAAAGAAAUAUUAAGGCGGUCUCUGUCAAAAUGAAAUGAAUAUCCUAGAUGCAACAAAGCUAAAACUGAACAUAGAUUACAUCGAAUUCCGAGUGCAUAUAGCACGUCCUGAAGAAGUAAAGUGCGGCCACCACGCAACUUGAGUUGGUACGAACUGACUCCUAGGACUUCUUCCUUCCUGCCAUUCCCAAGGGUGACAAACUGUGUGCCAGACGGUACUCGAUGAUAAUCUACGAACCCCACUCGGUCACGAACUACGUGUUUGUUUGCUCCUGUAUCCACAAUCCAAUCAGGAAGAGAAUGAGCUACUAAAGCAUGAGAGCAAACAAAACAGUGUGAGUUGAGUUAUAGGGUUACCUUUUUCAGCUCAGGACAAUUCCGAGCGAAAUGACCCUUCUUUUUGCAAUUGUAGCAUUUUAGCUUUGUAGCAUCCUUAUUGCCAACGCGCUUGCCUCUGCGACACUUUCCAACUCCACCCUAAGGAGCUUGAUUCUAUUUUUUCUGCACUCCAUUGUUGUGAUGCUUUUUGCGCUUGGGUGCAAUCCCACUACGCUUCUCGGAGCGUGCAACAAGAGCGACAGAACGGUUCACUUCUAAGCGCUCUGUCUCGAGCUCGAGAUGGCGCGAGAUGUCAUUAAACGUUUUAAUGUUCUCGCUAUGCGUCAUCAGGAGCUUCAUCUGGGACCAUUCAGUAUCAGGGAGUGAACGAAUCACUGCUAGAACUUGUUGCUCAUCAGUGAGCUCGUUUCUGGCAGCCUUAAGGUCCCGAAUCAUGGCGCUCAUCACACGAAGGUGCUCAGCCAUUGAAUGCUUCGGGUCUUUAAUGUACUGUAGAAACUUGAGAUUUAAGGCACGUAGCCUCGUAGAUGAAGUUUGACCAAAAGUAAUUUUCAAAUUGUCCCACAUGUCCUUGAAAGUUUUAAAGAUCUCAAACUGUCCAAUGAGGUCGUCUUGCAUGGCACACAACAUAGUGUACCGAGCAGUUCGAUCCUCCUUGAUCCAUUUGUUAUAGAUCUUUUUCAUGCUCAGAAGCUGUGCCUUCGGCAGACAUAACUCUUUUGACAGAAAGGGUUUCAAGAACCCCUUGUUCAUUAAGCAGGUAUUGCAUUUUCCUAUGCUAAAUAUCAUAAUUCUUUCCAUUUAACUUAUCACCCCUGGUGAGAUCAGCUAUGAUGUUUUUAGAAGUCAUUUCACUACAUUCAAAAAAUAGGUUUGGACAUUAGGCACAUAUUCCUAAAAAAAUUAACAAGAUUGAAACAUUAUCCUCGACACAAUGGGAUCGAAAACUUCGCUAUGCUCGUAAUCAUCACCCAGUGUCGGUUCAAAAUAUUGCAAUCUUAUUAAUUUUCUAUUAAUUUUGAAACUUAUCCAAAAUAUUGAAACUCAUCCAUUUUGAAGAACAUAUCCUUUUCUUGAAAAAUAUUUAUAUAAGGAAAACUUAUCUCAUAAUAUCAUCACACAGACAAAAAUUAAGUACUUAUGUCAAAAUUUAAUUUGAAAAACGUUUACGCUGCUGCGCAAAACACAUUCCUUUACAUGGCCAUAAUUAUUACAUCACUUUUGCAUAAUUAAAACCUACUACAUCACUACAAGAUGUACAUCAGAAAAAUAAUAUUCUACAGGAAUGCUGCACACGUCGAACUCGUUUUUCCAAAAUUAAAUUUGAAAAAACACCGAAACAACACAAGUACUUAUAUGCCAAAAGAUUUUAUACAAGUAUAAUAUGCUACAUAAGCAUAAAAAAAACAUCCACAUAGGAUAGAUUAAACAAACAACACAUGCAUGUUAUAAAAAUGGCAUACAAGCAUAGAAAAAAAAAAUAUGUAUUCAAAAAAAAAAAUUAUCAUGCAGGAAAUAUAAAUAUCCACAUAGGAAAUUUUAUUUUAUUAAAAAAAAAAAUCUCUGCACUGCGAGCCGGGCCGGGCACGCAGGGUCGCUAUUCUGCGCGCAGCAGGCCAGGCCGGGCCUGCAAAAUCGCCGGCAGAACNCGCCCGCAGCACGCGGCGGGCUCGGGCCGGGCCCGCAGGCCCCCCACACUGCUGGCGGGUACCGACUCGCAAUGAGCCAGGGCCCGCGCUGUGCGGGCGGGUGAGCCCCGCUCCCGCAGCGGGCCGAGCCGCGCAGUACGGGCGAGUGCACCCCGCUCCGCAGCGGGCCAGGCCACGCGGGUGCAGGCGGGUGCGCCCCGCUCCCGCAGCAGGCCGGGCCGCGCGGUGCGGGCAGGUGCGCCCCGCUCCCGUAGCGGGCCGGGCCGCGCGGGUGCACGCGGGUGCGCCCCUGUGCCUGCAGCGGGCCAGGCUUGCGCGGUCUGGGCGAGGGAUCAGACCGCCCCCACAGCGCGGUGCACCCGGGUGCGACCCGCGCCCACAGCGGGCUGGGCCCGCACACGCAGCAGGCCGAGCCUGCGCGGUGCGCGGGGGUGCGCGCCCUAGCCCGCUCCCGCAGCAGGCCGAGCCUGCGCAGUGCGCAAGGGUGCGCGCCCGAGUCUGCAGCGGGCCGAGCCCGCGCGGUGUGCGCCACCGUCCGCAGCGGGCCGCGUUGAGCCCCAAACGGUCGCAAACAGCGAUUUUAUUAUAUAACAUGCAUUAAAAAAAAAUCACAUGUCCUGAUUAAUUUAAAGAAAAAAUUAAAACUAAUUUAAUUUUUCUUUUCCAUAUAUAUUUUUUUUUAACCGAUUUCACUUAGAAACUGAAAAAAUUGUAGAACCAAUGUACAUAAAAAAUUGAUCGAUAAACAUGCGAUCCAAAACAAAUAUGCAUCACAGACAUGAUCAUAAGGCGAAAACAAGCACACAUUCUCUGAUACCAACUGUUGGAAAUAAUAGGGCAACGGAAACUUACAAACCGGAUAGUCAACGUAUCCGGGAGCCUGAAUCGAAUCGGAUUGCUUGUUUUACAAGCCUUCUUGGAUCGUCCUUGUCUCGAUGCUUCUGGAUCUCCCAUGUUUCUAGCCUUCUCCCACGCGUACGCCUUACGCCACGGAUCGGAUGCAGAUCUGAUGCGACGGAUGCCAAUCGAAGAGGGUUACCAGAGUCCUCUUCUAUGUCCACACUCCAAAAUCCCGGGAACGUAGGUGGAAAUCCCAGAGAGGAAGAAGAGAGAGAUUAAGGAAGAUAUUUCGUGGGUUCUUACGAAUUUGAUCGUAUGCGAUCGUCUCUUUUUCCAGAGGGAAAAGGGGGAGUAUAUAUAGAAUAACGAAACCCCUAAAUAUCCUGAAUCUCAUAUAUAUUAGGAUAAGGAUCAGGAUAUUUAUUAACAUAUAAUAGAUAUCCACUAGUAGAUACGUUUCUUAACUAAUAAGAAACAUAUGAUUAUUCUUAUCCUAAAUUUAUUAGGAUAAAUUCCAAUCCACAUCUUAAGUGGAUCAGGUUAAAUUAAAACCCGCCAAUGUGGACACACCACAUGGCUACAAUGGAAUCAAUGAAUUCCGUUCUGAUUCCAUUGUCUAAAAUAGGUGAACUAAACAUGUCCUUAGUUCUUCCUUGAAAAAAAUACAACCACUUUCUCUCAUAAUUAUUUUAGAUCUGCAACUUUCCUAUGUACAAAUUGAGAUCCUCAACUUACAAUUUGAAUCAAUAAAAUAGCAUCUUUUAUUUCUAGUAGAAAAUUUUUUAGAAACAAAAUAUUUCUAAUAUCGGAUCUGACCAAAAUAUGAAGAACACAUGAAUAAAAAGAAAAGGAGAACCAAACCCAAUUAGAAUUUUCAAAGAUUGAACCAAUCAGCCAUGGGAAACCAAAAAUUUUGGAGCAUUAUGUUCAUUUAAAGAAGGUUUGGAUAGUAAAAAUGAAAGCUAAAAAAAAAAAGGAGAUCCAAUGUCAAUACCAUCGCCAAAAGCCAGCCAACGUCUCUAGCGGCUACGGCGAGAUAAGAUGAUGACAUUUAUUGCGUUGGGGUGAGAAGCGAAGGAGGCGCCAUAGCUUUGGUGACCAACAACAAAUCAAACGGCAAGUUUGAUGAGAUUCGGAUCCAACCUAUGAAACGGAAAGAGGAGAGGGAUGAUGCGGCGGAAAGGGGAGAGGUAAUGCCGUAUCGAAACGUUGAGGGAAGAGGGAACGCGCGGUGGAGAGGAGAGAAAGAGAACAUGCUGCCGAGAGAGGAGAGGUUUACGAUCCGUACAAAAACACAGAGAUGAGAGAGAUUCACAGGAAAAAUGACAGUCCGGUUCAGAAGCAUGGUUCGGUUCAGAGAAUUGUACAAACAAUACGGAGAGGAGAGAGCAGCAGUUCGGUUCGGGGACGGUUCAAAAAGGGACAAGUGAGAGAGAGGAGAGAAGUGGUCCGGUUCAGGAAAAAAACGCGGUUAGGAUUAGAUAAGCUGUUUGGUUCAAAAGAGGGGCAAGUGAGGGUGAAGGAUAGGCUGCCACAUGGCAAAAUUAAGAGAAAUAAUAAUCAGGAAUAGAUAGAUGUGAGCUUUUAGAUGGUUAAAAAAUAUUUAAUUUAAUUCAGAAAUUAUCAACUCUAAUUAAAAAAUGAAUAAAGCUACAUUUAAACUCUAAAAGGAUCAAAUGUAGUCUCUUUGACUAUAGAUGGCUUCAAAUCAUGAAACUCAAUUCCUUAAAAUUUGCCCUCCUGGAGUUUUUUCCAAAUUUGAGAGAUUUCUAAACAAAAUCUAAGUGUAAAGAUUUAGUCCAAAUUUCAUAUUAUUUUUAAUCAUCAAAACUUAUAGAUGAGAGGGCCACUAGGCCAACAUUUGGCUCGUUAAUAAAUAAGCCAAACACGAAUUGAAUUUUUGAGCUUGAUAUUUUAAAGAGUUAGCUCGUGCUCUGCUCGAGUUGAACACGAGCUUAUUCCAACUCUUACGUAUGUUCGGCUCGUUGCUAACCCAGUUGAACGUACACAAGAAGACUCAUUUGCAAUAGUUGCAACUGCGCCAAAUUGGGCUGCAGUUUCUAUUAUAGUAAUCAAAAGGAGUAAUCUUUGAUGGAAUGUAAAUUUGACUCCCAUAUCACCUUGAUAUAUAAUAUAUAGGGUUAAUUGCAUACACUUUCCUAUAAAUAUAACGAAUUGCAAAUAUAUUCCUGCAAAGUUUAACUUUUUUAUGUUAUCCCGGCAAUCUUAAUAUUUUCGAAUAUGUCCCUACUAAUACUUAACCAUGAUUAGUCAAUGAGGUAAAUUGACAUUUUUACUCAAUCAAAUUCUAACAAUGAGACUUUUCUUCUUCUCCCUCUUCCUCUAUCUCCUUCCUGCUAGUUUCAAACCCGUAACUAAAAUUUUUUUGUCCCCAUUCAUCCACAACGCGAGUUAAGUUGUCCAUAUCGAACGUGUGUUGCUUCUCCAUUCAAUCUCCUCUAUAAUUCUUUUUCUUAUUUUGCUCAAAAGAAAGGGUUUAAGAAAAAAGGAGUAAGAGAAGAGGUUGCAAUAAUGAAGGAUUGGGUUGAAUUUUAAAGAGAAAGAAAAUGAUCAUUGAAAAUGUUUGGGAGGAUAUUUCUGCACAAUUAUAGCAAUUGGGUCUCAACCAGAGUGACAAAUAUGAAUAUCACUGGACUUUGUAGGAACAGUAUAAAAAAGUUAAACUUUGUAGAGAUAUAUUUGCAAUCGCUUUAUUUACAGAAAACUGUAUGCAAUUAACCCUAAUAUAUAUAUUUGUAUAGAAAAUUGGGAUAUUGUUACUACUGUACAUAUAAAAUAUAAAAGCAGUAAAUAAAUGUUUUAGUUACAUGUAACCAACCAAAUUAUUUAUAUUUGAAAUGCUUUUUAUUAUAUCUAAUCAAAACAAAAUGCAUAUUGUUAUUGCUGUUAUAUUUUUAACUACUUAUAUUUUUUUACUAUAUUGUAUUUAUAAUUAUAUUCAACUACAUAUAUUUUUUUAACUACAUUGUAUUUAUAAUUAUAUUCAACCAAGUGGCUUCUUAGCUAGAUAUAUUUAAUUAUAGAACUAAUGUGGAGGAUCAUGCACAUUGUAACUAUCAUAGGGCCCACAAGUUAUGUAAUUUUCUUAUUGAUAGCUUGCUCAAAUAAUAUAAAAAUCCACCCAAAAUUAAGGAUAAAUUACAAGUAUAUUUUAAUAAAUUUCACAUUAUUUCUCCUUCGCUCACAUCCACAUCAUUCUAAGGAAAAAGUAUUGUAAAGUCAAAAAAAAAAAAAAAAAAAAUCAAUUGUUGCUUUCCAUUUCCUCAGUUAACCAAAUAGUUCAAACCCCCUUUUUUUUUUUAAUUAAAAUAAUGUGAUCGGAUUGACAUAUAAUUAGAAUGAGAAUAAAAAAUAAAAUUCAAUUGCAUUGAAAUGAAAAUAUAGAACGGGGAAUCAUCUAAAAGUGUUUGAUUCAUUAUUAAAAUGGAAAUUCGAACAGAUGCUUUGAAUUUUAAGAGAGGAUUUCAGAUAAGAGAGAGGAGUAAGAUGAAAGGAUAGGAGGAGGGGGUGUUUGUGAGAAAGGAUUUUAAGUAGUUUAUUUUUGAAUAGACAAAUUCAGAAUUCAAAGUCGGAUUAUCUUGGCUUAAAGAAGUCAGCAUAUUGGGCCGAGUCACGUUCAAAAUAGCAUGAGGCCGGAUCAAAUCGAGUCAUAAUUAAAAUGGUGUGAGGUAGGUUGGUCUGAGUCACAAAUCGAAAUCCAUGGUGCUGUCUCUAUGCGCUUUAAGUGAAUUAGUUGUAUCUUUUGAACAGCUCGAUCUUUUAGGAUUAAUGGCUAGCACCAACAAUCCAACAGAUUAGAUCAUAAAUGAAUUAACCUAUUUUCAUUCUAGAGUGGAACGUAAAUCUGAAUCCGUUUUCUAUAAAACAAGCAACUAUUAUCACAAUCGGUGAAACUCAUUCUAAUUUCAAAGUCUAAAGUAGAUGAAUCGAACAAGCCCAAGCCCUUAACGACAACCUCACCCACAAGCUCAUCAUUUAAAUAAAAAAAAUAUUGAAAUAAAAAAAUUACACCGUAAGGAAUCUUAUUAUGUUUUGUGCGAAAACACAAUACUUGCACACGUAGCUUCCAAACGCACGCAACAGAAUAAAAUUAUUUUUAGUUGCAAUGCUCUUCAGUAGAUACUAGCCGAAUGUACGUACAAUGGGCCCCUAUCCAAUCAUUUACAUACUAACAAAAGAACAUUCAACAACUAUCAUUUUAUAAUGACCAUUAUUAUACCCUUACAUGAUGCUAAACCCUAACACCCAAACCCUUUAAACUGGGGCAACACAUAUUGCAUGGGAGUUCACACAUAAGUAGCUCAUAGUUCUAUGUUUUUGGCUAAAUUAUGAAAGGCUUUUUUAUACUUUAGUUUUGGCCUGAAUUACUCAUGGCAUUGAAAAUUAUAGUAAUUACCAUUCUAUAUAUAGUUUGUCAUCAUCUCAAAUAGAUUUAAAAAUUUAAAAAAAAUCGAUAAAAUUGACAGUAAAACUUCACUGAAAGAAAUUGGCAUAGUCUAUUGUUCUAGAUCUAAUAUCUAAUUUGCAACUCAAAAAAAAAAAAAUAAAAUAAAAUAAAGAAGAUCUCUUAUUUUACUAUCGAAAUUGAAAGUUUGUGAAUUUAGUUUUUAUGCUUCUGUUGCAUUACUUAUAUAUAACUUUAUCUGUAAAUUUAUUUUUACAAAGUUUUAUAGCUGAAGUAGUUAGAUGUAUUUUAUUUUAGAUAAUGAGGAAAUGUAGGGGAUAAUUGAUGCAAUUUUUUAAAUUAAUGAAGAGAAAGAGGAAACUUGGAUAAAUUUGUAUAGUUUUAAUUAAUAGCCAUUUGAAAGAGAUAACAAUCAAUUUUCAACGGUCAAUUGAAGAGAAAAUUUAAAUUUACGAGGCUACAAAUAUGCAUAAUAAUAAAGAGGACCCAUUUUUUCGUUAUUACUACGCAAUUAAUCAUACCCCAAAAAAAACAAAAAAAAAAAAAAGAAAGAAAAAAAACAAAAAUAGAGAAAAAAAAAUCACUCUGCUUAUAGAAAUUAUACCAAGCAUUAACUUGUAACAUUCAAUAAACUCUGAUUCUUGCUAUAAAGAUACUAUUUUUAUUCUAAUUUGAAUACAAAAUUAUUCCCGGAAAAAUAAAAAAAAAAAAAAGAAAAACUCGCUCCUCCCAAAAUUCUCACACAAAAUUUUCUAAAUUCUAUAUAUGGACUCCAAAUUCACCAAUUUCACUUAUUCUUACGCAUAUUCGCAUUUUCACUAGUUGAAAAUGCUGCAGCUACAAACAUUACAUAAAAUUUAUACGAUCAGCGGCGAAUGUCAACCGUCGCCCAGCUUUAAAUUUCGUGCCAUUAAAGUGUAUACGCAUUUGUCGCAAAUUGCACACAAAGUCCUUGAACUUUGGACCAACUCUUCUUAUAUUGUUCCGAAUAAAAGUUUCGAAUUACAAAAUUUUGAAAAUAUCUUUAUUUUUAUUAUUCAUAUUUGUUCGACACGCCCGUAUGUAAUAUCCGUGCAUCAUAUGCAAUCUCAUAUUUACUUCAAUCUAUUACGAGGGUGGAUUGAAAAUAUAAGAUGAAUAGAAAUUUCAUAACUAUAAUAAUAAUAAUAAAAUAUAACUAUCUAAAUUCUAAUAUAUAUAUAUAUAUAUAUAUAUAUAAUUUUUUUUUUAUUAUUUUUUUUUUUUUCUCCAUCUGAUUUUUUAAUUUUUUAAUUUUGCAUUUGGGGAUAUGAAUGAAAAGUGCAAACUCACGCCCGGCGCCCACCGUAAGCCGCCGUCCCCGCGUCACGCCGUGGUGAGGCAGGCGGGCCCCCCCCACCAGGCUCGGAUCCCGUCGCGCCCGCGCGCCUCUUCUUGGCUCUCGUCGCCGCCGCCCCCACCCCACCUCCCCUCCUCAGCCUCCGCCUCCGCCUCGGGAUCCGUGGCGGCGUCGUCAUCCGCUCGGGAUCCGCGUCGUCGUCGGCGACGAGGUCAAUAUGAGCGUCCGUCGGCGGCGGGAGGCGCGGAGGAUGUCGGGGGGCCGUUCGAUCCGACCUCCGUGAUCACGACCCUCCCUCCCCCCUCGUCGCCCGCAGGAACCUCCUCCUCCCCCGCCACCACGUAUCGGCGGCGGAAACCCUAACCCUAACCGAUCCCCUCCCCCCUCUCCUCCCCCUCGUCUCCGACCCCUCCUCCUCCUCCUCCUCCCCCGCCGCGCCGCCUCCGCCUCUGCCAUUACCUCCCCCCGUCGCAGCUCUCCGAUCCGAGGCUCUCCGUGCACAGCCGCAGAUCCCCCGAUCCAGCUCUCGAGCAGUCCCCUCGCCCCGCGUCACCCUCUCCUCCGCCGCCGCCGAGGGCUCCACACGGGCCUCGCCGCGCGCGGCGGAGGAGGAGGGGGACGGCGGAGGGAUCCGCCGCGCGCGGCGGCGGCGGGGCGGCGGAGGCGAAGGAAGGCGAGGCCGCUCCGCGUCUUCGGGGCGGGAGGCUGCGGCACCGUGCCGGCGCGGCGAAGGCGAAGGCGGAGGCGGCGGCGGAGGGUGAGCCGCCGCGCGAAGGAGCUCCGGCGAUCGGCGGGGUGAAACCCUAGGAGCAAGGUAUGGACGCUCCUGCAUAUACUCAGCAUAGCAUUUGAUCCCCACACCCCUUUUGCCUCUUUUCCAAUUAUUUCUUUUUCCAAUUUUAUUUUAUUUUUUACUAUAAUAAUAAUAUUUAUAUAUUUUUUGUGGAAAUGAGAAACCGUUGCCGUGUGAUGUGUGCGAGUGUGAGAGCGGAGGUGGAAGGAGACGCGGUCGUAUAUAUAAAGAGGGGAGAGCGAGCGCACGGAAACGGUAAUAAUUGCCAAAUCAUCUCGUAGACCGGGUCUAUAGACCGGUACGGUCGAGUUUCAAUACUCAGCUCCAUUUAGAGUGCCGGUCUAGGGAUGACGUGAUACACCAGGUCUAGGGCGUUUCGUGCACAUUCUGCGGAAUAUUUGGCGAAAAUGUACGACGACACCCUCAAGUUUUGACCGGUCCGAAAUGGCUCCCUCGGCGUUAUAUUUUUUAUUUUUAUUAUUAAAGUUUAAUUGAUCAAACUUUGUACAUGAAAAUAUUAUUGGAUGUGAUUUGAAUUAAUUUGCCAAAAUAUGUAACGGUUUUAAUAUAUAUAUAUAUAUAUAUAUAUAAACAAAUUUGAUUAUUGUAGAUUGGAUUUGACAUAGAUUUUUAUAGUUUCACACAUGUAUUAAAAAAAAAAAACCAACUGUUCAUGAGAAUUACCCCUUUUAGUUUCAUUGCAAGUAAUAAAAAUAAGGUGGAAUAGGAAAAAUAAAUUGAUAAUGAAAUUCAAUCAAGUUCUAUUUAUUUAAAAUAAAAGAAUUUAUGACAAAAAAAUUAAUUCAUUUGAACUCAAGAAAUUGCAAAUUUAUUCAUUUUACUUGGAAUUGUUCAUGCUUCUAAUUAUUUCUCAAAAGUUGUAUUGUUAGCAAUUCUUCUAUGAAAUAAUAAUUUUACAUUUAAAAUAAUCUAAUAAAAUUAAUUAUCAUUGUUAUAUCUUUAUUUAAAUUGUGGUAUUAUUCUGCAUAAAUUAUGAAUUUAUAGAUCCUAAAAAAGUUUUAAAAAAUUUUUUCUUACAAAGAUAUAAUGGUUCUCACAAGGAAAACGUAGUCAGUUAAUUAAGGGAAGUCAACAUGUAUGGAAAAAAAAAAUAAUAUAUUUUAAAAUUUUGAAGAGAUAAAUUUUAUAACUAAAACAUUUCAGGACAACUUUGGUUAAUUUUAAAAUUUUAAAAUUUUGUAGGAGUACAUAAGAAAUUGUUUGUGGGUAAAAAAUACUUUUGGUCCUCAAAACAUAAAAUGCGCGGCAAGUCUCACAAUUUAAUUUAAUUAAAUAUUGACAUAUUACUUAUGUAAAAAUUAUAUAAUAUAUCUUAUUUAUCAUAGCAAUCACAAUACUACUAUAUAUUACUUUUAUAUUAGUGACAUAUCUGUUGGAAUCGGUAUUUAUGCUGAUACCGUUUGUUGGAAGCGUGAUUUUCUCUGAUAUCAAUUAUUGAAACUAGGAUCUAAAAUAAAACAAAAUAAUAUGAAAAAGAGAUAUUAGAGGAGGAAAAAGAAAACUAAGCUAAUAAUUUGUUAAUAAAAAAAAUUUAAUUACACACUAGGCGACAACCCUCGGCCUUCUAUAUCUAUUUUGGCUUAUUUCUCUAAUUAACUCAUACCUAACUACAUAUAGCUAUCAAGUUAUAACAAAUGAUAAAUUCAAUUUUUAUUUUGAAUAAUUACAAAUGCUAAUCAUAAUCAAAUAAAAGGCUUAAACUUAUCUCUAAAUUAUAUUUUAAUUAAGUUUGAAUUAUUAUUCUAACAAUAUUAGUAUCUACUUAUGAUAAUUCAAAAAAUUUGAAUCAAAAAAUUAGAAAUAAAUUAAAUUUUAGGACAAAAUGUCGCCCGCAAAUAAUUUGGGGGACCACAAAAGCAGUUUAUCCAUUAUUUUAUUAUUAUUAUUAUUAAUUAUUAUUUAUUUAAAAAAAUGAGAACUAGAGCAUUGGGAACAGCGAAGAAGAUUAUAACCCUUCUCUUCUCCGAGAAGGCCAAAAAUAGAAGGUGAGGUGUCUCGAGAUGGGGCUCCCCCUCGUGAUGACGUGGCGCGCGGGGGAGUCGUUAAUUGUGCUGUCGCUUUCAGAAAAGUAUGGGACUGCAGAUGACGUGGCACUCGUCGCAUAGAAAAAUUCUUAAAAUGCAAUAAAUAUAUUUGUCACGUGUCAUAACAAAUCAAUCAAAUAAUUCCUUUUAGAGAUAUAUAUCCUAUUAUGUUAUAAAAAAAUAUUUUUAUUGUACUUUUAUUUCAAAAAAAAAAAAUGAUUAACUUAUUAUUGAUGAUAUAGUACAAGUGUAAUAGUAUAGAAUUCUUCCGUCGCAUAGGUUACUCAAAUUCAUCUGUUUCAUUAUUUUUUAAAAAAUAUAUUUUUAAUCUGUUUCGUUAAAAAAAAAAAAAAGAUUGACGGGUUUUUCGUCCUAAUCAGCUCUUACUAUCUUCAUUGGCCAUUUGAUUUUACAUAAUUAGAAAUAUAAAAUAGUUAUAAAUGUACAUAAUUCAUAGCUAGUUAAUUCGGAUUCGAUAAAAAUUGGAUAAGAAUAUAAUACGCAUAAAAUUUAUUUUUUAAUUUUUUAAUUUUUUAAAAAAUUUAGCUUCAAAAAUAGAUUUGAUAUAAAAUAUAAAAUAUAAAACAAUCUAUAUUUUAACAUAAAAAUUAUAAAUUUUUUCUUCAGAUUUUCAAUAAUUCGGGAAUAAUUCGCGAAUUAUUCAGCUGGCCCAAAAAUUCGUGAAUAAUUUUCUUUUUUUUCAAAUUCGUAAACGGACCGUUUAAUUCGAAUUUUCAAUAAUUUGCGAAUUAACUAACAAAGAUAUAAUUAGAGUAUAAUAAUUAUAUAUAUAAAUAGGAUUACUUAGAUGUAGGGAUGUGUGGUUAGGAUGAUAGUGGUCCCCUAAGAUUGAAUCGGUGAUUGACUGAAUAGUAUGAUCUGAUAAAAAUAGUUAAAGGGCUAUAUCUAACGGCGGAAAACUAAAUAGUACUAAGCGUUUGUGUAGUGUUCUAGAGCUUUGGAUAGAAUUGGCUUCAGUGUUAAUGACUGGUCGACACAUUUGGAGAGUGUCGGACUGAGUCGGAGUCAUUUCUGAGCGAAAUGGGUGCAAAAAAUGGACUCGACGCACUCAAAUAAGCAAAACUGGAGUUUUGCCAGUUUAGGGCGCCCAGAACUUGGUUUGGAGCGGCCAGAUUUUGAGUGCUGGUUUGAGCAAAAUUGGAAGACAAUUCAGAUCCUGUUCCGGGCGCCCAGAAGUGGGUCCAGAAGUUUACUUUGGAAAUAUCGCUGACGUUGACAUGUGUUUGUGGUAGGUGAGGUCCGCCGGACCAGGAUAAGGGUGCAGCACACCGCGGGCAAAGGAACCGAAGAGGGCUGUUUGUGCAGGCUAGAAGUUCUGGGCGCCCAGAACUUGGUUUAGGGCACCCAGAACUUGGUUUUUCUGCAGCAGUGUAACUUUGUAUCCAAUGUUCCUGAGGCUUAUCUGACCAUUUGAUCACCCUAUAAAUAGGUGAGAGACGCCCCCGGUAAGCUCUUUUCCUCUCUUUCUCACAGGGAAGCUUACAAUUGCAUUCCAACCCCUCCAAAACACUCAAAUUGCAUCGAAAAUCCACAAAUUCAGCUUGAGAAGUGCUGAUUCUGCAGUUUUCCAGCGACGACCUUCAGUGUUUUAGCUCGUGUGCGACAUAGGAAGGUCGGCUUGCGGUGAAACUUGGUUUACUGGAUUUUAGACUUCCAGAGGAAUCCACGAAACCCAGAAUUGCAGAUUUUGGUUGAGUUUAGCUUGGUCGAUUCUUUAUUUUUCUGGACAGCUGGUGACUUUGAGAUGAAAAUCUGAUUUUUGAGUUUUCUUUGAUGCUAUCUUUGGAGGCAGGGGGAUUUUGGACCUGAGCUUGAUAUCUCAAUAUACUCCAUUGGAUUUGAGACCCUCCUCACCAGAUUUGGAUGUAAUUAGUGAGUUUUGACAUUGGAGUUGGGUUAAUUAAGCUUAAGUGCUGAAAUUGUAGUUGUAUUGAUGGAUUUUGAUCUUGUUAAGGUUUGGAGUUUGGUGAACUCUUAUUGCUGGAUUUGGAGGAACUUCGGUUGAUCCAGCAGGGAUUCUUAGUGGUUCGAGACCUCCUUGCUGCCAGGAAUUGCUUUUGAGGUAGGUGUUUCAUCGGUUUUGCUCCUAAGUGCUUGUAGUCGAUAUGUAUGAUUUCGGUUAUUGUAUAUCAUAUUAUAACUCAAAUUCGUUGAUUGUAACACGUAUGAAACUGAAUUGGGAGCAUGAUUAUUAAUUAGAUGAAUAUACAUGUUAGACUUGGAACUUGACUUAGGAGAAAACCAGCCAUUCGGCCUGUCAUAUGAUUCUACUAUCUGAUUUUAGCUUUAGGAGCCGUGGUUUGAUUGUAUCACUGCUGUAUCAGCGCGGUGGAUACCCGGGGUAGUUUAGAAUGCAUUUACGCUCGUGCUGGGAUGCCGAGCUUAUUUUUACAGCAGAGUCUAGGCUGUUUCAGGUUGUUGGGUGCCGUCGGGGUAGACGGUAGACCUAGAUUUCUGUUUUUGGUCUCUGAUUGUGCCGAGGGCACGUGGGUUUGGUUUCUAGACUUGUUUUGACCCUAGCUCUUGACUUUGGCUUGUUAGAGCCUGAUUGAGCUCGAUAGAGAUACGCUGCAUAUUCAGUUGGAUAGCUCACACGAGUGCCACUCCGAAAACGGGCGCUGUGCUUUGCGUUGGUGUCGUUCGUGCAGGUUGGACUUGCUCUCCACGGACUGGUUUGUGUGGAGGUAGCUGUAUAGUCGCAACCGGGCGGGACGGGUGUGUUCACAGUCCUAGGGACGGGUAUGAUGCAAUAUACCGAACUUCUAAUUCAUGAAGUUACGAUGUAUGUUAGCUUAGAAAGCCAUUGGAAUCAUUCCAGCGAAGUUCGGGAGCAUUCGGGUGCUUCGGUGCGCAUAGGGCGCGAAAACGGGACCCGAAAGGCUAUGUUGGACCAUGGACUAAAUCCGGUAUUAGCGUGGAUGAAAAGAUGAUGAAAACAUGCUUGAAAAUACGUUUGGAGAGUCUCGAUUCGAUUUGAAAUGAAUCGGAUGUCAAACGAGCGAAAACGAGUGAAAACGGAGCGAAAACGGUGAAAAAGUUGAUAAUUUGGCUAAGUCCUUGAAGACUGAUUUCUGGACCUUCGGGGACCGGUCUCUCAGUCAAAGGACCGGUCUCUCAGGGACCGGUCUCUCAUCGCAAGGACCGGUCCCCGAACCCCGAAAAUGCCGAGUUCGAGCUGUUGCGAGAGAAGCAUUGUUGAGGGACUUAUUGGCAUUUUGUGCAUGGGUUAUGAGUAAAGAGAGGAUUAGAACCUCUCUCUCUCCCUCUCCCUCACCGUAUCACACCAAAGCCUCCUCUCUAUCUCUCUAGAAAGGCGGUGCCCAAUGUUCCCUGACACAUUGAAAUGAUUAAUUCUCAACCUUCGGAGUCGAGUACAAAACAUUUAAGAUUAUGACUCAAAUCGGGCAAAAGUUAUACAAGGUGCGUCUAUUCUCAUCACUCGCGUUUCAUAUUGUCGUACGCCCACAUGAAACACUCAGUUGAGAAUAAACCACAACUUGAAUCUACCUCUAAUCUCCUUUUUAGAGGUUUACAAAUAACCCAAUCCAUUAUCUUUUCGCCACAAGUCACAAGUCCUCGUCUCUCACGACCUUAAUCUCCUAUGGUUUACUAUCCUAGGGUCUCCUAGGUCAAGCUAAACAUUUUCUUUAAACUCUUUAUGUCCUUUUUAUGCUUCUCUAUAUUCUCUUUAUGUUCUUUUUAUCUCUGAUAACCAUCUUAUCUGUCACGCCCCGAACCGACUCUUUGGUCGGAUUCGGGCACGCCAACAGACCGCCGAACGGACAGGGUUUCCCCUGUACGCGGACAGAGUCUCCCUGUACGUUCAAGGCGUCGCAAUCAAUACAAUGUACGAAGUUCCAAACAAGAACACAUUUCAACCAAAGAUUGCAUAAGGAAGUAUCAAAACGUAAAUCUACUUGCUAUUACAAGCAUUCAUCUCACAUAUUACAUUUUUACAUUCUUAGAUUUCAUCACAUUUGAUUCCUUGAAUUCUUACUUCCAAAUACAAUCAAAUUAUUAUACAAAUUAUUACACAGUUGAUACAUCUUGUUCUUUCAUUUUCCAUAUCCUAAGUAGCCGACUCAGGGUGUUGGCUAUCUGGUCUCUGUGGUAGGGCGCUAACUACGGAGCUAACGCCCUUCCUCGCGCCGCGCGCGCUCGGUGUGAACUAUAACACCCCGAAACAACGUGGGGUGAGAAACUAACUCCAUAGUCCCAGUGGGUACGGCCACCAAUGGAAGAGCUCAGAACCAUCAGUCCAACAGGAGGCAAACAACAUGUUAGUCCAAUAGAUAGAUAUGAAAUCAUAAAUCAUGCAACUAACAUUACAUGCUUUUUCCUCACAACAUGCAUCAUGUACAUUAUGAAUUCAUAUAGUGGAUUAAUUGCUUCAUACACUUAUUCUUACCAUUCUUUACUUUUACUCAUAUUUUAGCUUUAUAGACUAAGUCUAUUAUUUAGCAUUAACCUGUUCUAUUCUUUAUACUGUCUUUCGUUUAGCAUUAACCUUCCUUAUUCUUGAUUCUUUAUUCUUUAUUCUUUACGCUUUACUAAGGGUACUCACACCUUAGUAAUAUUUCUUUCUUUGCUAAGGUUACUUUAUUUAGCCAACUUUGCCAUCCGACUCGGUCUUGAGCCAAUCAACUGCAGAUAGUCCGGCGCUCUGUCCGGCUUGAGGUGAAGGAACUCUCACAUACACCUCAGCCUUCAUCACAAACCACAUCGCCAACGGGUCGCCAGAGCUGCGUCACCGGAGUGGUCAGGGACCCCCGGUGGAGAGGAACAGCAUACACCCGCAGCCCGAGAUCCUCGUACGGGAGAGGAACAUGCCACAUGCACCCUAGCGCUCACGCGUUGCUCAUUAAAAGCCUCUGAAGUUUUCCGGUGGGAGAAGGAACAUGCCACAUGCACCCGCGGCCAGAACUAUCGAGCUUGUAUGUUGCACUAGCAGCCGCGCACUAGCAGCAGGGAUUCCGGAAUCUACUUCACAUUACUCGAGGGUUGGUCUCACCCUAUGUUAUCGACCUAUCUCAGGUCCAAGCCUUUUACUCACCUAAGUUAAUACAUUAGGUUCAAUGUCAUUACUCUCAUAAGUCUAGGUUCAUUGACACUAGGGUCCAAUUUCUUUAUCACCUAGGUUCAUUCGACUCUAGGUCCAUAUCAUUACGUUCACCAACCUAGGUUUAUUUGACUCUAGGUUCAAUACCACUCAUGUUCUUGUUUUCCUAGUGGUCCAUACUUAGAAAUCAUACUUGACAUGCCAGUCUUGAAUAACCUAUGUUCAAUGACACUAGUUCAAUGCACUCGUCAUCCUAGUUAUUUAUACUUAGGAUCUUUACAUAUGACAGCUUGUCGAGUUCUUUACUUUACUUAGAGUUCAUUGACCAAGUUCAACCUUCAUAUCCAUUCUAACAAUUCUUCAUUAUGAAAUCAUGCAUUUUAUACCAUCAGUCAGAUAACAUACAUCUUAUAAUGUCUUUAACAUUUAACUCAUGCUUCAUCUAUAGCAUUUCUAUAAUAUGUCAACAUGCAUUCUUACUUAGCAAUUCUCAUCAUGCAUUCUUACUUAGGCAAUUCUUAUCAUGCAUUCUUAUUUAGCAUCAUUAUAUUAUGUCUAAUACACAUUCUUUUAGCAUUUCAUCAUGCAUCAUUUCUAAAACAUGCAUCUAGCUCAUGUUACUUAGCAUUUAACUGAUGAUCUACAUAUGUCUUAGAUAUUCAUUAGCAUUUAGCUCUUGCAUUCAUUACAUACUUCACAUGCACUUAGCAUCUUUAUCAUGGGAUUAUAUACAUUUAUUAGCAUCAUUAUGGUGCAUUCUUACUUAAGCAUUCUUAUCAUGCAUCAAUAGUGGAACACACACACUUUGGCAUGAAGGCGACCCAGUCGUUUCGGUAAACACAACCCACCUCUUAACGCGUUCCGAUUGCUUGUCGUCACUUACAAUCGGCCCCCCGCAGCCCUGAUCCGGUUGCCCGAACUCUCGCGCGACCACUGACGGCCACCAAUCCGCGAUCCGUCUUGUUCGGGAGUUUAUUCCCCGACACCACGAUGCUCCCGAUCCAUUUUCAUGAUUUUUGGAGGCUUAUCCCGCGUGCGCGGAUCUGUACCAAAACAGACUGUUUCGUAAAUAACUUCGCGUACACUCGUCGGAUGUCGAACGAGCGCACCAAUGCGUUCGUUAUACCCCCAAUUAGGUUUAUAUAGGCGUCAAUUGAGAUCAAACUCAACUAUUUACAAAAACUCCUUUUUGGAGCCCUAGAUGCUACUCUAGCAAAUCCUCCAUUUCGUCUCAUGACAUCAAGCAUGGUUCAUCUAUUUAGCAUGAUAGGAUUCCAUUAAAAUCAUCUUUAGAGUAUAAGAACUUAACCCUAAAGAUCUUACCAUUAAAGCUUCAAGAAGCUUACCUCUCUAGGUUUGCUCCAAGGUGAAAGAAAAAAUGAAGAGAUAUGUGAGGGAAGCUCUCCACUUGCUUCACCUUCUUUUUCCCUUUCUUCUUCUUCUUCUUCUCUUCCUNNNNNNNNNNNNNNNNNNNNNNNNNNNNNNNNNNNNNNNNNNNNNNNNNNNNNNNNNNNNNNNNNNNNNNNNNNNNNNNNNNNNNNNNNNNNNNNNNNNNUUAAGCUAAUCAAUCAUAGGUGAGGAAAACUCACCUCUAGUGCAAAAAUCUCCUCUAAAGCUCCAAAAUGAAGCUAGGGCUCAUCCAAUCCAACCUAAUGGAAGCCUCUAAUCCACUCAAUCUAGCUUCAAAAGCCCUAGAAUCAAAAUGCCCAAAAAUAAGCCCUAAAUCUCCAAUUUAGGGUUUCAUCACAAAAAUCUCAAUAAAACUCUAAUCUAGAGGAAGAGAACAAGUGGAUUACCUCUUAGAAGCUUCAAUCCAAGCUCCAAACUAUCCAAGUCCCAAGAUCUUCCCUUUACCAAGCUCCAAAACCAAGCUCCAAUGGUGGAAAAGCUUCCAACAAGCAAAAAGGAGCAAAAAAAUGAAGGUUUAAUCUCUUAAAACCCCAACCAAAAUCAAAGAAAUCACAAAGGAAGGUGUGGAGGGCUUCCUCACCUUUCUCCCUGCAGGUUCCAAGCUCAGGAGAUGCCCUAGGGGCGUGGGGUUACUAAUAGAAGGCUACAAACGCGCAAAACCCCCUGCAGUUUCAUUCUGCACGAAAUCUGCCUCCUUGUACCGGUACACAGGUUCUUGUACCGGUACAAGGUCGACGAAAUUGCAAACCCGAGGCUCGGGUCGCGCGGUCUGCGGCUCUGUACCGGUACAAGCCCGAUGGCUGUACCGGUACAACCAUCAACCCUUGUACCGGUACAAGGCCAGUCUGUUCCGGUACAAGCCCUACUGCAAGCUACCCGAGAGCUGUCCAAAAAUUUCGAUUUUGGAAUUUUGGUGCCAAGUCUCACUCCAACAUCCUCGGGAUGCGUGCCAGGGGUCGGAACACUAUCAACGACCCUCCAAAAACUGUGGGAAUGCCCCAAACACAGAUCAAACACUCGAAUCUAGCAUGUUUGUUGCACAUAAAUAAUCAUACAGGAUUAUCACUAUAUUCAUGUACAUAUUCUAUUAAUAAGCAACUUACAUAACUCACGCUUUNACACUCGAAUCUUGCGAUUUGCUAAGAUCCAGUGUAUUACAGGAGAUCGGCGGAGUCAGCGGCCGAACCCACUGGGAACUAUUCGUAGUUCUCACUCCACCAUGUUACAGGUCCGAGCUCGAGCGCCCCCGGUGAGGAUCGCGGCAAGGGCGUAGCGCCCUAGCGGCGUGGUAUUAGUAGAUAGCUUUACUUUCCCCUUGCAUUAGCUCCACCCUAUGCUUUAUAUUUUGAGAGUAGAUGUUGUAUAGGGUGAGGUUUGGAGAGUGGUUGUACGUAAGCUUGAAUAAAUGUAAUCAAAGUAUUCAAGUUAAAAGAAAAUAAUUGUAUAAAGUUAAAUGAGCUUAAUAGUUAAGUAUCUCUCUUUUAUUCACUUGUAUGAUUGUAUUACUCGUGAUGCUUGCUCUCGUAAUGUAUAGCACUGGUUGUGCUUUUGUUGUUAUUGAAUGAUUUUGUAUGUAUUCAAGUUGUUUUCCUGGAAACUUGUUGUACACAGUCUCGUCGUUGGAGCCUUAGGCGGACAGGGGAGACUCUGUCCGUUCGGCCUCACGCCCGCCGCCCUCGAAUCGGACCAAAUUGGUACCGUCUUCGGGUCAUGCGUUCGGGGGCGUGACAACUAUGUUCAACAACGAGGUCAUUCAUUCGAUUACCCAAUCUCUCGGCGAACGCAAGGCUCGCUCACAGUCUCACGUGUGUAAGUCUCAUAGGGGAGGAGGUCAACUACUGGACUACCCCCGAGACCGCCUGUGGACAGUUAGCGGCUGUCCGGGCAGCUAGCGGCUACCCCUCAAGUGACAAUACUCCGGAGUGCACAACUUGUGUGGAGCUACCACCACAAGUGCAGACAGGCUGCGCGAGCUCGAUCCAAUCUCAUGAGCUAAGAACAUCCUACCCGACCAGGGGUGAUAGCAAUUUAGACUCAGGUGUUCUAGUAGUCAAUCACCUAGUAUCCCAACUAUACUAAUGUUCUCAUGCCACUCUGGGUCAUAUUUAAAGUCAUUAGAUGCCACUCGUCCAAUGUUUAAGAUUAACUAAAUGCCACUCGUUCCCCUGACAAGUUCUCGAUACACUAGUUGCAUUUUACUAGGUUCUCAUCCACAUAAGCAUAUUCCUUCCUUAUCAACUAUCUUUUCAUUCUAGGGUCUCAAGUCACUUGACACUAUGUUAAGCAUACUAGAUUUAGGUAUUAAGCAAAUUAACUCUACGCUAUUCUACUAGCAUGCAAGAACGUGUAACAAUUACAUUUAGCACCCUACAAUGCAACAUUACAACAUGUAAUCGAUCGACUUGAUAAACUUAGAAAUAGGGAGCAGUUCAACUGCUUUGGGAUGGCACUCCCCCACCUCGUGGCGAUGUCGCGAUUCUUCGAGCACGAUUCGCCGACUUUACGACGCCUCGUUGGCCUUCUAGGCAGGAACGAAGCUCCGAGGGUCUCCUUUGACGAUAACUUCGCACCUACUCGACGGAUUGACGAACCGUCUUCGCCGACACGUUCAGGAACCUAGCAAUUAGGUUUGCGACCCAUCAAACGAGAUCAAAACCCUAGAUUUGCUAAAAUCCCAAAUCGGGGCCCUAGGUCUCAACAAUGGAGAAAUCCGCGGUGCGAGCUUCAAUCUCGAGCUCGAACCAUCUCCUUAGCUUCAAUAGGUUCCAUUCGAACCAUUUCUAAGCCAUAAAACCCUAUCACAAUAAAUCCACCAUUGUAAGGUUGAGGCUUACCUUCAAAACCCACUCCAACAAGAGGAAGAAGAUGAGGAAGACGAUCUUCACCUUUGUCUUCUUCUUCUUCUACUUCUUCUCCAUCCUCUCCUCCUCUUUCUUCUUCUCCUUCUCUUGCUUCUAGAGAGAGAGAGAGAGAGAGAGAGAGCAAUGAGAGUGUGGAAUUGGGAGAGAAAUAAGAGAAUGAGAGAGGGAGAGGGGUCCUCAAGCCCUCAUAAAGGCAGUUUUGCAAAUAAGCCCCUCAACUUUCCUCUUACGAAGCAGUCCUCACUGGGCCACUUUCGGGUACGGGGACCGGUCCCUCUCAGGGAGGACCGGUCCCCCGAGAGCUGCCCAAAAAUUACGCGUACGGGAACCGGUCCCCACACUGAGGGACCGGUCCCCGAGAGCUUUCUCCGAAAAAUUGGGGCUACGGGAACCGGUCCUCUCCCAGAGGGACCGGUCCCCGAGAGCAUGAAAUCUGCUCCUUGAGCAGAUUUCGCUCCAAGCUCUCGCGGGUCCGUCCUCAAUAAACUUUCGACGUUUUUGAUGUUCUCGGACUUUCCGAAGCACACCAACUCGACAAUUAGUCGAUUUUAAACAUAGUCAAAUCCUCGAAUUUCGAGAAUUCACCUCCCUUACAAUAUAUCCCGCUUGAAUUCCUCCCACAACAUUGGCGGAAGAUCGGAAGGCCGAUCCCGCUUCACGCACUUCCACCACACCUUCGCCGCUUUCUCCAAGCAAUGGGUGGCGAGGUACACCUUAUCCCUCUCCAAGGUACGCAAAUCAUCGAAGAGGGUUUCCAUCGAGUCGAUCCAAGACUCGACCAUCGCCGGCUCCACCUUCUUGCCCUCAAAAGUUGGCGGAUGGAACUUGUUAAACUUGAUAAGAGCCGCCAAUGCGCGCUCUCCUUCCACAUCUUCGGCCGUCACAUCGGGUGUAGCCGAUCCCGACGCCGCAAGAGGAACAAUUGUCGGCGGGGGACGCGCCGCCACCGGAACCGCCGCUAUACCCUCACCCUCAGCUGGCUCAGGCACGCGAGUCAAGGGUACGGGCACCUCGCAUCCAUCCGUCGCCGUUGCGACCGCCGCCGCAGCCUGCCGCUCCAAGAGCUCCUGGAGCCGCUCGAAUCGGGUCUCCUGGCGCUGCACCACAUCGGUCAGCGCAGUCACUUGCGCUUGCAACCGAUCCAUCACGCUCGGUUCAUCCUGCUCGGGCACCUCAGAAGUUGGUGCUGGGGCAGAUCUACGAGUGUAGCGUCUUGGAGACAUUAGUCCCUGAAACGCAAAUACUUGGUCAGUCAUCUUAACCAAUUACCUCGUCGAACUUACGACACAAGACGACUCCCUAACGAAAUCGAGCGGAAGCAUACAAGCAUACUCGUUCUAGAUUCUUGGCAUCACGUCGUCGGCCGCCGACAUAACCACCUCAAAUCAAGAACUAAUACCACUUGAAUCCGUCUCUAUUCACAACUAGAGACAUAUUAUCAACUUCGACCCAAUCGAAUUAACUUCCGCCAUCGUUAUAGGUUCACGUUCCGCUCACGCACCUAUAACCUUAGGGCUCACCAACUAGGGUCUCCUAGGUCAUCCUAGACUUUCUCUCUCUACUUGCUCUUGUUGCUCUGAUACCACUAUACCUGUCACACCCCGCCCCGAAACCACUACCAGUUUGGCAUGAUUCGGGCGCGGCGGCGGACCGCCGAACGGACAGCACCUCCCCUGUCCGCCCAAGGCUCAACAACGGGAAUGUGUACAAGAAUUUACCCAGGAAUUUAAAUUCUAAACAUACACAUUCAACGAGGGCACAAACAGUGCCAACAACAAGAAGAGCAAGCAAUCCACAAGAAUGACAUGUGAAAUAAAGAGAGGACUUUACUAACUAUUACAAUAGUUUGCAUUCUUUUUCAUUUACAUCAUUUUCUCAAAAUGUAUACAUUUGAUCCUCAAAAUACAUAGCCCUCCAACCUCACCUACAUGAAUCUCUCUCAAUACAUAGGUGUGCUAAUGCAAAAGGAAAGCUACUAUACUACCGCGGUCUCACUGGUCGGCGGAUCCUUGCCCCGUCCUCUCUCGGCAACCUGUACUACACUGGAAUAGAGUGGGGGUGAGAACUACUUUCCAUAGUUCCAGUGGGCUCGGACGCGACUCUGCCGAUCUUCCCCACUAGGUCAAGUGGGCACAAGCAAAAAAGAUAGAUAGAUAGAUAGAUAUCUGAAAGCUGUAAAUGCGAUAGUAGGAACAACUAUGCUAACUAUGCCCAAAAUCAUGAAUAUGAAUGCAUGCAUCAUAUAAUAAAGGUUUGCUACCAUGCUAACAAAUUCGAUACAUGUUCGAAUAGUAAUGUUCAAUGACAUUUUUAAACGUUUAUCUUUCCAUUUACCCAAUCUGUGGCGAGACCCUGGGGCUCGUCAAUGACUCACCUUUCAAUCCCAAAGUAGGGAGGGAGCUCCAAGUGCACCCAAGCCCGGGACCGUCUGCGGACCUCCAUGUGGUCCGGACCUCCAAGUGGUCCUAAUCGCACGACACUCCGGAGUACUCGACGACAAUCCCCUCCAUGUGGGGAUAGGAUGGCUAUACCACCCCAAAGCAGACUGUGAGCUAGAUCUAUCCUCUCCAAGUGAGGAUACACUACACUAGGGUCAACAACCCAAUCAAAUCCUCUCCAAGUGAGGAUGCUCUACAACUAGAGUCAACAUCUCUCGCGGAAUCAUUUGUUCCCGACAUUCAUGCAAUGCUAUUUAGCUUUCUAAAUUCAUUGUUCACAAGGCAUUUUCUAAGGGAUCCACCUAUCCCUAGGUUCUCAAACCUCUAGUGUUAUUUACACUACAUUAAUGCCACUCAUCAUCAUUUAACGUUUGGAUGCCACUUAUGUGUUCCUUGACACUAACCACUACUUUCUAUGUCAUCAACACCCCCAUUGGGUUCAUCUCUUUUCUUUCGCAUCAUAGGAUCCACGUUCCGACCCAAUCCUCACCUAUCUAAGUUACCAAGCGUUCCAAGUACACUAGGUUAUCAAUUAGAAAGCAUAAGGAAAGGUACUA